UUUAACAAACUCUCCCACCACAUAGUAGAAAGUGGGACAUUACCAACACAUGGUUGUGCAUCACCUAUAUUUGGGAGUGUUGUCUUAUCACACUCUCUUGGAACAUUGCCAUCUUCACUUGAAAUCACUAGUUUUGUUGCACUACCAUCACUCACAAAAUUACGUUUCUUCUUCAACCAUAGUGAAUGAGUUGAAAAAGUUCGAGGUCGAGGCUUGAUAACUUCAUGAGAUUUGAUCAUGCUUUCUUUAGAUUUCUCUUUUUCUUCAUUUUCUUCUUUUCUUGGAAUCACUUUCUUGCGCAAAUUUGUGUGCCAAUAAUUCUUCACAUCAUUAGCUGUUCUACCCGGAAGCCUCGCAGCAAUCAAUGACCAUCUAUACAUAUAUAUUAUAAAUAGUUAAGAAAUUCAAGCAUCUAGCAUUUAUGCCAUACCGUGUUGAUAUUUGCAAGCAUAUGUGAAAAUACUACUAUUUGCUUGCAUAAUUAAUUAAUUCUAGAUUACAUAUACACUAGAUCUAAAUUAACAAAGAUAUCCCCUCCCCUAAUAUGCACAAAUAACAAUUUAAUUAUAACUUGCACUGAUAACAUACCUGUUCCCCAAGAGUUUGUGUAGCCUUAGAAUCAUAUCAAUUUCAUCAUGGGAGAAACUUUCUCUAUUGAUUGCAGGGUUUAAAUAAUUCACCCACCUCAAUCUACAACUUUUCCGGCAUCUAUUCAAACCUGCGCAUAUAGUUUAAUAAAUUUUGACAUAAGUUAAUUAGUUUUAACUAUAGAAUAAAAAAGUAGAUAGUUCUAUAGAAUAAAUAAGCUAGGUGGAUAUAGAGUUGUAUAAUGUUCGUAUUAACAAAUCAAUUAAAUAAAUACAAGUACCUGCUCUUUUAGGAACUAAAUGCCAUUUCCCUUCACCAUAUUUUUGAAUACAGUCCUUGAGUAGAUUGUCCUCCUCAUAUGUCCAUGCACCUUUUCUCAAACCUCUGGUCUUUUCCAUAUGCACUUGCUAUUUAGACACUUUCCUUAUUUGUCCACAGAAAAAUAAAGGCAUAAUCUCUUGCCCUCAUAAUAUAUAUUAUGUAUACAUGUGCUUUAAAAGGAAGUGUGCGUGAGAGAGAGACAAAGAAAUUGUCUUAUUAUUACUUAGAGACAAAGAAAUUGUCUUAUUAUACUUACUUUACCCAAAAAAGAAAGAAACAAAAAGAGGGUAAUUUCCUCACAAAAUAAAGAGGAAAUUUGAAAAUUUUGACUUGUGUUAGUAAAAAAGGCUGAGAUAUUGUGUUUCUGCAAGAAAAAUUUGAUUGUGGUGGUUUUUAAGGAAAAUAAAAUUGUGGAAAUUUGAAAUGGAGUUGUUUUUUUUAUUUUUUUUAAACUUAUCCAGGGUUUUUGUUAAAUAACACCAAGAAAUAAAUUGCAACUUGAGAGAAAUAAAAAAUGUUUUUUUAGUGUUUAAUAUUGUUUCUACCGUUGUAAAUUGUUUCUUCUAUUGUUGUGGAUUUUUCAUAUUUUAAUGAGAUUUAUCUGAUUAUUUAAAGGAGAAUGCUAAUGAGUGCCUCCCUUGUUUGACUGCUAUCUAUAAUAGAAAAACCAAAGCAUUGAAUGCAAUCGAGUGAUGAUGAAAAGAUAUUCAAAUGACAGAGUAUUAGAGUAAAAAAGUUACGAAAAAUAUUCACAUAUGCAAGUCCUUCAUUUUCUGGCAAUAUGCAAUUUGCUUUUUGCAGCUUCUUGAUUUUUGCCUAAAGUCACCCCUUCUCCCAGCUUACCUUGCUGCCUCAUUUGCAAAGAAAUUGAGUAGGCUGUUGCUCUCAGUUCCACCUUCUGGUGCAUUGGUUAUUACAUCUCCGGUUCACAAUAUUUUGCGUAGACAUCCUUCGAUCAAACUGUUUGGUGCACCGGGUAAAUUAAGAUAUUCUAUUUUCUAUAUUUUGUUUUUGCAAUUACUUCAAUAGUAAAAUUUGUUUCCUGGAUUACUUUAUCAUUGGAAAUGUUAAUGGAGAUCACAUGAAAAUAUAUGGAGUUGAGAUAACGGAGGAGUACUGAUCUUGAAAUCAUAAUCUGUUGGUCACUAUAAACUUUUCCAUUUAGAAAAUGAUAUAUGUUGUGUUGAGGAAAUACUUUUCAAUUCAUCUUAUAUUUAGAAUUAUUGCAGUUUAAAGUAAUACUUAUUUAUUACACUCAAUAGAUAGUAUAAAUAUUAAAUAGUUGCAUACUUGCGUGUUUGUGUAUUUUGAAUUGUUUCCAUUUUGUAUCUAUGUUUCUCAAAUUAGUUUUCUAUUGAUAGAGCCAGGAGAUUGAUUGGAUCCUGGUUCAAGGAUGGUCGUCUAAUGUGGUUUUACUUUGAAACUCAGAGCUGGUCUGAUAGUAUAUAUGAUAAGGUUUUCCAAUGUUGGAUUGCAGAUUUGUGUAGGCCAAAAAAAAUCUACUAUAUAUUUAUGAGAGGAAGAAACAUGGCAUAGCAGAUAUAAUAGGCUUUGUGGCCUAUGCCAGCUGGCAGCCUGGCACAUAAUCAAUGUUGUGAAGAAAAUUCUCCCCGAUAGUAAUUUUGAUGGACUAAUUUAGCUUCUUAAAAAAACUUCAUCCUCUCUCUUUUAGAAUGAUUUUGCUGAUGGACGUUUAAAUGUGAAGAAAAUUCUGGAACAAUCAUCGAUAAUAACAAGAAUGAGUGUCUAAUUCAUGUAUGACCACCUCUUAAAUUAUAAUGCUUGUCUGUUCGGUAAAAAUAUGUUACUCGUAUUUUAUAUUUUUCUCUUGGGAACCAAAAAAUGCUUGCUCCCGAUGAAAAUUUUGUAAAGCUUUGUUUACGAGUUUGGAGGGAAAGGGAGGGGAGUGGUUUGAAAAAAAAAAAAAAAGGAAGGAAGAAAUAGAUGACAUUGAGAGGGGAAUUACUUUGGGGGGGGGGGGGGGGGGGGGGGGGGGGAGUUUAGAGGGUUUAUAUGAAUUCUUCAAAUUUAAUCUACGUAAAUAUAAUAUUCUAAAAAUUUAAAAUAUAUUAAUUAUAAGCAUUAAUUUUUCAUUUUCUAAAAAAUUACUCUAUAAAAAAAUGUGAAAGAUUUUACCAUUUUCUUCUAUAUUUCCGACCCUCCAAAGUGUCUUCCCUUCCCAUCCCCUCCCCUCCAAACUCCCAAAAAAAGCCUAAGGAUUUUUUGCGGCUUUCAGUUUUUUUCGAUUGGUUUGCCGUUUAAUUUUCGAUCGGUUAGAAUUUGAACACCCCUACAGUGAACAGUUCUGAAGCAUAAUAAGCAUAACAUUUUAUAUUUAUUCAUAGUCUAUCUAUAGGGGCGAUAAGUGUUUACUUAAACUACCAAUUUUGCGUCCUCGUGAGCUUAACUUCAUUGGUAGGGACAAUACAUAAUAUUAGCGAGAUUCAAGAUUCAAACCCGUUGAACAGAAAAAACUACCAGUUUUGCAUUGUUUACUGUUUGUCCGGCCAUGGGAAAUUGUGAGGUGUUGUCUUAGAUUUUUCUUAUUUUAUAUUGUUAAGUAAGAAGAAAAAGGACAGACCAAUGCAUUUUUUGGAUUGAAAAUAAUACCAGUAUUAACUUUGUCCGGUUCAGUAUAUUUACUUGUAGGCUCAGGCUAGUGUGGGAGACCAAAUCAGGUCUCUCACGAUAGGAAGGGAGAAAAUACCUGCAAUUGCAGGUCACCAUUAGUUUUAAUAGUUUUAUAUUAUUUUUGCUAUUUAUACUUUUGACCCACCUAAGUUAAUUAUAAAUAUUCCACUCGAGUUUUUUUAUUUAUGAAAUUGGCAUGUCCCUUUUUUUUUUUUUGUUAUUAUUAUUUAAAAAACAAAAUAAGUUACUACCAUUAAUUAUUAUUUUCUUUCUUCUUUAUUCUCUCCUUGUUCUGAUUUCCCUGCAUCUCUUUCGAGCACCAUCAUCACAACAAUAGUGCUCAUGGCACUGGUAAAAACUAUUUUUUCUGAUAUUCAUCCUUGUUACUACAUGACCAACAUCACCAUCCCACAAGUUACUACCACCACCAUCAUCGGUAUCAUCAAUAUUCAUUAAACAACAACAACCACCGCAACAAGUCAAUUUUUUUUAUUUAAAUAACCAUUUAUAAAUUAAAAGAGCUUUAUUUCCCAUGACUGAGGUUGGGUAUUUUGUUGGAAAACAAAAAUAUUUCAGUUUUGAGUGUUUAAAGAUGCAGAAAAUUGCUUGAAAUCACAAGGAAUUGUUAUUUGAUUCAUGAUUCUAGGUUAAAAUUGAGAUUUCUAAAAUGGCAUAAAGUUAUAGCUUUUUUAUUCCGGGUCGCGAGGAUUUUCGACUGGGUCGUUUUGACCCUUCUUGAGGUUGAAGAUGCAGUAGUAAAAACAAAUAAAAAAAAUAACUCAUACAACGCAGGCAAUGGGUAUCGAACCGACGACAAUUUUUUUCAUCAACAGAAACUAAUCAAACCAACUGUACCAUUAAUUCCGUAAAAGGUUAAGCAAUAAAAGAUUCAUAUGAUUAAUUCAAUAUAUUAAUUAAGCAAUAAAGGAGUCCUAUGAUUAAUGCAAUAUAUUACAUCAAAUGCUCGCAGCUAUACACCAUCCGGUAACUAUUAUAAGCAAUAAUUCAUAUUUUAGGUUCAUUUAAUAAUUGUUGUAUGUGGUAUUUAAUAAAGACCAUAUACAUUAUUUAUUAAAUUAAAUGAAUUUAAAAUGUAAAUUUUUGCUUAUAAUAGUGACCUAAGGGUGUGUGUGUGAUAUUAAAAAUUUAUACAAAAGAUUUCGACCAAGUUGACUACUUUUCUGAAGGAAUAGUUUGUCGGAUUAACUUAUAUGAAAUAUUUAGAUUGCCGAAAUUUUAAUUCUUACUUCGUUCUUAAUUUAUUUAGAUCAUAUCAAACUAACCGUUAGUUAAUUAAGUCCGUCUUGAUCGUCGGAGGAAUGUCAUUUUUAACUAGGUUUCUAAAGUGAAAGUUUGUCAGAUUGACUUGUGCCAAAAGAAAAAAAAUUUACAAAGUGCUUAAAAUUAGAUUAUUUUUACAAGAUAUGAAAUAAAUGUGAAUUUCCAAGCGCUUAAAAUUUAAAAUUCAUAUAAAAUUCAUCCCUUUUAAAAAAAAAUUAAACUAUUGCAGGAGAUAAUUUUAUAAUGUAUUAAAUAAGAGUUCAAAAAAUAAUUUUAAAUUUUGAAUGAUACACAUGAGUUUGCUAAAUAUGCAGGGAUAAAAAAUGCAGGGUCUCAAUUUACAUUAAGUUUACGGAUUAAAUAUGAAUUGAUUUGAAAUCAAUUGGUAUCAAUAAAAAUGCUUGGCACAGUUGGUGUAAAUUGGAUACUUUGAUGAUUAAGGUUGCCUGUUCGAUACUUUUGUUGCAUCAUUGUCUUUUUAUUAAUUUUUUUACCUGCAUCUUCAACCUCUAGACGGGUCGAAACGACCCGGUUUAUGAUCCGGAAGAGAAAACCAUAACUUUAAGCCAUUUUAACACCAAAAACUCAAUUUUAACCUAGACUCACGAACCAAAUACCAUUUCUUUGUGAUUUCAAGCAAUUUUCUGCAUCUUUAAACACUAAAAAUUGAAAUAAUUUUGAUUAGUUUCAACAAAACCCAACUUCAGUUAUGGAUAAAAACCCUCUUGAUUUAAAAAUGGUUCUGGAAAUAAAAAAUUGAUUUAUUGCCGUUGUUGUUGUUAUGAAUACUAGAUAUCAGAAAAAUAUUUUUUAAGUUGUUGUUGUUCUUCAAUGAAUACUAGAUAUCAGCAAAAUAUUUUUUAAUGGUGCCAUGAACACUGGUGUUGGGUGUAAAGAACUCAUGAUGCUGGACAUGUUGGUAGUAAGGAUGGUAAUGGGAAGGAAACCAGAAAAAGGAGAGAGGAUAAAGAAGAAAGAAAAGAGUGGUCAAGAAAUUGUGUGUGAAAAGAUUACCAUGACCAUUGAUCAUGUCUCACGUUAUAUUUUGUUAAGUCUAAUUUUUUUUUUUAAGUUGUUAAAUAAAUUUAUCUGUAAAAUAAAGGUUAUAAAUAAUAAUAAAAAAAGAGUUAUAUCACGUUUACUUUAAAUAUUUAAGACCGGAGGUAUUUAUAAAUAUUAUAUCCAUUAGGGCAAGUUGUGUAAUUCUCAAAUUUUAGUUAUGGGUAAAAUCACAUGCAAAAUAGUACAAUUUGCAAUUCACCUACUAGGUACUGUAGCAACAGGUCCCUGGUAAGCAAUCUGGACCGCAUGUUAGUUUUGAGGCACAUCCAACGGUUUAAACACGGUCACUCAUGGUGAGAGACCUGAUUUGGUCUCCCACGCUAGAAGCCGCCUUACUUGUAGGUGGUGUUUAAUAUGGGGUAGUAGAGUUUUUUUCCCACCAUGUAAAAGUUGAUUAUGUCCAUUAGAUUAAAUGAAGAAUAUAGUAUUAUCAUGGACUCUUAACACAAGAUAUUUUCACACUCUUCUCUCUUCUCUAUCCCCACUCUCCACCGUAAACAACAUCAAACCAACCUCUUUCUCAAAUCAAAAAUAUUUUUUUUCCCUUUCCUUUCUUUUUUCCAAAAUCAUUUACUAAAAGAAAUAAAAGUUAACAAUCUUAUAUUCCGCUCACUAACAGUUAAGCUUUUUUGACUUAAGAUCCAUUUCCAUAAUUAUUCUCAUUUCUUCAAAUUUAUUUUCAAUUUUCCUUUUUAUGUUUUCUUAAUUUACUUGAUGAUCUCUGUCUUUGAAUUGGUGAUUUAAUUUGAUUUCAUUCAUUGCUUUGUGCUUAUGCUAUGAAAUGUGGAUGAUGAUGAUGGUGGGUACCUGCAAAUUAGAAGACAACAAUACACCAAUAAAUAACACAUUUACACAUAAGGAUUAAUUCAACAAUGAUACAUCUUAAAGAAUAACCCAUUUUACAACAAAAAAAAAAGAAUGAUCUUUACUGGAAAAAAAGGAGGAUUGUGAUGUUGCUCGUGGUGGGUGGCAUGGAGGAGAGACAAAGUGAGAAAAUAUAUUAUGUGGGCAGACUAUAAUAUGAUUGGUGUUCCUUUUUAUCUAAUAGUUUUAAGGGUUAAAUAUGUUUUUGAUCCCUAUAAAUAUACCAACUUUUCGUUUUAGUCCCUCUAAAAUUUUCCUUCAACUUUUAGUCUCUAUAAAAUUUUCAAUCACUACUUUAAGUCCCUAUUUUUAAGUAAAUUUUUAUAUUUUUUAAUGAAAUUGACCAGAAAUUUAUGGAAUAUUGUAAAAAACACUCACAAAAAAAAUUAGAAUUCUUUAACAAAACAUGAAUUAAAUGAGUUUUUUACCGUCAAAAAUAUAAAAAUUCAUAUUUAAUUCAUGUUUUGGUAAAAAAUUCUAAAUUUUUUUGGGAGCGAUCCUUAUAAUAUUAUAAAUGUUUCUGAAAAAUAUUUUUUAAAAAUAUGAAUUCUACAUAUGAUUUUACUUUAAAUGAUGGACCAAAAAUAAAGAUUGAAAAUUUAUAGGGACUAAAAGUUGAAGGAAAAUUUUAGAGGGACUAAAACGAAAAGUUGGUAUAUUUAUAGGGACCAAAAACAUAUUUAACCUUAGUUUUAAAGAAACUUUCCCAUGAUGGGAAAAAACUCUACUAUCCCAUGUUAAACGCCACCUUACUUGUAUUAUACUCAACAAACAAUAUUUUGUUUAAAUCAUUUCGAAAACUCUUUCAAGAUAGUGAAAAUCCUCGUGUAGGUAGCUUUUUGUUUAUAUAUUAAGUAUACGAGAAAUCUUCUAACACUUAAAGACUUGGUUAAAUAAUAUCAAACGAUCAUUCAAACUAUAAAAACUAGGGUAGUACCUUUCUUCAAAAAAAUAAUAAAAAAACUAGAGUAGUACCUCUAACAUUUGUGACAAUGUAACAAUCUAUCUCAAUGUGUUCUCAUAAAACAUCGAAAUAGACAUAGUCACUAUGCAUUGUAGUUUAAGAAUCAAAAUUGAGUCUAUGUAGCCGUAGGCACCCCCUCAAAUCAUUUAAUCAUUCUAGUUUUUUUUUUUUUUUUUUAGCAAAAAAAGGAAACAUUCUAGUUGUAUAUAUGAGCUCACAAAGUUGCUAAUGUGAUGACGUAUUGUACUCUUGGGCAUUGCAUCAUUUUUUUUUUUUUGAUUCAUUCUUUCUUUUCUAGGUGAUGAAAUUGUCUCCAAAGAAAAUAAAAUACUUAAAAUAUGAUCUGUUAGAAGGAAAAUAUAUUCCGUUAGCAUCUGAAUAUCCUAGAAUUCAAGUGUGCUCCUUUUCUUUAUUAUGGGUAGUGAUACAUAAAUCAUCUUAGGUGGCAUAUACCACUUGUACAUCCAUAUAUAAUUGUGACAUGUGUCCAUGUGAUCUCUACACACACAAGAAACUCAUCUUUUGUGUCUCUCAAACACUCUCAGAUAAAAGUGGUACAAUAUGUAUAUAGAGAAAAGGGAGUUCAUGAAACAUUAUCCAAUAUUUAUAGAUAGGACUUAUUUAGAGCUACAUCAAUAUACUUACAAAAUUAUAUAGCAUUCGAUUGUCAACAUUGCUUUAAAAUCAAUUUUAACUAUAUAUCUUAACUAUAGCAUUCUUAUAACUCUUGUUAGCAUAUAAAAAACUUGAUAAGAGUCAGAGUAGAAUAUUUUAAUAGAAAUUAGAAAACUUGAUGAAUGUAUAUGGAAAAAACUUGAUGUCAAACAAGAAGUUAAUUCAGUUUCUAGAAUCUUUAUCGUUAGAUGAUAUUUCUAUCAACAAAAACACGUUUCUUCACUUAUGCUCAAUAUUAGAGUAUAGUUAGUGAUUAAACCAUAGUUAGUUAAUAUGUAAAUUAUGGUUGGUUAGUUGGUUAGGUAUUUAAGAGUUACUAAGACUAACCCACCUCUAUUAAUAGCUCUCACCAUUGUAUUCUCUUGUUAUCUUUUAUCAAAUCUAAUUCAUUCUGUUAUGAGUCUUUGAGUAUCUCCAACAUGAAUACUCACUCUUUCUUGCGGAUCACUAUGACCUUUACCCUUGGGAUUUCAUGAUUCAUAACAUGGUAUUAGAGCGAUACCUAGGGAUGAAGAUGAAAAAUAUGAUGAUGUAGCUUCUCCGAUUAAGGAACCUUCAGCUUCUCACGAUCCCAUUGUUUUUGGCAGUUUCGAGUCUCCAAUUACUCUGAUUUCUAAUCCUUUAAUCAAACCAGAAUUUGAUGGAUUCUCCAUCAAAAUUGGGGAAAUUUCAUGUGUUCUUAUUACUUCUUCCAGUAAUAUUGUUUAUGAUGAUGAUUUUGUGUUCGCUAUGCACAAAGACGAGAAAUUGCAGUUUCUUGAACCAAACAUGAAGAUCUGCGACUAUGUUUUCAAUGUCUCUGAAGCAUCGGAAAAAUUAUUCAUUCACACACUUCCGGUGAAAUUGUGUGGCAGCGAACACCGUCGUGAGGCCGUUCGUCAUUCACCACAACAACACAUUGUAUUCACAUUCAACAAUCAUCCCCUGUUUUUCAAGUUUCAUGACGAAUCAAUAGUCGAUUUCAAUCCCGGCGGAAGAAAUGGUUCGUGUUCGUUGCUCUCCGUCUUUGAUGUUCUAUGUCUCACCUCUUUCCGUCUGUGGUGGAUGUCUUGGGACAAAGGGAGAAAAAUGGUUAUUCACGGUGGCACUUUUUUGACACAGGUUUCACCUUUUCUGAUUAACACCAUACCAAGCCUUAUGCUUUAUCGCGAUCAUCUCCUUCAGUUUUUCAACAAGGUGAUUGUGUUUUCUGCUUGAGAUUCCUUGUUUAUCAAUUUUGAUUCCGAAUCUCAAAAUAUCAAGGAAAUAAUAAUGCAUGAUUUUAGGUUCUCUUUCUUCAUUUCAGUUCCAUAUCAGAGAUCAUCCAUUGUGUUUACGGAAGCAUUUUUCAAUUCGUACAUUGAUUCGUUUCCCAUAAUUUACUGAAAAGCACGUUUUGACAAAGCUGUUUUGGGUUAGACGCGUUUUUGGUCAUGAACACGUAAUCAAUUUAAAGAGUCGUGUUUUGGCAAAUGCUAUUUUUUGGUUCAGUAUUUUUGGAUAGUUAUGCUUGUGUUGCAGAAUCGAUUUUCUAGAUAAGCCGUGUCUUGAAGAAGCGUGUUUGCAGAAAGCCUAUAUGGCUUAGAAAAGCAUGUUUGCAAUAAGUUUUUAUGUUUGAAGAAAGUGCAUUCCAGUAGCGCGUUUCAGAAUAAGCUAUUUUUGUAAAGCGCGUUUGGAAUAAGCUGUUUUGCAAAAGCAUUUAUUAAGUGGUUGAUUACAGAAGUUAGGGAUCAAGAAGGAGAAGAAAACGAAAUUGAUUCAGACUUCUCAUAAGAAUUCUCAAAAUCCUUGGUUUUCUCACUGAUGGGCUUGGCCUUCGGCUUCAUGAAGAUUGGGGUUGUGUUAUAAAAUUGUUUUACUUAGUUUACCCUGCAUUUACUUAGUUCACAAUAUAGUGAAUAAUUUGUCAUUUUCAUUGUGUUUCAAACUCAAAUUGGUGAAUUUCCCCAUUUUGAGUUUGAGGGGACUAUUAGAGUAUAAUGAUUAAACCAUAGUUAGUUAAUAAGUAAACUAUGGAUAAUUGGUUAGUUAGGUAGUUAAGAGUCAAUUAGACUAACUUGCCCUUAUAAAUAGCUCUCACUAUUGUACUAUUUUGUUAUCUUUUAUCAAAUCUAAUUCACUCUAUUAUGAGUCUCUAUGGGUAUCUCCCACAUGAAUACUCUUGGAGAAAUGGUAACUGAGCACACAAAAACAAAACACAAUACAUACACUGAGUUACUGUUGUUUUAUACCCUUCAACCCAUCUAUCUCGGCCAUCCCUCUUUAUAUCCUUGUCAUCCUCUAUCACACUCGUUACCACCCACGCCGUCCACACUCUAUCUUACAACCACCGGUGACGUCCUCACCGACGUCAUUUCACCGGUAUGAAGAGAAGAUGAAGGGAAGGCGGUGUUUUCGUCUCCGACGUCGUAUUUUCUCGAUCUGGUCCUUACCGACAUCGUCACUUACAGGUCUGCAAAUAAGAUGAAUGGAAGGAGGUCGUCACCGGUGUUGCAGCGGUGAUCUAAACGGUCAUCUGCGGUGUAAAGGAAAAUAGUUCUGAACGAACUCAUGGUGGUGAGGGUGAUGGUGAGGACGACGGUGCGGGAGGGCGGUGGUGGUGGGGAGGACGGUUGUGUGAGCAAGAUGGGAUGAGGGGAUUUACAAAAGUACCCCUGUUUUAUAGUUGAAAUGUCAAAAUUGUCUAUGAUAUUGUAUUUGUAUCAAAUAUUUUAUCUAAUUAUCAUUACUCAUACUCUUAUACACUCUUUCUUAUCGAUCACUAUGACUUUUAUCCUUAGAUUUCCAUGAUUCAUAACACUCAUUAAUUUUUUUAACGAAUACAUAUGCUCAAUAGUCAAUACGUGUACAUUUAUUGUUUAAACACUUAUUACAAUUUAUUACCUUAAGUUUUAUGACAUGUGUUUACACAGACAUUCUUAGACUUUUGUUACGUGAAUCCAGGGAUUUCUCAUAAGAAUGACAGCUGACAAAUGAUUGAAAUCAUAUAAUGUGGUCCUACUGUGUUUCAAUCAAGUUGCGCAAGACAAGUAGUUUUGAACGAAGCAAAAAUCUCUAUCUAUAAGUCCAUUGAACGUCAACUAAAAAUGGAUCUUCAAAUCCUUCAGAAAAAAAAAAAAGGAUCUUCAAUUUAAUGUCUAGCCAUGCAAUAUGGUCCUAGUGUUUUUUCCGAAACGGUCCUUUUCACAAGAAAUAGUCCCCCAGACAACUCUUGCGGAUAUACAAACAAUAAUUUGAUGUCUUUUAAACAAUAAUUGAUGAUAUUUUUACCUCAAGAAAUUGAUGAUAUUUUUACAUGUUUUUAAUUUGUUUUUGAGUGCACAUUGCUCAAAUUUUCAAGUUGUAUAAAUGUGUUUGAUAUCCUCAUUUAAUGAACUAACUUUUAUGAUAAAAUUUAAGUCUAUUUAACAUGAUAUUAUAUUAUAUGUUAAACGUGAGGACAUACAAUUGUUUGAAGUCUCAUAUAACUUAAAUUAUGAAGCUAUUAGAUGUAUAAACGUAUUUGACACUCUCACUCUUUGAACUAACUUUUUUUAAAUAAAUUUCAAAUCUAUUUAUCAAAUUAAUUAGUAUCCAUUGUUUAAUCGACACAUGUUGGGUAAGAAUUGCUCAAAUUUCAUGUCCCAUUCAAUGCCCAAAAUUUCCAAUGUACUUUUGUUUCCAUUUUUCUCCCAUCAAACGAAAACGUCAUUUUCAUGUCAUUUCACCUCCUUCCAUGCUCCAUGGAACACUCUCAAUCUCCCAUUUCUUCUGCUCAUGGAAAUUCUGGCUGAACUAACAUUUAUGGAAGCUGUUAGUUCAUGUUUUCUAACAACCGAAUGGAUCAUGUAGUUAACAGUAAAUUUUAUUGUUUGAUGUGGGAAGACUUUUUACGAUAACGAAUUGAAAGAUGUACUAGGGUUUGAUAUUCACGUCAGUCGUCAGUAUAUCAUUCACGAAAUAGUUCGGAUAAUUCAUUAAAAUAAAUUACAAGUGAAGAAGGAGGCGCUUGCGAACUUUCUGACUGACCCCUAGAUAGAAGAUCGACACUUAAGCCUGCAAAUGUUAUGGUGUACGGAUGGGUUGGAGGAAAACAUGCAUGUGUGGACUUGACUGAGGUUUCACCACUUGUGGGUUUAGGGGUCGGGGCUUUUACGGUAGGACAGGCAGGCCUAAAAGCUGCGUCAAGCAAAGUGGCCAAACAUGACAAAACGUGUUAUGACAAUCAACAUGCUUUUGUACCAUUUGCUUUUGACACUUUCGGCUUCUUAGCAUCAGAGACUGUUGACCUUCUACAUAGUGUCCAAAGGGUAUGCAUAACAAUGUUAUGUCUCAUAGGUUCAUGAAUGUUCUGUUUACGAUUUGGUUUUUCCAUCCAAAAAGAUCUAGCGGCGCAGCUUGUUGCCUGCUUGCCUCCUAUUCAUGUGUAAGUAAUAUUGAUAUACCAAUUAAAACAUUUAUAAAUCAAAUAUACAAAUUAUAUUUAUUAUAUAUAUAAAAAAAUAGUUGUAAUAAACGUAAAAUUGAUCAUCAAAAGAUAAAUUACAUGACUUUUGUUAAACUAUUGGUAUAUGAUCAUGGAUGAAGUCUAAAAUUAAUAGUUUUUCUUACGAUUACUAUUGAUUGAACAUUCAAAAAUUAAGAGUGAAAGCUACUAGUCAUUACUGAUUAUGCAACAAAUACAAAAAAGUGUAUUUGUACCAUGAUCAGAGUAACUCCUUAACAAGAAAAUUCUUGAAAUUUUAAGAACCAUUGUGAAAAGAUUUUUGGCAAUCAACAUCGUCUGAGCUAUUAAUUAUAUCCUAAGACGUGGUUCCUUUAUAAAAUGCAAAAAGUGCUAAAAAUACUAUUUUAUUAAAUAAAACAUUAUUGAAAAUACUAUAAAAUAUUGGGUUGUCAAUCAACAUAAAAUCAACCAUCUUUUUUUUUUCUUCAAGAAGCUUUAGUCCACUCAAAUUGACGGGUGAAGAUCCUCUCCAAAUUGACACUGAAAAGAAUCGAUCUUGAGAAUGAACACUCACAGAUCCCAAAUCAAUACCACUGAACCAACUCAAGUUGAUUAUCAACCAUAUUAAUAUAGACCAUGCUAACAAGUGUCUUAAAAAUACUUUGUUAAGAAGUCAAUUAAAAGAAAAUAUAUUGUUAGAAUAUAUUUAUUUAUUUUUUUGACAGAAAAAAGUAUAUUCAUUUAUUCCACUAGAAAAUAUAUUUAUUUAUUUUUGAAUAACAAAUGUUAGUUGUUGGAUGUUAGAUUAAUUAUUUAUUUAUUUAUUAUUUAAUUAUUUGGAGAUUUCACCGAUUUGAUCUCCAAUACAUUUCUUAUUUUUAUUUUUUAAUUUGAUGAAUCGUAAAACGUAAAACAUUGAUGCACAUUACUAAUUUUGAUUGUUCGUACAUGAUGUCAUGUGGGAUGGGUCAUAACAUGUACGAUAGGGCUGGACAAGAAUCCAAAACCCGACCGUAACCCGAAAAACCGAGUUGAAAAAUGGAUAAACGGUUGGGUUUGAACGGGUCGGCGGGUUAUCGGGUGAACAAUCACGGUUUUGUGUGAGUAUAAAUGGACGGUCUCGGAUAUCAAAAACCAAUCCAUUGAAAUCCGAAACCCGACCGCUAGCAAUGCCCAUUGUAUACAUAUCUGAUUUUUUCAGAGACGUGACAUGAAAACAGUGUCUUAAGACCCACACUUUGAAAAAAAGUAACAAUAUCUUCUUGGAAAGCGUAUCAAUAGUUCAUUACAGCAGCAAGUAACCAACUUACUAAUUAUUCUUAUUUUAAUUUUUUGUAUGAUCUUGUAAAAUGAAAAUACUCACUCAUUCUUGCCAAUUGUUCAUUAGUUCCUCCAUUUUAAAAUAAGUGUCUCUUUAGCCAAAAAUAUUUAUUUUAAAAUAAAUGUCACUUUACAUUUUUAAUAUCACUUUAAUUUUUUUCUUCCAAUUUUACCUUCCUCAACUUUUUUCUCACACAAUUUUCAAUGCAACUUUAAGCUUAUUAUUUUUUUAUAAAAUAAGGGCAGUUAGUAAAAGUGUUACGUCUAAUGAUUAUUUCAUUGCAUUCUUUAAUAUAUGUGUAAUUGGCUAAAACGACACUUAUUUUAAAACGGAAGGAGUAUUUUCUCUCACCGUCUCUAAAAUUAAUUUCUUUAUGUAAUUGUAAACUAAACCCUUUAAGAUUGAGACCUUGCUUCUCCCUUCUUCUCUCUCAAGACAAACCACCCACGUCCCCACCUGCCUUACUUUUCUUAUAUCUUUUAUUAUGAUUCAUGAGACUAUGAGAUUCACUUCCUCAUACUAUUGUAGUACCAAUCACACUGUUUGAAUUUAUUUUCGAUUUUGCAUCUCUUUGUUAUCUCUUCAUAUGUUGUGCAACAGCAAUCUUCUCUCUUCAUCUCUUUUUUACUCUCUGUCAAUUUUUAUUAUCUUUUCUUCUGUGAUGGAUUUUUGGUUACAAAUAAUAAUGAAGAUAAUGACUCAAUGAAGUAUCCGAAGUAACCCACCCAACAUAACCGUCACCCGUCGAAACCGAAAUCCGAAAAAAACCGAAGCUGCUAACGGACGAAAAUGGGUCUGGAAAGCUCAACCGUGGGUUUGAACGGAUUGGCAUUUUCGGUCCGUUGCCGACCGAAACCGACCGUUUGUCCACCCCUAAUGUACGAAGUGAAAAGAUGUGAUUCAAUUCAAGGGGAUAGAUGACAAAAGGAGGGUAAUGCUCAUUUCAGGAACAUUAAUUGCACGUAUACUUUAUAAAACACAACGUUAUAAAUGAAGAAUGAAUUCUGCAGAGGUCUGUUUGGUAAGGCCAACAAAUUAACUUAUAGCGGAUAAUGGAUAGUUUAUAAAUUUAUAUGUCUAAAAAAAUUCUGUUUGGGAAUAGUUUUUUACCACGAGCUUAUAAUUUAUUUUACAAGUUUAUAAGUUAUUUUUCAGACGUUAUUCGAAGUAGCGUUUGAGUCUGUAGCUUAUAACUUAUUGCUUUUUCUUUCACUUUUACCCUUACUAUUUUAAUCAAAAUCCAUAUUUACCCUUUAUAAUAUUUAAUUACGUAGAAACAAAGGUUUACAUUUAAUUAAACUUCAUAUUUUAAAGUGGCUAAUAAAUUAAUAUCGUAGUUGUGUUUUCCUUAAAAAAAAAAAAAGAGCCUAUAUGGGGCAGGGGUAAUUGUACUAAAAUAAAAUGAAAAUAACUUAAAAAAGUUUUUUUUUAUAUUAUUUUACAUUAAUUAUACUAAAAUAAAAUGAAAAUAAAUACUGAAAUAUAAAAUAAAAGAUAUUCUAAAUAAUAUAUAAAAAGAUAUAUUAAAUUAAUAAAUUUAAAUUAUUAAAUUGUAAAUACUUAAAUAUUAAUGGAUGUUAAUUUUUUUAUGAAAUAAAAAUGUCAUUUUGCGUCAUUUUACAUUUAUCAGCUAAUUAAACCACUAAUUUUACCAAACACUUCAACUAGCUUAUCAACUAUAAGUCAUCAUUCAUCGACUAUAAACUAUAAAUUAUCAACUACCAGUCAUCCGCUAUAAACUAUCAGCUAGCUUAUCAACUAUCCGCUAUUUUUACCAAGCAGAGCGUGUAUGUAAAUUACACAUGAGAGUGCACCAAAAAAUAAAAAUUACACACGAGAAAAAAAUAUGAUCUAUUCAUUAAGGGAAAUACAUGAAUAAUUUUGAUGGAGUGAAUUUUAACGGUUAGAGAUUACACUUUAAUAUGUAAAUAAUUUCCUGAAAACAACAUUUUCUCUGAUCACUGAAAUAAAUAAAAAAAUAUUUCAAUUUUUAAUCAACAUUAUAAAUAAAAUUUAACCAAUUUUGACCUAUUUAAUUAUGUCAUUUCUAAUAUAAACUUCAUUCAAUUAAAACCAUUCAGUUUGAGCAGUUGAACAAGAUUUUCCACUAAAAAUAAAAAGGACAGUUUAGUAAAAUAAUUGCGUUGAACUAAAUUUCUAAAUAAUUGUGAAGAUAGUUUUUUUUUGACAAAGAUAGUUCUUUUUUUUUGUUAUUUACAACUGUUAUUUCUUUUGUUUAUGUAAAAUUUGACAUAUGUAUUCUUUCAUUCAACUAUUUAGUCCCUUGAUCAUAGGGGUUGUUUGAUGAUCAACAUAGAGAGACAAUAUAUGAUAUAUAUAUAUAUAUAUAUAUAUAUAUAUAUAUAUGGGUUUGCUAGAACAAACUCACUAGUUUUUAUGUGGUUGUGUUUUAACAAGCUACACCUUAAGGUGUAUUUAACUACUUUUUAGUUAUAACAUGCUAAAACAUAACUUCUAAAAAAUAAGUGGGUGUAUUCUAGCAAAUGCCUAUAGGAGUUGCUAACAUACACCCACUUAUAUUUUAGAAGGUGUGUUUUAGCUACAUUCACCAUAAGGUGUAUUUAACAACUUUUUAGUUAUAUCUUUGUUAAAACACACCUUAAUAAAAACUAGUGGGUGUAUCCUAACAAAUCCCAUAUAUAUAUAUAUAUAUAUAUAUAUAUAUAUAUAUAUAUAUAUAUAUAUAUAUAUAUAUUAUAUCUUGCUAUAAUAUUUUGUUUGAUGCAACAAUAAAAUUGGAUAAAUUAUUUAUUUUCUCAAUCAUAUCUUGUUUGUCAAAAAAAAUAAUCCUAUCAUGUUAGUCCUUUGUAAUUUUUAUCUAAGUUUAGGUUUGAUUUGUCAAAACAAAAUCAGAUCUAUUUUUUGGAAAUAUUAGAAACACCGUAAAAACUCCCCAUAUCUAUCUUUGCGGAAAUAUAAAUUUUCAUUGAUAUAUAUUUUUUGUUUUCUACAACUAACAGCCGUUAGGCUUAAAGUAAAUACUCUCUCCGUCUCAAAAUAUAAAUAAAUUUUACUUUUUAGGUUUAUUCAAUUAAUGAUGUAUGUAUGGACCACGUACAUCAUUAAUUGAAUGAAUGGACCACAUACAUCAUUAAUUGAAUGAACCUAAAAAGUAAAAUUUGCUUAUAUUUUGAAACGGAGGGAGUAUAAGUUAUACGUUUUAUUUUUUUGUUGUUGUGGAAAUGUAAGUUUUCGUUGGUUUCAGAAAAUCACAAGUAUGGGUUCAGAGUAUAGUGGUUUGUUUCAUAUAAAUUGAAAAUCGUUUUUAAUUUAGUGAGAUGUAGAUUGGUGUGCGACUAGGAGAAAAAUCUAGACUUAUCAUUUUUGAUGCGGAAAGCGAAUCGUCCUAGCUUUAUUUAUUUUUAUCAUUUUUGGUGGUUGAAUCCUUUAUCUUGUUUGGGAAUUUACCUGUAUUAGGGGUCUUGGCACUUUGCCCCAUUUUUUGUUUUAUUACCUUCUUAUUCCGAUGUAAAUUAAUACUCUUUCAACUGAUUUUUUUUUUUGCACUUCUUAUACUGAUUUUUUUACAGGUUUUCAGUAAUAUAUUUCAUGGUUAGUUUGCUUUGUUAUAACUUGAAAACAACAAACAUUUAUAUUUUUAGUUUUAAUCAAAAUCAAAAUUUAAAAAAAAAAUACCGUUCAUAAUUUUCAAAAGUUAACGCAAAAAAAAAAAGAGCGGAAAGUGAUCAUUAGUAAUCCAUAAACAAUGAAAUUAAAAUACAUAAAUGUUUAUCAUCUGUGCAUCAAACACACAUGAUAAAUGUUUAUCCUUUCAUGUUCUCAUCCAACUCAAUUACCAUACCUUCAAAUGAGUUCCUAAAGUGAUCAUGAGUAGUCCAUAAACAUUAAAAUUAAAUACAUAAAUUUAGUCCCUACACUAUCAUGAAAGUCAACAAAUUAGCUCUUAAAUGUUAAAAUUUUGUUGUUGUUGCCAUCUUUGAAAUCAAAUUAUUCUCCAAGCAAUGAUUCAUCACGAUUCAUCAAAUUAAAAUAUAAACAUGUGAGAUAUAUAACUCAUUUUAAGAUAUGCAUGGAAUAAUUGUAGGAUCCAUUUUGAGAUGUUAUGAAAUUCAUCAUUAAAGUAAAAAUUAAAAGAGAUGCUUUAAACUAAAUGACUUUAUUAAAAGAAUUAUGCUAGCAACAUAAUCUCUAGCACACUGUUUUUAACACAUUAAAAUUUAAAUAGAUCCCACUAAAUAUAAGUAUGAAACUUUAAAGUAUAUAAUUUAGUUGGAUCCAUUUAAAUUCUCUUAAACAAUCUUAACUUUUAUACGCCAUUAGAACUAAUUAAAGACCCCAAAGAAAUUGAAAUCAUAAAGAUUGGAAUCCCAAUCGGAAUCACUGACCGUGGGACCAUUAUUAAAAAAAUCCUCCACAUUUGAAAACUCCAAAGUGAAAUUCUCCUUUGGUAAUAAAGAGGAAGAAUCAAUUUUCUCAUUGCUUCUUUCUUCAUCCAUGUUCAACAAACUCUCCCACCAUGUUGUAGAUGAUGGGUCAUUGCCAACACAUGUUUGUGCAUCACCAACAUUUGGGAGUGUAGUCUUGUCACACUCUCUUGGAAUAUUAACAUCUUCUCUUGAAGCCAUUAGUGUUGUUGGAAGACUAUGAUUCUUCUUCAACCAUGGUGAAUGACUUGAAGAAGAAUCAAUGAGAUUUGGGAGUGUAGUCUUGUCACACUCUCUUGGAACAUUGCCAUCUUCACUUGAAAUCACUAGUUUUGUUGCACUACCAUUACUCACGAAAUUAUGUUUCUUCUUCAACCAUAGUGAAUGAGUUGAAAAAGUUCGAGGUCGAGGCUUGAUAACUUCAUGAGAUUUGAUCAUGCUUUCUUUAGAUUUCUCUUUUUCUUCCUUUUCUUCUUUUCUUGGAAUCACUUUUUUGCGCAAAUUUGUGUGCCAAUAAUUCUUCACAUCAUUAGCUGUCCUACCCGGAAGCCUUGCAGCAAUCAAAGACCAUCUAUACAUACAUACAUACAUAUAUUAUACUCUUACUUAGGUCACCAAAAGUUUAACUUGAUAGGUAACCAAAACAAAAUUAACUUGAUAGCUUACUUGUUCCCUAGAAGUUUGUGUAACCUUAGAAUCAUAUCAAUUUCAUCCUCGGCGAAACUUUCUCUGUUGAUUGCGGGGUUUAAAUAAUUCAACCACCUCAAUCUACAACUUUUCCGACACCUAUUCAAACCUGUAUAUAUGUAACAAAUUUUGACAAACUAUACAUAAUAUGAUUAAGCAUGGUUUCUCAUGAGUUACUUCUAGCUAAAUACAAAUACCUGUUCGUUUAGGAACUAAAUGCCAUUUUCCUUCACCAUACUUGUGGAUGCAAGCCUUGAGUAGAUUAUCUUCCUCAUAUGUCCAUGCACCUUUUCUCAAACCUCUAGCCUUCUCCAUAUGCACUUUCCUUAUUUGUCCACAGAAAAAUAUAGGCAUAAUCUCUCUAUAACCCGCAUGAUAUAUAUGUGUGCGCUUUAGAAGAAAGUGUGGGUGAGAGAGACACACACAAAUAUACCGUCUUAUUAUUUACCAGAAAAGGAAAGAGACAAAAAGAGGGUAACCCACAAUUGAUCCUAUUAUAUUCACGUUCGAAUAGUCUUGUUUCCCAUACUCAAAUUCUUUUAAAAAAAUAGGCUAAAUUGCAUUUAUGGUCCCUUAACUAUUUAGGUAGUAUCGUUUUGGUCCUUUAACUAAAAUUCGGUUUAUUUUGGUCCCUUAACUUCUCUCUGUUACACAUUUUGGUCCUUUCCGUUAGUUUUAAUUCAAAAACGUUAGUUCUAAAUCACUUUUUUGGCCAAAUAUUUUGAGGUCUAAAGUCCUAAAUUGGCUUUUGGGCUGACCUAGGGUGUACUCAUUUAUCCUAUGUAGGCACCUUAUAAAUUUGACAUAUGAGGAAGGAGUUUGAAUUAUAUUCGCUUGAAAUUUUCGGCUGCUACUUAAACCUUGAGAAGAUGUUCAGAUAUGAUGAUCUGAAGUUUGUAUCAAAAUAAAUUUGAUACAAGAAGAGAUUGGUUUAAUGUGUUUGCUUCUGAACUAUCAAAUAUAAAGUUAAGGGAUAAAGAAGAUGACACAAAUAUAUUAUAUAGGUUCACCCUAACUAGGCUAGUAUGGUCUCCACUAACUGUGAGAUUUUCCAAUAUGGUGUCUGAGAUACCCUCUCAGAUUCUGCACACUUUCUCUUAUUUUCUAGUCUAACCAACCUUACAAAUUUUGGGCAGCCUCUUCAGACUUUAGCUGCUACACAAUCCACCUUUAUACCCUAAAGAGGAUUAGUGAAGCUUUACAAUUGAUGACUCAAUUGUUCUUGUGAUCUUGAUCUUACAAUAGAUCAAGAGUUGUGUUAUAUGUACAACCAAAAUUGAACAACUAAUGCAACACCCUUUGAUAAUGUGAGAAGCACGCAAAUCAAAAUCAUUAAAAAUAUAUUAAAAAAUUGCAAAAGAGUUGUUGGUUGUACCAAAAUGAUGUUCAUAUAUCAUUACUCAUAGAUCAAUUUGAUCUUAUAAUAAACUUUCUCUUUCUCUUUCAUUUCCCCCAUCUCUCUCUCUCUCUCUCUCUCUCUCUCUCUCUCUCUCUAUAUAUAUAUAUAUAUAUAUAUAUAUAUAUAUAUAUAUAGACACACACCUAUCUAUGUUCAAUCGAUCACACUAAGAUGAAUAUGAACUUUUGUUCUCUAAGUUCAACCUGAUCAGACCCAGGUGAAUCUGAACUUUUUAAAUACACUAAAAGGACAUUUCAAAGAUAUAAUGGAGACUUUGGUGUAUAUGUGAUUUGUAUCUAAUGUUUGAGAAGUGAAUCUCAAGUUUGAAGACGAAUUUAAUAUUUUUCAAGCAAUUUAUACUUGUAUGUUUUUUAUCUUUUUGAGAUCUUGUGAUUAUCUGACAGAAAAGGUUUUUGAUGAGAUACUGCUUUGUUGAUAGUUGUGUUCUUGUUUGAAUAAUACUGCCAUAUAUAGAGCUUCAAUCUUGGUGAGCAAGCUAGGAACUUGCAGUUAGAAACUAACCGUUAUUUUGUCGUUUUUUGCUCUGCCUUGUUGACCAAGAAAAACAUGAAACUAGUUGUUGUGCACCACUUCUUAGCUUUUGAUCUUCUUGUGUACCUUUGAUUCUAUUUAUGUCAUCAUUGUUUUUUGGUUUCUUGUGAAAUUCUCAUUCUUAAAUCCUUUUUGAUCAGCUUCUAAUAUUUGGGUUUUGAAUCUCAUGUAUCCCUUGACUUGCAAUUAUGAUCUACUUAAUUUGCAAUCUCGAGUAUAGUUGAUCUUCAUUCCUUUCUUCAAAAGUUUUGAUCCUAACUUUUGAGAUGAGAAAUCUGUCUGAGGAGAAUUAAUUAUGAAUUUUCUUGUUUAAUUAGUUGUUCUAAAGUGCAUCUGAUACACCUUAAAGUUCAACAUUGCUUGAUAAUCAUGGUUAAUGGUAGUUUGUAAACAACUGAUGAGUCAUUUAAUAUCUAUUUUUAUAUGUUAUUUAGUUUAGUUUUAAAUUUAUUUUAUUUUAUAUUAGUAUUAUUUCUUUUUUGAGAUAGUUUACUACAAAUUGCAUUUUAUUAUAUUUCAGGAACGAAUAUUGGAUGGAUUGAGUCUUGGAGCAAAAGAAAGGGACUUGGAGCUGAUUUAGUACGAAAAUACGAAGAUUCAGAGACAAAAAUAUGUCUCCCCAAAGUCAGAAGCUUGGCACGGCCCGUGCUAGCAUUGGCACGGCAGUGCCACCCUCCAGAGUCACUUUUGCUGUUUUUGCUUAGAUUUUAAGCUACUCUAUUUUAGCCCGUAGUUUCUUGUGGAACAUUCCAGUAAUGUAAUUGCUUAGAUUUUAAGUCGAAUGUAUGCUAUAAAUAGAGUAGCUAUCCAUCACAAAUAUUCAUCUUUUCUUGGAAUUCAAUAAGUGACAAUUGUCUUUCUAAUAAAAAUUCUUUUCUUUUCUUUUACUUUCUUGUCAUUUACUUUUAUGCUUUCUCUCUUCUUCCCCAUGUCUACGAUGAACAUGAGUGAGUAGACUUCUCUUUGUCUUGGGAUUGUUGGAUAAGUCUAAAUGACAUAAUCCUAAUCAAGCCAAGCUCUAAGCGUUAAUCUUAUGUAACCCUAAUUUCUUAUCUAAAUUCACCGCUUUAACAUGGAUCAACCAUUAUCAAACUGUGGAAACGAAAGUGGAGGGUUUGAUAAUUGUUUAUCCAUUAUCUCAAAUAUCAAUUCAUAAAACGAAAGUGGAGCUUUGAUAUUCGAACAAGUGAAUUUAGACAAGGAUUGCAAAGGCAGCGAAAUAGUCUUUGCAAUCUUUGAGACACAUAGUUUCGAUCUUCAAGGGAACUAAUAAUGAUCAAGUCAGCGAAAUAGGCUUGGUUGUUAGAGGAACCAAAAUCUAAUAGUAAUCAAGUCAGCGAAAUAGGCUUGGUUGCUAGAGGAACAAAAGAGAAAUUGUCUUGAGAAAUUAGGUCUAACAUAAAGUUAUAAGCUUAUAGUUUGGUUUGUGAAGGACUUGUUAUUUAGAUGAACCAAUGAUCCCAAGGCUCCUUUUAUUAUAUUAUCUUUCAAUCGCUUGAAAACCCCAACUUACAACUCGUUUCUCUUCUAAUCAUCAUCAAAGGUUAAUUGAAUUAAACUACUCCCUGUCGGAACGAUACUCUUUUCAUACUACUUCAGUAAGACCGUGUACUUGCGAUUUUAUCUCAUCAACAACACUCACACUCCUAAAUCGAACGAGACACAUUUUUAUGAAGAAAGAAACCAGGAAGGGGUUGCACUCAUUACACACAAUACCUCAAAAGGUAAUGUGAACUGCGAAGUAUAGUUGAGUUGGAAUGGAAUAUUAACAUUAUGUGCGAAACAAACCUACGAGUUCCCUUAGCCUCAACAAAUAUUAUUUUUACUCUAUGAUAGAUGAUGUAAGUUUAGUUGGUGGACGCUAUAUAUUUUUUUUAAUAACAAAUGUUAUGUUAUUUAUUAUGUUCAUUUCUCUUUCCUUUUAGUAAAAAACGUCAAGCUUUUUAUUUUUUAUUUUUUAUUAUUUAUUUUUAUUUUAUAAAAUGUCAAACUUUGGCCGAGUGUCGGUGUCUAGAAAUGGGAACCUUAUUUUUAGCGGUUAUAACCGUUAUUUCCUUCUGGGGCUAUAUUUUAACAAUGCACUUUUUUAGAUUUGGUGUUCAGACUUUAGCUUGUACAUUUUUCAGAGUACUGUUUGUACUCAACAGAAGAAACGAUUACUGUCUGUUACAUUAAAAAUAUGUAGAAAUAAUAUUUCUUUCAAGACAUUUUUCUUUUGCUAAUGUAAUGAUGUGUCACAAAUCAUUUUCGUUUUUAAAAUUUUUGUGGGACGUGUUCUUCCUUGAACCACACCCCCCUUUAGAUUUUCACUUGACUUGGAAAUUUGGCCCAUGAUUACGAAUGUUGUGAUUGUGUCUCUUUUGUUUGUUUCACGAAAUAAUAGAAGUGCUCAAGCUCAGAGGAGAAGAAAACGAAUACUACUUUUUCCUUAUUUUGUCUCAUUAAUUUGGCUACAAUCAGAAACAAACACAAAUGCUAUGUUUCAAUGCAGAAAUGGCCUCAGGCGCACGUCUACUUGAAAAAUUAGGGAUAUUUUCUGUUAUAAGGACUUAUUGUCUUUUUUAAUUAUUGUCAAAUAUGAAAAUGUUUAUUUUUAAUUGACACCGGAAAGAGAACCGAACCUGCGGCGUUGUUGUUAGUAGUAGCAUUUCCGUUAAAUUAAUUCUCACUAUCUUUUUUUUUUUUUUUUUGAGAUAAAGGGACACAUCCGAUAUAUAUAAGAAUCAUACACAUAACUGUAAGGUCCAAAAUCAAACUUGAAUGAACGUGUUCAACCUAAUAAUAUCUCAAUGUAAUUUAAAGAAUUGACUGCAUUUAGCGCUCCAAUGUAUCCCAUGAACUAAAUCAUUUGGACUAGCUAUGAAAUCAAGGGGUCGUUUGUUUGGGAAUUUUUUUGAGAAAAAAAUCUACAUUUCAAACCAAAAAAUCACUUUUAUCAUUUUAAUAAUAUUUGUUUUAGAUUAAAAAGGUUGUUUAGAAAAUCUUUCUUAACCUUGAAGUAUAACUAAUUAACUACACCUGCCCUUUAGAUUUUCGUUGAUGUGGUUGAUUAUGUAUCCUUUGUUUGUUUGCAAAAUAAUACUAGAGGUUCUCAAGUUCAGGUGAGGAAAAAAACGAUUGCAUUGGUUUUUCCUUAUCUUGUCCCACUCACUUAGCUGCAUUGAGAAAAACAAAGAAAAUUAAAAGGAAAAAUUGGAGAAAAAAAGGACAAAUCAUUAAAACGUCAAUUUAUCAUUUGACUUUUCCUGCAAAUUGAUCAAUUCUUUUUUUAAUGGUCGUGUUGUGUCUAUCAAACACUUAUUUCUUCACGUGCUCAAAUUUUGUUUCCAUAACCAAUUUUGUGUCCAUAACCAAUUAUUCAGCCCCGUCCAUAACCAAUUUUGUGUCUAUCAAACACUUAUUUAUUUAUUUUAUUUUUUUUGCGUUAAUCCAACCACCGGUUCUUAAGGGAAAGGGCUCCAAUAAUUCGGAGUUCGACCGUGAGGUAAGAGUAAUCUGACCAAUAAUUGUUUAACCUAAAACCAAACUCAGGUUUUCACAAACGAUUCGUCUUUGAUGAAGCUCAUUUACCACUUGAGCUCAAUUGCUUGGUUUAUGAUUUCUUGUUUUACAAGUAAUAGUGAGAAUGAAUGAAAUUGAAAGGAAGAAGAAGGGAAUUUGGAAUAAGGAGGUUAGAGAAGAAUGAGAGAGUUUUUUUUUUUGCAAGUUUGUUAUUUGUUGGUUGAUAAAAAUAUAACAAUACAACUAUAUAUAUACACCUAACUUAUAAUUAGGUAACUAACUCACAAAGUUAAAAACUAACUAAUGUGACAAACUUAUCACUUCUACCUCCACACCAAUAUGAUUAUGGAUUAGUCAUUUAAUACAACCCCUUUAAUCCAUAAUCUUACAAGCUUAUGAGACCUAACUUGUCCCUUAAGUAUAAUUGUUUAUCCUAUCCCUUCUAUCUCCACACCAAUCUAAGUCAGAAUAGCCUACUAGAUCAGCUUUUGUCUCUUUGUUCUCAGUGGGAAAUAACAAUCCUAACUUCAUAGUCCCUUUUAUGUAUUUGAGGAUCCUCUUAGCUGCAAUAAGAUGAGAUUUUCACGGAUCACUGGUGAAGCACGGGUUUGAAUAACGUAUUUUUUAAAAAUUUAGUUUCGAAUGAAAAAUCUUAUAAAUUAUAGAAAAUUAUCGUUCUUUAUAAAUGUAAAAGUCAAAGCUGCGUAAACCAAAAUUUUGCAACAGAGAGUCUAAAGCACUACAUAAAAAAUAACAUAACAACUAUUGUAAUCUCUUAUUCCUUAAAGUUAACCCGAACGCAAAAUUUUGCCCUAGAUUUAACCUAACUUCUUUGCUUAAUUUUACUGUAUUAACCCUAUUUAAUUUAAUCAAAAUGUUAACGUUAAUUGUUAGGGAAAUCAAAAUAAACAAAUCGCUCCUAAUUUUUCUCCUUAAUUUUACUAAACAAAUUAUAUUAACCCUAGAUUUAAUUUAUGCAAAAUGUCAUCUCUUAUUUUUAAAUGUUAACUCGUGACGCAAUAUUAACCCUAGAUUUAACCUAAUUUUUUCGUGUGACUUUACUAUAUUAACCCUAGAUUUAAUUUAUGCAAAAUGUCAUCUCUUAUUUCUAAAUGUUAAUCCUUGACGCAAUAUUAACCCUAGAUUUAACCUAUUUUUUCGCGUGACUUUACUAUAUUAACCCUAGAUUUAAUUUAUGCAAAAUAUCAUCUCUAAUUUUAACCUAAUUUUUCCCUCCACACUUUUGCAUUUAAUGUUUAUCUAAAGUAAAAUAAAAUGAUGUUCCCAAUUAUAUGCUGUUUUUUUGGAAAGGAAUAACCGUUAACCCGUUUCGCUAUACUUAACCUAAUCCCUUACUUAUAAAUGUUAACCCGUCUUUCUAUACUUAACCUAUUUUAUUUCUUAAAGUUAACCCGAACGUAAAAUUUUUCCAUAGAUUAAACCUAACUUCUUUGCUUAAUUUUACUGUAUUAACCCUAUUUAAAUAACCAUGUUUAAUUUAAUCAAAAUGUAAACGUUAAUUGUUAGGGAAAUCAAAAUAAACAAAUCGCUCCUAAUUUUUCUCUUUAAUUUUACUAAACAAAUUAUAUUAACCUUAUAUUUAAUUUAUGCAAAAUGGCAUCUCUUAUUUCUAAAUAUUAACCCGUGACGCAAUAUUAACCCUAGAUUUAACCUAAUUUUUUCGUGACUUUACUAUAUUAACCCUAGAUUUAAUUUAUGCAAAAUGACAUCUCUUAUUUCUAAAUGUUAACCUGUGACGCAAUAUUAACCCUAGAUUUAACCUAUUUUUUCGCGUGACUUUACUAUAUUAACUCUAGAUUUAAUUUAUGCAAAAUGUCAGCUCUAAUUUUAACCUAAUUUUUCCUCCACACUUUUACAUUUAAUGUUUAUCUAAGGUAAAAUAAUAACCUUAGAUAAUCACGGCAUAAAAAAAAUUCUUCGAAAGAAAAGAUGUUAAAACGACGGAACAUUGUGAUUCAUCAUAAAAUAUGUAUGAGCUGAUUUAGAGAUCAUAUAAUCAGUUUAUGAGAUUAGGAAUUGAGAUAAUAUUUAGGAUGAAAACAAUUGGAACAAAAAAGGAACCAAUGAUGUGUGAAUUAUGAUUACAUAUUAUCCAAAAUUAUAAAAAAGAGUGUUGUUGUUGCAGAGUUACCAAAAAAUGAUUGAUACCCAUAUUUACAUUAGAUGAAAUCAAACAAAGAAGUAGCAUAUGUGAUUGAAGAUAAUCUUGUCUAGGAUUAGAGUUAAGGUGAUCUGUUGAAAUUGCGAAUCAUGAACACCAAAUCUUUAUUUGGGAACGACUUGAACGUGCAUAUUUUUAGGUGGCUUCUCUAGAUAAAAAAUUAGCUUAUCACCUACCUCUAACAUAUGUUCUCGGCAAAAGUUGAAUCAUUGACCGCCUAAGUAUUUUUUGUAACUUGCUCUCUUUGCCGUUAUCAAGCGACACUUAUACCUUUUUUGAGUUUGUUUGUCGAUGAGUGUGAUUUUUUUUCCCUGUUCCUUUUAGAAAUGUCCUUGAUAUCUCAUUUGGGAAGUGCUAGGUACAAAACAAAUUGCAGUGUUAAUUAGAUGUUAUAUAUAUAUAAGUACAUUUCUAAAAAUUUUACCAAAGCAUUAUAAAGAUUUGUUGUGGGAAAAGAACAUGUUCUAUUUUGUUCAAGAGAUUUGGAAAACAACAUUAUAAUUAACUUGAAACUAAUUGGAAUUAAUGAAGGAACCAACAAUGUGCAGAUUAACGUUACAUAAUAGUUAGGUUUAUAAAAAAGACUGCAAGUGUCAUAGACUAACCAAAAAGGGAUUUUUGCCAAUAUUUACAUCAGACAAAAUGAAAAGAACAAAUGGCAUCCCAAAGUCAAGAUAGUUUACGAUUACAGUCCAAAGCGAUGCAUCAAAAUAGUAGAAGUUAAAAUAAAACAAAAAACACAGCUCUUCGUCUUUCCUCUGCACACGCUUCUCAUAUAUCAUCCAACUUCUCGAUGCUUACUGCUUUUGUUAAAAGAUUUCAAUAGCCACCUAAAUCACAUACCCCAAUUGAAUGUUUUUUUCUAUUUUCCAUUUUCGUGACCCGUUUCUUAUCAAUUGAUUAAAUUUUUUAAAAAAGGUUAAUUUAAGUUGGAUUUGAGCAAUAGUAGAACUAAACUAUAAUUUCACUCUUAACCAAAUCAGCUUGUGAUUAUUUGUUAGUUUUCUACGAAAUUACUCUAACUAAUUGGAAUUUCUCUCCCAAAGCUAUCAUAAUCUUUCUUUUCUUUGACAAAAUCUUAUUAUGUUUUCUUUCUACAAUUUUGAAGAAAAGACAUCUACACCUUUUUUGAAGAAAAGACAUCUACAAUUUUACUUUUAUUAAAAUCAAAAUUUUAUAAAAAUAAUCAUAUGCAUUAUGCAACACCAAAAAAAAAUUAUACGCAGUAGCGUAACAAAAAACCAGACACACAUAAAGUAUUACUCUAAACACUAAUGUGUGUGUGUGUGUAUUUGUGAGGUUCAAGAAAGAAAAUAAAAAUAUUUGGUAUCAUUAAAUGACAGCGUGAAUAAAAAUAUUUGUGAGGUUGUGAUGAUUAAACGAUAUUGAAAUUAAAUAUAUAAAUGAUAAAAAGAUAAUAAAAUUCCUUUGAAAAAAAUGUAAUAAAAUUAAAUGGGACCUCCUUAAAAAAAAUUAAAUGCAACGGUUAAAAAAAAUUAAAUGGAAGAAAAAAACAUAUUGAAAUAUAAUAUUAAAAAAAUAAAAGAAAAGGUUCCCAACUUGAAUUGAAGAGAGAUACUUGUGAAAUAAAUUGUCGAGAAGUAGUUUUUUGAAGUAGCAUUCAACAAUUUUGGCCAAAGCUCAUUCCAUUCAAAUUUAUGCAUUAAAAAAAGUAUAUUUUUUUAGUAAGUAUUUAAUUGAUAUUGUAUUUGGUCUAACUUCUUCUUAAAAAUGUAAAGAAGUUGAAAAAAAAUAUCGGAUCAAACGAUAUCUUAUUCGCCCACAACGGCAGUGUAGAAGUUUUUAAAAAUAGUUAAAAAUAAAAAAUUGUAAAAUAGUUAAAAGUUUUUAAAAAUAUAAAAAUUUAAAAUUGGUUAAAAAAUAUGGUGAGGUAGCACCAACCAAGCAACACUAAAAAAAUUAUAUGCAUAAGCGUAAAAAAAAAAAACAGACAGACGGAUAUAAAAUAUUAAUCUAAACGUUAAUGUGUGUGUGUAUAUUCGCGAGGUUGAAGAAAGGAAAUAAAAAUAUUUGAAAUCAUUAAAUGACAGCAUGAAUAAAAAUAUUUGUGAGGUUGAGAUGAUUAAACAAUAUUGAAAUUAAAUAUUUAAGUGAUAAAAAGAUAAUAAAUCUUCUUUGAAAAAAAUAUAAAAUUAAAUGGAACCUCCUUAAAAAAUUAAAUGGAACGGUUGAAAAAAAUAAAGUUAAAUGGAAGAAAAAAAACAUAUUGAAAUAUAAUAUUAAAAAAUAAAGAAAAGAUUUCCAGCGUGAGUUGAAAAGAGGUGUUUGUGAAAUAAAUUGUCGAGAAGUAGUUUUUUAAAGUAACAUUCAACAGCUUCUAAUCAAAGCUCAUUCCAUUCAAUUUUAUGCGUUCAAAAAAUGUUCUUUUUUUAGUAAGUACUUAAUUGAUAUUGUGUUUGGCCUAAUUUCUCCUUAAAAAUGUAGAGAAGUUUGAAAAAAGUCGGGUCAAACGAUACCUUAAUCUCCCACAACGGCAAUGUAGAAGCAACUGAAUUUGGGAAAAAAAAUUAAAAAAUAGUUAAAAAUAUAAAAAUUGGAAAAUAAUUAAAAGUUAUUAAAAAUAUAAAAAUUAAAAAAUAAUUAAAAAAAAUUGGUUAGGAUAUUUGUGAGGUUGGGAUGAUUAAACGAUAUUGAAAUUAAAUAUAUAAGUGAUAAAAAGAUAAUACAAUUUCUUUGAAAAAAAGAUUAAAUUAAAUGGAACCUCUUAUAAAAUUAAAUUGAAUGGUUGAAAAAAAUAAAGUUAAAUGGAAGAAAAAAUAUAUUGAAAUAUAAUAUUAAAAAAUAAAGAAAAGGUUCCCAGCGUGAGUUGAAAAGAGGUGUUUGUGAAAUAAAUUGUCGAGAAGUAGUUUUUUAAAGUAACAUUCAACGGCUUCUGGUCAAAGCUCAUUCCAUUCAAUUUUAUGCGUUCAAAAAAUGUUCUUUUUUUAGUAAGUACUUAAUUGAUAUUGUGUUUGACCUAACUUUUCCUCAAAAAUGUUGAGAAGUUUGAAAAAAGUCGGGUCAAACGAUACCUUAAUUUCCCAUAACGGCAAUGUAAAAGCAACUGAAUUUGGGAGAAAAAAAAUUUAAAAAUAGUUAAAAAUAUAAAAAUUGGAAAAUAAUUUUUUUUAUAUUUUUUUUUUGAAAACACGGUAUCCGAUCCAAGAAUCGACUAAUCCGAGGGGACCAAUCCCACCGCCCACUUGUGGGGGUCCCGUUUAAAGCCAGAGCUCUCUGUAUGGACUUAGCCCACCGAAAUUGGCACCAGAGGGAAUCGAACUUGAGACCUCUGGAGGAGCAAACUCCAAGAUCCCAAGCCAACCACUAGGCCAACCCAAAUGGGUUAAAUUGAAAAAUAAUUAAAAGUUAUUAAAAAUAGAAAAAUUAGAAAAUAAUUAAAAAAAUUGGUUAGGAGCAAAAAUGGAAAUUCAUAGGCCAACAUUAAAAAAAAAAACUCAACCAAUUACUAAUUUACCAAAUUGCCCUUUAUAGGGGUAAAAUGGUAAAUUCAAGGGACAUUAAUUUUAAUAUAAGUAUAUAGAAUUCNNNNNNNNNNNNNNNNNNNNNNNNNNNNNNNNNNNNNNNNNNNNNNNNNNNNNNNNNNNNNNNNNNNNNNNNNNNNNNNNNNNNNNNNNNNNNNNNNNNNNNNNNNNNNNNNNNNNNNNNNNNNNNNNNNNNNNNNNNNNNNNNNNNNNNNNNNNNNNNNNNNNNNNNNNNNNNNNNNNNNNNNNNNNNNNNNNNNNNNNNNNNNNNNNNNNNNNNNNNNNNNNNNNNNNNNNNNNNNNNNNNNNNNNNNNNNNNNNNNNNNNNNNNNNNNNNNNNNNNNNNNNNNNNNNNNNNNNNNNNNNNNNNNNNNNNNNNNNNNNNNNNNNNNNNNNNNNNNNNNNNNNNNNNNNNNNNNNNNNNNNNNNNNNNNNNNNNNNNNNNNNNNNNNNNNNNNNNNNNNNNNNNNNNNNNNNNNNNNNNNNNNNNNNNNNNNNNNNNNNNNNNNNNNNNNNNNNNNNNNNNNNNNNNNNNNNNNNNNNNNNNNNNNNNNNNNNNNNNNNNNNNNNNNNNNNNNNNNNNNNNNNNNNNNNNNNNNNNNNNNNNNNNNNNNNNNNNNNNNNNNNNNNNNNNNNNNNNNNNNNNNNNNNNNNNNNNNNNNNNNNNNNNNNNNNNNNNNNNNNNNNNNNNNNNNNNNNNNNNNNNNNNNNNNNNNNNNNNNNNNNNNNNNNNNNNNNNNNNNNNNNNNNNNNNNNNNNNNNNNNNNNNNNNNNNNNNNNNNNNNNNNNNNNNNNNNNNNNNNNNNNNNNNNNNNNNNNNNNNNNNNNNNNNNNNNNNNNNNNNNNNNNNNNNNNNNNNNNNNNNNNNNNNNNNNNNNNNNNNNNNNNNNNNNNNNNNNNNNNNNNNNNNNNNNNNNNNNNNNNNNNNNNNNNNNNNNNNNNNNNNNNNNNNNNNNNNNNNNNNNNNNNNNNNNNNNNNNNNNNNNNNNNNNNNNNNNNNNNNNNNNNNNNNNNNNNNNNNNNNNNNNNNNNNNNNNNNNNNNNNNNNNNNNNNNNNNNNNNNNNNNNNNNNNNNNNNNNNNNNNNNNNNNNNNNNNNNNNNNNNNNNNNNNNNNNNNNNNNNNNNNNNNNNNNNNNNNNNNNNNNNNNNNNNNNNNNNNNNNNNNNNNNNNNNNNNNNNNNNNNNNNNNNNNNNNNNNNNNNNNNNNNNNNNNNNNNNNNNNNNNNNNNNNNNNNNNNNNNNNNNNNNNNNNNNNNNNNNNNNNNNNNNNNNNNNNNNNNNNNNNNNNNNNNNNNNNNNNNNNNNNNNNNNNNNNNNNNNNNNNNNNNNNNNNNNNNNNNNNNNNNNNNNNNNNNNNNNNNNNNNNNNNNNNNNNNNNNNNNNNNNNNNNNNNNNNNNNNNNNNNNNNNNNNNNNNNNNNNNNNNNNNNNNNNNNNNNNNNNNNNNNNNNNNNNNNNNNNNNNNNNNNNNNNNNNNNNNNNNNNNNNNNNNNNNNNNNNNNNNNNNNNNNNNNNNNNNNNNNNNNNNNNNNNNNNNNNNNNNNNNNNNNNNNNNNNNNNNNNNNNNNNNNNNNNNNNNNNNNNNNNNNNNNNNNNNNNNNNNNNNNNNNNNNNNNNNNNNNNNNNNNNNNNNNNNNNNNNNNNNNNNNNNNNNNNNNNNNNNNNNNNNNNNNNNNNNNNNNNNNNNNNNNNNNNNNNNNNNNNNNNNNNNNNNNNNNNNNNNNNNNNNNNNNNNNNNNNNNNNNNNNNNNNNNNNNNNNNNNNNNNNNNNNNNNNNNNNNNNNNNNNNNNNNNNNNNNNNNNNNNNNNNNNNNNNNNNNNNNNNNNNNNNNNNNNNNNNNNNNNNNNNNNNNNNNNNNNNNNNNNNNNNNNNNNNNNNNNNNNNNNNNNNNNNNNNNNNNNNNNNNNNNNNNNNNNNNNNNNNNNNNNNNNNNNNNNNNNNNNNNNNNNNNNNNNNNNNNNNNNNNNNNNNNNNNNNNNNNNNNNNNNNNNNNNNNNNNNNNNNNNNNNNNNNNNNNNNNNNNNNNNNNNNNNNNNNNNNNNNNNNNNNNNNNNNNNNNNNNNNNNNNNNNNNNNNNNNNNNNNNNNNNNNNNNNNNNNNNNNNNNNNNNNNNNNNNNNNNNNNNNNNNNNNNNNNNNNNNNNNNNNNNNNNNNNNNNNNNNNNNNNNNNNNNNNNNNNNNNNNNNNNNNNNNNNNNNNNNNNNNNNNNNNNNNNNNNNNNNNNNNNNNNNNNNNNNNNNNNNNNNNNNNNNNNNNNNNNNNNNNNNNNNNNNNNNNNNNNNNNNNNNNNNNNNNNNNNNNNNNNNNNNNNNNNNNNNNNNNNNNNNNNNNNNNNNNNNNNNNNNNNNNNNNNNNNNNNNNNNNNNNNNNNNNNNNNNNNNNNNNNNNNNNNNNNNNNNNNNNNNNNNNNNNNNNNNNNNNNNNNNNNNNNNNNNNNNNNNNNNNNNNNNNNNNNNNNNNNNNNNNNNNNNNNNNNNNNNNNNNNNNNNNNNNNNNNNNNNNNNNNNNNNNNNNNNNNNNNNNNNNNNNNNNNNNNNNNNNNNNNNNNNNNNNNNNNNNNNNNNNNNNNNNNNNNNNNNNNNNNNNNNNNNNNNNNNNNNNNNNNNNNNNNNNNNNNNNNNNNNNNNNNNNNNNNNNNNNNNNNNNNNNNNNNNNNNNNNNNNNNNNNNNNNNNNNNNNNNNNNNNNNNNNNNNNNNNNNNNNNNNNNNNNNNNNNNNNNNNNNNNNNNNNNNNNNNNNNNNNNNNNNNNNNNNNNNNNNNNNNNNNNNNNNNNNNNNNNNNNNNNNNNNNNNNNNNNNNNNNNNNNNNNNNNNNNNNNNNNNNNNNNNNNNNNNNNNNNNNNNNNNNNNNNNNNNNNNNNNNNNNNNNNNNNNNNNNNNNNNNNNNNNNNNNNNNNNNNNNNNNNNNNNNNNNNNNNNNNNNNNNNNNNNNNNNNNNNNNNNNNNNNNNNNNNNNNNNNNNNNNNNNNNNNNNNNNNNNNNNNNNNNNNNNNNNNNNNNNNNNNNNNNNNNNNNNNNNNNNNNNNNNNNNNNNNNNNNNNNNNNNNNNNNNNNNNNNNNNNNNNNNNNNNNNNNNNNNNNNNNNNNNNNNNNNNNNNNNNNNNNNNNNNNNNNNNNNNNNNNNNNNNNNNNNNNNNNNNNNNNNNNNNNNNNNNNNNNNNNNNNNNNNNNNNNNNNNNNNNNNNNNNNNNNNNNNNNNNNNNNNNNNNNNNNNNNNNNNNNNNNNNNNNNNNNNNNNNNNNNNNNNNNNNNNNNNNNNNNNNNNNNNNNNNNNNNNNNNNNNNNNNNNNNNNNNNNNNNNNNNNNNNNNNNNNNNNNNNNNNNNNNNNNNNNNNNNNNNNNNNNNNNNNNNNNNNNNNNNNNNNNNNNNNNNNNNNNNNNNNNNNNNNNNNNNNNNNNNNNNNNNNNNNNNNNNNNNNNNNNNNNNNNNNNNNNNNNNNNNNNNNNNNNNNNNNNNNNNNNNNNNNNNNNNNNNNNNNNNNNNNNNNNNNNNNNNNNNNNNNNNNNNNNNNNNNNNNNNNNNNNNNNNNNNNNNNNNNNNNNNNNNNNNNNNNNNNNNNNNNNNNNNNNNNNNNNNNNNNNNNNNNNNNNNNNNNNNNNNNNNNNNNNNNNNNNNNNNNNNNNNNNNNNNNNNNNNNNNNNNNNNNNNNNNNNNNNNNNNNNNNNNNNNNNNNNNNNNNNNNNNNNNNNNNNNNNNNNNNNNNNNNNNNNNNNNNNNNNNNNNNNNNNNNNNNNNNNNNNNNNNNNNNNNNNNNNNNNNNNNNNNNNNNNNNNNNNNNNNNNNNNNNNNNNNNNNNNNNNNNNNNNNNNNNNNNNNNNNNNNNNNNNNNNNNNNNNNNNNNNNNNNNNNNNNNNNNNNNNNNNNNNNNNNNNNNNNNNNNNNNNNNNNNNNNNNNNNNNNNNNNNNNNNNNNNNNNNNNNNNNNNNNNNNNNNNNNNNNNNNNNNNNNNNNNNNNNNNNNNNNNNNNNNNNNNNNNNNNNNNNNNNNNNNNNNNNNNNNNNNNNNNNNNNNNNNNNNNNNNNNNNNNNNNNNNNNNNNNNNNNNNNNNNNNNNNNNNNNNNNNNNNNNNNNNNNNNNNNNNNNNNNNNNNNNNNNNNNNNNNNNNNNNNNNNNNNNNNNNNNNNNNNNNNNNNNNNNNNNNNNNNNNNNNNNNNNNNNNNNNNNNNNNNNNNNNNNNNNNNNNNNNNNNNNNNNNNNNNNNNNNNNNNNNNNNNNNNNNNNNNNNNNNNNNNNNNNNNNNNNNNNNNNNNNNNNNNNNNNNNNNNNNNNNNNNNNNNNNNNNNNNNNNNNNNNNNNNNNNNNNNNNNNNNNNNNNNNNNNNNNNNNNNNNNNNNNNNNNNNNNNNNNNNNNNNNNNNNNNNNNNNNNNNNNNNNNNNNNNNNNNNNNNNNNNNNNNNNNNNNNNNNNNNNNNNNNNNNNNNNNNNNNNNNNNNNNNNNNNNNNNNNNNNNNNNNNNNNNNNNNNNNNNNNNNNNNNNNNNNNNNNNNNNNNNNNNNNNNNNNNNNNNNNNNNNNNNNNNNNNNNNNNNNNNNNNNNNNNNNNNNNNNNNNNNNNNNNNNNNNNNNNNNNNNNNNNNNNNNNNNNNNNNNNNNNNNNNNNNNNNNNNNNNNNNNNNNNNNNNNNNNNNNNNNNNNNNNNNNNNNNNNNNNNNNNNNNNNNNNNNNNNNNNNNNNNNNNNNNNNNNNNNNNNNNNNNNNNNNNNNNNNNNNNNNNNNNNNNNNNNNNNNNNNNNNNNNNNNNNNNNNNNNNNNNNNNNNNNNNNNNNNNNNNNNNNNNNNNNNNNNNNNNNNNNNNNNNNNNNNNNNNNNNNNNNNNNNNNNNNNNNNNNNNNNNNNNNNNNNNNNNNNNNNNNNNNNNNNNNNNNNNNNNNNNNNNNNNNNNNNNNNNNNNNNNNNNNNNNNNNNNNNNNNNNNNNNNNNNNNNNNNNNNNNNNNNNNNNNNNNNNNNNNNNNNNNNNNNNNNNNNNNNNNNNNNNNNNNNNNNNNNNNNNNNNNNNNNNNNNNNNNNNNNNNNNNNNNNNNNNNNNNNNNNNNNNNNNNNNNNNNNNNNNNNNNNNNNNNNNAAGCUUUUUAUUUUUUAUUUUUUAUUAUUUAUUUUUAUUUUAUAAAAUGUCAAACUUUGACCGAGUGUCGGUGUCUAGAAAUGGGAACCUUAAUUUUAGCGGUUAUAACCGUUAUUUCCUUCUGGGGCUAUAUUUUAACAAUGCACUUUUUUAGAUUUGGUGUUCAGACUUUAGCUUGUACAUUUUUCAGAGUACUGUUUGUACUCAACAGAAGAAACGAUUACUGUCUUUUACAUUAAAAAUAUGUAGAAAUAAUAUUUCUUUCAAGACAUUUUUCUUUUGCUAAUGUAAUGAUGUGUCACAAAUCAUUUUCGUUUUUAAAAUUUUUGUGGGACGUGUUCUUCCUUGAACCACACCCCCCUUUAGAUUUUCACUUGACUUGGAAAUUUGGCCCAUGAUUACGAAUGUUGUGAUUGUGUCUCUUUUGUUUGUUUCACGAAAUAAUAGAAGUGCUCAAGCUCAGAGGAGAAGAAAACGAAUACUACUUUUUCCUUAUUUUGUCUCAUUAAUUUGGCUACAAUCAGAAACAAACACAAAUGCUAUGUUUCAAUGCAGAAAUGGCCUCAGGCGCACGUCUACUUGAAAAAUUAGGGAUAUUUUCUGUUAUAAGGACUUAUUGUCUUUUUUAAUUAUUGUCAAAUAUGAAAAUGUUUAUUUUUAAUUGACACCGGAAAGAGAACCGAACCUGCGGCGUUGUGAUAAAUUUGCGUUACGGUUUGUUGUUAGUAGUAGCAUUUCCGUUAAAUUAAUUCUCACUAUCUUUUUUUUUUUUUUUUUUUUGAGAUAAAGAGACACAUCCGAUAUAUAUAAGAAUCAUACACAUAACUGUAAGGUCCAAAAUCAAACUUGAAUGAACGUGUUCAACCUAAUAAUAUCUCAAUAUAAUUUAAAGAAUUGAUUGCAUUUAGCGCUCCAAUGUAUCCCAUGAACUAAAUCAUUUGGACUAGCUAUGAAAUCAAGGGGUCGUUUGUUCGGGAAUUUUUUUGAGAAAAAAAUCUACAUUUCAAACCAAAAAAUCACUUUUAUCAUUUUAAUAAUAUUUGUUUUAGAUUAAAAAGGUUGUUUAGAAAAUCUUUCUUAACCUUGAAGUAUAACUAAUUAACUACACCUGCCCUUUAGAUUUUCGUUGAUGUGGUUGAUUAUGUAUCCUUUGUUUGUUUGCAAAAUAAUACUAGAGGUUCUCAAGUUCAGGUGAGGAAAAAAACGAUUGCAUUGGUUUUUCCUUAUCUUGUCCCACUCACUUAGCUGCAUUGAGAAAAACAAAGAAAAUUAAAAGGAAAAAUUGGAGAAAAAAAGGACAAAUCAUUAAAACGUCAAUUUAUCAUUUGACUUUUCCUGCAAAUUGAUCAAUUCUUUUUUUAAUGGUCGUGUUGUGUCUAUCAAACACUUAUUUCUUCACGUUCUCAAAUUUUGUUUCCAUAACCAAUUUUGUGUCCAUAACCAAUUAUUCAGCUCCGUCCAUUAGUUGUCUUUUUUUUUUUUUUUUUCCUUUUCUUGUAAGCUUUAUUUAAUUUUUUUUUUUUUUUUUUGUCAUUAAUCCAACCUCCGGUUCUUAAGGGAAAGGGCUCCAAUAAUUCGGAGUUCGACCGUGAGGUAAGAGUAAUAUGACCAAUAAUUGUUUAACCUAAAACCAAACUCAAGUUCUCACAAACGAUUCGUCUUUGAUGAAGUUUAUUUACCACUUGAGCUCAAUUGUUUGGUUUAUGAUUUCUUGUUUUACAAGUAAUAGUGAGAAUGAAUGAAAUUGAAAGGAAGAAGAAGGGAAUUUGGAAUAAGGAGGUUAGAGAAGAAUGAGAGAGUUUUUUUUUUGCAAGUUUGUUAUUUGUUGGUUGAUAAAAAUAUAACAAUACAACUAUUUAUAUACACCUAACUUUAUAAUUAGGUAACUAACUCACAAAGUUAAAAACUAACUAAUGUGACAAACUUAUCACUUCUAUCUCCACACCAAUAUGAUUAUGGAUUAGUCAUUUAAUACAACCCCUUUAAUCCACAAUCUUACAAGCUUAUGAGACUAACUUGUCCCUAAGUAUAAUUGUUUAUCCUAUCCCUUCUAUCUCCACACCAAUCUAAGUCAGAAUAGACUACUAGAUCAGCUUUUGUCUCUUUGUUCUCUCUCAGUGGGAAAUAACAAUCCUAACUUCAUAGUCCCUUUUAUGUAUUUGAGGAUCCUCUUAGCUGCAAUAAGAUUAGAUUUUCACGGAUCAUUCAUGUAUCUAUUGAUGAUACUUACUGCAAAAUAAUUUUUUAAUUCUCGACGAGUGUUUGCUUAGGUGCUCUGUGUUAUUCUUGAUUUAUGUAUUAUUUCUAGGCCACACUUUCAUAUCAUAAGAUAUGAUAUGUAUCUGAAUUCAAUCUUUUUAAUAAGUGUAGUUUUUUCCCUUAAAAGAGAGGAGUUCUAUUAUACACCCCUUUCGUUUAUGAGAAAGCUAAAGUGUACACUCUUGAGGCGAUUAAACCAUUUAAAUAAAAGACUUCUUGUAAUCUAGAGGAGGGGAGAGAAUAGAUUUUGCACGAAAAUCAAAAUUGCUUAGCAAGAAUCAGAUAUUUAACAAAGUAGAUUUUUCUCUGGAAAAAAAAAUUAUACAAAAGAUACAAUUUUUUUGUUGAUGUACAAAAAACAAUUUUUUCUCUAUAUGAAAUCGCUAAUUUUCUGCACCCUUUUGAAAAGCAAGAAUUUUUAGGAAUAGUUCUAAGUGUUUAACGGUGUAAAAGUUUUCUCAAUAAUAGAAAGAAAAAAAAAAUUAGAUUCAAUAGUUAAAUUAAAUUGUUUAAAUUAAAGAGUUUAGGGUUUGAGAAGAUUACACCAAGAUUUAUACUGAUUUAGUUACUUUUCCCCUGCUCAUGGCCUAGCUCAAUUCUAUGACAAUGUGUGAUAGAGUUUAUUCCAUUAUUCAUUAUUUUGUAUGAAUGUAUGAUUAUAAGAUAUUUCCUUGAGUCUAUGUUUAUAACCUAUUUUGAAUCAAUCGUCGUGGUAAUCAAGAAAGCCCACAAAUUUGGAUCCACAUAAUUUGGUUUUGCUCUUCAACUUGAGUAGCUACAACCUCAACUUUUUAAGCAUUUAAACUCCUUGAAUUUUCCUUUAAUUGAUUUGAGAUUUUAUCACUGCUAGCUUGAAGAGUCUUCAACCUAAAAACCCCAUAAUCCCCUUCUAAGGUGAAAGAGCCAAAAUCCUUUUCCUUCAAUAUUUAAUAAUUUUCUUCAAUCCCCUUUAAUUCAUAUGUUUGAACACUCAUUGGUACAAAGAAAUUAUAUGUCAAUCCCAUACAAAUUUGACUCACAUAGAAGGAUCUAAGAAUUUGACUCAAAAAUUGUAUUUGGGGGUUUGGGUGGUUAUGGAGGAUUUAUAUGAAUUUUUUCAAAUUCAAUCUACGUUGUUAUAAUAUUCUUAAAAUUAAAAAUAUAUUAAUCAUAAGUAUUAGUUUAUCAUUCUCUAAAAAACUGUUCUUUUAAAAAAUUUGAAUUUUUUGUCCAUUUUUCUAUAUAUUUCCAACCCCACAAAGCCCUCUCAUCCCUUCCCCUCCAAACUCCCAAACAAAGCCUACAUGUUUAAUCAAAUCAUAGAUCUCUGAUUGACAUUCAUAAACCAAUUUUAACUGGGUGAUUCAAAUCAUCUUAAGUAUGACAUGAGUGAAUAUUUUCACCAAUAUGAUUCAAAUCAACCUUUAUGGCGAUUCAAACAACCUCUCGCAUAUUUGAAUCACCCUUCCAAAUAUAAUUCAAAUUAUGAAAUCCAAAAUGACGUAAAAAAUUAUUUCAAUGCAUGUUUGAAAAGAAAAAAGAAUCGCAAAUGUCAAAAUGACUUAAAAACUUAUUUUAAUGCAUGUUUGAAAAACAAUUUUCUUUUAUCAUAAGACUCUUCGUUUUUCGUUAGGCUUAAGGAGGCAUAUUUCCUAGUGUUAUAUCCAUAGUGUGUCCAUGGAUUUUAGUUGAACCGUAUAACAUAUUCAACCAAACCAACUCAAAUUGUUUAUUUUUUAUUUUUUAUUUUGGAACCUGUUCAACUCUAAUUUCAAUUGGAACCAACUUGGUUAAACCGAAGUGGCUUAGUUAGGGUUCCAUGUUUAUCAUUCUAAAUUCACAAAGUCGACUAGCUCAAACAAAUAGAGAUGUUUUAUUUUAGUUUUGUAAAAUUAAUUUAAAACUUUUAUGUGUUUUCUAGAAGUGUUUUAUUUUAGUUCUAGUGUUAAAAUCUUUAAGGGUAUAAUUGAUAUGAUCCAUGUGUUGAAACUUUCAUGAAAUAAAAUGUGAUUUAAUUAAAUAGAAUUGUUAAUUUUUUUAAAAUCAUGUCAUAUAUAUGACCCAACCUAAACUCACACACUCAUCACCAAAUUGAAUUGGUUCAUUUUAACAAGAAAAAUAGAGAUUAUGGUUCAACCUAAACUUAACAAAUUUGACUAGACCAGAAAAUAAAUUUGACUAGACCACCAGAAAAUAAAUUUGACCAAAAUCGACUCAAUCCGACCAGUUAACCCAAAUUCUACUACAACUUGGGAUGCACUUUUGGGCAUGAUUGCCAGCAAAAAAGCAUAAAUUUUAAUUUUGAUAGUCAUACCAGUACACUUUUCAUUCAUACCUCCAUAUAUUUUCUUCCAAAAAUGGUUCACAUUUUUAUCUUCUUUUCAAAUAUAGUCUACUUUAUAUAAAAAACAAUGGUUUCACCGUUUAUAGAUUUAAAAUCAUAAAUAGGUAUAUAGUUAGCCUUUUAUACCCUAAAAUACAUCAAAUUACAUUUGUUUCAUUUUUUUUUUUUACUAAACAAAAUAUAAUUGUUACAUAUAAUCAUAACAAAUUAGUAAAAUGAUGUAUUUUUACACUAUAUUAAAUUUUAAAUUUAUAACGUAAGUACAUAUGUAUUGUUUGAAAUUUAUGCUUAGUCUUUUAUACCAUAAAUACAUAAAAUUAUGGUUUUUGAAUAUAAUUAUAACAAAUUGCAAAUGAUGUAAGAAAAAUGUAACAUGUCUUCUAGGGCACAUGUUAGAGACACUUAAAAUAUAAACAUUGUUAUAUAAAGAUGUGCUCUUAACAAGACUAAUGUAAAAUUGGAAACCAGUACACUCCUUGUGCAGGGGAAGUAAAGUUGUUUGUCUAUAUAUUGAAAAAGGCUGUAUAUUUUACUGAUGUACAAAAGAAUGAUAUACAAUUACAUUUAUAGCACCUGAGACAUUAAACUGGUGCAAAAAUUAGCCUAAUUAUAAGUGUUGACCGCUAGAGCUAUCAGAGGAAAUAAUACAAAGUUAAUAGUAACAGCUGACUGGAAUGAUCUAAAAAAUUAAUAGCAUAUCACAAAAUUAAUAUUACAUCAUUCUCCUUGAUUAUAUGCUGACCAGAAAAGUCAAGAUACUUGCUUAUUCUGCAAUACUCCCCCUCAAGUUGGAGUGUGAGGAUAAUGAACACCCAACUUGAAUGUCAACUCUUGAAAUUGUUUUGCACCUAGUGCCUUGGUAAAAAUAUCUGCCUGUUGUUUCUUGGUGGGAACAUAACUGGUAGAAAUUGUGCCUUCCUGCAAAUGUGUGCGAAUGAAAUGGCAAUCCACUUCUAUGUGCUUUGUACGUUCAUGAUACACUGGAUUAGCUGCAAGAUGCAUGGCAGCUUGAUUGUCACAGAGUAACACAGUCGGUGAAUCGUAGUGAACUUGUAAACUGGAUAAUAGGCUUCUUAACCAAAUGACUUCGCUGACAGCUUGCCCCAUGGCUCUAUAUUCUGCUUCACUUGAUGACUUUGACACUGUGGACUGUUUUUUAGUUUUCCAUGAUAUAGGAGCUGAUCCUAACUUCAUUAGAUAUCCUGAUGUUGAUCUUCGAGUUAGUGGACAUGAUGCCCAAUCUGAAUCACAAUAGGCCACCAAUUGAAGAUCAUUUUCUUUUGGCAAGAUGAUACCUUGCCCUGGUGAAGAUUUGAGAUAUCGUAGCACUCGCAUGGCUGCAUCCCAAUGAGUUUGUUAUGGGGACUGCAUGAACUGACUUAAUAUGUGGACUGAAUAAGUAAUCUCUGGAUGCAUUAUUGUCAAGUAAAUCAAACGACUAAUGAGCCUUCGGUAGCGAGAGGGAUCUGAACAAGUCGGUCCUUUGUCUAGAACUAACUUUUGAUUCUGCUCCAUUGGGAAAGUAGAGGGUUUGCAAUCAAGCAUCUUACAUUCAUCCAAAAUGUCUAGCGUGUAUUUUCGCUGACACAUAAACAACCCAUUUGCUCCUCGUGCGAGUUCUAGACCUAGAAAAUAUUUCAGAGGCCCAAGGUCUUUCAUAUGAAAACACUGUUUCAAGUAUUGUUUGAAGUUGGUGAUUGUGUCAGUGUCAUUACCCGCAAUCACAAGGUCAUCAACAUAAAUUAAUACUGCCAUAAAUAUGCUCUCUCUUGAAUAAGUGAAAAGACUAUGGUCUGCAUGUGAUUCUUAAAAACCAUAUUCUAUGAGUGCUUGGGAGAGUUUUAAGUACCAAUUUCGUGAGGCCUACUUCAAUCCGUACAAAGAUUUCCUCAACCGGCAAACCAUCCCUUCUUUAGGAGUAUUAUAACCAUUUAGUGCCUGCAUAUAAACUUCUUCCUCUAGAUCUCCAUGUAGAAAGGCAUUGCUAACAUCCAUUUGGUGUAAUUCCCAUCCUUUCGCUACAGCAACAGUAAGAAGGCAACGAAGUCCUCUCCUUCUACCUGUGUGUACCCUUUCGCCACAAGGCGAGCCUUAUAUUUUUCGAUUUCUCCUGAGGCCUUGUACUUUAUCUUGUAGACCCAUCUGCAUCCCACUAUUUUCUUUUCCUUCUGGUGGUAAUGUCAGGUCCCAAGUUCCAUUCUCCUCGAGAGCUUUAAGUUCUACUGUCAUGGCCUUUUGCCAUUCAGGUUUCUUCAUGGCUUCUUGAUAGCUUUGCGGUUCUUCAUUGUUAUGAAUUGAUGCAAGAUAUGCUUGAUGCCUGCGAGAAUAGCAAUCAUUAUUGAUGAAGUUAGUGAUAGGGUAGACUUUACCUGAGGAGUGUGAAUGAGUCGGGGCCAUGCUCAUGGGGUUCUUGUGCGCUGCAUGACAAUAGUAGUCUCCAAGAUAGGCAGGUGGUUUUCGUGUGCGUGGUGGAAGAUCUGUCUCCCCCUCAUUUUGCAUUUCAAUCUCCAUUGGAUUGAUUUCCCCUUCAUUCUGAUUGUCAAACUCAGCUGCAUCUAUGCCCCCUUCCUGAUUCUCUGAGUUCUCAUUAUUCAUUUCUUCAUUAAGGUUGUUUUCCUCUUGUUGUUCAGAGACAUUUGGAAAAACUACACUUGGAAAUUCUGCUGUCACAUCUUUUUCGUGAACAACAUAUGGCAGAAUAUGUUCAUAAAAUACCACAUCACGUGAAAUGGAGAACUCUCUUGUCUUAGGAUUGUAGACUUUCCAACCUUUCUGUCCUUGUGGAUAGCCUACAAAGAUACACCUUUCUGCUCUUGGAUCAAAUUUGUCCCUAAGUUUCGAAGCUGUACUUACAUAACAAAGGCAACCAAAUACUUUCAAGUGAUCAUAAGUUGGUGACUUUCCAAAAAGUACCUCAUAUGGCGUGAUACCUUUAUUUGCCACAGUAGGGGUUAUGUUUAUAAUAUGAGUUGCAGCAAGUACGCAUUCUCCCCAAAAGCGAAUGGGAAGAUUUGCUUGAAACCUUAGAGCCCUUGCAAUAUUUAGAAUGUGUCUGUGUUUCCGUUCUACACGAGCAUUUUGUUGAGGUGUGGCUACACAUGAUGUGUCAUGGAGUAUUCCUUUUUGGCUGAAGAAUUUUUUAAUACCAAGAUUGGUGAAUUCUGUCUCAUUAUCACUACGUACUCUUUUAAUUCUAACAUUAAAUUGUGUUUCUAUCAUGUUGUAGAAACUUAUCAAGAUGUCAAUAGUUUGGGUUUUGUGUUUCAUCAAGUAAACCCAAGUCCCGCGAUUAUGAUCAUCCACUAAAGUAAGAAAAUAAUGAGAUCCAUUAUGUGAAGCAGUAUUAUAUCUUCCCCACAAAUCACAAUGUACUAAAUCAAAAGGUCUCUCAGCUUUAUUGAUACUAUGAGGAAAAGGAAGUCUAUGUUGCUUUGACUUGUGACAUAUGUCACAACAAUCUAAAUUAUUGAAAUUAAAACUACAAUUGAUAAAACUAGAGAGACGCUGCAGAGACUGUGUUGAGGGGUGUCCCAUUCUGUAGUGCCAAAGAGUGGUAUCAUCUUUCUUACUUGUUGUAAAAGCAGAUCCUUGCAUCAUCCUUUUGUACACAUAAACCCCAUUACGCAUGCUACCCGAUCCAAUCGUCCUCCUCGUGGCUAGGUCCUGUAUCACACAAGAAUCGGAUUGGUGAGUUAUCAUGCAAUUUAAAUCAUGUGUCAACUUAUGUAUAGAGAUUAAAUUGCAGCAAAAAUCGGGCACAAUCAACACAUUAGAUAGCUUGAUAUUUCUAUCAAGUUUGAGAUUUCUAGCUCUUUCUACCAGCACAGUAUUUCCCGUGGGAACUGUGAUAUAGAAAGGUGUCUCAAGUGAUUGUAUUGCCUCUAAAAUUGAGGAAAAAGGAGUCAUGUGAUGAGAUGCGCCACUGUCCAAGAUCCAUUGGAUCUCUUUAUUACCAGCCAUGCUAGAGAGGGAUGAUCCCGCAUUCUUCAUUCUCAUUCCGUGCAGGGCGUGACCUUUAUUAACCACAUUUUCAUCAUUUUUGCCCCGAUCCUCAUCAACAUGAGUUGUAUAUGCAGCAAAAUUCCCUCCUGAUUUAUUGUUCCAACGGUUUGUUCUACGAGCAUCCCAGUUGGAAGGAUAUCCGAUUAUCUCAAAACACUUGGACUUAGGAUGUCCAACCUUUCCACAAUGAUCGCACUUGGGCUUGGGUCCAUCUCUUUUCUGCUUGUUUUCUGAAUAUGAGUGGAAGGCUGUACCUGGAUCCAUCUUAUUAUUCCCUUUCUCCUUCUCCACAGGGAAGUGUGCUUCUUCUCUCAAGACGUGAUUGAAAGCGCGUCUGAGUGAAGGUAAUGGUUCUACAUUCAGAAUGGAGGUUUUGACAUGUCCGUAUUUUUCAUUAUCCAGACUUCCAAGGAAAAGAUGGAGACGUUGUUCUUCUUCCAUUCGCAUCAAUUCCUUUGAUGCUCCACAAGUGCAUUCGGGCAGAGGUUGUAAUUCACUCAACUCAUCAAGCAAACUCUUGAACUGAGUGUAAAAUGCUGUUACACUCAACUCAUCAUCCUCCUGCAUAAGACACAGAUUGCGCCAUAAUUGAUGGAUCCUUGGUGUGUUGGUUUGAGCAAAACGCUCUUCGAGAUCGAGCCAGAUGUCCCUCGCUGUUGAUGCGUGUGAAAUGCUGCUAUGCAGUACCGGAUCAGUGGCAUUGAUGAUCCAUGCUGUUACCAUUGAAUCUGCUCUCUCCCAAUUGACAUAAUUGGUUGUUUUCAUCCCUGGUUUCGUGAUUGUUCCAUCGAUGAAACCGAGCUUCAAUUUUGCUUGGAGCGCCGUUUUCAUCGAUCGUGACCACGUUCUGUAGUUUUCUCCAUUUAGAACAGCCGCCACUAAUGGAGUUCCUGGAUUAUCUGAGGAACCAAGAUAGUAUGGUGAGCUUGAGUAAAUGGCAUGUGAUUUUUUACCUUUAUCGGAGGCAUGAUUUUUCUUCCCCGAAUUUUCUUCCUCAGAACUGUAAUGCUCUGAUUCCUCAGAACUGUCCCGCUCUGAUGCCAUAUUGAAAAAGACUGUAUAUUUUACUGAUGUACAAAAGAAUGAUAUACAAUUACAUUUAUAGCACCUGAGACAUUAAACUGGUGCAAAAAUUAGCCUAAUUAUAAGUGUUGACCGCUAGAGCUAUCAGAGGAAAUAAUACAAAGUUAAUAGUAAUAGCUGGCUGGAAUGAUCUAAAAAAUUAAUAGCAUAUAACAAAAUUAAUAUCACAUCAUUCUCCUUGAUUAUAUGCUGACCAGAAAAGUCAAGAUACUUGCUUAUUCUGCAAUACUAUAUAAUUUCAUUUUAUCUUCAUAAAAAAAGAAGUUGGAAAACAUGGGGUACAAUAACAAAUGUUUCUCAAAUGCAUCUUGUUUUGAUUUUUCUUCGCUGAUUUCUCCUUCCCCCUUAGUUUUAGAUCAAUGCUCACCACCUAUGUUUUAGGUUAGUGCAAUGGAACAUACGUACCCUUGGCUUGAAGCGAAAAACUAAUAAUAGAUACUUAAUGUAACACCCCGUUUUCCCAACAUCAAAAUUUCUUUAAAAAAACAUAGCAUUUAUCAGAGUAGCAUCAUAAACAACGGGAUAUCACAUAUAACAUAAUCCAAGACGGUUAAAUAAUGAUUUAACAUAAUAUCCUUAACAUUGCAGCGGAAUUUAGUUCGUAAUCCAUAAUCCGGUUUUGGCACGCAGGCCUCAUCAUAAUUCUUAAAAGAAAUCAGUUCAUAAUCAUAAAUAGCAUAAAAGUCACGUAAUAGAAUGAAGCAUGCAUAAUUCAUAAAGCCCCAUCCCGUUACGUAUCAGAGCGACCUAGAAGACACAGUGAAGGCAAGGCCACUCACGACGGAAACAGCACACUAAGCUCGGUCACCUGCACGUUACCCACGGUCGAGGUAACAUUCAAACAGAAGGGGUGAGAUUUCAUAACAGAUUAACAUUAAACAAUGCAAUUAAGAAUCAUAAGUUAACAACAUGGUCAUUUCAUUAAUUAACUUUGCAUAAUUGCUAAACUUUUAACACGUAAUCGUAUAUCCAUUAAUUAGGGAUAACAUAACAUAAUCAAUAAGCACGUAUCACGUAAUCACAUAUUCAAUCAUUAUCAACAAGGCAUCUUAAUCAUGACAAUGUGACAAUGCUCCUAGACUCCAUAUAUGCAUGUGGUACCAAUCGUCAUCAUAAGUAUUAAUAUACUUUAAUCGUGCGGAGGACAAAGCUCCUAUAAAACGUGCGGAGGACAAAGCUCCUAAUUUUCGUGGUGAGGACAAAGCUCAAUGUUAUGCUAUGCAUGGACACAUAUGAACAAAACAACGUAAUCGACUUAUCAACAUGCAUCCAAUAAUUUGGAGCUAAACUUCAUCAUAUACUUAUGCACUUAGUUAAACAACGGAAGCAGCAUAAACAGAUCACAUAAACAAAAUGAUAUCAUUAUAUCAAUAGCACAUAAAUUACAUCAUUAUCAAGUUUUCAUAUCUUGCAUGAAUGUACAAUACAUUAGUUCAUGUCCAUUUAAUAUCAACAUAACUUAAACAACUCUACAGGCUGCAUUAAACGUCUCCACUAGGUCUCAACACCGCUUAGGGGUUCACUCUUGAUCAACACAUGCGACACAGAUCGCACAACCACUCAAGCAACUACAUUCUGGUUGUACUCGCGAGGCGAGAGUACUUACUCGCCAUGGCGAGUAACACUAAUCUCCCAAACUGAUGUUGUUCUGGGUUCAAUCCUGUCCUAAAUCAUUCCUAAUCAUCUCUAGGUAUGUCUAGGCACUUAAAGGCACUCAAGGUCCAACUAAAAGGUCAAAAAUACAAAAUAUGACAUGCACUCUGCCUGAGCUCGCGAGGCGAGAAAGGGUUGCUCGCCAUGGCGAGUUGGACCAAACAACUCGCGAGGCGAAGGAAAGGGGCUCGCGUGGCGAGCGAUGAAGUCCAUCACUCGCGAGGCGAGGUUCAUCACUCGCUGUGGCGAGCGAUGAACAGAAGCACGGGCAGACUAGGGUUUUUCUCAAAAAUCCAUCACACAACAUGGUUCAAAGCCUAAUUUUGAUUCCAGAAUUCAUCCUAAACAUAUUCUAAGGUUAAAGGACGGUUUCUACAUCAAUCUAAACAAGUUUUACCGUUUGAUCAUCAAUUUUUAGGGUUUUAACCUAAUUCCAAAACUUUUCUAAAUCAAUCCUAACUUUGUCAACUAAUCAUCAGAAUUACAGAGGUUAAUGCUACUGAGUUAUUAGUCCCACCCUUACCUGGUUAUGAAGAAAAUCGCAGCCCUCUUGGUCUCUUGCUCCUCUCUAAGCUUUUUCUCCCUUUUCCAAAAGUUUUCACGUACAAUAAGUUUCUAAAAUAUUAGGUCUUCUCCUAUUUAUAUCUUUUUCUAAUUACUUAUUUUAUCUCACUUUCUCCCCCAAAACUAUCUAAAAUAUCAAAACAACCCUCAACUAAAUAUUUUAUAUUAUUUUCAAAUCUUUAUUUUAUUUAACAAUAAAAUAUAUUCUCUAAUCUUAUCAAAUUCUCCAAAACUCAUAACUUAACACGUCAUCAAUCAAAUCAUCAAAAUCACCACAAAUCAUCAAAAUAUAUCAAAAUCAUGUAUAUAUUAUAUAAUUAUAAUAUAAUUGCCUAAACUCGAUUAAAUAACGAUUAAACGAAAGUAGGGCGGUUACACUUAACUUGAACAAGAAAUUGAUCUCAUUAGAAUCCAGACUGUGGAGCGUGGGCGGAUCCACUGUAGAAAUAUGGUGCGGCAAGACCAGAUUACUUUCCCAUUUUUUUUCUUCCAUAUACUUGACUUAAAUAAUUAUAUAUAUAAUAUAAGUCGUUCACAUAUCACAUGUUUCUCUCUUGGCCGAGCAUUUCUUAGGGGGGGGGAAUCGAACCUGUAACACCAUGUUAAAAUGCUCUCAUCCAAAAUAUUUCGCUAUACUAUUUAAAGUGUCAAUGGUCUACUUUGUUAAUAUAUAUAGUUAUUUUGAAAGUUUUACCAAACCAAUAUCAAAUGUCUAGAUCCGCCCCUGCUUGGAGGUAUAUAUGUCUUGCAUUUGUCUUCAUCUUUUAUGUGCGACUACAUAUUAUUUUAAAUUUACCUUCUUCACACUUCUUGCAUAAAAUUUCAAAUCCUGUUACUCUUAUUUCUUAACCUAAAAUACGAACCUAUUAAAAGGAUAGAAUUCAUUGACUUAUAAUCUUCACUAUUUUAUGUGAUGCCAGAAUCCUAACAAUUCCUCUUCAAUAUUGAAUGCUCUAUUUGGAAAAGAAAAAGACAAAGAAAAGAUGAUAUUAUUUUAAAAAAUAAUAUAAUUCCAUUCGAAACCCUCCAAUGUUGUAAAGGAACCUCACCUCCUCUUAUGGUAUAUGGAUAAUUUAAACCCAAUUAACAAUAACAGUUUCAAAUCAUAUUCAUAUAUCUAUAGUAGGCAUGGCAACAAAACCCAUACCCGUGGUUACCCGCCCGAACCAAACCCAAUUUGACGGAUUUUCCCCGUUUUGAUUGGGUUUGGAUAUGGGUAUGGAUUUUCCCCGAUCUCAAAACACGGGUAUGGGACGGGUAACGGGUAUAUAGGUACCCACCCCAAACUACAACGUAAACAUAUUUCAUCGCACUUUAGAUUCCAUAAACCAUUGGACAUGACUACAUUUGUUGAUGUUAAACACAACCCAAAUAAAUAAUUAUUGGGCAAAGAAUGAUGACAGAGUUGAAACAAUGCAGAUAGAAAAUAAUCAGAGAUAGGUAUAAAAAUAUUGCAGUCUUUGGAGUCUAGUAAGUUCAUAUAUAAUAACUAAAAGCCUAAUAGGUAGAUAAAUAUUAUGGUUUUUUUUUUUUUGGAGGAAAAUAUUAUGGUUAUAUAACAAUAAUAAAAUAUCCAUGUGGUUCUAAGUUCUAACAAGUGAAAGCAAUGAAGAUAAAUUAAUAUUUUUUGUAAAUUAAGGCAUAUAAGCACACCUCAAACAGUGGUAUGUGUAUUGUAACACUUUUAGGUGGUAGAGAAAAAGAGGAAGCAAAAGGAAUAGAAAAAUUAGACAACUACUAACAAACUAAAAAACUAAUUAGCUUUCUUUCAUAUUCUUCUUGUGUAUUAUUUUAUUUAUCAAUUCUACUCAUACAAACUAAGCAUAACAGAAAUUAAAAUAUUCGUUGCAUUCUAAAUAUUUUAGAAAGUGGUGUGACCUAUAUGGGUUUAAUGUUUAACAUAUUUUGGCCAUAACAGUAGUAGCCAAAGCCAAACAUGAAACAUUUCUUUCAGCUUCUUAGAGGUACAUGCAACACUAUGUGGUUUAGCAGAUGUGUGUGUAUAUAUAUCAAGAAAAGCAUAGAAUGCUGAAAUGCACAAUUUUUGGAUUCAGAAAAUUUUAAAACAGAACUGUAGAUUGCUACUUCCUCAAGUCUCAAUUAUAAGCCAAUUUUUAGUUUGUAAGUUCAUUCAAUAAAUGAUGUAUGUUGUCUAUAACCGCAUACAUCAUUAAACUACAUAUAUUAUUUAUUGAAUGAACCUAAAACUAAAAAUUUGUUUAUAAUUGAGACAUGACGGAGUACUUUAAAAAAGUGAUACUCAACAAACUUUAAAAUAGAGAAUGAAGUGAUACUCAAUUUUAUUUUAUUUUAACAUCCAUUUUUCUAUCUAAUACUAGACGAGGCUCUUACCACAUUUGAUAUAUAACAAUAUAAACGAAGGUAUUUCAAGCUCAACAGUUAAAAGCCUUCAAAAAUUGAAAAAUAAAAUAAAAAGCAAAAUAGGUUCAAAAACACCAGCCCAAGAAAAGUAAGUUUUAAGGCAACAUGUAAAGUAAACAAUUAUUCAUCUUCACUUUCAUCGUCAUCUUCACUUUCAUCAUCAUCAUCAUCUUCAUAAAUGUUCAGAUCAGUCUUCUUACAGAUUGGACAAACAUUCUUCUCCUCCAACCAUUGUUUGAUGCAGUUAAGAUGAUAUAUGUGAUUGCAAUCAAAUCUCCCAAUACACUCCCCAUCAAUAAAAUCUUCCUAAUAAACAUAAAACAAGAGGGGUUAUGACACUUGAAUAUGCUCAAGUAUUAGGAUUUUAAAAUUUAGUUCAUCCAAUCCUUACAAAAUCAGUUGGUUAGAAUAGAGGUGCCACUUUUUAUAAAAAAAAAUUAUUUAUUUAUUUUCAAUGUGGGACUUUGAUUUUCUUAAUAUCGUGUUCCCUAAAGAGUUUUAUAUGCUAUAUUAGAAGGAAAAGAAAUGAACCAGGAACUAAAUUAGCUACAUACAAAUUAAUGUGAUAUCAAAUUUUGAGGUAAUAUAAACGAUAUUUCAAGUCCCGUGAGCAUUAACUCAGUUGGUAGGACAAUGCAUUAUUAUAUGCAGGGGCCGGGGUUCGAAUCUCAGACACCCCACUUAUUCACCUUAUAAGGUGAAUUCUAACCACUAGGCUACAUGGCUCAAAAAAAAAAAACGAUAUUUCAAAAAUAAAGAAACAAGUAGAUUAAUCCUUCACCUGACAUAUGGUGCAAGUUUGAUUCAUUGUGCUUGUUUCCUCAGUAUUAGGCUGGUAAGUUUCUUGCUGGAUGUACAUGAGAAUUUCCUCCUCUUCCAGCCCCACCUCAUUCAUCUGUACGUUAAUUAAAUUUAUCAUUUUCAAUUGAAUAUGAUCAUGUAUUGCCGUUUCAAAAAAAAAAAAAAAAAAAGAAUAUGAUCAUGUAUAAUAAUAUUUAAGCUAAACUCUAGCUACAUGUUUAUACAAUUGGGCAAACAAUAUGAAAGAAAAAAAAAGUAUUAAUUAUACAUUAAUAGUUACAAAGCUUUAAAAAAAAAAAAUCACAAUUUUUACCUCGUCUUGCCAAUCCUCUGAAUUAGUUAUCCAAUCUAUGUGCUCUUGAGAGUGAAGUAGCCGAUUUUGAGUGACCCAGUAAUCAAGCUGUGUGACAUAUAUUUGUAAAGUACAUGAAAGUAAUGUGAUGAAUUCAAAAUGGUACAUAUCAAGAUGAUUUAAUUUAUUGGGAAUGUUUAUUCUGCUGCAGCUGCUAGUUAAUCCAACGUUAUAGUAAAACAAUCACAAAGUAGUAUUCAAUCUUUUACCUAAAUAAUUAAUCUAAAAAUUUGGGUUAAACAUAACUCAAAUAUCUUAUGUAUUUAAUGUAGAAUUUUAGCACACCUCCUCACACCAAUGAUUAUACAUCUGGAUGUGACAUGGUGGUACAAUAGUGGUGGUCGAAUACGUGGUAGAUACAUAGUGAUCACAGAAGAGUUCUUUACAAAAUUAGGAUAUAAACUGAGCACUAUGUAUCUACCACUUAUAAACAUUUUGUUAAACUAUAUUUUGCUAAUUAUUUUUUACACAAUAUCUCACUACUCUAACAACUUUAUAUCAACAAAACACACUUAUCAUCAUUUCCAAUUCAUUGCAAUAUUAAAUUUCCACAUGCAUACUUAUAGUAACACAUAAUAUAUAACCACAAAUUAAAUUACUAUCACUUAUUAAUUUUGACUAAAGUUUACUUGAUGGUAAAUAAAUCUAAAAUAUUUGAAAAUGAAGCACAUUAUUUAAUUGUGAAUUCAUUUAUUUUAGUCUUCAACCAAAGUUAAUAUUACAAGUAAUUAAGAAAGUAUAUAUAUAUAGCCGGGGAUAUUGCAUUUUAUAUGUACGAGCCCGGGUUCGAACCCCGGGUUCGAACCCCGGACACUUCACUUCUCAAAAAUUAAAUUGUGUGAGCUCUACCCACCAAGCUACUUUACCAAAAAAAAAAAAGAAGAAAGAAAGUAUAUAUACCUCAAAGAAGUCCAGGUUGUUGUUAUUAUCACCAUUUAGGCUAAAACUUGUGCCUUGAGAAGAAGAACUUGUUGCUUCUCUUGUUGCUGCAGAGGGAUAUAGAAAUGAUGCAGGACCACCAGGAGAGCUAUUAAUUUCAGACAGAGUAGUAGUACUACUUAGUCCUGCUUCUACAUCAACAUCUUCAUCCAUGAUGAAAUGAUCCCAAAAUGUUGUUGUAGGUAAAGAAGACAUGUUAUUGACAUUGUCUUGAUAAGGAUGAAAAGGAGGAGGAAGAGUGUGUCUUCUGCUAAACCUUUCAUCAAUUUGUGAACCUUGAUUAGAAGUUUCCCCUCUAGUGAAUGGAUCAGGCGAUCUACUUCUCUUGAAUGAUGAAUUAGCCUGACACAACUCAUCAUUCCUAGCACCAGUAGUAGUGGUGUUAAUUUCAUCGUUGAAUGACGAAACAGAAUUAGCAUUACUACUAUUUCCUACAACAUCUCCACUUCUUUGAUAAUCGGAUUCUACAACAGGUGCAACUUCAAUUUGUCCUCCAAUAGUCAGAUAUAAGGAGGAUAAUGACAUAUUAUCUCUAGUCGAGAUGGACGACACACUUCUCGAUCCUCCAUUGAUAAAUUGAGAAGUGCUGUUGCCUUCUAAAACAUUGUGAGUAGUAGUAGGAACGAUGCUAAUAUUUGACCCAAAAAGUCUAAAAUAUAUUGGGCUCCUUUCUUCAUUAUGACGAUUUCCUAAACGAUAUUGGUUGGCCAUAGAUUGCAACUUCUUACCUGCAUGCACACCAUAACAGCAACCAUAUAUCAAUACUACCAUGGACAUAUGAUGCUAUCAUAACACUCACAAUGAUAUCUAGACUCCAAUCGUAAUGUGAUAAAAUGAACAAAUUCGAAUGUAGAUGAUUGUGCUAUUGCUGGAGUGUAAACAUAGUUAAAAUGCUAGUAACAUAUAAUGAUGUCAUUGCGCUCUAUUCUUUUGCUUAAAAAAAAUAUAAUCAUAUGAGAUUUAGUGUGUUGAACACUAAUAUAUGACACUACAUAUAUUCGUUUUCUAAAAAAUUGUAUUAUUAGUGUUAAUUCCCUAUACACAUAUAAUAGAUCUGAAAGAGUAUAACAGUCCGUUCGGAUUGGUUUAUUUUUUAUAUUAUUAAAUAUAACUUAUGUAAAUAAAUAAAUUUUUAUAUUACUUCAUAAGUUUUUACUGAUGAAAAUUGUAUAUUCAUAAACUACUUUGACAAAUUUAUGAAUAUAGUACAUAAAAGCUUAUUGAUUUGCAUAAACUCAAAAAUAAGUAAAUCUAAACGGGACCUAAGAGUAGGUGAAAUAAAAUUUUGAACAUAUAAAACUUAUAUGUAAAUUUAAGAAUAUUAAAUUUAUUUUCACAAAGUAACCCAUUUUCUAAAACAUCAAAAUCACACACAAAAAAUAAUUUGAUAGACAAAACAUUUAUCAGCCAAUCAAUAAGUUGAUCAAAAAAUCAAACAGGAAGAUAGUUCAAAUCACAUGCUCAUAUAAACAAGAUUAAAAAAAAAAACAUAGUACAAAUCAAACCCAACCUUGAUUAUAUACCUAAAUAGAUGAGUAGGUACAAGAAUCGAUGGAUGUUAAAAACCAAAAGCUGGUGAUUACAACUGUUUAAUAUCACACUGAUGGUUUCUCUAUAGCAUGAAGGGAAAAAAGGACACUGUUGAGAGCUUCAAUUUAUAGAGAUUUUGUUUUUACCGUCUCUAGCGAUGCCGAUAUAUUAUUUUUAAUUUAUGUCUAAAUUUUUUAUAGAAAUUCAACUUUAUGGAAACGACCGUAAAUGGUUGACUGUUGACUAGUAUUUUGUCACAAUGCAUCCUCUCGCGAUACUUUUUAAUAUCUACCUACAUUUAUUGUUAUUUUUGUCACAAUGCAUCCCCUCGCGUUACCUUUUAAUCUCUACCUACAUUUAUUUCUCUGGCGAUUUUAGGAGAGAAAAUAUAUUGUUCACUUAUCACCUUCUAAAAGUUUUCUUCAUAAUUAGCUUUUCUUCACCAACCUGCUUGAAUAUAUGGUAUAUAAUACAGAUUGAUAAUAUUCUAUGUUUUGGAUAUAUACUUAAGAAAAUUCUGAAAUAAAAUAGAAUGUGAUAGCAUCCGAUUCAUUGUUUAUCCUCGUAUUUAUUCAAAUAUUGUUACAAAAAAGUGUAUUGUUUUGUUUUAUUCCAUCAUCAUAAAAUAAAAUAAAAAGAUUUCAGUUACAUACUAUCAUUGCUACCUCUGAUUUCUGCUAAUUUCGCAUUUUUGCGGUAAUACCAUGUUAACUAUUAAACAGGCUUUGUGAUGGUUUCGCAAGAUUUUCCUUCGCGAUAAAUAGCAUAAAUUAAUAUUCGAAACCAUAGACUAUAAUGUAUAUGUCUUGUUCCAUUCUGUUUCACUUAUUUUAUUCGGUUACAUACUACUCAUGCAUGAAACUAUUUUUAUUGAAAAAUAAAAAUUUAUAAUAAAAGACCAUAGUAUGUAGAAAUUCAACAUAAACUCGCAACUAAUAAAGAUCCAAAAGAGAAUCGAAAUCACAAAGGUUGGAAUUCCAAAGGGAGUCAUCAACAUCUAAAAACUCCAUAUUAAAGUUCUCUUGUAUUGAAGAGCCUGAGCCAAUUUGCUCACUGCCUACUUGUUCACCCAAGUCCCAUAAAUUGUCCGACGACAAUGCACACGGUAUUGGAACAUUAUCUAUACUUGGUUGUGAAGCAGAAGCACAGUCUCUACCAUUUUGAUAUGUAACCAUAGUCUCUCGAUUAUCGCGAUCUUUGGAAACAUUGCCAUCUUUAUUCGAAGCCAGCAUUGGUUGUGACACAAAAUUAACAUGUUUCGUGGAAACAUUGCCAUCUUUAUUGGAAGCCAGCAUUGGUUGUGACACAAAAUUAACAUGUUUCGUGGAAACAUUGCCAUCUUUAUUGGAAGCCAGCAUCGGUUGUGACACAAAAUUAACAUGUUUCCUAUUCAACCAUGAUGAAUGAGUUGAAAAAAUUCGAGGUUGGGGUUUAAUAACUUCAUGAGCUUUCAUUGUUUCCUUAGGUUUCUCUUUUUCUUUCUUUUCUUUUGUUUCUGAAACAACCUUCUUCCGCAAAUGUGUGUGCCAAAAGUUUUUCACAUCAUUAGCAGUUCUACCAGGAAGCCUUGCAGCAAUCAAUGACCAUCUAUAUUAUAUGUAUAUGUAAGCAAUUAAAUAGCUGAAAUAUUAUCUAAGCAAGAAGAAUAUUAAAUAUAAGAACUUAGACAUGUUUGCAUAAAUAUCAUGACUAACUCUAGCUAGCAGCUAUAGCAUACACAAACAAAUUUGAAUUUUGGCUCGGAAGCUUACCUAUUCCCUAGAAGUUUGUGUAACCUUAGGAUCAUAUCAACUUCAUCCUCAGCAAAGCUUUCCCUUUUGAUGUUAGGGCAUAAAUAAUUUACCCACCUCAAUCUACAACUUUUUCGACAUCUAUUCAAUCCUGCCAAGUGUAACAAAUAUAGUUUCACAAUAUAUACAUGUGGAAAUGAAAUUAUGCAAAUGGUUGAUUAGAAUUUGGGAACUUCUACGGUACAUCUCACAAAUUGAAGAUUAAAACUUACACGUACAUCCAAUAAAGUCAUGCCAAAUAGAUCAUUUUGAAGAUACUUUAGGAACUAACUUAAAGGCAUGGUAUGCAAAUAUUUACACCGUUAGCGUAUACAAAUUAAAUCCCUGCUUUUAGAUAUUUGUUCAAAUUUAAUGAAAUAGAGUUUCUAACUUGAUUAACUAGUGCUUUUGUACUACUAGGAAAAGCAAAAUUAGGGAGGAAAAUUAAUGAGGGAAAAAAUAAAAUCCCUCAUAAAUUCCUUGGUCGCAAAAUUUAGUGACGGAAUUAAAGAGGGGUUUCAUGUUUUUCUCUAUAAAUUUCCCCCACUAAUUUUUGUUUUUUACUAGUGUUUUGCUAUUGAAUUUAUCAAUUAACCUUUUUUAUUUUAUUGAUUUUUGGUAAUUAGUGGCUCUCGUCCAUGAUUUCCAUUUGAUUUAUAUUGACACAAUGACCUGCUUUUUCUUUUUCUAGUUUUUUUUUUUUAAAAUAGAAUAGAAGUUGUUGCUAAAUUUUUAAACUUAAUUUUUUUUAGGCUUAAAUAUGUCUUUCGUCCCUACAAAUAUAGGCCAUUUGAUUUUUCGUCCCUGAAAUUACUAAUCCUUCCAAUCUGUCCCUGCAAAUAUUAAUCAUUUGACUUUUGGUUCUAAUUAGGUUUUUUUGCUGAGGUGGGAUGUCAUUAGCGACGUGGUGUCCAUGUGGCAAGUGAUGAUUGGGCGAGGUGGUUUGCUUAAAUAGGUCUUUCAUCCCUGCAAAUAUAGGUCAUUUGAAUUUUCGUCCCUGAAGUUACUAAUCAGAUGUAAUUAGGACCAAAAGUCAAAUGAUUAAUAUUUGCAGGGGCAGAUUGGAAGGAUUAGUAACUUCAGGGACGAAAAUUCAAAUGACCUAUAUUUGCAGGGACGAAAGACCUAUUUAAGCCUUUUUUUUAAGUAGAUUAAUGCAAGUAAAAAAAUAGAUUAAUGCAAUAUUCGAUAUUAUUUAUUAAAAAAACAAAUAAUAGAUUAAUGUAAUAAUAAUAUCGUAAUAUUAAUUAAAAAUAAAUAGUUAUUAAAAAUUAUAUAUUCAGUUCAACUUUAAAAAAGGAAUUCAAAAUUCAAUCAAUUUUAAAUAUGAACACCUCUAAACCCGAGUGGUGCGAUCAGUUUUCUGUUUUUUUUGGAGAGGAUCAAUUUUCAGUUUUUUUUUGUCAAGAAGUUUAGUGGCUAGAGCUCACACAAUUAAUUGUGGAGAACUGGGUGUCAGGGUUCGAACCCCGACCCCUGCAUAUAAUAUGCAAUAUCCCUACCAACUGAGUUAAGCUCCCGGGGAUAGUUUUUAUUUGAACUAUUUUGGACAUCCGUACCAUGGCAUAAAGUUUGUCAAAAGAAAAAAUAAUUUUCAAGAUAUUUAGAAAAGAAAAUUUUGCAUCGUGAAUUUUCAUUUGCUUCUAUAUAAUUGUUCAACUUAAUUCAUUAUAGGAGAACUACACAGUUGAAUAAGAAAAGAAAAUUAUGCAUGGUUGAUUUUCAUUUCCUUCUAUACAGUUGUUCAACUUAAUUAAUUAUGGGAAGGACAAAUACACGGUUAAAUAAGCAACAUUAAUCAUAUUUACCUUUAUAUCAACAAAAACAAGAAUUUUUUUAUAUAAUCUCAUAAAAAUAAGAAAUAAAAAUCAUAUAUACCUGCUCUUUGAGAAACUAAAUGCCAUUUUCCUUCACCAUACUUCUGUAUACAAGCCUUGAGUAGCUUGUCUUCCUCAUAUGUCCAUGCACCUUUUCUCAAACUUCUAGUCUUCUCCAUAUGCAGCUUUCCUUGUAUACGCUAUCCAUAUACAAAAUAUAGGCAUCAUAUUUUUAUCUUGAUAUAUGUUUUUGAGAGGAAAGGUUGAGUAAAAGACAAAGGAGUUUCUUUCGUAAUUAACAGAAGACAAAAGUAUGAGAGUGACACCACUUUUCUUUUAUUUUUUCUUGAUACAUCAAUUUAUUUUAUUUUUAUAAUUUAUUUUUUACCAUGAAGGUAUAGUAAUAUUUUAUUAUUUAGAUAUCAAUUGUGCCAAGUAUCAUAUACACUUGGGAACAAUUAAUUUCUUUUCGCGAAUGUAUCUCAAUAUGUCAUAUAUAUAUACAAAUAGGGUUUUGUUAACUUAAACCAACAAAAACUAUGAAUGUCUAAGUUACUAAGAGUUCACAUUUUUAUUUGGACAAAAACACAAUUAAUCUUUAUUAUUUAAAAUACUAAUAAUUUGAGGAUUAAUUUAACAAUUUAAUAAUUAUACCCUUUGUUUAAGAAUGGUUUAUAAUAGUAGUAGGUGUACAUUUUUGUCCAAAUAAAAAGGUGUACACUUGUUAACUUAGACUUUCAUGUUUUUUAUUGGUCUAAGUUAGCAAACCUCAUAUAUAUAUAUAUAUAUAUAUAUGGUGCGUGCAGGGGAGAAUCUAGUUCAUGGACAUGUGUGGCUAUAGUCAUACAUGAUUUUUUUUUUAAAAUAGAAAAAUUUCUUUAGCGACCGAAUUAUCAAUCACUAAGAUAUGAAAAUCGGUCGCUAAUAUGUUAGCGAUAGAAAUUAUGCUGAAUGUUCAGUCGCUAAAGUAAAAAUAGGUCUCUAGUACGUUUAGCGACAGAAAUAGUGAUCGAAGAUUCAGUCACUAAAGUAUAAAAUAUUAAAAAUCGAUCAUUCUUCGAUUGCUACUUAUUUUGCCACACUUAAAAUGUAUGCCUAGAUCCGUCUCUGGGUGCGUGUAAAAUAUAAAUAAUAUAGAAUCAGUAAUUGUGGUUGGUAUAGAUGAUCGGACCUUUCACUCACAAUUGUGACUUAAGUUCAGAGGCAGAUCAAGAAUUUGAGAAGUAUAGAGGUAAACUUUGCAGAGUGGAUAUGUUGUCGCAAUGCUAUAUUAGAAUAACUAUAAAAACAAGACUUAAAUAUGUAAAGGUUAGUGUAAGUUCGUGUGUUUUUGCUUUUCGUCCAUGUAUUUUUUUUUUCUUUCAAAACCACCCUUGUAACUUGUUAACCUUUUGCUUUUAGUCCCUCCCAUUGACUUCUGUUACAAAAACGCUUUGCUGGCAAACAGAGUCACAUGUGGCAAUUGUUGGCAUGGUAAAACACGCUUAUGUGUACUGACUCAAGUGGGCGGUGAGAUUGGUCCCCUCGGUUAGUUGAUUCUUGAAUCGGAUACCGAGUUUUCAAAAAAAAAAAGUGACUAGAUUUGAGGGACCAAAACCAAUAACGCAAAAUUGCAAAGGGAUGAAAUUGAGAAAACGUAAACAUUAAAAUUUGAAAUUUAAAAACUAGAUCUUCUUUAUCCUUCUCCCUUUGUUUUUUUUUCUUUAUCUCCAACCUCAAUUUCUUCAUCUCUAACAAAUUUUUCUUAAUCUCAGUUUUUUCUUCUUAUUCCACUACCAAAUUUUUCAUUUUCCUUCCAUCCUUUAUUCAAAAACUUUUUUAUAUUCCCAUUGAGAUCCAAUUUAACAAAUUUUCUUCUCAGGAGUCUUUACUAUUGGCAUUACCACACUAGUACCUAUCAAAUUAGGAUGCUUUUUCCCCAGAUUUGAUGAUAGUUUUAGAGGAAUCAACAACAAGUUCAGCCUCAGAAUAUUCUAGAUUGAGUAAGGAUUUAAGAAUUUUGGUGAAGAAAAUUGAUUUGGAGAAGAAGCCGGAAGGGAGGGUUUUGAUUGAGUGAGAAGACGAAGUUGAAGGAGUGCCAGAGGUUCGUUGUCGGAUUUUGAAAGGGAAGGAUGGGAUGGAUGGGAGAGGGAAAGAUUGUUGUUUGGGAAGGUUUUCGGGGGUUUAGAAAGGGGUUUAUUGGAUUGUGAUGGUUUUGUUUUGAUUUUGGAUGUGGAUUUUUUGUGGAAACUAGUUUUGGUGGUGGUGGAUUUCGUUGUUGUCUUGGUGGCGUUGAAGAAAUGUGAGAUCUGUCAGAAUUUGAAUUGGAAUGAAACUGCAUUUUUUUGAUCGAAGAAGAAUAAAAAAGGGAAAUGGUGUCUUUUUUUCUUUUCUUAAAUUAAUUUAUUAGGUGUCAAAUAAUUACACAUGUGGACAAAUGAAAAAAAAUUACCACAUCAGCACCACAUCAACGAAUUUGAUGAGUUAGAUGGGUCAAAAUACUAUUUUUGUAAUAAUCUUUGUUUUACAAUGAUAGAAAUAUAAUUUAUUUUUUAUAGGACAUAAACCGGAAAUUGCCUAUAUAUUAUAUGGGGGUAAAACACUAUUAACCAAAAGAUAAUUACAACAAAUAAAUUGAUAUAAACUCUCUCAUCGAUGAAAAUCAUGUCGAUUAAUCAAAGUGAUAUUGAUCAUUGAAGUAAGACAUUCUCCCAAUCCUAAUGAUCCUAGUCUUAAAUCUCCACAUUGUGUAUUUGUUAUUUACGGUUAAGGCAUCAUUGGAGUCAUUUUUGUACCAAAAUUUCUUAAAACAAAAUGCUAAGGACAAUGCAAUUAUAUAUGUAUAUGUAUGAUGAAAUUGUGUUGAAUUUAGACAUGGUUAAACUUGGUGAUUUAAGUUUGUCGUUAGAAUAAGAUGUGUAACAAUAUUUAUAAGUUUGGUUAGUCAUAAGAUGUGUUUAUUUCUCACGUACAAUUUGAUGAUGAUACUCUGGUUUUGUGAGAGAAAAGUAAGGCAAAUGUUAGAGCUUAGAAUCGUAAUCUCAUUCUCUUUGAGGCAAUUUUGGCGUUAAAGAUGAAUUUUCAUAAAAGUUGGUUGGUGGGGGUGAAUGUGCUUUAAUCUUGGUUUGUGGAGGCAUCGUUGGUGCUAAAUUGUAAAAGUAGUCGUAUUCAUUUGAUUUACCUCGAGCUUACUAUGGAUGUGACCCUCAUCGAUCAUGUUUUUUGUAUCUAUUGAUUGAGCUUAUAAUUUUUUUUUUCUAGGUGUAAAAAUUGAGAUUUUUUUUUAAGAGGAAUUAAAAAUUGAGUUAAUGUUAUAAUUUAUGUUUUUUUAAAGGGUGUUAUAAUUUAUGUUUUUUUUUUUAAGAAAACGAGGUAAAUGAUAGCACCUCUAAAUACAUAGUUGAUUAGUUUUAUUUAUACCGGAUAUACAUAAUUUUUUUUAAGGAAGCAUUGCGUAAUUCUGAAAGUAUAGUAUAUAAUAUAAUAAUAUAAUUUUAAAAAUUUUGAGCCUAAAUAAUAAUAAGAAAAACUGGAGCCCUAAAGCCUAGCUUGAAAAACCUUAGGCUUUAUUAGAUAAUGAGGAAAUGAGAGGGUUUUGGGAUUGGGAAAUAAAUAUAUGUCAAAAUAGAGAAAAAAAUUUACAUUUUUUAAAAAGAGUAUAUUUUUUUUAGAUAAUGAUAAAUCAAUGUUUAUAAUUAAUAUAAUUUUACUUUUAGGAAUACUAUAAAAACAUAAAUUGACUUUGCUCUAAAAAAACAACAUAGAUUGAAUUUAAAUAAUUUAUAAAACUCUUUAAAAUCUUUCUCCAAUAUAAUUUUUGAAUUUUUUCAAAUUAAAAUAUUUUGGUAUUAUAAAGAAAAUUAAACCCCGCAAUGCGCUCUCCUUCCAAAACUCUUCUUUUCACCCACUCCUUUUCUUCCAUAAAGUUCUCCCAUUUAUACCCCUCCAAACUUGAAAACAAAGUUUUAGUGCUUGUUUGGGUGCACGUUAAGCACUCUCAAAAGCACCUUUGUAGUGUUGAAACGUGAUUUCAUGAAAUUUGAAUAUGUUUGAAUCUGAGUUGAAAAAUUGAUUCUAGACCUCAAACGCAAUUCUAGCUAAAACAACUAUUCCUAGCUUCUGGCCAAAAUCAAUUAUUGGAUGCCAUUUACCAUUUCACGACUUUGCCCCUAUUUAAUGGCCACGGUUCGUUGUUUCUUUUGUUACAGAAACAUUUGUUUCUCAAGGUUAGAGAAGAUAAGUCAUAUGACUAGGGCCCAUUUGUUUAAUAAUUAUAAUUUUUUGGUCUUAUUUGUUUAACAAAAUGGAAGACGGACCAAUUAUUUUUUAACGUGGUUUGAUUUUUUUUUUUUUUUAUUAUCUUAGAAAAUUCAAAUAAAAAUUGGGGUAAUAUUUGGGUUAUUUAAAAAAUGAUACUGUAUGAAUUUAAAUAUUUAAAUAAAAUUGAAUUAAAAUUAAUUCACAAAUAUACACAUACACAUAUUAAAAUUCAUUUUGGUCAUUUACACACCUAAACGCAAUUUUGACACAAAAUAUCUAAACAACUAUUUACACACGAAUCACUUCUUUUGUAAAGGUAUCCAAACAUAAACCACUUUAAAUUAAACUCGUUUUAAUUGACUUUUUCCUUAAAAAUCUUACACAAAUCUUAAACGACUAUUAUUUUGACACAGGGGAAAUAACUUUUCUUCGUUAUUGACAAACCUAAUUUUCUUGAUUUUGGUUGGCUACUCACGCAGACAAAACUUUCAACUAAAAAAAACUCGAUAUAACAACUUGACAAAUUUUCUUUUUAAUAUUUUUUAGAAUCGUGCCGACUUCUAACUUAAUAGUAAUAUAAGUUAAGGGGUUAAAAAGAAAAUUUGUUAUUGAAAAAAUAAUAUUUAUAAAUUUAAAAUAUUCAAUUUAUAAUUUUCAAAUUUAUAUUCUUACGUUUGGUUUUUUAACUGUUUCCUUAAGGGAAAAUUUAGAAUUUGCCUUGUUUUAAUUAUUUAUAAUUUGUUUCGUGGCUAUUUUGUUCCUUAUUUGUGACUUUUAAAAUUUCAGGUUUCCAUUUCGGAUAUACUACCUCUGUUUCAGAAUCAGUGUCAUUUUAGCUAAAAAAAAUUGUUUCAAUAUGAAUGUCACUUUACAUUUUCAAUGCAACUUUCAUUUUUUUCUUCAAACUUUACCCUUAAUAUAUACUCUAACUUUUCUACCACACAAUUUCCAAUGCAACUUUAAGUUUAUCUUUUUCUUAUGGGUCAUGUUAACUUGUGUCAUAAGGGAACAAGUUAAGGAGUUUAAAAUGGAAAUUAAAAAAUAAAUUUUAUAUUGAAAAUAUAACUUUUGCAACUUUUAAAACAUUGAAUUUAUGCACAACUUUCAAGAAAAACCUUCUCCAUUUGCCUUCUUAACUUAUGUCUCAAGGGCAAUUUAGUAAAAAUGGUAUAUCUAAUGAUUAUUUCAUUCCAUUUAUUUAUUUUGAACAAUUCAUUCUAUUUUUUAAUCUGUGUGCCAGCACCUAAAACGACACUCAUUUUAAAAUGGAGAGAGUAUAUUAAAAAUCAACCUAAUCAUCAUGAAGUCCUUGAAUCUACAAACUCUAUGUUACUUGAGAUUGAAAUCACAUAGUGCAGCAUUUGUUCCUUUGGUUGGAGAUAAAUAUGUUUUGUCUCUACUAAAAACUAUGUAUUUUAGAAAAUGAAGGACCCUAAUUUUGAAGAAUGGGGAUUUAGUUAUCAGUUAAAUUUACCAACUGAGCUACCUUCAUAGAGCUAAUUUGAAUUGAUAAUACUUGACAAUCGUACCGCAUAUAGGCUAGUGGUAAUAUAAUUGUAUAAAUUAAAACAACUAAAGGUAAUGAUAAAAUUUUUACAUAAUAAAUCAUUAAAUAAAUCAAGAUAAUAAAAUAGAAUUAAGCAAUAUGGCAACCAACAGGGUUAAGUCUGCCGGAAAUUUUUCAAUCGAUUUUUUUUUUAUAGAAAAUAAAAUGUAUUAAUGUGAUAUUAUAUAUUGUUGGAAUGUAUUAGAUGUAGGGAUGGAAAAAAAAUCCGCACGCGUAGAUAUCCGUGGAUAAAAUCCUCCACGGACAUGGAGUGGAUACCUUAAUUGAUAUCCAUGGAUAAAAUAAAUGGAUUUUUUAACUAUCGUUAAUUAAUGGAUACAGAUGCGGAUGUAAUUGUAUCCACACCCGCUAUUAAACAGAGUAAAUUACAUAAAUAACCUUAAUAUCAUUCAACUUCCUAAGAAAACACCCUAGGUAUUGUAAGUGUUAUUAGUUAUUAUACUCCUUUAAAAGGAAGUGAAAGUGGUUGAGAUUGUUGAAGCAAAAGUUUUUUUUUUUUUUUUAUUUUUAAUAUCAUGAGCUUUACUUAUGUUUUUAUUAAAUCAAAGUUAACUUUUAUUUUUAAUUAAAUAAUAAAAGUACUUUAUUUAUUGUUUUUAUUGAGUCAAUGAUUCUUUAUUGUUAUUGUAAUGUAUGAAUAUUAUGUUUUGUUAAAAAGAAAAGAAAAUGCAUGUGAAGAACCUUUGUUUCUAAAUUUUAGCAAACAAAAAAAAUUAAACAAAAUUUUUAUUUUAUUUUUACAAAUGUUAUCCAUGGAUAUCUGUAUAAACCCGCAUAUACCUCAAAAUCCACGGAUUACCCGCUAAAAGGAUAUCGACACGGAUAUGGAUAGGGUACGGAUUACAUAUUUAUGUAACGGAGCGUAUCACACUAUCCGCAUCCAUGGAUAUCCAUUUACAUCCCUACUGAUUAGAUGUGGUAUUAUAUUAUUUUUGGAAAUAUGUAUUAUUAUUAUGCUGUAUUAUUAAUAGUGAUAAUCAGCUUUGAGUCUAUUUAUAUAUUUUGCCUUUUCGAUAAAUGUUGCUGCUUAAAAAAAAGAGUAGUGAUAUAUGUACAAUCAUUUGGUACAACUUUGAUGACAACUUUUAUUUGCUCUCUUCUCAUUGAUCCAAAACAAUAGAGAGAGAAAAAGAAAGAGAGAGAAUAAGAAUAUAAUGUAAGUAUGAGAGAGAAAGUUGUCAAAAAAUUGUAAUAAAGUGGUUAUACAAAUAUCAUUUCUCUUAAAAAAAAAAGAACAAAAGUUAAAGAGUCUUUAUACAUAUACUAUCUUAGGUGGCAUACACCUUUUUGACAUCCACCCAUAAUUGCCACAUGUAAUAAAAACAUUGAAAGAAGAGACGAGAGAGGUUAUGAUGUGUUGCGAGAUUACUAAAAUACCCCGACACAUGAAGGUGUACAUGAGAGGUAUAUAAAAAAAGGAUGUUUACCUAUCUUUUUUCAAAGUUAAAUGGUAAUAACGGAGAAACAGCCUGAAAGACAAAAUCUGAAUAAACAAUUUGAAUUAAAAGCUGGUGUAAACUUAGAUAUCGUAUCCUUUAUAUAUGGCAUUGUAGCCAUUCAAUCAAUACAGUACGAAACUGUUCCUAAACGAAGUUGACAAUGGAGUCCGCAGUAGAUGACACUUAGAAUGCUUCCAGAUGUUUGCUUUAUGUGUGGUAUUAUAGGCCAUACAAUACAAUCAAUACAGUAAGAAACUGUUCAUGACCUAGAUUGACAAUUUGUCCAAAGACUAUUUUGUUUUUCAAACCAGAGGUUCGCAGGCAGCAGGAAUUAAUGCUUCGCAUGCUAGAUUUGGAUUUCAUAAGAAAAUUAUUUGAUACCUAAAAAGUUUGGUUGACUAUUAUUUUUGGUGUGAAUCAAAUAUAUAUUUUUGCAUAAUUGCAUAAAUAAAUCUUUCAAGUUGGGUAAAACUAUAAUAGAUAACAAUUUUUUUUUAAAUAUUUAAAACUACUACAUUUUUGGAGUUGGAUUCGAAUCUAAAGCAUCUAAUUAAGUUGAAAGAUCCUUUAGGGUGUGUUUGGAUGGAGGGUUAAGGCGGAGAAGGGAGGGGAGGGUUUACUUUUCUUUUUUAAAUUAUGGACAUUAUAAAAUGAUUUUUUGAAAAUUGAAUUAACAACAUGAUAAAUGAUCAUAUAUUUCUUCAAAAACACUUAAUUUAUUUUAAAAAAACAUUUUGAAUUGUUCGUAAUUUAAAAUAUAAAAGUGAGCCCUCCCCUCCCUUCAUCUCCUAAACCCUCAAUCCAAAUACACCCUUAGUAUAUCUCAUACAACUGUUCUUUAGGUUACUGUUAUUUGUAAGCAAAUCUUAUUUAAAAUACCCAAUAAAACUUAAAUGAGAUGACACAAAUCUCGAUCCUCUAAUAAGUGUGCGAAUACGUCAUUGCUCAAAAAAGAGUAUCAUAUCCAUUGUUUUAUUAAUUUGAUAUUUCGGCUUUCUGCAUCUUUGGUGACGAUUUUUAACUUUAUUCCACAAACUCUGUAGACUUGGUGAAUAAUUUUCAACUUCUUGGUCAUCGGAAGAUGUAUUCAUUAUUGUAUUGCUCUAUGACUUGGCUUGAUCAACAAGUCUUCAAAAUUUGUAGUGUUUCCCCAUUUACGUUAAAAGUAUCUUAGUUACUUUAAUUUUUGGAGUUAAGGUGACUAAAUAUUUUGGUCAAAUAUUGUCGUGAUAAUAAUCCAAAUGGUUUAGAUGAAUCAAUAGAAAGUUAGGUUUUGAUAUUGAUGGGCUAGGUACUAAGUUGGUUUAGGGUUUGAAGUCAAAAUUCAUUUGUUUCUAAAAUAUGUUUGUGUUUUUGUGAAAAAUGGUUGUCGGACCAAUUUGAUAAAAAAAAGUACUUCAAAUUCUUUUUGGGGUAAAACUUUGUAAACACAGGAUAUUAUGGCUAAUUUUUUUCUAGAAAAAGACUUAGAAAAUAUUUGCGUUUUGAUAAAGAAAAAAAAUAGUAAAUUUUCUUAAAUCAUUUACAUCUGCAUGGAUAUUAAACCCCUUAGAUUAUAUACCUAGGUCUAGGUUAAAUUGAAAGUGACCGAGCCCUAUGGAUUUUAUAUUAAAUAGGUUGUUAUUGCAAAAGGUUAUGAUGAGGGGAAGGAUAAGACUUUUGUUGAUUAAAGUGUGAGAGGUAUUAAGUAUUCUGAUUGUCGAUUUUGAAAAAAAUUUAAAAGGAAAAAUAGUUGCACUCUUUUUUUUUUGAAGGAAGGAACCUCAAGUUCUUGUCUAAAAAACAAACACGCUCUUGUCUUUGAAAAUCAGGCGUUACAUAUGCCUUGAUUGAUAUUUUUUUUUAAAAGAAUACUAGUAACACACCUUCUAUCAUACAUUUUUUAAAAUAAUAAAAUAUAUAAGUAAACAUAAUACCACUUUCCUUCUAACAUUAUUUUCUUAGCAUUCCUUCCUUCAAACAUACACUUUUCUUCACUUCAUUUCAAACAACUAUUGAUUGAUAUAAGUAAACAUAAUACCACUUUCCAAAAUAUGUAUUUUUUUUUCUUCACAAUUUGUUAUCUCAAACAUCCAUCUUCUACCUUCUACUCUUCGAAAACUCUUAGAUAUUGAUUGUGAAUUUAAGAACCUGUAGGGAUUCUUUGUACGUUAGAUUAUGAUAUUCUAGGAUUUUGCAAUUGAGGGUGGUAGAAACUAGGGGAGUUUGCGGUGCGGUUUGCAUCGAUUUUGAGGUAAAAUAUCAUCUGAUUCAAAAUAAAAAUCGCAUGCGGUUCGAUUCAGUUUGGAUGACUAUUCUAAAAAAUCCGAAACGGACCGAUCCAAAUAUAUGCGGUUUAAUUUGAAUCAGUUUUGGAUAUCCAAAAUGCAAAGUAUAUAUUUUUUAUUUACCAUUUUUUGAAGAAAAUAUUUUUUUUUAUUACUAUUACACAAACACGGUAAAAUAAUAGGUGUGAUGUAAAAUAUAUUAAAAAAAUCAAAAUUACAGCAUGAAAAUUAUUGAUUGUUUUUUAAACAUAUAUUAAAUUAGUGUAAUAUAUAAGAUUAAAAACUAACAAGCAACAUAAUAAUGCAAUAUAUACUAUUAAUAAAAGAUUGAAUAAGUCUUAAUAUUUACUUUUGUGGUUUGGUGUGGUUUUGAAAAAAGAUCCGGAAUCCGUUCCGAUCCUGGCGGUUUUUACAAAAUAACACUACCAAACGUACUACCAAACAUAUUCUGUUUUUUUAGAUCAGUUUACGGUUUUAUUUUGGAUCCGUUUGAAUUUGAACACCCUAAUGAAAACCUAAAAAAAGAUUGAGGUAUUUGACUUCCUUUGAGAAAUUCGGGUGGUUUUCUUCCUCCAGCAUUUCAGUUUUAAUUGACAACUUAUUAACAAUCACAUGAGAAUCAAAGAUUGAGUGCUCAAUAUCAAAGAAGGCUCAAUGUGCUUUAGUGGCUCAUGCUAAGACCGAGGAGGCUCUUGGAUUGAUUGGAUCAAAGUAUUGGUUGAUUGGCGAGGUUAUAUUAAAGAGUUGGAGGUUUGAGUCUUGUGCGGCAAGAUUCAAGGACAACACCAUGAAUUUUUGAAAGAUUGGAUUCUAGGUUAAAAUCUUAAGUCUCGGAGCAAUUUUACUUUUAAUGUAAACAUUUUCAUAAACACUUGAUAUUUAAUAUUCAACAAAACUUCAUUGAUGUUUGUCUUUGGAAGUGGAAGUAACCGACUAAGAAAGUUGGUGAACCACGACAAACACAUGUGUUCUUUUCUCAUUCCCUUCAGUCUUUGGUUUAUGUUUAGAAUUAAUUCAAUUGUGGAUUAAAAUUUUCUUUUUAAAAAUCUAAUUUUUUAUUGAUCUGAAAGAAUCCCUAUUUAGUGUUGAUAUCAAUCUUGGAUUGUUAUCACUUACUUGUCAAUAUUUCACUUUUGCUUAAAAUAAGUUUUAACAAGUUAAAAAUUGUAUCCAAAUAAGUGAUUAUCAAAUUUAGGCUUAUUGAACAAUAACUUCAGAUUAAGUGAUUAUCUCAAUCAUUUAAUUUGAUUUAUUCAUUUGGUUUUCAUUAACAAUCAAGUUCUCAUUUGUGCGUUCAAAUAAGCAUAAUUCAAGUUAUCCAUUUUUUCCGCUUCACACUCUUUUGAAAAACUUCAAAAAUAAUUUUUAUAUCUAUUCUAUUCACACUCCCCUACAGAUACCUUGAUCUAUUGUAAUUUGUAAACCCUUCCAUUGAUAACGUUAGAAGUUCUACCACCGAUUAUAUUAGUUUGAAAAGGAUAAUUUAUAAUAUUUUUUAUGGUAUAAGUAUGAAAUCAGUCGAAAAAUCGCAUAUUAAGUUUAACUUUGUUUAUCCUUCCAAAAAAAAAAAAAGUUUAACUUUGUUUAAAAAAUUGUAAAAUUCUUCAUGUACCAUAUUACUUUUGUUUCCGUUGUAUUGUCCAAAUAAUCACUUUCUGAGGAGUCCAUUUCUCAGAAUAAAAAUGUUAGAGAUUGAAUUGAUCUUUGAUAAUCUUUAUCUUUAUGAUAUUUAGGUCUUUACAUGGGUUGUUGUUUCAAGUCCCCGCAACGCCUACCUUAACUACGCCACAAUGGCUCCUAGAAUUAAAUACAAAUAUGUGCUAAACCAAUCAAAAGGGAGGAUUGUAACUUAGCUCAAAACUUAUCAACUACUAUAAAAUAGUGGGUUCCUCUUAUAUGUCCCACAUCGGAUAAAAUAGUAAAGGUUAAAUACUUUAUAAGUAAGAGGAUCCAUAAACUCAUUGCCUUAAGAUUUUGGAUAAGAGUGUGGUGUCUCUCUUCCUUAUGCGGUUGUUCUAGCCUUGAUGUGGACGGUUCCUCGAACUCUCUCAGUGACCAACACACCUCCUAGGUAUAACAACACUUCAUAUCUCAUUUAAACCAUGUUUUACGACCUAUUUGCACCAUGUACUACUAUUACUUUUGACAUCAUAUUAUUAUCUUUGCAGGUAGGUACUGUGUUCAUUGUAUAGGAACAAAUUUUAUUAUCGUUUUUUCUUUUAAUAAACUUACAUGUGCAUCACACAUGUAUACGAUAUAGUAAUAUUCUAUAGUUUGGAUAUAUUAAAAAAAUGAUCUUCAUUUAAUUUCUAUUCAAAUUUUGUUAUAUUUCCUCAUAAAAUACCCAAACCAUGAAAUAUAAAGUAGAAUCACUGUUUCCAUUCAUCUCAAUUGCAUUUCAUUCCUCUUUAUUUUGUUACAUAAUUAUUAUCCAAAUCAUUUUUAUUGAAAAAUAAAAAUUGAUAAUAAAAGACCUUGUUGUGUAGAGCUUGAAGGCAUAACUAAGAAUAUUACACAACAAACUAAAGAUCCUAAAGUGUGAAUCCCAAAAAGAGUCAUAACCAUUUAAAAACCUUAUAGUUCUGCUCUUGUAAUGAAGAGCAACCACAUUGCACACAUAAUAUUGGGGCAUUACCUAGUCUUGGUUGUGAAUCAGAAGCACAAUCUCUACCAAUUUGAUCAGGAACCAUAGUGUCUGAUGAGGCAUCAUGAUAUCUAGGAACCUUACCCAAUAUUGGAUGUGUCACAAAAUUAUGUUUCCCAUUCAACCAAGGUGAAUGAGUUGAAAAAGUUAAUGGACGAGGUUUAAUAACUUCAUGAGCUUUAAUAAUUUCCUUAGGGUUAUCUUUUUCUUUCUUUUCUUUUGCUCUUGAAACAUCCUUAUUCUUCAAAUGAGUGUUCCAAUAGUUUUUCACAUCAUUAGCUGUUCUACCUUGAAGUCUUGCAGCAAUCAACGUCCAUCUAUAUUAUAUGUAUAGUUAGAUGAAAUGUCAUCUAAAGAGUAUAGAUAGAUAUAGAUUACUAUAGCAUGAAUACAAUAAAUAAUUAUAGCUAGACUGCAUGCAUUAUGAGAUCUAGCAUACAAUAAGAAAUUAAUUUUAAUUUGGCUUUAUUUGGAAGCUUACCUAUUCCCCAAGAGGUUGUGUAACCUAAGGAUCAUAUCAGCUUCAUCCUCAGAAAAGAUUUCUCUGUUGAUGGUUGGGUUUAAAUAAUUUAACCAUCUCAAUCUACAACUUUUUCUGCACCUAUUCAGUCCUGCCAAGUAUGUUUGCCAAAUAUUUUGAUAAUAUAUAUGUAGAAAUUAAAUUAUGCAUAUCCUUGAUUUACAUUUGCAUUUAUAUGGUUGUUAAAUUUAAGACUUAAUUGCACUUUUGGCCCCCUAUCUUUUCAAAAGUGCAAUUAAGCCUAAAUUUAACCAAUUAUAUUUUUUACACUAAUGCUAUGUAUCGCGAGAAAGGAUCCCGCGAAGUUUACCGACUUAACACUAUAUGCCCACCUUUUUUUUUUCCGCCAAAUUCAAGAUUAGAAUUAAAAAAAAAUGUUGUCAUUUUGUUUAAAAGUAAAAACACGCUCGGGACGUUUUCGAGAGUUCGCUAUAUAUAGCACUUCUCUAUUUUUUAACCGAAUUUGUGCACCUUUUUAUUGUAUUUAUCAAUUUACUGCACUCUUUUUUUUUGUAUUUAUGAUUUUGGGAUGAAUCGUGGCUCUCAUCCAUGAUUUCCUUUUGAUUUAUAUUCACAAAAACGACUUUUCUUAUUUUUUGUAAAUUGAUUAGAAGUCGUUGCUAAUAUUAUAAACUUCAAUUUAAAAAGAAUAGUAUAUUAGUACAAUAAAUCAUAUGAUUAAUUAAAAAAUAACAGAAUAGCACUAUUAUUUUAAAUCCAUCAAAUAAAUAUUUUUUUAACAACCAAUAUUAUUCAUGCUACCAACCUGUCAAGAAGAGAGAGCUGGUGCCAAUGACAAACAAGACCCCAGCGCAAACAGCAAAAGGAAUAAAUAGCUCUAACCACUAAAUAUAUUAAUGCAAUAAUUUAAAUGGUGAGUUUCUAGUCACUAAGGCUAUUUGACAAAAAAAAAUAAUAUUAAUGCAAUAUGGCAUAUAUUAGUUUUCAGUUGUUAUUUUGAUUGUUUUGGAUAUAAUCAUACGUACUCUAGCAUAAAAAUUGUCACAUUAAUAUUUAGAAAAGAAAAUUAUGCAUGGUUAAUUUACAAUAUUUGCUUCAAUAUAAUUGUUCAAUUUAACAAUUUAUUACCCAAAUACGCAGUAGAAAAAGCAACAUUCACUAUACCUGCUCUUUUAGGAAUUAAAUGCCAUUUUCCUUCACCAUACUUGUUAAUAUAAGCUUUGAGUAACUUGUCUUCCUCAGAUGUCCACGUACGUUUUCUCUUGAUUCUGCUAUUUUCCAUACACAUUUUUUCUCAUAUACGUUUUCUUUAAAUGUCCAUACACAAAUAUAUAGGCAUGAUCUUUUGUCUUGAAAUAGUAUAUAUUUAUGUUACGUGCAUUAGAGGAAAGGUACGUUACGAAAAAGACAAAGGAGUAUGACGUCACAUUUCCUUAAUUUUCGUUUUUUCUCGAUACAUCCUUUUCUUUAAUUUUCACCAUAAAGGUUACUCUAAAUAAAUUUUGAUAUAUGAAGUGUGGCAAGUAUGAGAACCGCAGAAAUUAUUUAUGAUGAUCAGUAAAGUAAGCAAACACAUCAUUUGUCUCAUAAAUACAGCUUCAGAUAGUAAAAAAUCGAAGAAACAUGUAAACGAAAUAUGUUGAGAUUUCCUCAACAAAAAAAAAAAAAAUGUAAUAUGUUGAGAUGUACUCCUUCCAUGUCUUGCAUAUAGAUCUUCAUGGUAAAUUUCACUACAUGGACCUCUAAUAUAUUAUAUAAAUUAAUAUUUGAUUUGAUUCAAAUAGUUUAGGGAUGAAGUCUUGUGUGGUUAAAGAUAUGGACACAUUAUUUAGACACACACUCAAAAGAGAUAAAAGGUUGAAUAAAACAAAAAUGAAAUGAUGUGUUUUUACAUAAAUUAAAGGGUUAAUAGUGUUUUAACCCUUGUAAUAUAGAGCACUUUUGAUUUUGUCUCCAAUAAUUUUUUUUUCUUAGAUUCCGUCCUUGUAAAAUAAAGAUUCUUCAGGAUUGCCCCCUGAUCCCUAUGACUCAGCAUUACGUGGAUAUUUUUUUUUAUCAUUUAUUCAUUGGCCACAUGUAUAAUUCAUUUAACAAAAUCAUAUUUAAUUAAAAAAAGAAAAAAUACAACAAAAAAUUAAAAAUUAAAUUUAAAAAAUUAGAAAAAAAUAAUUUUCAAAAUAAAAAGUUCAGAUUUUUUUUUUCAAAAAAAUCUGUAACUAAAUUUUCAAAAUAAAAAAAAUUAGAAAAUAUAUUUCAUAAAUUAGAAAAACAGAUUUGAAAUUAAAAAAAGUUCAGAUUUCAUUUCAAUAGAAAAAUUCUGGAAUAAAAUUUCUAACAACUUUUUCAAAAUAAUUUUUUUUCCAGAAUUUUUCUUUUUUAAAAAAAAUUAUUUCAGAAAAAUACAUUUUAUUUUCCUGAAUAUUAAUUUUUUUACAAAAAUAAUAUAUAUUUUUUAUUUUAAAACGUAUCUUAUUUUCCAGAUUUGUAAGUUUUUAGAAAAAAUAAAAGUUUUAUUUAGAAAAAAAUAUUUAUUUUACCAGAAUAUUUAAUUUUUGUUACAAAAAUAAAAUAAAAAUUUAUAAAAAUAGAAAAUUUUCUUAUUUUCCUGAAUUUUAUAUUUUUAGAAAACGUAAAGCAAACUUUUUUAUUUAAGAAAAAAAAAUUGAACUUAUUUUAAUUUUGAAUUUAUUUUUCUAGUUUUCGAAAUAUAUUUUCCAAUUUUGUAUUUUUUUAUUUUCGAAAUUAAGUUCCAGAGUUUUUUAUUAUAUUAGUAAAUAUAAUUUUUUCUGAUUUUUUUAAUUUUUAAAAAUUAAUUUUCAGUUUUUUAAUUUUAUUUAAUUAUAAAUGACGUGUAAUAUGUUUUUUACGCGUGAUAUCCGAAAAAAAUAAUGAAAAAUAAAAAAAAUAUCCACAUAAGUGUCAUGUAUGAGAUUCUGAUGAGUCAUAGGGGGCAGGGGACAAUCUUGAAGAAUUUUUAUUUUACAAUGACGGAAUCUGAAAAAAAAGGUUUUACAUAGGGCAAAAUCAAAAGUUCCUAUAUUACAAGGGGCAAAACCAAAAGUGUCUUAUAUUAUAGGUAGGAACGCAUAAAGCAAUUAUAAUCCUUUGAUACCAAGGUGUCUAGAACUUUGAAAUGCACAAAAGUGUAUAUAUAUAUAUAUAUAUAUAUAUAUAUAUAUAUAUAUAUAUAUAUAUAUAUAUAUAUAUAUAUAUAAUCUCUAACUUUUUGGAUAUACAAAGUCAUGAUUGGAAUUGUUUGGAUACGAACCCAAGGUUCAUACACACUAAAUUCAUUUUAUAAUUUUUUGAGCAACUCCUUUUUUAUUCCUUCUUUGAUACAUAUAUAUAGAAGGGGUGUUUCUACGGUGCGGUCAAGUAAAAUUGACUUAUUUUAGAAAAAGUUACUUUGUUUAGUCAAUAAUAUAAUUGUUAAUGACAUGUGAGCUACUGUCAUGUUGGUAGACUACUCUAAGACUAAACUUUACCUUAUUAAAAAUCAAUCCUCAUACAAAAUAUUAAUUAUUUUUGAUUUAUUAACUUGUUUUAUUUAAAAUUAAAUCAUUUAUUAAUUAUGCACAAGUUAAAUCAUUUUUACUCAUCCGCUUUCUUCUUCAUCUACAUAAGGGAAUCUCGCUAAGACAUCUGUUCUUUGUGAGAAGAGAUUGUUUCAUCUUCUUGCUCCAGGUAUUGUAAUUGGUGCCGCUCAUCGGAGGAGAAAGGAAUUGAUGAAGAUGAACAUAUUCAAACUGAUGAAGAUGAAAGGGACUCGAAAGAUUUAUGAUUUUGAUGAUGAAAAGAUGAAGGAGAUGAAAAGCUCAUAGGUAAAAGGAACUGAUGUAGAUGAACUAUUUUGAUGCAUACGUUUUACGAUUCCAAAAUAAAAUAAUAAAAAAAAUGUUUAAAUUUUAUUUAAUCAGGGACACAAUGGCAAUAAGUAAAGAUACAAUAACACACCUUGUGGACAAAUGUGCAAUAAACCCUAUAAUCUGAAGUGACAUUGAUUAAAUACACAAAUGGUAAAUGAUUGGCUAUAUUUCACCAGAAAAAUCAUUCUCAUGAUUUCACUAUAGAAUUUUCCAUAUACAAGUGGUAAUUUUGUAAUAAUGACACAAAUUUACAAAAAAAUAUAUUAUGUUGGAAUUAGGUCUAAAUAAAAAUCAAUUUCACAGAACAUGCAUUUUUUUUGGGUACACAGCACAUGCAUAAUUUAUUAUGUUGGAAUUAGGUCUAAAUAAAGAUCAAUUUCACAGGACAUGCAUAAUACAAAUAAAAGUAUAGAUCAUUAGCGGAAGCAAAAAAAACUUUGAGCAUGAAUAUGAUCGAAUCUACAACAUGCAUGUAGAUCUAUCAAGAUACUAAUAAUUAGGUAUUAGGAAUACCUUGAUGAAGUUUUGAUGACAGUCCUCUCAACAACAACGAUAUGAAAACACACAAGAAAUAUUAGCGGCGAUAUAUUUUGCUCUUUCUCAAACGGUAUUUUUAUGCCUCAAGUUCUCCUUGGAUGGGGAGAAGAGAGAGUAUGGUGUGUACGGUGUACUGAGGAACAUAGGCUCUUUUAAUAUGAUGGUCAUUAGGGUUUCCCAUUAUUCCGUUAAUGUAUCAUCCAUAAAUCCACUCAUAUUGAGUUUCAUAUCAAUUAAUUAAUUAUUUAGAUAGAAAUCUAAUCAAACUUAUUACUUAGUUUGAUCACUAAUCUAAUCAAUUAAAGCUCCAAAUUGAUAAAUAGCUAAUAUAAUUAUGAUAAUAAUAUUUACCCACAUAAUGAUAUUGAAAUAUAAUUAAAUAAUAAAAUAAUCCAACGUAUUAUUCCAAGAAUUCUUUUCAAUGCACAUGAUUUUUUUUUAAUAAUGCACAUGAUUUUUGUUACAUAUUUUUAUAAAAUGGACAGACGCAAAACUCAAAACUUACAAGUCUUUCAUCUAUUUUUUUUUUUUUUUUGUGGUGUUCACAGUUUAAAUUCUAGACUUUACAUAUAUUAUACAUUGUCUUUAUCAACUGAGCUAAACUCAUAAGGACAAUCUUUCUUCAUUUAAACCAGUCUAUAGUUGAUAAUGUAGUUGGUAAUUGUUGAAUGUAAUUAAAUUAUGUGAAAUACUACAAUAAAUUUUACUAUAACGUACGACUUUUAGCUGUUGAUAAAAAUUCUUCCUGGCGGUUACAUGGAUUCAAAUAUGAACACUUGGAUAUCUUUUGUUAUAUGUGUGGUGUUAUAGACCAUACAAUCAAUACAGUAAGAAACUAUUCCUGAUCAAGAUUGAUAAUUUGUCCAUGAGUUUUUUUUUUUCAAAGCAGAAGUUCAUUGGAAUGGUGGUGGGACUAGGGGGUGUGCAUGGUUUAGAAAGCAAACCAAACCAAAUAUUGUAGAUGAUGGGAAGACGGUUUCAAUAUUUAUACCAGUCACAGAAGGAGUUGAUUCUUGGCGUGCUAAUUUUGAAAAUAAUUUUAUGUGAAAAUUAUUAUGUAAGGAUUUAAAUUCAACUGAUCUAAAUUAAAUCGCAAAUUGAUAAAAAAAAAUAUAGAAUUUUUUUUAAAAAAAAAAAAAAUCAAAUAUUUUUUAUGUGUUUGAUGCUAUUUUGUAAAGAUAGUUUGAAUCGGAUUUCAUAUAAAUUUUUUAAACCCCAUCCAAAUGUUUCUUUUAUCAAGUAAUCGCGGUUAGAAUUUCAUUUCUUAAAGUUUAUAAGUGAGGAAUUCGUGGUUCAAACCCGACCUCUUUAUAUUAUGGUAAAAAGUGUAAUUAAGAUAGGGUUUAGAUAUUAUUAUCAACCUCAAGUAACCUGAUUGUUAGAAUUUGACUUCUUGAAAUAUUAUGAAUAAAGACAUUUUUUUUUUGUUAGUGAAAAAUAAUAUUAAGCGUUUUAUUGCUUUUAUAAAAGGAUUAAUGAUUUGAGAUAAAGAAAAAUAAUAAGAAAAAUUCCAUUUAAAGACAGUUGGAGGAGUAAACUAUAAAAAUUUGUCUCAAGUUAUUCGUUCAAAUAUUAACCGUUAGAGGAGUGUCAUGAACACUCUCUUUCUACCACUCUUAACAUUUACUCUCGUAUAGUAUGAAAUAUAUGUAAAUAUAUGUGAAUACCAUAUUAUAGAAAUGGAUCCCACGUAAACUGAUUUGAGAUUCGCAUAGGUUUCACCCACGGUAGGUAGGUGUUAGAGAAUGUUAAAAAAAAAAUGUUCGUAAGAUUUCUAAUGCUUAACAAAAAACAUUGAUGACCUCGAUGAUGAUUGUAUCGCUUGGACGGUAACACGCCAACAAUUGCAUGAACACUUUAUACAUAACAGUGAGCAAUAAAACAAAGUUUCAUCAGAAAAUAUUUUGAAAUUAAACAUAUAUAGAUAGGUCCAUGAUUUGUCCGUGAUUGUUAAGUAUGUAAUGAGUGAUAUUUGUCUUUUUUCACUAAGGUCCAUCAAUGACAAGCAAGUAUUACGGAAAAUGUAUACCUCCCCGGUCGACCCUCUUCCAAGACUAUAAGCAAACUAGUCCUACAUAACAUCACAUAAUAUCAUAUACACAAACAAACGAUCGACUUUAUUGUUGCCAAAAUGAUUGAUUCCAUUAUUAUAUAUUAUUAUCAGUCACUUUUCAUGGGGUUUUCUUUAACAGAUUGUUUAUAUUACUACUUCUAGAAGUCAAUGAAAACAUGCAUCUUUAUGAAUAUGAUUAUGUGGAGAGUAAACAUGCACGUUAAAGGCCUACGUAGCAAUUUGAUACGUGCUUCCCGAUUUGUUUUCAUCUCCAAAUGAAAAAUUAAAAUAAAAAACUUGUCGAGGUGAAAGGAAAAAAAAUUAACAGUGAAAAUUUAUACCAUUUCAUGAUUUAAGUGUGGUAGUUCUUAAGCAGGGCCUUUAUUUCCUUCCCACUUCAUUUUGUAUUAGGGCAUAUCAUGAGUUAGCAUGCCUAUCUUAUUCCUUAUAUGAUUUAACAAUAGUCACUUAAAGUAUGAAACAAAUUAAAGCACAAAGAAUUUGUUUGCAUGUAUAUUGCAGGCACUAGCUCUCAUGCUUUAUACUCAAAAUUUAUGUGCGAUAGUCACGAAGACAUUACAAUAGUGUUAGUUAUCUCUAUUACAAUAUGUUGAUAUAUACAUGUUGAAUUGAAAUCCGCGAUUCCUCAAAAAAAUAUCUCAAAUAAAUGAGCGCAACAAGAUCAACGUAUGCCACUUUAUUAUAACUUCUAUUUAGUGGUUUUGAAUAUUUUCCUCAUGCAAGACGUAAGGCAAGUAGUUUAACUUUGACUAAUUUUAGGACUUUGUGGUUGUUUUGAAGUUUUUUUUUUGUCAAGCAGUCUAGUGGAUAUAAUUCCCCUGCAUAUAAUAAUGUAUGUUCCUGCCAACUGAGUUAUGUUUAUGGUGACGAUUGUUUUGAAGUUUACUUUGAUAAUAAAUGAUUUAAGAAGCGUAUUGAUGCUGUCGAAAUUUUAAAACUAAUUUUAAAUUUUAACGGCGGAGAUGUAUCAUAUGUUUAAAUCUUCAUCAGAUCGCAUGUGCCAUGAAAACCUAGUCCAUAUUCAAACUUCUAUCUAAAUAUAUACUUGCUAGAACACAAUUUAAAAGUUUUCUAUGUAGAAACCGAUUUAGAGUCUAAGAUUUGAACGUCUCUAAAUUGAUCACCAGUGGCUUAUUAGCGAUCAAUUUGACAUUUGCAAUAUCUAAAUUAAUCAAUAAAUAGCAAUGCUAAAACAUUAAAAUCAUUGAUUUUUUUUCUAUAAGCAAACUUUUUUAUUAGUGAGAUUAUAAGAGGCACUCCAACCCUUACAGCAAAAGUAAUCCGAAUUCUAUGAAUGGUUGCAUGCAGUGUACCCGCCAUAUCAAGUUCUCCAAAUUCAGUUUAAAACAAGAAAUAACCUCCUUACAUAUAAUGCGUUAAUUGUUAUACAUCAAAAUACCUUCACAAGAACACUACAUUCUUCCAUUUUAUAAAAGAAGUACCCUACUAUCAAUGUAUAUUUGGACAAAAAGCUUCAUAGUCUCAUUGACGUACGGUUCAAGCAGACGGACGCUAGCAAGGCAACAAUUGCCCCAACAAUUUCUCCAUAACAUUUAGAGCUCGUUUGGAUUAGCUUAUUUUAGAGCUUAUAUAAAACAGCUUAUGCAAAUAAAUAAGUUUUUAUGUAUUAUUUAUAAGUUUUUAAGCUAGUUUAUGAAAAAACAGUUAAUGAAGAUACGAUUUUUGCAAAUGAGAGCUUAUAAAUUAAAAUAAAAGCUUAUAUAUUUACAUAAGUUGUUUUUCAUAUGCUCAAAAUAAGCUCAAACCAAACAUGGAGUAUCAUAAGAAAAUACUUUGAAAUUAAACGUGAGAAAUGCUAACGAAUACCUUCAAAUCACUCUUUAAGGACCAAAAAUAAAUUUUUUCAAAAAAAAAGGACCAAAAAUAAUAUUUUUUAUGAAAAUUUGUGUCUUAUAAUGUAUCGAAAUUCCAUAAUUGUUCCUGAUCGUGAAUUAUUCAAGUUAAAAUAGUCUUUUAGGUUAAAAUGCUCCAUUAAUAUUGUCAUAUCAAUCCCUCAAUAUACUAAUUAUUGUCGUACCAAUUAAUUCCUAUUAUAUAAAAAGAGUUUACAUCAACAUUGACGGACCAUUUUAACAUCAAAUAUUAUUUUGACUAACGAAAUACACAAUAAAAAAUUAUUUUAAAAUUUUGAUACAAUUAUCGAUUGGUCCAUGUGACGUGAUUUUUUUUUUUUUUUUAAAAAAAGCAAAAAUGGAAUUUAUUAAAAUCACAAUAACUCCUAACCAGCAUAAGGAAUGCUAGACUAACAUACAAAGGAAAAUAAAAGUUGUACCCAAAACCCUCACCCAAAAUACAAAAAAAUUAAAACCCUCAACCAACAUCACAAGCUGUCAUAAAAAACAAUUUCCACCACCUACGAUCCGCUGUUUGCACACAAUCCCCAAACAACAAUGUCAAGAACCAACACAACAAGUAACAACUUUUGAAAAGCAACAAAGAUUGAAACAACAACAACCACCUUCGCCACAACAACAAUCGAUGUCACAUUAACGAAUCCACCUUUGCAACAACAACAACAACCAGCGCAACAACAAAUCCCCCUUCACGACAGCACAACAAUCAACGCAACAACCAAAUCCACCAUCACAACGGCAACACCAUCGAUCCACAUCGACAAACCAUCAGAUAACAGUAGUCGAACUGGAUGAGAAGGUUCUGAUCGAACCCAACCGUUGAAGACCCACCGGCACCUCCUCACACCACCAAAAAUGUGGCCUACAUCACCACCUCACACCACCAUCACCUCAUCCACAAAGAUCUGGAUCGGAAGGAAACAUCCACCACACUAAAACACCAGACAACCUGUGUUUUUCUAACGGCCGCAAACUCAGUACCCACAAGAAAGAAAACAGCACCACUGCAGCUAACAGUACCAAAACUACCAUCAUCACCUCCUCUUACCACCAAAGUCGAGACUUAUCUCACCGCCAUCACCACGUCACACCACCAUCACUUCCUCCACACAAAUCUGGAACAGAUCGAAACAAACACGAAACAGCCGCCACGAAAGAACGAACAAAAACCGCGAACAACAACAACCACAGUCUACCGGCGCGGAAACCUCCGGGAGAUCUGGAAAGGAUGGUGCGGAUGGCUAAAGCCGACCGUCGCACCACCACCAACUGAUGUCUACAUGAUGACGGCAAAAUUUGGAUGAAAAGGGAAAUGGGUAAGUGUUUGGCGGUAAAGAAGUUAGAUAGAAGGGAGAGGAGAUUCUAGAGAGAAGUUUCUAGGGUACGACUACGUGACGUGAUUGUCAAGCAUGUAUUGUGCAAAGAGGUAUUCUUCCAUGGUCACAAGAUCAAAUCAAUACUGUUUGGACACACACAUAAAAAGAUUCUCCUCAAACUAUUCAAUCAUCUUUUUUAUCAAUUUCCUUUUUAUUAUUUAAAAAAUACUUCUUUAUUGUGCAAAUUAGUCCCACAUAACUUGAACUCAUAUGUACAAACUAACAAUCGACUUUAUUGUUUCCCAAAUGAUGCCAAACAAUCGACUCUAUUCUCAAUCACUUUUCACGGGAUUUUUAUUUACCAACAAUUUAUCAGAAGUAAAAGGAAACAUGCAUCAUUAUGCAUCUUUAUGAAUAUGUGGAUAUUAAAACAUGCACGUUAAACGCCUACGGAGCAAUUCCAUACGUGCUUCUCGGUUUAAUUUCAUCUCCAAAUGAAAAAUUAAAAUAAAAAAAACUAGUCGACGUGAAAAACAAAAAAAAAAUAGAGACAUGGUCUGCCAUAGAACAUUUAAUAAAGGCUUAAUUGCACUUUUAGUCCCCUAUCUUUCUAAAAAUUGUGAUUUGGUCUCUAGCUAAUUAAAAUACAAAACAACCCUUUAUGUAUUGGAUCUUUGGCAGUUUUAGCCCGCAAUGCCACUUUUGACUUAGUCUUCGAUGACGUGGCACCCACAAUGGUUGACACAUGGCCUCCUAUGUAUUUUAUUAAAUGUUUUGGUGCGCCAUAUAACAUUUAAUAAAAUCAGGAAGAAAUUGAAAAUUAAAAAAAUAUUGUUCGCAGAGUUUCAAUCAGACCGUGUCAUAAAAAACAUGCACAGUCUACUAAAGUUAAAUAUUACCGAUUUUGUUGUCUCUUGGAGGAUGUUGUCCCUAUAGGACCAAUCCUAAUUACCACCUUAAUGGUAUCAAAUUUGUACUAUUCCAUUGCGUGAUUUAAGUGUGGUAAUUCUUAUAACCACUUUUAUUUCUUUCCACUUCAUUUUCUAUUAGGGCAUAACAUGAAUUAGCAAGCCUAUAGUAUUCCUUAUAUGAUUUAACAAUGGUCGCUUAAAUUAUGAAACAAAUCACAAAGAAUUUGUUGGCAUGCAUAUUGCUAGCAUUAGCCGUCAUGCUUUACACUCAAAAUUUAUGUGCGGUAGUCACAAAGACAUUACAAGGGAGCAAGCGACAACGACAACUAAGCAACGUAGUGAUGGCACUUGGGAGUUACUACUCCUUCAUCCACAACACAUUGCGUGAAAGUUACAUUUUGAUGACCAAAUAAAUUUACAAUCGUGUUAAUUAUCUCUACUGAAAAUAUGUUGAAUUGAGCGCAACAAGCUAAACACAUUUCACUUUAUUAUAAUUUUCUAUUUGGAGUUUUGCAUAUUUUCCUCUGGCAAUAGAUGAAGGGCGUAAUAAACCACAAGUCCAUUUUCAACAAGGAAUGUUUAAAACUCCCUAUGGAAUAAAUGAAACUUCUCCGGUCAUAUUUGUUUUGAACCUCUUAUAUAUGGUAUAAGCUGAGGAAGAGGAAGAAAUUGCUCAGCAAGAGAGGACAUUACUCUAGAUCAUAUCAAGUACGAGACCUAAAGACCAGAAGGCUUAUAGAAAGCCACAAGCCUAAAGAUAACUGCAAACUACUUUAUAUUUUAUGUCAAAUGCACUUAAAGGUCCUUUAAGUUUUUCAUUUUUCCUAAAAUCGUCAUUUAAGUUUCAAAAGUCCCAAACAAGUCCUCUUAGUUUUUGAAUCGUUUCAAACAAGUCCUAUUGUAGAUAGCAUAGUUGGUAAUUACUUCUUUGAACUCAUCUUUGGUACCAAAUCUGGCUCCUAACACCCACUUAAAAUUAGUCAUCUUUUUAGUCAUGACAAAUGGUGGAUAAUGCUCUUUGUUGCUAUCAUCUAAAUCAUCACCAUCAUCCUCUAAAAGGAAUUGUUUGAAACGAUUCAAAAACUAAAAGGACUUGUUUGGGACUUUUGAAACUUAAAGGACUUGUUUGAGACUUUUGAAAAUUAAAGGACGACUUUGGGAAAAACGAAAAACUUAAAGGACUUUUAGAUGCAUUUGACCUAUAUUUUAUUAUAUGUAAGUUUAGAGUUCGCACUAACACUAAAAGAAAUCCUUGAAUUGGCAGCAAGGAUUUGCUGCGGACUAUACUCCCACACAAACUUGCGGUGGAUUACAUGCAUUUGCGGUGGAAUAAUGUGUCGCAAACCUUUACGAUUGAAAUUAGGUUCACGCAAAGUCUGACCUGAAAAAUAUGGGAUUUGCGGUGGAAUAAAUUCAGCAUAAAGGUUGGGCGAAGAAAAAUGAAAUUUGAAUUUGCGUCGGAUUACAUUCCAACAAAAACGUCAAAGCUGGCCUAAAAAAAAUGAGAUUUACGGCAAAAUAAAUUGGCCAGAAGGAUUAAUUUAUUAGAUAAAUGUUAGAGAUUUUUUUUGUAAAGAAAAAAAUAGUUAGAGAUAAAAAUACCAAGAUAUGAUUACAUUAAAUUUAUAAUAAAUAAAGGAUUAUCUAUUAAUUUUAUUAUAUAGUAACAAAUUUAUAUAUAUCUAUGCUAUAUAAGCAAAUUUGAGUAUAAGAAUUCUAUUUACUGGUGUCGUUACAAAAAGAUAAUUUUAUAUAUUAUAUUUGUUAUUUUGUUGGCAUAAUUGAAAAAGAUAAGUAUAAUUUAUUACAAUAUAAAAGUGCAAAAUAUCUACAUUUAUACCUAUAAUUUUAAUCAAAAUCAAAAUAAUUUUAAUUAAAAUUUCAUAAAAGCUAUUUUUCGUAAUUAAUACGCAUUAUUGCAAUAAGAAGAGUGGACAGAUGGCCAGAGUGCCCGUCUGAACACAAUUAUUUUAAUGGGAUAGUUUUAUUAAAGACAAUUAUUUUAAUGAGAUAGUUUUAUUAAAGACAAUUAUUUAAAUUAAAUAUAUUACUUAGAUAAACAACAAUUAUUUAAAUUAAAUGUAUAGCAAGAUAAAAAUAUAUUUUUUUAAUAUCGUUGACAUUUGCGUCCGCCAAUAUCUACACUAAAUAUAUCGCAUGGCAUUUGUCUCAUCUUGCUACUGCCACAGAAAAAUAAAAAAAGGUUGACUUUGCGUCGGCUCUUAAUCCGUCGGUAUGUCAUAUAAGAGAAAAAUAAAAAAGGUUAUAUAUAAUUUUGUUUUCAUCAUAUCAAUGCCUCUAUUCCCGUUCUUAAUGAUUUUUUCGACGUGCAAUCCGAAAAGGAACUCUUGACAUUAGAAGUAAUAGACGUAGACUUUAUUUGUAAGGGACAUGAGUAUAAGCAUUUGUGGAUGUUAGUUGUGAGACCUUAAGAUAUGAGUUCCGAUGUGCAUAUGAUUUUGUGCAUAAGGGACAUGCUUCUAUUCCCAUUCUUAAAGAUCUCGCUUCUACAUAUGAGUUUUGAUCUCCAUUUCCGUUCAUAAAAAUAAGUACAAGAAAUAACUCAAACACAAUCGAUUUUGUUACACUUUAUUCUGUUACAUACCACUCAUUCAAAUAAUAUUAGAUUAAAAAUUAAAAUUAACAAUAAAAACAUUGUUGCGUAGAACUAAUAAUAUCGCACAACUAUUUAAAGAUCUCAAAGAGAAAUGAAAUCACAAAGGUUGGAAUCCCAAAAGGAGUAAUCAAUGGUAGAAAACUCCAUACUAAAGUACUCCUCUUGUAAUGAAGAGCAUGAGCCAAUUUUCUCACUGUCUACUGGCUCCCCCAAGUUCCACAAAUUAUCGGUCAACAUUGCACAUGGUAUUGCAACAUUAUCUUUUUUUGAACAAAGUAUUGCAACAUUAUCUAUACUUGGUUGUGAAGAGGAAACAUAAUCUCUACCAACUUGAUUUGAAACCGUAGUACCUAAUGAGGCAUUAGAAUCUCUGGGAACAUUACCAUCUUUAUUUGAAGCCAGUACUGGUUGUGUAACAAAAUUAUUUUGCUUCUUGUUCAACCAUGGUGAAUGAGUUGAAAAAAUUCGAGGUUGAGGUUUAAUAACUUCAUGUGUUUUCAUAGUUUCCUUAUGUUUCUCUUUUUCUUUCUUUUCUUUUUCUAAAGCAAGCUUCUUCCGCAAAUUUGUGUGCCAAUAGUUUUUCACAUCAUUCGCUGUUCUACCGGGAAGCCUUGCAGCAAUCAAUGACCAUCUGUAUAUCACAUGUUAAAUAGCUGAAAUAUUAUCUAAACAAGAAGUAUAUUAAAUAUAGGCUAAAAUGCAUUCUUGGUCCCCUUAAUUAUUUAGGUAGUAUCGCUUUGGUCCCUUAAAUUAAAAUUCGAUUUAUUUUGAUCCCUUAUAACUUCUCUCUGUUACAUAUUUUGGUCAUUUCCGUUAGUUUUAAUUCAAAAAUGUUAGGUUUUCUUUAUUUUCUUCUCCUCUUUUUCAUCUUCAUAUCAUAUCAUCUCCAUCAACCUUGAACAACAAGAAUCCCAGAAAAAUUACAAAUGAAAAUGAAGAAAAUAACGUUUUUGAAUUAAAACCAAAGGAAAUGUACAAAAUGUGUAACGGAGAGAAGUUAAGGGACCGAAAUAAAUCGAAUUUUAAUUAAGGAACCAAAGCGAUACUACUAAAUAGUUAAGGGACCAAAAAUGCAAUUUAGCCCUUUAAGAAGAACUUAGAUAUGUUUGCAUAAAUAUAAGAAGCAUACACAAACAAAUUUGAAUUUUGCCAUGGAAGCUUACCUAUUACCUAGAAGUUUUUGUAACCUUAGGAUCAGAUCAACUUCAUCCUCAGCAAAGCUUUCCCUUUUGAUGUUGGGGCUUAAAUAAUUUAACCACCUCAAUCUACAACUUUUUCGGCAUCUACUCAAUCCUGCCAAGUGUAACAAAUACUUUAACAAUAUACAUGUAGAAAUGAAAUUAUGCAUAUGAUUAAUUUAUGAUUACUUCAAUAGAAUAUAGUAGUGCACUUUUAAAUGUCACUCUUUAUAAACCUAGUUCAGACCUUAUAUAGUUGUUCCGCUUAACUGAUUAUAAGCCAAAUACACAAUAUAUAGAAUAAGCAACAUUCGUUAAUACCUGCUCUCUGUGGAACAAAAUGCCAUUUUCCUUCACCAUACUUGUUAAUGCAAGCCUUGAGUAGCUUAUCUUCCUCAUAUGUCCAGGCACCUCUUUUCACUGCUCUCGUAUUAUCCAUACGCACCUUUCCUCGUAUGUACGCUUUCCUAAUUUGUUCAUAUAUAUAUACACACAAAUAUAGGUAUGGUAUUUUGUCUUGUACAUAUCGUGGUUUUUCGGGUGGACAUAGUUGCUUAAUUUGUGUAGCAUAGAAAUCUCUUUUAUCCACUUACUUAGAAAUAUGAAGGGCAACCUACUAGUAUUUGUGGUGGUCUUAAUUUACUAUGGAAUUUAUAAAAAGAAUCUCCAAGAAAAUAGCAAUUACAUUUAUAUAUUCAUGAAAAGCAUAUUAAUCGAAAUCAACAUAAUUAGUUGAUGAUUGUUCUCUACGUCGAGCUCUAUUUAUUUUUUCAUGUUGAUGUAGUAAUUCAAUACUUGUUGUUUAAUUUAAAAUAAAUUGACAAUGCAAGUACAAAAAAAAAAAAAAUUGUAUGUAUUUAAUUUUGAGAUUAAUUAACAAACUCAGUUUUUUUUUUGGACAAAUAAUAUACUUUGUUAUAGUGUUUUACACAAGGAUCCAAUAACAUGUUGUCCGUUCAAUUAAUAAAUAUGACAACUCAUCUUGUGAGAGAGGUAAGAAAUUAAUAAUGGUCCUGCUAACUUAUGUUCAUAGGACACAUGUUAAGGAUUCCAUAAAUGAUAAAUAUUUUUAUUUAUUUUUUGUAUAAGCAAGGAGUGAAGGCAGGCAUCAGGAGACGUCAUCGACAUCCCAACUAGGUUGGCACCCCGAGAUACCUCCGUCGUAUGCCGCCACACUACAAAAAAAAUUAUUAAAAAAAGGGGGAAAAUAUUUACAAAAGGAGGGGGGGACUAGACCAAUACCCUCCAAGAAGCCAAAUAAAAUGAAACAGAAAAAUAAAUAGAAAGCAGACAAAUACAGAAAACAGAUUAUGGAAAUCUGUAAUUAGGGAGACCGCAUCUAUCGCGAAAAAAAUCAGGCUUCAAAUCAUUCGGCAGUGUGUCAAGCCAAAUCUCACCAGUCAUGGAGUGCCCCAAAUUAGCUAAUUUAUCUGCACAACAGUUGCCUUCACGGAAAAUGUGAGAAGAAAUAACUUGUAUUCCAAGGGUGAUAGCAUUAUGCCAUCUAUUACGCAGCAGCAUAGGCACCAAGCUAUGGUUCGAAAAAAUCAUAAGAGCACUUGUUGAAUCGCCCUCAAUCCAAAUAUUCCUCCACCCUUGCUGGUCCGCAAACUCUAUAGCUAAAAUAAUAGCAAGAACCUCCGCAUAAUAAACAGACUGUAUACCAACGUUACAAGAAAAGGCACCAAAGAACGUACCUAAGUGGUCACGAAACAGACCACCACAAGCCGCGAAACCACCCACCACCAACACAUCUGUGUUAACCUUCAGCCAAAGCAUCAAGGAAAGCGAAAUCAAAUUGCAAACACUUACCUUUAGAGAGGUUACCGGACGAUGCUACCAAAUAGUGAAUACGAACUUUGGCUGAAUGUAAAGAAGGCGAAAAUGUUGUAAAACGCAAAGAAUUUCUAACCCACAAAAUAGUGUGCAGAGUGUGCACGAUUGCUGCCACAAAAACAUCGGACACUUGGGAAGAGCAACGCGCCGGAACACAAGAGAGAAGCGAAUCAGUUGUUGAGCAGUCAAUUGGCCGAUUGAGCUUACCACCAAUCCAUUCCCAAAGCUUCUUAGAAAAUUGGCAUCGAAGAAACAGAUGCUCGGAUGUUUCAUUAGAUGUCAAGCAUAAAUUACAAAUUGAUACAACAUUGCAGCCACGACGCCUAAGGUUUUCGUCUGUGGGCAUCUUACCAUGGUGGAAUCUCCAAUAAAUGAAUGAGUGAGAAGGCGGAAUAGAAGAGCUCCAAAUUAAGUUUGCCCAAGGUAGCAGGGUUGCCCUUGGACGGAGAAAGGAAAAAGCUUGUUUCGCGGUUAAAAUUCCGUCAAAACUGUGCGGCCAAACUAACACAUCAGCAAGCUGCCCUCUAGGCAACACAAUGGCUUCUAGACGAUCCUUGAUGUCUCCAUAACCGGUGAUAGAUGAAGGCAGCACCAGCGCGCCAUUUACAAUUGCUUCAGAGACCAUACCUUUGAAAUUCCCAUGAAAAGCAACAUCAAUUUGAAGUAAAUCAACCAAGGGCUCACCAAGCCAAUUGUCCGUCCACAAAUGAAUACGCUCUCCUGUGCCUACAAUCCAAGUAGAGUUUGCCAUAACAGUACCAAUAUGCAUUUUGAUGCCCGAUUAAAUCGAAGAUUUGACAUGAUAAGAGAGUGGAAGACCAUUAGAAAAAAAACCUUCUCUUGAAGAGAGUCGACCAUUGUGAGUCUUUAACCAAUAAAUCCCACGACAAUUUUAGAAUUAGCGCUUCAUUAAUCAAGCGAGUAGGCUUAAUAUUCAGCCCUCCCUCUUCCCAUGGACGACACAUAUUAUUACAAAACAUUAAUUUUCAAUCUUUAAAGGAAUAAAUUGACACAAUUUUAUAUACAAAAUUUUAUUUAGGCACACACUCACAUAUGAAAAAAAAAAUUAAAAAGAUUAGAUUUAAAUGAUAUGACCAAAUAAUUUCUCUUUUAAUUUUUUACAUUUGUGUGUGUGCGUCCAAAUAAAUCCAUGUAAGAAUUGUUCGUGCCCUAAGGACACAAGUUAACAUUCCCCAUUAAAAGUUGGUUACUAAUUGUAUUUUUUUAUUACAUGUUGGUUACUAAAUGUAUUUUUUUAGAGGAGGGAUAUAUUGACUCCAAGAGUAAGUCUAAAGAGUUACUCCACAUCCUCACCCUUCAAUUUAUCUAAUUUUAAUGGACUAUAUUUGAUGCUUAUUAAUAAUCAUGUGACCUCAUUUACCUUAACCAAUCUCACCACAUUAAUUACAAUUUUCAUCAUUUGACUCCAUCAAUAUUUACCUUUUAUAAACACAACUAUUUUUUUUUUGAGGGAAUAAACACAACUAAUUUUUGGUAAGUUGGUAAAGAAAAUAUAGUCCCUAAUUAUUUUUUACAACCUCCUCUCAUCUGCAACUUGUUCAUAAAAAAUUCUAAAAGAAACUUCGUUGCAACUAUUUCACGAUUCACAAUGCAAAUUACAUAUAUUUUUAUUAAUACCCAUUAGUAUGUAAUUUUUGGAAUGUGUUGAUGCUUCCAUAUGUGUUUUCUUUUGUUUGGAUUAUCCAUACGUGCUUUUUAGAAAUGAUUAUUGUUGGCUUAUUCUUUUUGAGGAUUGAUCAAUGGACUUUUAUGUUGCUAACCCUAGUUUUUAAUUAAAUUUAACCAUGCCUUUGAAUUUGAGUUAGACAUAUCUUUUGUCUAUUUAUCGUGGAGAUGCAAAGCCCUGGAUUUAAUUUUUUGACAUGAUUUAAUUUUUGAAAUGGUGGUAACAAUAUAGUAACGUAAGGUUAAUCGUUGAAAAAAAAAACUCAUGUGAUUAUUGAUAUUUAUUGAAUCAAAAAGGAAAUCAUAAUUUUAUUUUUUUAGGUAAAAAAGGAAAUCAUUAAUAUUCUAAAAAUGAUUGGGUAGAUGAGAUCAUAUGAUUAUUAAUAACCUAUAAAUCUUGGCCAUUAAAUUUAGAUAAAAUGGAGGGUGAGGAUGUGGAGUAACUCUUUAAACUUACUCUUGGAGUCAAUAUAUCCCUCCUAUUUUUUUAUUACAUGAAACUAAAACAAUUAUGAAAGUUUGUUCUUUUCUUAGUAUUUGUCGCUCCCCUGAUAUACAAUAAACCACUACUGUCAGUAUUAUAGGCCAUACAAUACAAUCAAUCUUCCACCGAGGUUGAUAAUGGAGUCUGGGAAGACGAUGUCAAUAUCAGUGUCAAGAUCAAACAAAGCUGGUGUUAAUUCUUCAGUGUUAAUUCUGGAAACAAUUUUAAUGCUGCAAUAAAUGAGAAUGCUACAUUAUUAACGUACGGCUCUAUGAGAAAUUCUAGCGAACAAAAAGUCGGUAAUGGACGGAGUGAAUAGAUGAAGUUCUGGGGUGAGGGUUAGGGGACAGUUUAUAGGAAAAACAAUUUGAAUGUGUCAGGGAGACAAGCAUUUAAUAUUGGGGUCACCAAAUAAGAAAUAAUGCAUCAAUUCUAAGGGUUUCAAAGAUGGAUUUUUUGCUGAAUGUUGAAUACUCCACUUAUGCCCUCACUAGCAUCUAGCAUUACGACAGUACAGUCUAUUUUUUAGAAGCAUGCAUAAGUUGGAACUAUUGAGACAAAAUAAUUUAAGUUUCUUGUUGUGAAUCCGGCUCAACUAAUGAACCUUCACAUCAAUGAGAAUAAACCAAUGAUGUGUGGAGCAAGUGAUAGAGAUAAUCUAUGAGUGCAAAUGACCUCCAAGCUAACAACAACAAAACAGCCUAAGCCUAAUGUAUAGCAAAACCACAUAUAGAGCUAACAAGCAUACAGGAUAAACGAUAAAAGGAAAAGAACAAACACCGAGCAAGAUUGUUGACCCAGUUCAGCCAAUGUGGCCUAAUCUGGGGGGGAGAGCAGCUCUCCAAUCCAAUAUGUGAAUGUGUUACAAAAGAGUUACAAGAAUCUAGCUUUUCAAGCUUUACACAUGAACAAACCCUAGACCUACCCUUUCGGUUAUUUUCCCUACCCCUCCACACUAUGAACCAAUAAUCCCAAGGUGAUUACAAUGUUGUUUUCCCAACCUAAGAAACACUCUCAUCAAAGGAACACACCCCAAAGGAUCCCCAUCUUUGAUCUCCAAGUUUUCUCUCUUAAGCUCUCUUAAGGUUAUCUCCAAAAAAGCACAAGAACACUUUAAAUACUAGUCAUGCCCUGAAGAAAUCGUGCCACGAUUUCCCUAGAUCGUGUCACGAUCUGCAACGGUCCCCAGGUUGACCAGUCCUUAUCAGAGAUACUUAACCAGCAAGUUUCUGAAUCGUGUCACGAUUUCCCAAGAUCGUGCCACGAUUUUGCUUCCAGCAAACUUGGCUCACGGCAUCUCCGAUCGUGUCACGAUUGCCAAAUCGCGACACGAUUCCUCUGUUCUUCCAAACCACAAAUUUGAAGCCAAUUUUCAACAUUUCUCCACCUUGACUUCUAAUUUGGUGGUGAUGUCAAUUUAACCAUCAACCACUAUGCUGCUCUCUCCAAAAGGGAAUUACUCUUCGACAAACUUGAUCAAGUCCAAGCAAUGCUUGAAUCUUGAUCGAGGCAAUGACUUGGUGAACACAUCCUCCAGAUUCUCCUCCGAUGCCACUUUCUCAACCACAAUCUCUUUUGUUUCAAUCAUGUCUCUGACAAAGUGCAGGCGAAUGUCAAUGUGCUUUGUCCUUUCAUGAUACACUUGAUGAUUUGCCAAGUGAAUGGCACUUUGGCUAUCACAAUGUAUCUUCACACAUUCUUGAGUAAUUCCUAACUCACCAAUCAUCCCUUUCAACCAUAUGGCCUCCUUCACACCUUCAACAAGUGUGAUGUACUCCGCUUGAGUUGUAGAUAAUGCCACCACGGAUUGUUGAUUUGCCUUCCAACUAAUCGCCGUGCCAUAAAGAGUAAACACAAAACCCGACAAGGAUUUGCUAGUGUCCACGUUGCCCGCAUAAUCCGCAUCAACAUACCCCUCCAAAGCGUCUUCAUCUUGAGCUGCCCUUGUGUACUUCAAACCGCCCUUCAACGACCCAUUCAAAUACCUCAAAACCCACUUCAAAGCUUGCCAAUGCACAAUUCCCGGAUUUGCCAUAAACCGACUCACAAUGCUAACCGCAUAAGCCAAGUCCGGCCUACUACAAACCAUUCCAUACAUGAUGCUUCCAACCCCACUUGCAUAGGGAGUACCUUCCAUCAAUUGCUUCUCAUCCUCGGAUUGAGGACAUUGUUGUAUGGACAACUUUGUGUGGUGACCCAAGGGAGUGCUUACGGUUUUAGAGUUUGACAUUCUAAACCGCUCCACCACCUUCUUCAAAUAACCAAGUUGAGAUAAGAAAAGUUCGCCUUUGUCACGAUUCCUCUUGAUAUCAAUCCCAAGAACUCUCUUUGCCGGACCAAGAUCCUUCAUCCCAAAUUCACCAUUUAGCCUCUCCUUGAGCUUCAUAAUCUCAUCCUUGCUAGAGCUUGCCAUCAAGAUAUCAUCCACAUAUAGAAGAAGAUAGAGAAUGACUUUCUCAUUCUUCUUCAACAUGUACACACAAGAAUCAUAUCCGCUUCUCACAAAACCGGUCUUCAAAAGAAACUCAUCAAACCGACGAUACCAUUGCCUAGGGCUUUGCUUCAACCCAUACAAAGAUUUCUUCAAAAGACACACCUUAGACUUGUCCUCCACAAAACCUUCCGGUUGCUCCAUGUAGAUUGUCUCUUCAAGGUCACCAUGUAAGAAAGCGGUCUUCACAUCCAUUUGUUCCAACUCAAGAUUGAAUUGAUUCACAAUAGCCAUAAGUAUCCUUAUGGAACAAUGCUUCACCACCGGUGAAAAGAUCUCGUUGUAGUCGACCCCCUCCACUUGAGUGAAACCCUUUGCCACAAGUCUUGCUUUAUACCUUGGACCUUCAACACCCGGAAUGCCAUCCUUUUUCUUGAAGAUCCACUUGCAUCCAACUACCCUUUGGUGAUUAGGUAGCUUCACAAGUUUCCAAGUUUGGUUCCUUUCCAAUGAAUCCAUUUCUUCAUUCACCGCUGUUAUACCCUGAUUUUGGACCUAAAAAUACUCGUUCAAACUUCUUUUUAACACUGAUAUUUGUCAAUUCGCUGUUGUUUUUUCUCUGAAUCUUUACUCUCUUUUUAAACGAAUUUUACUGCCUCUGUCUUUUCUGACAUUCCAAGUCCUUUAAGAACUCUCUGAAACGUCGCGUUACUUUUUCUUGCAUUUUAUUUCAAAAAUCAUACAAAAAGGGUAUUUUGGUCAUUUCCUGCAAUGGAACCCAUUUUAGUCCCUGUGUUUGCCUCUGAGUCUUUUCAACUUGUCUGUACGAAUUAUUGUUGAGUCUUUGUUAAAAAAAUCAUUUCAAAAAUUACAUCUGAGUCAGUUUGAGUCAGUUUAGUCCCUAGGGGCAUUUUGGUCUUUUCCUGUCAAAAUUUCGACAGGGAUGUAUUUUAAAAUACCUCAUGUCGGUAUUUUGUUCGUUUUAGUCCGUUUGUUGAUUUUAUUUUUCGUUUCACUUUACCUUUUUACCAAUUACCAAUUUUAAUUCAUUUUAUUUUUUUAUUUACAUUUCGGUCCCCCCAAAAGAGUCCCAAAAUUGCAUUUUUGUCCAAUACUUUUUUUUAUUGCAUUUUUUUUAGUCUUUUUUAUUAUUGCAGAUUAGUCCUCAUAUUAACUUUUUUGCAGAUUAGUCCAUAAGUCCAAAACGGUCCAGAUGUCAUUUUUUUCAUUGGUUCUCAGAUGCACAUGGCAGGCUAUAAAUAGUAAAUGUGUCAGAUCCAUCACAAGAGUCAGAAAAAUCAGAAUCAAUCACAAUCACUCCCAAAACAGAAUCUUUUUCUCUCUCUCAUCCAUAACAGAAUCAAAACAGAAAAAAGCUGAGAAAAAGAGGAAGAACACCAAGAACACUUCAUCACCAAAAUCAACAGAUCCAAACCGGAUCUGCUCCAAAACAGCCCCAACCACCACAAAAUCAACAAAUCCGAACCGGAUUCACUCAAAACCACCGCGAAACAUCACAUCAACACAAAAACGUACCGGAUUUUCGAGCAAAAACAACGCCGACGGAGCACAUAGCGCGCGCGCGAGGAGAAGAGGAGGACUCGAAGUUUUUCGAAGGUUUUUCUCCGUUCUACGACAGAGGUAACGCAUUUCUCUCCCCUUUUUCUCCGUUUUGCGCGCAUAUGUAGUGAAAAAGUGUGAAAAAGUUUGUUACGGAUAUGUAUUUGUAGAUCUAGGCUUGUACGUUCGGAUUUUGAAAAUUUUGAGGCCGGAUUUGGACACUAGAGCGAAAAGGAUAUCUAGAUCCGUGGUUUUUUUUCAAAAAAAGUGUGAAAAAAUUUUUCAAAGAAAAAUGUAGAUCUAGUCCGAAUCGCUCCGUUCUCGCUAAAACUAACGCCAGAUUUGUGUAGAGGAGGUGGUGACGGAACUUUUGAUGUAAAAAUUUUGAAAAAAAAUGAGUUUGUAAUUUUCCUAGCGCGGUGGCGCCGCCGCCGGAACCGGCCGGCCGCCGCGCCGGAACCACCACCACCACCCACGCUCGCCGGCGGCGAGUUCCUAGAGAGAAGGGAGAGCUUCUCUCUCUAAGUAUGACUUAGAGAGAGAAGAAGAAGAGUUUUAUGAGUUUUUGUGUGAAAUUCCUUUUAUACUCCCUCCGAUCCCACGCGCGCGCGUGCGUGCUCUUGUUGUGUUCCCUCGCUCUGUGAACCAUCAGAUCUGGAUUGUUCCAAGAUCUGAUGGCUGCUGUGUAUUUGAUUUUGAAUCCUGUGCGUGACUUUUUGUGUGGAAUAUGGUAUAUCUUCUGUUUGAACCGUUAGAUCUUUGAUCUAACGGUCACUGUGCUUCCUGCAUUUUACACUAUCUUUGGUGUCUUUUUUUCUGGACCCUUUGUAUUCUUUGAUCUAAUGGCUGUGAUGUAAUCGUUGGGGGCUAGAUCUGGACCUCUGGAUUCAUCAAACGGUCCAGAUUAAAUCCUGCUGAGUUUCUUUUUAAUUGCUUUUUAAUUGUGUUUUAAAUACCUUUUUUACACUUUCUUGGUGUUUUAUGCUUCUAAAAAAUUUUCUAAAAAUAUUUCCCUAUCAUUUUAAUUUUUUCCUCUAAGUUUUAGAAUUUAUUUGCUUAUUUUUGCAUUUAUUUUCUUUACUUUGUUCUUUUAAUUCUUGCUCAUUUAAUUCUUGCUCAUUAAAUUCCAUAUAUGUUCUUGAUGCAUUUUUUCAUAUUGUGAUAUUUUGGCAUGUGAAAUAAUGUGUGAAAAUAUCUCUAGGAAUAUGAUAUAAUGCUUUGCUUGUGUGUGCUCUUAUGAUCCUCACAUUGUAGCUUAAAUUCAAACCUUUCAAAAAAAAUGGCUAUAAUGAGGAAAUUAUAGGUCAUAUGCAUGUAUGAGUGCUAUACCUAAAUUCUAGGUGUAUUUUUUUACCACUUUAUUUCAUUUCAUUACUUUUUUUUCUCUCUUGCUAUUCUAUUCAAUUUUGUUUACCUUUCUACUAUUUUUAUGCUUUAUGAUACUAACCAUCUCAUCUCACAUUUCAUUCAUCCUAUAGUUUUGGCAUCAUUUUUUCCAUUCAUUUCUAUAUCAAUUGGGUUUGUAAUAAUCUUAGAUAGAUUAGUUCCUUUUAAAAUUCUUCACAAAGACCAUAGCAUGUAUCUAGGACAAUGUAAAGGACUAUGGACAUUAUAAGGGAUGUACACCGACACAAGCACCGACACGCACACACGUUGCAUGAUUACCGCUUAGAUGUAUGCUUAGGUUCUACAACGCUUAGAAAAAAAUCAUUUUUUCAAAAAUAUGAAUAACCUCACUUGAAAACUUUUUUUUUAAAAUAGGAGUCAAAACUCCUCAUUUCCCUUUUGUUUUCUUAAGAAAAAAAUCCCAAUGAAUUUUAAUCAUACUUAGACUUUAUUUUACAAAAUAACUACUUCCACCUCACAUUUUCCAAAUCUCAUGCCCUUGAGGCCUCUCAUCUCCAUUCUUCAAAAUUCCUUUUUCAAACUUAAAAUCAACCAACAAAAACAAAAAACCUUUUUUGAGAACGAACUACGAUUGGUUUUGAUCCCUUAAAAGGGUACGUAGGCAAUGAGUCAAAACUCCUCCAAGCCAAAUAAAAAUGAGAUCUCAAUCAUCUUCUCUCCCCCAUUCUUCACUCAAAUAAAACUUCUUUUCUUUCAGUAGACAAUAAAAAUAAAGCGUAGAAAUAAGCUUAGGAGAACGGUUCUUAUGGAGUACCAUAAUCGCUCCGGGUGCCUAACACCUUCCCGUAGCGAAAACGACCCCCGAACUUAGAAUCUAAGGGUUUUUUUUCUCAAUUUUGCCCUUCCCAAGAAAAAAUAGAGAAUAUCAAAGAUUGAAAGGUUCAAGCCAAAUUAAUGACUUGACACCCGAACAUUGCGAUAACAGAAAUGGCGACUUCACUGGGGAAUUUUCUUUAGAGCGGGUCACACCUAGUUUUCUUUUUGCUUAUGUUUUACUUUAUUUAUACAUGUGAAUAUUUUGUUUACUUUCAUUUGACGUGUGGGGUGAGAAUAUCAAAAGUCCUAUACCCGGGCUGAGUGAACUUAUGUUUAGGUAGAGAUAUAAUCGACAAUUCGAUCCGGGGGUUGCCUCGUGUAUUGGAUUAUGCGAUCAAUCUCACAUAGCUGAGGCAUUUUGAAGGUGAUAUUGUCGGCGUGUGUUGUCAUGCUUAGGCACUUCACUUUCAAUUGUUCGACGAAGCUAUGAACCGUAGUUACCAAACCCAUCCUAGCCUUUUUUAGGACGUAGUGCGGUGGCUAAAUUGAGUGUUGUCUCAAACUUUAGUCGUCACGCGAUACUACACUCAAACUAGACCUUCUCACAAAUAAUCAUGGAACGGGUGUCGUCCUGUACUACCAUGAUAUAUGUGAGAGAGGUUGCAGUUUGGGAACUGUGUUAGAACCUUGGUUACUACUAUCCAAAGCCUUAGUUCACCGGACUCCGUGUCCAUCCGUGGCCCUGUUACUUUGAAUCUCAACCCACCUUGUUCUUUGUAACUAAACAACACAAUCAUGCAUACAUGCAUUCAUGCAUAAACAUUUUUCAUGCAUUCAUCGAAGGGCUUAAACAAAUGGAAAUUUUUGUAAAUAAUCACAGGUAUGAAGAAGACUAAGUGCUACAAGUUCAAGGAAGUGGAUUUGGUCAGUUUAAGAGAGUUGGCACUCAAGGUCAAGAGUCAAACAGGGUUCCGACUCCGGUAUGGGGGAUUGAUUACUUUGCUCCGAACCGAUGUGGAAGAGAAGCUAGUGCACACUCUAGUGCAAUUUUAUGAUCCGAGCUUCCGUUGCUUCACUUUCCCGGACUUCCAGUUGGUUCCUACUCUCGAGGCUUACUCCAAUCUAGUGGGUUUACCUAUAGCCGAGAAGACGCCUUUCACCGGUCCCGGGACUUCUCUUACUCCUCUGGUUAUUGCUAAGGAUCUUUACCUCAAGACUUCCGACGUCUCCAACCAUCUUGUUACCAAGUCUCACAUCCGGGGGUUCACUUCAAAGUAUCUUCUUGAGCAGGCUAAUCUCAGUACUACUUGUCAGGAUACACUCGAGGCUAUUCUUGCUUUGCUUAUCUACGGGCUCAUUCUCUUUCCGAACCUCGACAACUUCGUGGACAUGAAUGCUAUCGAGGUCUUCCAUUCCAAGAACCCGGUUCCUACUUUGCUAGCGGAUACCUACCACGCCAUUCAUGACAGGACUCUCAAGGGCCGUGGGUAUAUUCUUUGCUGCAUAUCUCUUUUGUAUAGGUGGUUUAUUUCGCACCUUCCGAGUUCCUUCCAUGACAACUCGGAGAACUGGUCCUACUCGCAGCGGAUUAUGGCCCUCACUCCUAAUGAGGUCGUCUGGCUCACUCCUGCCGCUCAGGUGAAGGAAAUCAUUAUGGGUUGUGGGGACUUUCUCAAUAUACCUCUUCUUGGUACUCGUGGAGGAAUUAACUACAACCCCGAGCUUGCUAUGAGACAGUUUGGGUUCCCUAUGAAGUCGAAGCCUAUCAAUCUUGCUACAUCUCCAGAGUUCUUCUUCUACACGAAUGCUCCUAUCGGACAAAGGAAAGCUUUCAUGGAUGCUUGGUCCAAGGUUCGAAGGAAGAGUGUGAAGCAUCUAGGUGUGAGAUGCGGUGUUGCUCAUGAGGCCUAUACUCAGUGGGUGAUAGAUCGAGCUGAGGAGAUUGGUAUGCCUUAUCCAGCUAUGAGAUACGUGUCUUCAUCUGCUCCAUCUAUGCCUCUACCUCUACUCCCCACGACUCAGGAUAUGUAUCAGGAGCAUCUAGCUAUGGAGAGUCGUGAGAAGCAAGUGUGGAAAGCUCGGUACAAUCAAGCUAAGAAUCUAAUCAUGACUUUGGAUGGUAGAGAUGAGCAGAAGACUCAUGAGAACCUGAUGUUGAAGAAGGAACUAGCUAAGGUCCGGAGGGAAUUGGAAGAGAAAGACGAGCUGCUUAUGAGGGAUUCCAAGAGAGCCAGAGGACGACGAGACUUCUUUGCCAGAUACUGUGAUUCAGAUUCCGAGUCCGAUGAUUCUCCGACUACUUCCUAUGCUUGAGGGCUUCAUUUGUUUAUCUUGCUGAAAUUUCAAAGUCUUCCUUUUGAAAAUACUAUGUAGUUUUGAUUAUUUGCAAGAUUUCUAAUUUGUUUAAAAAUCCUUCGAUGAAAAAAGAAGUCUUUUGCAUUUGCAUUUGCAUAUCAUGCAUCAUAUGCAUCAUGCAUUGGUCACAAAGGCUUCCAAGUGCUCACUACCUCCUGGUUCCUCUGCCACAGUUUGAAAAGUGGCUCGUGCUCAGAAGGUCUACGAACCUGACAGAAUCGAUCGAACCAGAGAAUACAGAAGAAGGAAAAAGGCUAUGGAAGAAGAGAACGCUCAGCUCCGUACCGAGUUAGCCACUCUAAGGGAGGAAUUGGCUAAAGCUAAUGAUGUCAUGACUGCUCUGCUAGCCGCUCAAGAACAAUCAGCUACGGCUAUCCCUAUAGCCACAGCUGUACCGGUGACUACAAGCGUGCUCCCAACCGCAUCUGCAGACGCUCGCUUUGCUAUGCCAGCUGGGUUUCCGUGUGGGCUUCCACCGUUCUUCACUCCCAGUACUGCAGCGGGCACUUCGGGCACUGCUAACAAUGUUCUGAUCCCUGCAACAAAUGCUGUCUCCAUCAAUGCUACUUUGCCACAAACAACGGCAGCUGUCACCGAGCCUCUUGUGCAUACCCUGCCUCAAGGUGUUAACAUCAACACACACCACGGAAGCAUCCCCGUAACCAAAACCAUGGAAGAGAUGAUGGAGGAACUUGCUAAAGAACUCCGUCAUGAGAUCAAAGCCAAUCGAGGAAAUGCAGACUCUUUCAAAACUCAAGAUCUCUGCUUGGUGUCAAAGGUGGAUGUCCCUAAGAAAUUCAAAAUCCCAGAUUUCGACCGGUACAACGGGCUAACUUGUCCCCAGAACCACAUCAUCAAAUACGUCCGAAAGAUGGGCAAUUACAAAGACAAUGAUUCCCUUAUGAUCCUCUGCUUUCAGGAUAGUUUGAUGGAAGAUGCCGCAGAGUGGUAUACUAGUUUGAGCAAAAAUGAUAUCCAUACCUUCGAUGAAUUAGCCGCUGCUUUCAAGAGCCACUACGGGUUUAACACCCGAUUGAAGCCGAACAGGGAAUUCCUUAGAUCUCUCUCCCAGAAGAAGGAGGAAAGCUUCCGUGAAUACGCACAAAGAUGGAGGGGGGCAGCUGCCCGCAUUACUCCCGCUCUUGAUGAAGAAGAAAUGACCCAGACAUUCUUAAAGACCUUGAAGAAGGAUUAUGUUGAGAGAAUGAUCAUCGCUGCCCUGAAUAACUUUUCGGAGAUGGUCACCAUGGGAACCCGUCUGGAGGAAGCCGUCAGGGAUGGAAUCAUUGUGUUCGAGAAAGCUGAAUCCUCUGUGAAUGCAUCGAAGAGGUAUGGUAAUGGACACCACAAGAAGAAAGAAACGGAAGUAGGGAUGGUGUCAGCUGGAGCUGGUCAAUCCAUGGCUACUGUUGCUCCUAUCAAUGCAGCUCAAAUGCCUCCGUCAUACCCAUAUGUGCCGUAUUCUCAGCAUCCUUUCUUUCCGCCAUUUUAUCAUCAGUACCCUCUGCCACCGGGUCAACCUCAAGUACCCGUUAAUGCAAUCGCUCAACAGAUGAAACAACAGUUGCCGGUUCAACAACAACAACAAAAUCAGCAAGCUAGACCUACUUUCCCUCCGAUACCGAUGUUGUAUGCUGAGUUGCUUCCAACUUUACUCCAUAGAGGGCAUUGUACAACCAGACAGGGCAAGCCCCCACCUGAUCCGUUGCCUCCAAGGUUCAGGUCCGACCUCAAAUGUGAUUUUCAUCAAGGCGCCCUGGGUCAUGAUGUCGAGGGGUGCUACGCUUUGAAGUAUAUCGUGAAAAAGCUCAUUGAUCAAGGAAAGCUGACUUUUGAGAAUAAUGUCCCACACGUCCUCGACAAUCCUCUUCCAAAUCAUGCCACUGUGAAUAUGAUCGAAGUAUGUGAGGAAGCUCCUAGACUUGAUGUCCGUAACGUCGCAACUCCUCUGGUGCCUCUACACAUCAAGCUGUGCAAAGCUUCUCUAUUCAGCCAUGAUCAUGCCAAGUGCCUAGGAUGCCUUCGUAAUCCUUUGGGUUGCUACACUGUUCAAGAUGACAUCCAAAGCUUGAUGAAUGAUAAUUUUUUGACUGUUAGUGAUCUCUGCGUGAUUGUGCCAGUUUUUCACGAUCCGCCUGUCAAGAGUAUACCUUUGAAGAAGAAUGCUGAGCCUUUGGUGAUAAGGUUGCCCGGACCGGUACCAUACACUUCAGAUAGGGCUAUCCCGUACAAAUAUAAUGCUAUCAUAAUCGAAAACGGAGUAGAAGUGCCUCUGGUGUCCUUGGCUGUGGUGAACAAUACUGCCGAAGGAACUUCAGCAGCCCUAAGAAGCGGAAGAGUCCGUCCACCGUUGUUUCAAAAGAAGGCCGCUACGCCUACCGUGCCACCCAUUGACAAGCCAACCCCGACUGAUGUUUCUCCCGUUAACAGAGACGCGGGCCAACCAGGCCGGUCUAUAGAGGAUUCUAAUCUGGACGAGAUUUUGAGGUUGAUCAAAAGAAGUGAUUAUAAGAUUGUGGAUCAGCUGCUGCAAACUCCGUCGAAGAUAUCCAUUUUGUCUCUACUCCUGAGUUCCGCUGCCCACAGAGAUACCCUUUUGAAAGUAUUGGAGCAGGCUUAUGUGGAUCAUGAGGUAACUGUGGAUCACUUUGGUAGCAUAGUGGGGAACAUUACCGCCUGCAGCAACUUGUGGCUCAGUGAAGAUGAAUUGCCCGAAGCAGGAAAGCAUCAUAAUCUGGCAUUGCAUAUCUCUGUGAAUUGCAAGUCCGACAUGAUCUCAAAUGUGUUAGUAGACACUGGCUCAUCUUUGAACGUGAUGCCCAAGUCAACGCUGGAUCAACUGAGUUACCGGGGAACUCCUUUGAGGAGGAGCACUUUUCUGGUCAAAGCCUUUGAUGGAACCCGCAAGAGUGUUCUCGGAGAGAUAGACUUGCCAAUAACUAUCGGCCCCGAAACCUUUCUAAUCACCUUUCAGGUCAUGGAUAUUAAUGCCUCUUACAGCUGUCUCUUGGGGAGACCAUGGAUACACGACGCGGGAGCAGUGACCUCUACUUUGCACCAAAAGUUGAAAUUUGCAAAAAGUGGAAAGCUUGUUACUAUUCAUGGAGAGGAAGCAUACCUGGUUAGCCAGCUAUCGUCUUUCUCUUGCAUAGAAGCAGGGUCUGCAGAGGGGACCGCUUUUCAAGGAUUAACUGUCGAAGGUACGGAGCCCAAGAGGGAUGGAACUGCCAUGGCUUCUUUGAAGGAUGCACAGAGAGCCGUCCAAGAGGGUCAAGCUGCCGGCUGGGGCAGGUUAAUACAGCUUCGUGAGAACAAGCAUAAGGAAGGUCUUGGCUUCUCCCCAACUUCAGGAGUUUCCACCGGGGCAUUCUAUAGUGCUGGGUUUGUCAACGCAAUCACAGAAGAAGCAACUGGAUUUGGCCCGAGGCCUGUAUUUGUUAUACCAGGAGGCAUUGCGAGAGAUUGGGAUGCCAUUAACAUUCCCUCAAUCAUGCAUGUUUCUGAGUAAUAUACCUUGUUGCUUAAGUAUCUUGUUUUUUCAAAAUAACAAUCCUCUCGCUCUGCCCAAAGCGAGAGUGAUAUUUUCUGUAAGGGCAUGUUUGUUUCGGCAUUGCCGUUGAUUAAUAAAAAAUUGUCGUUUCUUUCACGACUGCUUUUUUUUAGUGCCUUUUUUUUCUUGGAAAUAAUGGUAAUGCCAGAAAAAACCAAAACAUCUGUAUUUUUCUUAUUAAUUUCAAAAAUCUGCAUAAAAACCCUCUUUCUAAAAUCAUCCAACCAUUUUACGCAGAUUGAACUAUAAUGAACCCGUUGGGCACAGUAAUCCUGCAUUCUCUCCGAAUUUUGAGUUUCCAGUGUAUGAAGCCGAAGAUGAGGAAGGUGAUGACAUACCAUAUGAGAUCACUCGGUUACUUGAGCAAGAAAAGAAAGCCAUUCAGCCUCACCAGGAAGAGAUUGAGCUUAUCAACAUAGGUACCGAGGAGAACAAGCGAGAAAUCAAGAUCGGUGCUGCUCUAGAGGAAGGGGUUAAAAAGAAGAUCAUCCAACUCCUCCGGGAAUAUCCGGAUAUUUUUGCAUGGUCGUAUGAAGAUAUGCCAGGUCUAGGUCCUAUGAUUGUGGAGCAUCGGAUCCCCACCAAGCCUGAAUGUCCUCCCGUCAGGCAGAAAUUGAGAAGGACUCAUCCAGAUAUGGCUCUCAAGAUUAAGAGCGAGGUUCAAAAACAGAUUGAUGCGGGUUUCCUCAUGACAGUUGAGUACCCUGAAUGGGUUGCCAAUAUUGUACCUGUGCCAAAGAAGGAUGGUAAAGUCCGGAUGUGUGUUGACUUCAGAGACCUGAACAAAGCCAGUCCAAAAGACAACUUUCCAUUACCUCAUAUUGAUGUGCUUGUUGAUAAUACUGCUCAGUCUAAGGUGUUUUCCUUCAUGGACGGUUUCUCCGGUUACAAUCAGAUCAAAAUGUCUCCUGAAGAUAGAGAAAAGACGUCUUUUAUCACUCCAUGGGGUACUUUCUGCUACAAAGUGAUGCCGUUCGGCCUAAUAAAUGCUGGUGCUACCUACCAAAGAGGAAUGACUACUCUGUUUCAUGACAUGAUUCACAAAGAAGUCGAAGUAUAUGUGGAUGAUAUGAUUGUGAAGUCAACAGAUGAGGAGCAACAUGUUGAAUAUUUGACAAAGAUGUUUGAAAGGUUAAGAAAAUACAAGCUUCGAUUGAAUCCCAACAAAUGUACAUUCGGCGUCAGAUCCGGGAAGUUAUUAGGCUUCAUUGUCAGCCAAAAGGGCAUUGAAGUCGAUCCUGAUAAAGUCCGGGCCAUCCGAGAAAUGCCAGCUCCACAGACCGAGAAGCAAGUCAGAGGUUUCCUCGGGCGUUUGAAUUACAUCUCCCGAUUCAUAUCUCACAUGACCGCAACCUGCGGGCCGAUCUUCAAGCUACUCAGAAAGAAUCAGCCUAUUGUAUGGAAUGAUGAAUGCCAAGAAGCUUUUGAUAGCAUCAAGAAUUACCUGCUGGAGCCCCCUAUCCUUGUCCCACCCGUGGAAGGAAGGCCUUUGAUUAUGUAUUUGGCAGUAUUUGAUGAAUCCAUGGGAUGCGUACUUGGUCAACAAGAUGAGACUGGAAAGAAAGAACAUGCUAUCUACUAUCUAAGCAAGAAGUUCACCGAUUGUGAAACUCGGUAUACAAUGCUUGAGAAGACUUGUUGUGCUCUGGCCUGGGCCGCUAAACGCCUGCGUCAUUAUUUGGUGAAUCAUACAACUUGGUUGAUAUCCAGAAUGGAUCCGAUAAAGUAUAUCUUUGAGAAAGCUGCUGUUACUGGGAAGAUUGCACGCUGGCAGAUGCUUUUGUCUGAAUAUGAUAUUGUGUUCAACAAAAGGCAAUCAAAGGUAGCAUUCUUGCCGAUCACCUUGCUUACCAACCUCUUGAUGAUUACCAACCAAUUGAAUUCGAUUUCCCCGAUGAAGAGAUCAUGUAUUUAAAAUCAAAAGACUGCGAAGAACCGUUGAUUGAGGAAGGUCCAGAUCCCAAUAGCAAGUGGGGUUUAGUCUUUGAUGGUGCUGUCAAUGCUUAUGGUAAAGGAAUUGGGGCAGUCAUUGUAUCCCCGCAGGGGCAUCACAUUCCUUUUACCGCCCGAAUUUUGUUCGAAUGUACCAACAAUAUGGCUGAGUAUGAAGCAUGUAUCUUUGGGAUCGAGGAAGCAAUUGACAUGAGAAUCAAACACCUCGACAUCUAUGGAGAUUCUGCGCUCGUCAUCAAUCAGAUAAAGGGUGAAUGGGAGACCCACCAUGCUAAGUUGAUUCCUUAUCGUGAUUAUGCGAGACGUUUGCUGACAUAUUUUACAAAGGUUGAGCUGCACCAUAUUCCUCGUGAUGAGAACCAAAUGGCUGAUGCUCUUGCUACUCUAUCCUCCAUGUUUCGAGUAAACCAUUGGAAUGAUGUGCCAAUAAUCAAAGUGCAACGCCUUGAAAGACCUUCGCAUGUGUUUGCUAUUGGGGAUGUGAUCGAUCAGGCUGGCGAAAAUGUGGUUGACUAUAAACCCUGGUACUACGACAUCAAACAGUUCUUGCUGAGCCGUGAGUAUCCGCCGGGUGCUUCCAAACAAGACAAGAAGACCCUGAGAAGAUUGGCCAGUAGAUUCCUGUUAGAUGGGGAUAUUCUGUACAAGAGAAACUAUGACAUGGUAUUGUUAAGAUGUGUUGAUGAACAUGAAGCGGAGCAGUUAAUGCAUGAUGUACAUGACGGUACCUUCGGGACCCAUGCUACAGGGCAUACUAUGUCGAGGAAGUUGUUACGGGCAGGUUACUACUGGAUGGCCAUGGAGCAUGAUUGCUACCAGCAUGCUAGAAAGUGCCACAAAUGUCAAAUCUAUGCUGAUAAGAUUCAUGUGCCUCCGCACGCUCUCAAUGUUAUUUCAUCCCCAUGGCCGUUCUCAAUGUGGGGCAUCGACAUGAUUGGAAGAAUUGAACCGAAGGCUUCAAAUGGUCAUCGUUUCAUCUUAGUGGCAAUUGACUACUUCACCAAGUGGGUUGAAGCAGCAUCUUAUACCAAUGUGACCAAGCAAGUGGUAGUUAAGUUCAUCAAGAACAACAUCAUCUGUCGAUAUGGUGUUCCCAGCAAGAUUAUUACCGACAAUGGUACAAACCUGAACAACAAUGUGGUGCAAGCUCUUUGUGAAGAAUUCAAAAUUGAGCAUCAUAACUCUUCUCCCUAUAGACCUCAGAUGAAUGGUGCAGUUGAGGCCGCCAACAAGAAUAUCAAGAGAAUUGUCCAGAAGAUGGUAACCACUUAUAAGGACUGGCAUGAGAUGUUACCCUAUGCUCUGCAUGGCUACCGCACUACCGUGCGCAGUUCAACCGGGGCAACCCCUUUCUCUCUUGUAUAUGGUAUGGAAGCAGUUCUUCCUUUGGAAGUGGAGAUCCCAUCCCUCCGUGUGAUCAUGGAAGCAAAGUUAUCUGAGGCUGAAUGGUGCCAAAGCCGGUAUGAUCAGUUGAAUUUGAUUGAGGAAAAACGUAUGGAUGCCAUGGCUCGUGGACAGUCAUAUCAAGCAAGAAUGAAGACUGCUUUUGACAAGAAAGUCCAUCCUCGAGAAUUCAAGGUAGGGGAACUUGUAUUGAAAAGGAGGGUAAGCCAGCAACCCGACCCAAGGGGCAAGUGGACGCCUAACUAUGAAGGUCCUUAUGUUGUCAAGAAGGCCUUCUCCGGUGGUGCUUUAAUCCUUACACACAUGGAUGGUGUAGAACUUCCAAAUCCAGUGAAUGCUGAUAUAGUCAAGAAAUACUUUGCCUAGAAAUAUGAAAAGAACAGCGUGGUAGGUCGAAAACCCGAAAGGGCGGCCUAGGCAAAAAUGCGCUUCCCGGUGGAUCGAAAACCCGAAAGGGCGGUCCAGGCAAAAAUAAGGGACAAAAAAAUAUAUAUGAAAAAGCUCGCUGAGAUUGUACACGCAACUCAGGCAAGAAUGAGCGUCUCGAUGAGCCGAAAACCCGGAAGGGCGGUUCAUGCAAAAAUGAGAUUGAAACAAGAGGCAAGUAACUAUAUCUGGCCAACCACCGUCCCCCUUGGGGCAUCUGCAGCUGUUAAUGACCAUCUUCAUCAAAAGCUCCUAUGCUUGCGAAUUCAAAGUUUCUAGGAAAUGUAAUGAUUGCUGUGUUCAAUGUACCACCAACCCAUAAAAUUACCAUUUUCCAAGCUUUGUAAAUCCGUGGAGUCACGCCUUCGGCUGACCACCACUCUUAUACAUCAAUUUGAGCCUGUGCUUUUGUUUGAAACUCUAUUUUCUUUUUACUUUCAAAGUUAUGUACAAAAACAUUUUCCUUCUAUUUUUUAAUAAUGACAAAUGCUCGAAACAAACAUCUUGAAAAUUGAAAAAGUUUUUUGAAAAGCAAACCGGAGCAACAGGGUACAUUCAAACGAACAUGCAUGAGCGAGUGUGUGUUGGUGUCUAUUUCAAUAUAUGUUACAAGCAGGUUCUCCUCCAGGAUAGUCUGUGGUCAAUGGCAAGAAUGAAAAAACAGAAUGAAAAUGCAUGAAAAUGAAUAGGCUCGCUAAGUUGAAAACCCGGAAGGGCGGCUUAGGCAAAAAUGAGCACCCCGCUGGAUUGACAACCCGAAAGGGCAGUUCAGGCAAAAAUGGGGCAUUGAAAAGAAUUUAUUUCCCCGGUGGGUCGAAAACCCGAAAGGGCGAUCCAUGCAAAAAUGGGAUGCAAAAAAAUGAUGAAUGAAAAUUGAGAAAAUAACAUGCAAAAAGCAUUGACCACAGAUGCGACGUCCACGAUACAUCCGGCAUUAUUCCCAGUAGAGUCUCCCGAGAUUCUAUCCCCAGCAAGUUGCAUAGCUACCGGCCCUCAACUUAGGUCCCGAUACGUCUCCCAACGACGUCAUCUCCAAAGAGGAUUUCCAGGAAUGCGUAAUAUAGCACGAGCCACUACGUGCCCAAUACUCCAAUGUCUUGUCUGUCUCUGCGAAACUGUGUCUACAAACUGCCAACAGUCAUGCAUUACAAGCAUUCAUACAUGCAUAAUCAUGCAUAUUACGUGCCCAUGCAUUUAAUGAAACUGUUAUAUCAUCCAUGCAUAUUGCAUUUCCAAUGUCAACAUCAGUCUCAAUUCAAUACUCAUGUCAGGUUCUCUGUCAAAACCUUGUGAGCCAAUAAUAUUGGUCAAUUUCUACCUUUCAAUUCAAAUCGACGUCAAGUCAAUCUCAAUCUAUAUUUUGUCAAAAAAAACCAAUCCCCAGUGAAUCUGUUUCUGUUUGGUCAAGUGGCUAGCUCAAUCCAAGAGCAGCUUGAACAUACCUAUUUGCUUAUGUUAUCGGUCGAGUGCCCAGCUCAAUCCAAGAGCAGCUUGUACCUGUCAAUAUGUUUCUGUUUGGUCAAGUUACCAGUUCGCAUCCAAGAACGACUUGUACCCGUUUACUUUUCAAUGUUAUCGGUCGAGUUACCAGUUCAAAUCCAAGAACAAGCUCGCACCUGUCUAUUUGCCUUGCUUCCGGUCGAGUGACCAGUUCGAAUCAAGAACAACUCGUACCUGUCUACCUUUUCUAUGUCCCCGGUCGAGUGACCAGUUCGAAUCCAAGAACAACUCGCACCUGUUUGUCUGCUUUUAUUCCCGGUCAAGUGCCCAGCUCAAUCCAAGAGCAGCUUGUACCCGUCAAUUUGUUCCUAGUCUCCUAUCUACCCUGUUAUCUGUUAACUUACCAAUGUCUACCAAUCCCGCAAUGGAUACGACAUCUUUUGUUAAUUCCAGCCUUCGUUUGUCUCGCACUCAUAAUCCAAAUGUUGCAUGGCAUUCAUGAUAUUUGAAAAUGUACAAGCGUAUUUUUACGUCCAAACACAGUGCAAAUGUUAAUAUUUAAGUAUCUUCGUCCCGUCAAGCCAAAGACUCCGUCUCUUGACCCUCCAGACAAAGAAACUUAAAUAGGGGCAGCUGUUAUACCCUGAUUUUGGACCUAAAAAUACUCGUUCAAACUUCUUUUUAACACUGAUAUUUGUCAAUUCGCUGUUGUUUUUUCUCUGAAUCUUUACUCUCUUUUUAAACGAAUUUUACUGCCUCUGUCUUUUCUGACAUUCCAAGUCCUUUAAGAACUCUCUGAAACGUCGCGUUACUUUUUCUUGCAUUUUAUUUCAAAAAUCAUACAAAAAGGGUAUUUUGGUCAUUUCCUGCAGUGGAACCCAUUUUAGUCCCUGUGUUUGCCUCUGAGUCUUUUCAACUUGUCUGUACGAAUUAUUGUUGAGUCUUUGUUAAAAAAAUCAUUUCAAAAAUUGCAUCUGAGUCAGUUUGAGUCAGUUUAGUCCCUAGGGGCAUUUUGGUCUUUUCCUGUCAAAAUUUCGACAGGGAGGUAUUUUAAAAUGCCUCAUGUCGGUAUUUUGUUCGUUUUAGUCCGUUUGUUGAUUUUAUUUUUCGUUUCACUUUACCUUUUUACCAAUUACCAAUUUUAAUUCAUUUUAUUUUUUUAUUUACAUUUCGGUCCCCCAAAAGAGUCCCAAAAUUGCAUUUUUGUCCCAAUACUUUUUUUAUUUUGUCAUUUUUUUUAGUCUUUUUAUUAUUGCAGAUUAGUCCUCAUAUUAACUUUUUUGCAGAUUAGUCCAUAAGUCCAAAACGGUCCAGAUGUCAUUUUUUCAUUGGUUCUCAGAUGCACAUGGCAGGCUAUAAAUAGUAAAUGUGUCAGAUCCAUCACAAGAGUCAGAAAAAUCAGAAUCAAUCACAAUCACUCCCAAAACAGAAUCUUUUUCUCUCUCUCAUCCAUAACAGAAUCAAAAACAGAAAAAAAGCUGAGAAAAAGAGGAAGAACACCAAGAACACUUCAUCACCAAAAUCAACAGAUCCAAACCGGAUCUGCUCCAAAACAGCCCCAACCACCACAAAAUCAACAAAUCCGAACCGGAUUCACUCAAAACCACCGCGAAACAUCACAUCAACACAAAAACGUACCGGAUUUUCGAGCAAAAACAACGCCGACGGAGCACAUAGCGCGCGCGCGCGAGGAGAAGAGGAGGACUCGAAGUUUUUCGAAGGUUUUUCUCCGUUCUACGACAGAGGUAACGCAUUUCUCUCCCCUUUUUCUCCGUUUUGCGCGCAUAUGUAGUGAAAAAGUGUGAAAAAGUUUGUUACGGAUAUGUAUUUGUAGAUCUAGGCUUGUACGUUCGGAUUUUGAAAAUUUUGAGGCCGGAUUUGGACACUAGAGCGAAAAGGAUAUCUAGAUCCGUGGUUUUUUUUCAAAAAAAGUGUGAAAAAAAUUUUCAAAGAAAAAUGUAGAUCUAGUCCGAAUCGCUCCGUUCUCGCUAAAACUAACGCCGGAUUUGUGUAGAGGAGGUGGUGACGGAACUUUUGAUGUAAAAAUUUUGAAAAAAAAAUGAGUUUGAAUUUUCCGGUCGCGGUGGCGCCGCCGCCGGAACCGGCCGGCCGCCGCGCCGGAACCACCACCACCACCCAGCUCGCCGGCGGCGAGUUCCUAGAGAGAAGGGAGAGCUUCUCUCUCUAAGUAUGACUUAGAGAGAGAAGAAGAAGUAGUUUAUGUAGUUUUUGUGUGAAAAUUCCUUUUUAUACUCCCUCCGAUCCCACGCGCGCGCGUGCGUGCUCUUGUUGUGUUCCCUCGCUCUGUGAACCAUCAGAUCUGGAUUGUUCCAAGAUCUGAUGGCUGCUGUGUAUUUGAUUUUGAAUCCUGUGCGUGACUUAUUGUGUGGAAUAUGGUAUAUCUUCUGUUUGAACCGUUAGAUCUUUGAUCUAACGGUCACUGUGCUUCCUGCAUUUUACACUAUCUUUGGUGCUUUUUCUGGACCCUUUGAUCUUUGAUCUAAUGGCUGUGAUGUAAUCUUGGGGGCUAGAUCUGGACCUCUGGAUUCAUCAAACGGUCCAGAUUAAAUCCUGCUGAGUUUCUUUUUUAAUUGCUUUUUAAUUGUGUUUUAAAUACCUUUUUUACACUUUCUUGGUGUUUUAUGCUUCUAAAAAAUUUUCUAAAAUAUUUCCCUAUCAUUUUAAUUUUUUCCUUCUAAGUUUUAGAAUUUAUUUGCUUAUUUUUGUCAUUUAUUUUCUUUACUUUGUUCUUUUAAUUCUUGCUCAUUUAAUUCUUGCUCAUUAAAUUCCAUAUAUGUUCUUGAUGCUAUUUUUUCAUAUUGUGAUAUUUUGGCAUGUGAAAUAAUGUGUGAAAAUAUCUCUAGGAAUAUGAUAUAAUGCUUUGCUUGUGUGUGCUCUUAUGAUCCUCACAUUGUAGCUUAAAUUCAAACCUUUCAAAAAAAUGGCUAUAAUGAGGAAAUUAUAGGUCAUAUGCAUGUAUGAGUGCUAUACCUAAAUUCUAGGUGUAUUUUUUUACCACUUUAUUUCAUUUCAUUACUUUUUUUCUCUCUUGCUAUUCUAUUCAAUUUUGUUUACCUUUCUACUAUUUUUAUGCUUUAUGAUACUAACCAUCUCAUCUCACAUUUCAUUCAUCCUAUAGUUUUGGCAUCAUUUUUUCCAUUCAUUUCUAUAUCAAUUGGGUUUGUAAUAAUCUUAGAUAGAUUAGUUCCUUUUAAAAUUCUUCACAAAGACCAUAGCAUGUAUCUAGGACAAUGUAAAGGACUAUGGACAUUAUAAGGGAUGUACACCGACACAAGCACCGACACGCACACACGUUGCAUGAUUACCGCUUAGAUGUAUGCUUAGGUUCUACAACGCUUAAGAAAAAAAUCUAUUUUUUACAAAAAUAUGAAUAACCUCACUUAGUAAAACUUUUUUUUUAAAAUAGGAGUCAAAACUCCUCAUUUCCCUUUUGUUUUCUUAAGAAAAAAAUCCCAAUGAAUUUUAAUCAUACUUAGACUUUAUUUUACAAAAUAACUACUUCCACCUCACAUUUUCCAAAUCUCAUGCCCUUGAGGCCUCUCAUCUCCAUUCUUCAAAAUUCCUUUUUCAAACUUAAAAUCAACCAACAAAAACAAAAAACCUUUUUUGAGAACGAACUACGAUUGGUUUUGAUCCCUUAAAAGGGUACGUAGGCAAUGAGUCAAAACUCCUCCAAGCCAAAUAAAAAUGAGAUCUCAAUCAUCUUCUCUCCCCCAUUCUUCACUCAAAUAAAACUUCUUUUCUUUCAGUAGGCAAUAAAAAUAAAGCGUAGAAAUAAGCUUAGGAGAACGGUUCUUAUGGAGUACCAUAAUCGCUCCGGGUGCCUAACACCUUCCCGUAGCGAAAACGACCCCCGAACUUAGAAUCUAAGGGUUUUUUCUCAAUUUUGCCCUUCCCAAGAAAAAAUAGAGAAUAUCAAAGAUUGAAAGGUUCAAGCCAAAUUAAUGACUUGACACCCGAAAAUCGCGAUAACAACCGCCUUCAACCAAUACUUGCUCUCUUUGCUCUCAAAUGCCUCCUUGAAGUUUCUAGGCUCCGAGUCUUGCACGUCCUCCGUCGCAUUUAGAGCAAAACACACCAAGUCCGCAUAACCGAAUCUCUUAGGAGCCGUAAUGGUCCUUCUUUCUCUAUCUCUUGCCAAUAGAUACUCAGGAUCCACUACCGGUUGAGUUCCACUUGUAUCCGAUGUCGAAGCUUCAUCUUCUACAUCUUCUUCUUCUUCAUUUGGAAGCUCCACCUCAAACUGAGUUUUCUCCACCAUAGUUUCCGGUACUUGAGUCUCUAGGUCUUUACACUUCAUCCCCAUCCGGGUCUCAUCAAAGGUAACAUCCCUACUUAUCAAGACUCUUGAUCUUCCACUAGAUUCCAAUUUCCACAACUUAUAUCCCUUCACACCUUCCGGAUAACCAAUGAAGACACAUUUCAAAGCUCUAGGCUCAAGCUUGUCUUGCUUGAUAUGCGCAUAUGCCAAAGCUCCGAAAACCUUCAAAGAGGAGUAAUCCACCGGUUUCCCACUCCAUACCUCCAUAGGUGUCUUGAAGUCUAUUCCCGUUGAUGGACAUCUAUUGAUCAAAUAAGCAGCCGUUGUCACGGCUUCACCCCAGAAACUCUUAGGUAACCCAGCUCCUAGAAUCAUACACCUCACACGCUCCAAAAGUGUCCUAUUCAUGCGUUCCGCAAGACCAUUUUGUUGCGGUGUUCUUGGUACGGUUCUAUGCCUCUUGAUUCCUUUCAACCUGCAAAACUCAUUAAACUGCUCUGAAACAAACUCCAGGCCAUUGUCAGUUCUUAAACCUUUUAGUUUAGUUCCCAUUUGAUUUUCUAUGAGGGUGUGCCAUUCUUUGAACUUUUCAAAGGUGUCACUUUUGUUUUUCAAAACAAAGACCCACACUCUCCUAGAGUAAUCAUCAAUGAUAGAAAGAAAAUAGGAACCUCCCCCAUGAGUAGGAGUCUUAGAAGGGCCCCAAAGAUCCGAAUGCACAUACUCAAAAGGUCUACUAGAAUGAUGCAUGCCACUUCCAAACUUCACCCUAUGUUGUUUGCCUAGUAUGCAAUGUUUACAAAAUUCUAGCUUAUCCAAUUUAUCUUUCCCUAGCAAACCUUGUUUAGCUAGUUCAACUAAACCCCUCUCACUAACAUGCCCCAAUCUCAAAUGCCACAAUUCAGAAUUAUUAUGAGAUGCAACACUAGCUACCGAUGCAUUACCAAUUACUAUGGAACCAUCUAAAAUGUAUAAACCAUUCAUUCUAGACCCCAUGCUCUAUUCUAGUGCAAUAACCUAGAUUAUCAAACAUGCUUAUGGAAAUUAAAUUUCGCUUAAGUUCGGGAACAAACCUCACAUCCCUUAAAAGGAAUUCACGGCCAUCAAACAUCUUUAGAUGAACGUUGCCCAUGCCUUGGACUUUGCAAGCUUUGUUAUUUCCGAGUCGAACAACUCCUCCUUCUUUUAGAAUCAAAGUCUCAAAAUAUUCCUUUCUAGGACACAUGUGAUAAGAGCAUCCCGAGUCCAAAACCCAACUCUUCUCCGGUUCCCAACUUGUUACCACUAGCGCACCCGCACUCUCAUAACCUUCUUCAUUUGAAGCCUCCGCAACUUGAACCGAAGGACUACCAUCGCCCCCCUUAUCCGGACAAUCUUUCUUGAAAUGACCUUGCUUGUGACAAAGAAAGCAUUUAUACUUUGAUUUGUCAAAGCCCUUGGACCUAGACUUGGAUCUUGAUUUCCCUUUGCCUUUUCCUCUAUGCUCAUUCCUCCCUCUUGUAACAUUCAAGCCUUCACUACCUUCAUCAACCCUCAUGUCCUUGAACUUGGUCAAUUCUUUGGUUCUCAAAGCCGCUUGGACCUCCUCCAAAGUAGUAGUGCCCUCCUUACCAUAAAGGAUGGUAUCCUUGAAAUGCUCAAAGGACUUUGGUAAUGAACAAAGUAACAACAAAGCCUUAUCCUCAUCUUCCAUGUUAACUUCAAUGUUGGCCAAAUCAUCAAGAAUCUUGUUAAACUCCGUUAGUUGCUCCGAGAUCGAUUUAGACUCCACCAUCUUGAAUGAGUAGAGUUGUUGCUUCAAGAGUUGUCUAUGAGCCAAAGAUUUCGUCAUAUACAAUGACUCCAACUUUGCCCACAUCGAUGCCGCGGUAGCUUCUCUCGCGACAUCCCUUAAGACCUUAUCUCCGAGACAUAAGACAAUGGCACUCUUUGCCUUGUCCACCAUCUCACGCUUCUCCUCUUGUGUCAAGGUUGCCGGCAUCGCCGCUUCACCCUUCAAUGCUUCUAGACACUUUUGUUGUGUCAAUACCGCUUGCAUCUUAACUUUCCAUAACCCGAAAUCAUUGCUUCCGGUGAACUUCUCGAUGUCCCACUUUGACCCCAUGAUACCAACUAUCAAUCACGCCUAUGCCCCACGGUGGGCGCCAAUUGUUGUGAAUCCGGCUCAACUAAUGAACCUUCACAUCAAUGAGAAUAAACCAAUGAUGUGUGGAGCAAGUGAUAGAGAUAAUCUAUGAGUGCAAAUGGCCUCCAAGCUAACAACAACAAAACAGCCUAAGCCUAAUGUAUAGCAAAACCACAUAUAGAGCUAACAAGCAUACAAGAUAAACGAUAAAAGGAAAAGAACAAACACCGAGCAAGAUUGUUGACCCAGUUCAGCCAAUGUGGCCUAAUCUGGGGGAAAGAGCAGCUCUCCAAUCCAAUAUGUGAAUGUGUUACAAAAGAGUUACAAGAAUCUAGCUUUUCAAGCUUUACACAUGAACAAACCCUAGACCUACCCUUUGGUAUUUUCCCACCCUCACACUAUGAACCCAUAAUCCCAAGGUGAUUACAAUGUUGUUUUCCCAACCUAAGAAACACUCUCAUCAAAGGAACACACCCCAAAGGAUCCCCAUCUUUGAUCUCCAAGUUUUCUCUCUUAAGCUCUCUUAAGGUUAUCUCCAAAAAAGCACAAGAACACUUUAAAUACUAGUCCUGCCCUGAAGAAAUCGUGCCACGAUUUCCCUAGAUCGUGUCACGAUCUGCAACGGUCCCCAGGUUGACCAGUCCUUAUCAGAGAUACUUAACCAGCAAGUUUCUGAAUCGUGUCACGAUUUCCCAAGAUCGUGCCACGAUUUUGCUUCCAGCAAACUUGGCUCACGGCAUCUCCGAUCGUGUCACGAUUGCCAAAUCGCGACACGAUUCCUCUGUUCUUCCAAACCACAAAUUUGAAGCCAAUUUUCAACAUUUCUUGUACCGACUUAUGCAUGAAACUUUGGUUAAUUCUAAUAAAGUUGGAGAAGUAGCACUUCAAUGGCAUGUAUUAUAGUGGAUCUAUACUUUAUUCGUCUCAAGUUAUAAGUUGUUUUUGAAAGAAAACCAAAUUGUCAAAAAUAAUAAAUUGUUUUACAAUAUUAAUGAAGGGUGACUUUAAUUUGUAAAAUACUUCACACUUUCUCCUUCGUAUAAAAUUAAGCGAAAUGAUAACCGGUGUCCCGGGACACCGGUUAAGGAAACGGAUAUAGUGAUGUAACAUCGGAAUUUAUGCGGUCAACUAUUCAAAAAUAUAAAAAGUGUUAUUUUUAAUUUAAGAUUUUCAGUAUCCCGAGACAUCGGUUAGCAUGACCCUAAAAUUAAUUGUAUUUCUUAAUCUUUGUCAAAUUGUCAAACGACUUAUAAUUUAACAUACAUAGAGUAAUGAUAUGGAGGUCGACAAUGUUCUUAAAAAUAAUUGGAGUUUUACGGCAUUAUAUGUCUUUGGGAGAGCACUCAUGCCUCGUCAUAUAUAAAUGUUGUUUUUUUUUUUUUUAUUUUUAAAAUAUAAAUGUGUUGUUAUAAAUGGAGUUUUACCACUAUUUUUUAUUUUUUUUUACAAAGAGUUUUACCACUGCUUGUUCUGCCCCCGCGUAUAUAUAAGAUUAAAAAAAUUAGACACUAACGGACAAUUUGACCUAAGGGUGUUCGCGAUGGUUUGGUUUUAAGGUUAAAAUUCAUUCAAACCGCAAGAUAAAUAAUAUGUGGUUUGGUUCGGUUCGGUUGAUUUUUAAAACCAAAUAUGAACUAAACCAAACCAAAUCAAAUCAAUGUGGUUUGGAUUGGAUCAGUUGGUACGGUUUUUUAGACAAUAAUUCUUUUUUGUUUUCAACGUUAAAAUCAAAUUAAAAAGGUAAAACACAACAUAUUUUCAGCAAUGUUUUAAAUUUCCAUCCAACAAUGUUCUCAACUACGUAGACUAAAUUAAAACGUGGACAAAAAGCAAUCAUAUUUUGUAAGAAAUAAAAAAGAUUAAAAUUUUAAUUAUUCGUUAAGAGUCCAAGUAACACAUAAAUACAUUUUUGAUAGAAAAAGCAAAGAAGAAAAAAAAAUGUCAUUUUAUUAAAAUUUUCAUUGAAUUUCUAUAAGCAUUAGUCUAAAUAAUAUAUAUUUAAUUAGUGUUUUUCUUAUAUUGCAGUUUGGUUUGGUUGAUAAAAUCAAAACCGCAAACCAAAUCAAACCACACGGUUGAGUAAAAAAAUGAUCUGAAUACAUCCGAACCAAAUGCGGUUUUUUGCGAUUUCGGUUUGAAUUGGUUCGAUUUGCAGUUUUUCUUUUGGAUUGGUUCAGUUUUAAACCCCUAAUUUGACCCGUCAAGCCUGAAUAAUUUAAAAUAAAAUAAAAAACUAUUCACUAUCUUUAUCAUGGCCAAAUUUUCCAAUUUUCUCUUAUAUUUGACCCAAAUAGUAGAGAGAAGAAAUCUGUUUAAUUAAUUUACUUUGGUUAUCAAUUUUUUUUUUAGUAAAAGAGGACUGAUGCCCUUUGGUUUUAUGAUUUUAACGUCAUGUUUGGAAUACUCUUUGGAUUAAUUAAGUCAUUAAAUUUUUAUUUUUGUUGUUUUGUUUGCUUAUUUACCUCAUGGGAAGGGAAACAAAUCAGGCUAGUUUAUAACCUCCAAGUGAAAGUUAUAUAUGUGUGUCUUCAUGUUCUUAUGGCAAUUUUUAUAUUAUAAUCGAAAAUUUGAAUGUACUAGUAUUUCGGUUAAUAAAUUAAUUGUUAAAUGAUUUGCUUCUUUAACGAUUUUUUUUUUUAACAAUUUACAAUUAUAAUAACUAAAUCAAAUUUAUCAGAGGUGUCGGCGAUUUUUUAUUUUUAUUUUCAUUACUCCUAAUAAUCUAUAUUGAUUAAUUUUUUUGAGGGAAUCAAUGUUGAUUAUUCUUUACCAUAAAAUGUAAACAAAAAUUGUAUAUAUAUAUAUAUAGACACACAUAUCAAUAAGGCUAAUAAUCAUAAUACGUAUAAGACGACUCAGAAAUCUAAGUGGUUGAAUACGCCAUUGCUAGAAGUCGUAUAAAAAAUCAUUAGCUUUGGCCUUUAUCUACGAACAUUGAUGUAGUAUUUUUGCAUCAAACAAUAGUAAGUAUUUAUAUCGUCUCCUCAGGGACUAGUGCGAUAUCACGGACCGUUUGACACCAAAUAUCAUUCUAAGUUAAAGAUAAUUUGUUGUAUGUUUUAGAAACUAAGUUGCAAGAGUAAAAGUUGAGAGUAAUAAGGCGUAAAAAUGUUGGAAUUAGAGUUCUUUGAUUAAGCGUCAAACAUAACCUAAUAAUCACAUAUAUGGAUUCUAGCGUUUUACUGAUAUUAUCACGUAUCGCUCAACAAGAUUAUUCGUAUCCAAAUAAUCAUGUGAGAUCAAUUGUAUUGUUCAAUAGUUGAUUUCCCAAACUAUUAAACAAUCCAAUUGUCGAUCGUAUCGUUUAAUUGACGAUUUCUCAAUCUAUUCAACGAUCCGAAAGCUUUUGUACCGAUACCUUAUGUCUAGAACAAGUCGGUCCUUUGUCUAGAACUAACUUUUGAUUCUGCUCCAUUGGGAAAGUAGAGGGUUUGCAAUCAAGCAUCUUACAUUCAUCCAAAAUGUCUAGCGUGUAUUUUCGCUGACACAUAAACAGCCCAUUUGCUCCUCGUGCGAGUUCUAGACCUAGAAAAUAUUUCAGAGGCCCAAGGUCUUUCAUAUGAAAACACUGUUUCAAGUAUUGUUUGAAGUUGGUGAUUGUGUCAGUGUCAUUACCCGCAAUCACAAGGUCAUCAACAUAAAUUAAUACUGCCAUAAAUAUGCUCUCUCUUGAAUAAGUGAAAAGACUAUGGUCUGCAUGUGAUUCUUGAAAACCAUAUUCUAUGAGUGCUUGGGAGAGUUUUGAGUACCAAUUUCGUGAGGCCUGCUUCAAUCCGUACAAAGAUUUCCUCAACCAGUAAACCAUCCUUCUUUAGGAGUAUUAUAACCAUUUGGUGCCUGCAUAUAAACUUCUUCCUCUAGAUCUCCAUGUAGAAAGGCAUUGCUAACAUCCAUUUGGUGUAAUUCCCAUCCUUUCGCUACAGCAACAGUAAGAAGGCAACGAAGUCCUCUCCUUCUACCUGUGUGUACCCUUUCGCCACAAGGCGAGCCUUAUAUUUUUCGAUUUCUCCUGAGGCCUUGUACUUUAUCUUGUAGACCCAUCUGCAUCCCACUAUUUUCUUUCCUUCUGGUGGUAAUGUCAGGUCCCAAGUUCCAUUCUCCUCGAGCUUUGAGUUCUACUGCCAUGGCCUUUUGCCAUUCAGGUUUCUUCAUGGCUUCUUGAUAGCUUUGCGGUUCUUCAUUGUUAUGAAUUGAUGCAAGAUAUGCUUGAUGCCUGCGAGAAUAGCAAUCAUUAUUGAUGAAGUUAGUGAUAGGGUAGACUUUACCUGAGGAGUGUGAAUGAGUCGAGGCCAUGCUCAUGGGGUUCUUGUGCGCUGCAUGACAAUAGUAGUCUCCAAGAUAGGCAGGUGGUUUUCAUGUGCGUGGUGGAAGAUCUGUCUCCCCCUCAUUUUGCAUUUCAAUCUCCAUUGGAUUGAUUUCCCCUUCAUUCUGAUUGUCAAACUCAGCUGCAUCUAUGCCCCCUUCCUGAUUCUCUGAGUUCUCAUUAUUCACUUCUUCAUUAAGGUUGUUUUCCUCUUGUUGUUCAGAGACAUUUGGAAAAACUACACUUGGAAAUUCCGCUGUCACAUCUUUUUCGUGAACAACAUAUGGCAGAAUAUGUUCAUAAAAUACCACAUCACGUGAAAUGGAGAACUCUCUUGUCUUAGGAUUGUAGACUUUCCAACCUUUCUGUCCUUGUGGAUAGCCUACAAAGAUACACCUUUAUGCUCUUGGAUCAAAUUUGUCCCUCAGUUUCGAAGCUGUACUGACAUAACAAAGGCAACCAAAUACUUUCAAGUGAUCAUAAGUUGGUGACUUUCCAAAAAGUACCUCAUAUGGCGUGAUACCUUUAUUUGCCACAGUAGGGGUUCUGUUUAUAAUAUGAGUUGCAGCAAGUACGCAUUCUCCCCAAAAGCGAAUGGGAAGAUUUGCUUGAAACCUUAGAGCCCUUGCAAUAUUUAGAAUGUGUCUGUGUUUCCGUUCUACACGGGCAUUUUGUUGAGGUGUGGCUACACAUGAUGUGUCAUGGAGUAUUCCUUUUUGGCUGAAGAAUUUUUUAAUACCAAGAUUGGUGAAUUCUGUCUCAUUAUCACUACGUACUCUUUUAAUUCUAACAUUAAAUUGUGUUUCUAUCAUGUUGUAGAAACUUAUCAAGAUGUCAAUAGUUUGGGUUUUGUGUUUCAUCAAGUAAACCCAAGUCCUGCGACUAUGAUCAUCCACUAAAGUAAGAAAAUAAUGAGAUCCAUUAUGUGAAGAAGUAUUAUAUCUUCCCCACAAAUCACAAUGUACUAAAUCAAAAGGUCUCUUAGCUUUAUUGAUACUAUGAGGAAAAGGAAGUCUAUGUUGCUUUGACUUGUGACAUAUGUCACAACAAUCUAAAUUAUUGAAAUUAAAACUACAAUUGAUAAAACUAGAAAGACGCUGCAGAGACUGUAGUGCCAAAGAGUGGUAUCAUCUUUCUUACUUGUUGUAAAAGCAGAUCCUUGCAUCAUCCCUUUGUACACAUAAACCCCAUUACGCAUGCUACCCGAUCCAAUCGUCCUCCUCGUGGCUAGGUCCUGUAUCACACAAGAAUCGGAUUGGUAAGUUAUCAUGCAAUUUAAAUCAUGUGUCAACUUAUGUAUAGAGAUUAAAUUGCAGCAAAAAUCGGGCACAAUCAACCCAUUAGAUAGCUUGAUAUUUCUAUCAAGUUUGAGAUUUCCAGCUCUUUCUACCAGCACAGUAUUUCCCGUGGGAACUGUGAUAUAGAAAGGUGUCUCAAGUGAUUGUAUUCCCUCUAAAAUUGAGGAAAAAGGAGUCAUGUGAUGAGAUGCGCAACUGUCCAAGAUCCAUUGGAUCUCUUUAUUACCAGCCAUGCUAGAGAGGGAUGAUCCCGCAUUCUUCAUUCUCAUUCCGUGCAGGGCGUGAGUUGUAUAUGCAGCAAAAUUCCCUCCUGAUCCUCAUCAACAUGAGUUGUAUAUGCAGCAAAAUUCCCUCCUGAUUUAUUGUUCCAACGGUUUGUUCUACGAGCAUCCCAGUUGGAAGGAUAUCCGAUUAUCUCAAAACACUUGGACUUAGGAUGUCCAACCUUUCCACAAUGAUCGCACUUGGGCUUGGGUCCAUCUCUAUUCUGCUUGUUUCCUGAAUAUGAGUGGAAGGCUGUACCUGGAUCCAUCUUAUUAUUCCCUUUCUCCUUCUCCACAGUGAAGCGUGCUUCUUCUCUCAAGACGUGAUUGAAAGCGCGUCUGAGUGAAGGUAAUGGUUCUACAUUCAGAAUGGAGGUUUUGACAUGUCCGUAUUUUUCAUUAUCCAGACUUCCAAGGAAAAGAUGGAGACAUUGUUCUUCUUCCCUUCGCAUCAAUUCCUUUGAUGCUCCACAAGUGCAUUCGGGCAGAGGUUGUAAUUCACUCAACUCAUCAAGCAAACUCUUGAACUAAGUGUAAAAUGUUGUUACACUCAACUCAUCAUCCUUCUGCAUAAGACACAGAUUGCGCCAUAAUUGAUGGAUCCUUGGUGCGUUGGUUUGAGCAAAACGCUCUUCGAGAUCGAGCCAGAUGUCCCUCGUUGUUGAUGCGUGUGAAAUGCUGCUAUGCAGUACCGGAUCAGUGGCAUUGAUGAUCCAUGCUGUUACCAUUGAAUCUGCUCUCUCCCAAUUGACAUAAUUGGUUGUUUUCAUCCCUGGUUUCGUGAUUGUUCCAUCGAUGAAACCGAGCUUCAAUUUUGCUCGGAGCGCCGUUUUCAUCGAUCGUGACCACGUUCUGUAGUUUUCUCCAUUUAGAACAGCCGCCACUAAUGGAGUUCCUGGAUUAUCUGAGGAACCAAGAUAGUAUGGUGAGCUUGAGUCAAUGGCAUGUGAUUUUUUACCUUUAUCGGAGGCAUGAUUUUUCUUCCCCGAAUUAUCUUCCUCAGAACUGUCCCGCUCUGAUGCCAUAUUGAAAAUGGCUGUAUAUUUUACUGAUGUACAAAAGAAUGAUAUACAAUUACAUUUAUAGCACCUGAGACAUUAAACUGGUGCAAAAAUUAGCCUAAUUAUAAGUGUUGACCGCUAGAGCUAUCAGAGGAAAUAAUACAAAGUUAAUAGUAACAGCUGGCUGGAAUGAUCUAAAAAAUUAAUAGCAUAUCACAAAAUUAAUAUCACAUCAUUCUCCUUGAUUAUAUGCUGACCAGAAAAGUCAAGAUACUUGCUUAUUCUGCAAUACUAUAUAAUUUCAUUUUAUCUUCAUAAAAAAAGAAGUUGGAAAACAUGGGGUACAAUAACGAAUGUUUCUCAAAUGCAUCUUGUUUUGAUUUUUCUUCGCUGAUUUCUCCUUCCCCCUAAGUUUUAGAUCAAUGCUCACCACCUAUGUUUUAGGUUAGUGCAAUGGAACAUACGUACCCUUGGCUUGAAGCGAAAAACUAAUAAUAGAUACUUAACUUGAACAAGAAAUUGAUCUCAUUAGAAUCCAGACUGUGGAGCAUGGGCGGAUCCACUGUGAAAUAUGGUGCGGCAAGACCAGAUUAUUUCCCAUUUUUUUUUCUUCCAUAUACUUGACUUAAAUAAUUAUAUAUAUAAUAUAAGUCGUUCACAUAUCACAUGUUUCUCUUUUGGCCGAGCAUUUCUUAGGGGGAAUCGAACCUGUAACACCAUGUUAAAAUGCUCUCACCCAAAAUAUUUCGCUAUACUAUUUAAAGUGUCAAUGGUCUACUUUGUUAAUACAUAUAGUUGUUUUGAAAGUUUUGCCAAACCAAUAUCAAAUGUCUAGAUCCGCCCCUGCUUGGAGGUAUAUAUGUCUUGCAUUUGUCUUCAUCUUUUAUGUGCGACUACAUAUUAUUUUAAAUUUACCUUCUUCACACUUCUUGCAUAAAAUUUCAAAUCCUGUUACUCUUAUUUCUUAACCUAAAAUACGAACCUAUUAAAAGGAUAGAACUCAUUGACUUAUAAUCUUCACUAUUUUAUGUGAUGCCAGAAUCCUAACAAUUCCUCUUCAAUAUUGAAUGCUCUAUUUGGAAAAGAAAAAGACAAAGAAAAGAUGAUAUUAUUUUAAAAAAUAACAUAAUUCCAUUCGAAACCCUCCAAUGUUGUAAAGGAACCUCACCUCCUCUUAUGGUAUAUGGAUAAUUUAAACCCAAUUAACAAUAACAGUUUCAAAUCAUAUUCAUAUAUCUAUACAAACUACAACGUAAACAUAUUUCAUCGCACUUUAGAUUCCAUAAACCAUUGGACAUGACUACAUUUGUUGAUGUUAAACACAACCCAAAUAAAUAAUUAUUGGGCAAAGAAUGAUGACAGAGUUGAAACAAUGCAGAUAGAAAAUAAUCAGAGAUAGGUAUAAAAAUAUUGCAGUCUUUGGAGUCUAGUAAGUUCAUAUAUAAUAACUAAAAGCCUAAUAGGUAGAUAAAUAUUAUGUUUUUUUUUUUUUGGAGGAAAAUAUUAUGGUUAUAUAACAAUAAUAAAAUAUCCAUGUGGUUCUAAGUUCUAACAAGUGAAAGCAAUGAAGAUAAAUUAAUAUUUUUUGUAAAUUAAGGCAUAUAAGCACACCUCAAACAGUGGUAUGUGAAUUGUAACACUCUUAGGUUUAAUGUAUAACAUAUUUUGGCCAUAACAGUAGUAGCCAAAGCCAAACAUGAAACAUUUCUUUCAGCUUCUUAGAGGUACAUGCAACACUAUGUGUGUGUAUAUAUAUCAAGAAAAGCAGAGAAUGCUGAAAUGCACAAUUUUUUGAUUCAGAAAAUUUUUAAAACUGAACUGUAGAUUCCUACUCCCUCAAGUCUCAAUUAUAAGCCAAUUUUUUAGUUUGUAAGUAGUUCAUUCAAUGAAUGAUGUAUGUUGUCUAUAACCACAUAGAUCAUUAAACUACAUACAUCAUUUAUUGAAUGAACCUAAAACUGAAAAUUUGUUUAUAAUUGAGACAUGACGGAGUACUUUAAAAAAGUGAUACUCAACAAACUAUAAAAUAGAGAAUGAAGUGAUACUCAAUUUUAUUUUAACAUCCAUUUUUCUAUCUAAUACUAGACGAGGCUCUUACCACAUUUGAUAUAUAACAAUAUAAACGAAGGUAUUUCAAGCUCAAAAGUUAAAGUAACAAAAGUGAUCACAUAAGAUCUAUAUAAAAAAGCGGUUUUCAUAUAAAAAAUAAAUAAAUAAUAAAAAAAGAGCUAUAUAAAUAAGAUGGGCAAUAUUAUUGUCUAAGUGAGUUUCUUUAACUCAUGCAUCAUUCAAUUGAGUCAAAUAGAUAGUUAAAAUAUAAAAUGUCUGAAAUGACUUUCUAUCAUGCAAACCCAAUUAGAAAAGCCUUCAAAAAUUGAAAAAUAAAAUAAAAGCAAACUAGGUUCAAAACCAGCCCUAGACACCAGCUUAAUACUCAUAACAAAAAUAAGUUUUGAGGCAACAUGUAAAGUAAACAAUUAUUCAUCUUCACUUUCAUCAUCAUCAUCAUCUUCAUAAAUGUUCAGAGCAGUGUUCUUACAGAUUGGACAAACAUUCUUCUCCUCCAACCAUUGUUUGAUGCAGUUAAGAUGAUAUAUGUGAUUGCAAUCAAGUCUCCCAAUACACUCCCCAUCAAUAAAAUCUUCCUAAUAAACAUAAAACAAGAGGGGUUAUGACACUUGAAUAUGCUCAAGUAUUAGGAUUUUAAAAUUUAGUUCAUCCAAUCCUUACAAAAUCAGUUGGUUAGAAUAGAGGUGCCACUUUUUAUAAAAAAAAUUAUUUAUUUAUUUUCAAUGUGGGACUUUGAUUUUCUUAAUAUCGUGUUCCCUAAAGAGUUUUAUAUGCUAUAUUAGAAGAAAAAAAAAUGAACCAGGAACUAAAUUAGCUACAUACAAAUUAAUGUGAUAUCAAAUUUUGAGGUAAUAUAAACGAUAUUUCAAGUCCCGUGAGCAUAACUCAGUUGGUAGGACAAUGCAUUAUUAUAUGCAGGGGCCGGGGUUCGAACCCCAGACACCCCACUUAUUCACCUUAUAAGGUGAGUUCUAGCUACUAGGCUACCUGGCCGAAAAAAAAAAAAACAAUAUUUCAAAAAUAAAGAAACAAGUAGAUUAAUCCUUCACCUGACAUAUGGUGCAAGUUUGAUUCAUUGUGCUUGUUUCCUCAGUAUUAGGCUGGUAAGUUUCUUGCUGGAUAUACAUGAGAAUUUCCUCCUCUUCCAGCCCCACCUCAUUCAUCUGUACGUUAAUUAAAUUUAUCAUUUUCAAUUGAAUAUGAUCAUGUAUAAUAUGUAAGCUAAACUCUAGCUACAUGUUUAUACAAUUGGGCAAACAAUAUGAAGGAAAAAAAAAAGGAUGUAUUAAUUAUACAUUAAUAGUUACAAAGCUUUAAAAAAAAAAAAAAUCAAAAUUUUUACCUCGUCUUGCCAAUCCUCUGAAUUAGUUAUCCAAUCUAUGUGCUCUUGAGAGUGAAGUAGCCGAUUUUGAGUGGCCCAGUAAUCAAGCUGUGUGACAUAUAUUUAUAAGGAAAAUGUUACAUGAACAUCCUUUAUUUCUACACCCCAUUGUACACUCCAUGUAUUAGGGAUAUUUUAGUAAGUUCAUCUCACAACCACACUUUAUCUUCUAUUUGUGUGGGAUCCAAGUUGCCACGUGUCAGAAUUUUGUGUGGGUGUAAAGAGUGUAUUGCCACAUGGGAAGGUACAUAUAUCAUCACUCUAUUUGUAAAGUACAUGAAAGUAAUGUGAUGAAUUCAAAAUGGUACAUAUCAAGAUGAUUUAAUUUAAUGGGAAUGUUUAUUCUGCUGCAACUGCUAGUUAAUCCAACGGUAUAGUAAAACAAUCACAAAGUAGUAUUCAAUCUUUUACCUAAAUAACUAAUCUAAAAAUUUGGGUUAAACAUAACUCAAAUAUCUUAUGUAUUUAAUGUAGAAUUUUAGCACACCUCCUCACACCAAUGAUUAUACAUCUGGAUGUGACAUGGUGGUACAAUAGUGGUGGUCGAAUACGUGGUAGAUACAUAGUGAUCACAGAAGAGUUUUUUACAAAAUUAGGAUAUAAAUUGAGCACUAUGUAUCUAUCACUUAUAAACAUUUUGUUAAACUAUAUUUCGCUUAUUCUUUUUUACACAAUAUCUCACUACUCUUAACAAUUAAAUUAUUUUUAUAAAUAAUAAACAUAUCAAUUACGUUAGGUUUCUAGAAUAGAUUUCUAACAACUUUAUAUCAACAAAACACACUUAUCAUCAUUUCCAAUUCAUUGCAAUAUUAAAUUUUCACAUGCAUACUUAUAGUAACACAUAAUAUAUAACCACAAAUUAAAUACUAUCACUUAUUAAUUUUGACUAAAGUUUACUUGAUGGUAAAUAAAUCUAAAAUAUUUGAAAAUGAAGCACAUUAUUUAAUUGUGAAUUCAUUUAUUUUAGUCUUCAACCAAAGUUAAUAUUAACAAGUAAUUAAGAAAGUAUAUAUAUAUAUAUAUAUAUAUAUAUAUAUAUAUAUAUAUAUAUAUGCACAGGCCGGGGAUAUUGCAUGGAUAUUGCAUUUUAUAUGUACGAGCCGGGAUUCGAACCCCGGACACUCCACUUCUCGAAAAUUAAAUUGUGUGAGUUCUACCCACCAGACUACUUAACCAAAAAAAAGAGAAAGAAAGUAUAUAUACCUCAAAGAAGUCCAGGUUGUUGUUAUUAUCACCAUUCUGGCUAAAACUUGUGCCUUGAGAAGAAGAACAUGUUGCUUCUCUUGUUGCUGCAGAGGGAUAUAGAAAUGAUGCAGGACCACCAGGAGAGCUAUUAAUUUCAGACAGAGUAGUAGUACUACUUAGUCCUGCUUCUACAUCAACAUCUUCAUCCAUGAUGAAAUGAUCCCAAAAUGUUGUUGUAGGUAAAGAAGACAUGUUAUUGACAUUGUCUUGAUAAGGAUGAAAAGGAGGAGGAAGAGUGCGUCUUCUGCUAAACCUUUCAUCAAUUUGUGAACCUUGAUUAGAAGUUUCACCUCUAGUGAAUGGAUCAGGCGAUCUACUUCUCUUGAAUGAUGAAUUAGCCUGACACAACUCAUCAUUCCUAGCACCAGUAGUAGUGGUGUUAAUUUCAUCGUUGAAUGACGAAACGGAAUUAGCAUUACUACUAUUUCCUACAACAUCUCCACUUCUUUGAUAAUCGGAUUCUACAACAGGUGCAACUUCAAUUUGUCCUCCAAUAGUCGGAUAUAAGGAGGAUAAUGACAUAUUAUCUCUAGCCGAGAUGGACGACACACUUCUCGGUCCUCCAUUGAUAAAUUGAGAAGUGUUGUUGCCUUCUAAAGCAUUGUGAGUAGUAGUAGGAAUGAUGCUAAUAUUUGACCCAAAAAGUCUUAAAUAUAUUGGGCUCCUUUCUUGAUUAUGACGAUUUCCUAAACGAUAUUGGUUGGCCAUAGAUUGCAACUUCUUGCCUGCAUGCACACCAUAACAACAACCAUAUAUCAAUACUACCAUGGACAUAUGAUGCUAUCAUAACACUCACAAUGAUAUCUAGACUCCAAUCGUAAUGUGAUAAAAUGAACAAAUUCGAAUGUAGAUGAUUGUGCUAUUGCUGGAGUGUAAACAUAGUUAAAAUGCUAGUAACAUAUAAUGAUGUCAUUGCGCUCUAUUCUUUUGCUUAAAAAAAAUAUAAUCAUAUGAGAUUUAGUGUGUUGAACACUAAUAUAUGACACUACAUAUAUUCGUUUUCUAAAAAAUUGUAUUAUUAUUGUUAAUUCCCUAUACACAUAUAAUAGAUCUGAAAGAGUAUAACAGUCCGUUCGGAUUGGUUUAUUUUUUAUAUUAUUAAAUAUAAUUUAUGUAAAUAAAUAAAUUUUUAUAUUACUUCAUAAGUUUUUACUAAUGAAAAUUGUAUAUUCAUAAACUACCUUGACAAAUUUAUGAAUAUAGUACAUAAAAGCUUAUUGAUUUGCAUAAACUCAAAAAUAAGUAAAUCUAAACGGGACCUAAGAGUAGGUGAAAUAAAAUUUUCAACAUAUAAAACUUAUAUGUAAAUUUAAGAAUAUUAAAUUUAUUUUCACAAAGUAACCCAUUUUCUAAAACAUCAAAAUCACACACAAAAAAUAAUUUGAUAGACAAAACAUUUAUCAGCCAAUCAAUAAGUUGAUCAAAAAAUCAAACAGGAAGAUAGUUCAAAUCACAUGCUCAUAUAAACAAGAUUAAAAAAAAAAAAACAUAGUACAAAUCAAACCCAACCUUGAUUAUAUACCUAAAUAGAUGAGUAGGUACAAGAAUCGAUGGAUGUUAAAAACCAAAAGCUGGUGAUUACAACUGUUUAAUAUCACACUGAUGGUUUCUCUAUAGCAUGAAGGGAAAAAAGGACACUGUUGAGAGCUUCAAUUUAUUGAGAUUUUGUUUUUACAGUCUCUAUCGAUGCCGAUAUAUUAUUUUUAAUUUAUGUCUAAAUUUUUUAUAGAAAUUCAACUUUAUGGAAACGACCGUAAAUGGUUGACUGUUGACUAGUAUUUUGUCACAAUGCAUCCUCUCGCGUUACUUUUUAAUAUCUACCUACAUUUAUUGUUAUUUUUGUCACAAUGCAUCCCCUCGCGUUACCUUUUAAUCUCUACCUACAUUUAUUUCUCUAGCGAUUUUAGGAGAGAAAAUAUAUUGUUCACUUAUCACCUUCUAAAAGUUUUCUUCACAAUUAGCUUUUCUUCACCAACCACACCACCGACAUGGCCAAAAACACCACCUCCACCUCUAAUCAUGUCCUGAUUCCAUAGCCUUGCCUAUAUCAAGACCCCCUGAAACCAACACCAAAGCCUGAUUGCCCAGAAACCGACCCCAAACCUAAGAAAACCUUAGCACAAACCAUAAGCAACGUUUGCGAUAUACCAACAUCACAACUACCACAAUCGGUGAUCAAAGGGGAUAAGGUCUCUAUAUCCAUCCCAGAAGAUGAUUACACGGUGGGAUUAGAAGCAUGCAAGCACAACUUACAUGCUAGGAUCAUUUACCCUAAAGGUGCUACCCCUCUAACUGUAUUUUCCUUGAGAAACAAACUUACUGCUCAUUGGAAAGAUCUAGGGCGAUGGGGAGUUCAAGUUAUUAGGAAAGGAUUCUAUGAAUUUACUUUCUCCAACUUAGAAGAUCUGCAGAGGGUAAUAUCCAUUGGCUCAUAGAAUUUGAGUCCCGGCUUCAUCAAAUUCUUUGCUUGGACGCGUGAUUAUAGCCCUAAUACACGUCAAAAUACUUCAGCUCAAGUAUGGCUCAAGAUCUAUGGUGUCCCUCAGGAGUAUUGGCGCAAGCGGAUACUAUUUCCUAGUGCGAGUAGCAUUGGUACACUUAUUUGCAUUGAUACUGCCACUGCUAAGCCUAUGUGGGAGAGAACUUUUGGCCAAUAUGCAAGAACCUACCAGAUUAUUGUUCACAUUGCAACAAAAUUGGAUACUAUUUAGAGAUAUGGAUGUGUCACAAUCUUUGAGAAAUAAGGUAUUGGUAAAAAGGAAGGGUUUUUCCUUCUUUGUGGAAUUAGGUUAUGAGAACCUACCAGAUUAUUGUUCACAUUGCAACAAAAUUGGAUACUAUUUAGAGAUAUGUAAAAAUGUUAGAAAGGAAGGAAAUGAAGAGCAUGCUAAUUAAGGAACCAGUCAAGCCAAAGAAAGCAAAAACAAAAACAUAAUAUGUCAGAAAGGAGCAGGGGAAGUCUCAAACAGAUCCCAUUGUGGUCCCUGAGCAGACAAUUGAAAUACAACAAGAAAGAGAUCCAAACAAAGGGAAGGCCAUUAUGGUAGUUGAGACUAAGAAGGUUAGCAAAGAGAUGAACAUGGAGUUUAAUAAUGAAAAGGCAGAAGAUGCUGAUGAAUCUUCUUCUGAAGGUUCUGAAUUUGUAGAAGAUAUUGAGAUUAGGGAGGAAAACAUUGAUGAUGACUCUGUGGAAGAAGUCAACAAUAACACAGUGUGAUCAAGACUUGGAGAACAAACUAUUUUUGGAGGAAUCUUGGGCCAAUAUGGCUAAAGAUGAUGAUACUGAAGCAAGACUGCUAGCUGAUAUUGAGAGAGUUUCCAAAGAAUGCUGAUGAUUUUCAAUUAGUGGUAACAAAGAGGAAGAAGAAGCAACAAAGAUCAGCAAACAACAAAUAUGCAACUAGAUCAAGGAUUGGUAAAACAAAUCCUUCACAAUAAAGAGUUUUUUCUGGAAUGUAAGGGGUUUAGCUAACGCCCCCACUAGAUUAGCUCUUAAGAGGUUUCUUGAUGUUAAUAAACCAAAUUUUGUUUUAUUAGUGAACCAUGGUUGGAGCAUGAUUCUCUUCCUAGAGUUUGGUUUAGUAGACAUGGUGACAAACUUUUCGGUUCUAAUAUUAGAAAAAAUUUGAAGCCUAAUCUUUGGUGCCUGUGUACUUCAAACCUUAACCCUAAGAUUUUAGAGAUUACUGACCAACUAGUUUCCUUUACUAUUGACUAUAACAAUAUUACCUGUGGAAUUUCUGAUGUAUAUGCCUCAACAUGUUAUUUGAAGAGAAGAGAACUGUGGCAGUCCCUGCAAUCUUUACAAACGAACUACCCCAUUCCCUGGUGCUUUAUGGGAGAUUUCAACUCCAUCUUAGGAGCUUAUAAGCACAAGGGGCAUUAUUGACCUUCCAGAACUGCAAUGAAGGACUUUCAAUUGUGGACUAAUAGAAAUAACCUGAUACACCUUCCCACCAAAGGUGCAACAUUCGCUUGGCAAAAUGGUAGAAGUGGAAGAAGAUACACUGAAAGAAGACUGGACAGAUUCAUUUGCAAACACCUUUGGCUUGAAAUGUGUACCUGUGUAACCUGUUCAACCCUAUUAAGAACUAACUUAGACCAUCACCCAAUUUUCCUUGAUUUUGAAGCCACUCAAAACAAGUUUGUUACCUAGUUUAAAUUUCAAUAAAUGUGGACCCUACAUACAGACUAUAGAAACAUUGUAACCUCAACCUAGAAUUUUAAUGUAGUUGGUUGUCCCAUGUUCAUUCUAUCCUAAAAGCUCCAGAUGCUCAAAAUAAACCUUAGAAACUGGAACAAAGAUGUCUUUGGUAAUAUUCACCAAGUUGUUAAAGAAGCAGAAGAUAAAUUACAUGAUAUCUGACAACAAAUUCAAACCUCUGGCUACUUAGAAACCAAAAUACAACAAGAGAAGCUAGCACAAAAAAAACCUUGAAGAAGCCCUCAACAAAGAAGAAGCAUUUUGGCAAGAAAAAUCUAAACUGAAGUGGCAUUUAGAAGGUGGUAGGAACACAUCAUAUUUUCAUAAGGUCGCCAAAAUUAGAAAUACUACAAAACACAUUACAUCAAUCAAAGAUGGAGGAAACACUAUCAUUGAUCCCAUACUCAUUGUUGAUCAUGCCCUUAAUUUUUAUAAGUCUCUUUUUUGUACUAACAUUGUUUUGCAGGACAGCUUGCUUAUGGAAGAAGUAAUUCCAAACUUAGUUUCAGACAACACCAAUCAGAUGCUUACCAUGCUCCCUACUUCUCAAGAAAUUCAUAGAGCAGUUUUUGCACUUAAUAAGGAUAGUUCCCCUAGCCAGAUGGGUUUGGAGCUGUCUUCUUUCAAACUUUGUGGGAUAUCAUAAAGACAAAUGUGGAGAAAGCAGUGUUGCAGUUUUUUACUUCUGGAUGGAUCAUGCCAAACUUCAACUCAAAAACUAUUGCUUUAAUUCCAAAGACACCUAAUGCAGACACACACUACUAGGUAAAGCAAAAUUAGGGUGGGAAAUGUUGGUUUCCAGCCACAAUAGUAACAAUAAUGCAUCAAUGGGAAAUGUUGAAUUUUUCUCCACUAGCAUGCCUAUGAAUAAUAGCUUGCGGUGGUAAAAAUUCUACCAUGUCAGUAACAAAUUGACAAACUUGGCAAUGGGUAACUAUUGUCAAAGAUGGUGCAGCAAGGAUUGGAAAAUAAGAACCAAGCAUUUAAUGCACACGGUUCAAAACCCUCUAUAAAUAGAGAAGAGUUUCAGCAAUGAAACACACCACAACACAAUCCUCACUCACAUAGAGUUGAGAGAAAAAUAGAGAGUUCCUCAUAAGAGUGUGAGAGAAAAAUAUAGUGAGCCAAUUUGUGAGAGUUGUAUCUACAAAUUGAGAUACAUAGUUAGGUCCACCUGAGGGUGAAGAUUUGUAUUCCCAUUAUUAUUAUAGUGGAGAUUUAAGAGGCCUACGGGUCCCGUGGUUUUUCCUUACUCACAUUGAGAAGGUUUUCCACGCUAAAAUUUUGUUGUGUCAUUUUACGUUUCCGCUAAAGUGCCUAUUUUGAGUUCACGGAGGAGGGAAAUUAUGCAGGCAUUUCCCAACAGUGGUAUCAGAGCACUCGUUGCUCUGGGACUAUGAGUUUUCGUAUAUGCAAGAUAAUUCUUAAUAUGCUCUGUGGCUGCAACAUUGUUUGAUCUUCCACAUCAGAAAAGAAAUUUCUUGUCGCUAGAAAUAAAGUGAGGUAGUGAUAUAUUGCAUGUCUAGGAGUUCUGGCAAGGAAAGACUUGGUAUUUAAGCGUGUCUAUUGACCCACCUUUCUUACCUGGGAACUUUCAUGGUGCACUAUUCACGAACUCAGAUUUAUUCUAGUAUACGAUACUAGUCACACUUGUUAAAGAAAUUAUUUCCUGUGUAACUCAAGAUGGAGGGUGCAAUCAGCCAUGAUGGUGAUAUGUUCAAGCUAACUGCUGACAAUUACGCAUAUUGGAAGCCAAUGAUGGAAGACCACUUGUAUUGCAAAGACUUUCAUGAGCCAAUCACCCAAAAAGAUAAACCCUACAAGAAGACCGCUACGGAAUGGGAGACGGAGAAUCGAAAAACAGUGGCUAUGAUCCGAAAAUACAUUGAUCGAAGCUUGUUCGAGCAUGUAUCAACUGAUACCAAUGCGUAUGAGUUAUGGACGAAGCUUGAAUCAUUGAUUCAAAAGAACACGCCGAGAAAUAAAGCACACCUUGUUAGAAGACUGGUGAAGUUAGAGUACUCAGACGGUCAAAAGAUGAUCGAAGCUUUAAACACCUUCAAAGGUUUUGUAAUCAGUUGACAAGAAACGAAAUGAAGAUAGAUGACGAGUUGGACACACUUCUUACUCUUAUUUCCUUACCUGACAGUGGGGAAACUUUAGUUGGCACUCCUCGCUAUUCUGGCUCAAAAGGAAAACUUAAAUGGAAUUCAGUCCCUGUCUGUCUGGUAUAUGCAAAAACAAAACGAAAGGAAAAAGCUUGAAACAAUAUGUUCAAACCCACUUAUUUAACAACAAAGAAGGAACAAAAACCUGAAAAAAGGGGGUGGGAAAAUAUAAGGAGGCAAAAAAAGAAUUACCUAAACUAAAUUUGUUUUUACGGGGGAAAAACAGGCCAAUAAAAGGCUUGGGGUGAUUAUUUCUUUAAAAAAAGUUCUGCAGGGGGGUGCAAGAAACCCCUUCCCUUAAAAAAAAUUAGAAUAAAAAAAAAAAAAAAAAGAAAAGAGCGGGGAACCCCACCGCAAACAGCCCUUCUUUCUCCANNNNNNNNNNNNNNNNNNNNNNNNNNNNNNNNNNNNNNNNNNNNNNNNNNCACAAACAUACACAAAGAAAAGAAAGAAAGGGACGACAGGGAGCUGCAUUAUUUUAUUGGAUUUUUUUUGUUUUUGUGGUGUGGAGGGGAGAAAACAAAAACACAACCCCCCUUAUUUUGAGAGAAGAAUACCAAGGAAGAUUUUUUUACCCCCCCCCCCCCCAAAAAAAGAAUUUUUUUUCUUAGGGGGGAAUUAUUAUAAAUUUUUUCUUGAGGGGAAGGGGGGAACCUUCCAAAAACCUUCUGUGGAAAGGUUUAAGGAGCCCCCCAAAAAGGGAAAAAAAGGGUUUUCAAUCCCUUGGAAGAAAGGAAAGAAAAUUCCCCAAAAGGGGAAUGAGAGGUUUGGCCUGGUAAAAUUUUCCCAGAUGGAAAGGAGGGCUUUUAAAAAAUAAAUGGGUUUUCAAACUUCAAUUUUAAAGGGACAACCCAACCCCCAAGUACAAAGCAUGAAUUGGUGUGAAGGGGUGCCCUUCAAAAGAAAGGCAUUGAUUUUGAAAAAAUGUUUUCCCCGGUGGUGAAGAUGACAUCCAUUAGAGCAAUCCUUGGUCUAGCUGCAAAACUAGACUUAGAGAUAGAACAACUUGAUGUUAAAACAGCAUUCUUGCAUGGAGACCUAGAGGAAGAAAUCUAUAUGGAGCAACCUAAAGGUUUCGUUGAACCAGGCAAAGAACACCUUGUGUGUCGCUUGAAGAAAAGUUUAUAUGGCUUAAAGCAGGCUCCAAGACAAUGGUACAAGAAGUUUGAUCUCUUCAUGACCCAACACAACUUCACAAAGACGUCAACAGACCAUUGUGUGUUUGUGAAGAACUAUGAAAAUGGAGAGUCCAUCAUACUUUUAUUGUAUGUUGAUGAUAUGCUUAUUGUUGGAAAAGAUAAGACAAAGAUAUCUGCUCUCAAGAAAGCAUUGAGCAAAUCUUUUGCUAUGAAGGAUUUGGGUGCAGUGAAGAAGAUUCUUGGAAUGAAGAUCAUUAGAGAUCGAUCAAAAAGAAUGUUGUGGAUGUCACAAGAAGAAUAUCUCAAGAAAGUUCUUGAAAGGUUCAACAUGCAUAAUGCAAAACCUGUGCAUGUUCCAUUACCUGGUCAUUUGAAACUCAGUAAGACACAAUGUCCUGAGAAUGAUCAAGAGAAAGAAGAAAUGAGCAAGGUGCCCUAUUCUUCAGCCGUGGGUAGCCUUAUGUACGCCAUGGUCUGCACGAGGCCAGACAUCGGUUAUGCUGUAGGAGUCGUGAGUAGAUUCCUAUCAAAUCCAGGAAAAGAACACUGGAGUGCUGUGAAAUGGAUACUGAGGUAUCUAAAAGGAACUGCCAAAAAGUGCUUAUGUUUUGGCAAUGGAAAUCAAAUGCUCGUUGGAUAUGUAGAUGCUGAUAUGGCCGGAGAUAUAGAUUCAAGAAAAUCUACAUCUGGAUAUUUGAUUACUUUUGCAGGGGGAGCUGUCUCAUGGCAAUCUCGACUACAAAAGUGCGUUGCUUUAAGUACCACAGAAGCAGAGUACAUCGCAAUCACUGAAGGCUGUAAGGAGAUGAUGUGGAUGAAGAAGUUCCUGCAAGAGUUAGGCCAGAAUCAAGAAAUUUAUGUUCUCUAUUGUGAUAGUCAAAGUGCAAUUCACCUCAGCAAGAAUUCGACAUACCAUUCAAGGUCAAAACACAUCGAUGUGAGGUAUCAUUGGAUUCGUGAUGUGUUGGAGAAUAAACUGCUGCAAAUAGAGAAAAUUCACACCAAUGACAACGGAGCAGAUAUGAUGACAAAAGCUCUACCAAAAGAGAAGAUAGAGUUUUGUAAACAAGCUGCAGGCUUGGCAGCAACCCCAAACUAAUCUAAGGAUAGUUUCCCUUUGGCUGGAGGGGGAGAAUUGUUGGUUUCCAGCCACAAUAGUAACAAUAAUGCAUCAAUGGGAAAUGUUGAAUUUUUCUCCACUAGCAUGCCUAUGAAUAAUAGCUUGCGGUGGUAAAAAUUCUACCAUGUCAGUAACAAAUUGACAAACUUGGCAAUUGGUAACUAUUGUCAAAGAUGGUGCAGCAAGGAUUGGAAAAUAAGAACCAAGCAUUUAAUGCACACGGUUCAAAACCCUCUAUAAAUAGAGAAGAGUUUCAGCAAUGAAACACACCACAACACAAUCCUCACUCACAUAGAGUUGAGAGAAAAAUAGAGAGUUCCUCAUAAGAGUGUGAGAGAAAAAUAUAGUGAGCCAAUUUGUGAGAGUUGUAUCUACAAAUUGAGAUACAUAGUUAGGUCCACCUGAGGGUGAAGAUUUGUAUUCCCAUUAUUAUUAUAGUGGAGAUUUAAGAGGCCUACGGGUCCCGUGGUUUUUCCUUACUCACAUUGAGAAGGUUUUCCACGCUAAAAUUUUGUUGUGUCAUUUUACGUUUCCGCUAAAGUGCCUAUUUUGAGUUCACGGAGGAGGGAAAUUAUGCAGGCAUUUCCCAACAGUGGUAUCAGAGCACUCGUUGCUCUGGGACUAUGAGUUUUCGUAUAUGCAAGAUAAUUCUUAAUAUGCUCUGUGGCUGCAACAUUGUUUGAUCUUCCACAUCAGAAAAGAAAUUUCUUGUCGCUAGAAAUAAAGUGAGGUAGUGAUAUAUUGCAUGUCUAGGAGUUCUGGCAAGGAAAGACUUGGUAUUUAAGCGUGUCUAUUGACCCACCUUUCUUACCUGGGAACUUUCAUGGUGCACUAUUCACGAACUCAUAUUUAUUCUAGUAUACGAUACUAGUCACACUUGUUAAAGAAAUUAUUUCCUGUGUAACUCAAGAUGGAGGGUGCAAUCAGCCAUGAUGGUGAUAUGUUCAAGCUAACUGCUGACAAUUACACAUAUUGGAAGCCAAUGAUGGAAGACCACUUGUAUUGCAAAGACUUUCAUGAGCCAAUCACCCAAAAAGAUAAACCCUAGAAGAAGACCGCUACGGAAUGGGAGACGGAGAAUCGAAAAACAGUGGCUAUGAUCCGAAAAUACAUUGAUCGAAGCUUGUUCGAGCAUGUAUCAACUGAUACCAAUGCGUAUGAGUUAUGGACGAAGCUUGAAUCAUUGAUUCAAAAGAAGACGCCGAGAAAUAAAGCACACCUUGUUAGAAGACUGGUGAAGUUAGAGUACUCAGACGGUCAAAAUAUGAUCGAGCAUUUAAACACCUUCAAAGGUAUUGUAAAUCAGUUGACAAAAACAGAAAUGAAGAUAGAUGACGAGUUGCAAACACUUCUACUUCUCAGUUCCUUACCUGAGAGUUGGGACACUUUAGUUGUCACUCUCAGCAAUUCUGCUCCAGAUGGAAAACUUAGCAUGGAUUCAGUCACUGACUGCCUGUUAAAUGAAGAGUCAAGACGAAGGGAAAGAGGCUUGAACAAUUAGUUCGAAGCCAACGUCAUUGACAACAGAGGAAGGAGCAAGAACCGUGAAAAAGGUGGUCGUGAAAAAUCACGAGGCAGAUCAAAGACUCGCACUAAACUAAGUUGUUAUUACUGUGGAAAACCAGGCCAUAGAAAGUUUGAGUGCAGAUUCUUCAAGAGAGAUCAGCAGGCUGGAACGAUCCAUCCCGAUAUAAUCGAUUCAAAGAAGAAAGAAGAAGGAACCACGACAGCAGUCGUAGCAACUAACGAGAAUUUCUUUCUCGUUGAAGAUGAAAAUUAUCUAAAUGUAGCGUCUGAUGACUGCAUUUGGAUAAUUGACUCAGGAGCAUCCUUUCAUGUAACCCCUCAUGAAGAAUUUUUCUCAUCAUAUCAAAAAGGAGACUUUGGUAUGGUGAAGAUGGGCAAUCAUGUCACAAGCAAGAUUGUUGGCAUUGGCGAGGUGACUCUGGCUACAGAUAAUGGCUCUAAGCUCGUGUUGAAGGAGGUUAGACAUGUUCCAGACAUGCGUCUAAAUCUUAUCUCGACAGGAAAAUUAGAUGAUAUUGGUAUGAUAAACCAAUUUGGAGAUGGCAGAUGGAAGCUUAGUAAAGGAAGCAUGAUCAUUGCUCGUGGUAAAAAGGAAGGCUCUCUGUAUGUUAUGCAGGGAAAGAUAAACAAGGGAGAUAUCAAUGUAUCUCAAGGCAUGAGCAAAGAAUUGUGGCACAAACGACUUGGCCACAUGAGUGAGAAAGGUUUGGAGAUUCUUGCUAAGAAUCAUCUUCCAAACAUCAAGGGUCAACCACUUGAAUCCUGUGAAGAUUGUCUAGCAGGCAAACAACACAGAGUAUCUUUUCAAAGAUCGGAUGAUGCAAAAAGAAGAAAGCAUAUCCUCGAUCUUGUUCAUUCAGAUGUUUGCUCUACAUCUGAAAGGUCCCUUGGUGGUUCACAAUACUUUGUUACCUUCAUUGACGAUCACUCUAGAAAAGUGUGGGUGUAUCCAUUGAAGAAGAAAGAUCAAGUUCUUCAGGUUUUCAAAGAAUUUCAUGCCUCUGUAGAACGGGCAUCUGGAAGAAAACUGAAAUGUCUAAGGACAGAUAAUGGUGGAGAGUAUAUAGGCACAUUUGCAGCCUACUGUAAAUCUCAUGGAAUAAGACAUGAGAAGGUACCUCCUAAAACUCCUCAGAUGAAUGGAGUAGCUGAAAGGAUGAAUAGAACGAUUGCAGAGAAAGUCAGAAGCAUGCUUUCUCAAGCAAAACUUCCCAAAUUAUUUUGGGGUGAAGCAGUGAGAACUGCAGUUGAUUUGAUUAAUUUGUCUCCUUCAAGACCUUUAAAUGGAGAGAUACCAGAUGAAGUAUGGUAUGGAAAGAAAGCCUCCUAUGGUCAUUUGAGAGUCUUUGGAUGCAGGGCAUUUGUGCAUGUUCCAAAAGAUGAAAGAGCAAAGCUAGAUGCUAAGACGAAGGAGUGCAUAUACCUUGGUUCACCAAGAGAUGAACUUGGCUUUAGAUUAUGGGAUCCUGCUACUAAGAAGAUGGUUCGAAGCAGAGACGUGGUAUUCUAUGAAGAUCAGACGAUCCACGACAUUCAAUCUAAAAAGCCAAAGACCAUUGUGGUGCACAAUUCAGGGGGAGAGAUUCCUCAGAUGAAUUACGAUCAUGAUCAGCUAACAGAACCAAAUCAGAUGGAGGAGCCUGAUCAGAUAGAACAAAAUCAAGCAAUGCAUGAAGAGCAGAUGGCAUAUGAUGAUGUUGAUGUUGAGAUGGAACAAGAACCUCAAUUGAGAAGAUCAACGAGAUCUAGACAACCAUCAAAAAGAUACUUCUCAGGUGAAUAUGUAAAUUUCACUGAGGAAGGGGAACCUCAAAGCUUCAUGGAAGCUAUAGAGACAACCAAUAAGGAAAAAUGGUUACAAUCCAUGGAAGAAGAGAUGAAAUCCCUAAAGGAGAAUGAGACGUAUGACCUGGUAAAAUUACCAGAUGGAAAGAGGGCAUUGAAAAAUAAAUGGGUGUUCAAACUCAAGUCUGAAGAGAACAACCCAAACCCCAAGUACAAAGCACGAAUUGUUGUGAAGGGGUGCCAUCAAAAGAAAGGCAUUGAUUUUGAAGAAAUAUUCUCACCGGUGGUGAAGAUGACAUCCAUUAGAGCAAUCCUUGGUCUAGCUGCAAAACUAGACUUAGAGAUAGAACAACUUGAUGUUAAAACAGCAUUCUUGCAUGGAGACCUAGAGGAAGAAAUCUAUAUGGAGCAACCUAAAGGUUUCGUUGAACCAGGCAAAGAACACCUUGUGUGUCGCUUGAAGAAAAGUUUAUAUGGCUUAAAGCAGGCUCCAAGACAAUGGUACAAGAAGUUUGAUCUCUUCAUGACCCAACACAACUUCACAAAGACGUCAACAGACCAUUGUGUGUUUGUGAAGAACUAUGAAAAUGGAGAGUCCAUCAUACUUUUAUUGUAUGUUGAUGAUAUGCUUAUUGUUGGAAAAGAUAAGACAAAGAUAUCUGCUCUCAAGAAAGCAUUGAGCAAAUCUUUUGCUAUGAAGGAUUUGGGUGCAGUGAAGAAGAUUCUUGGAAUGAAGAUCAUUAGAGAUCGAUCAAAAAGAAUGUUGUGGAUGUCACAAGAAGAAUAUCUCAAGAAAGUUCUUGAAAGGUUCAACAUGCAUAAUGCAAAACCUGUGCAUGUUCCAUUACCUGGUCAUUUGAAACUCAGUAAGACACAAUGUCCUGAGAAUGAUCAAGAGAAAGAAGAAAUGAGCAAGGUGCCCUAUUCUUCAGCCGUGGGUAGCCUUAUGUACGCCAUGGUCUGCACGAGGCCAGACAUCGGUUAUGCUGUAGGAGUCGUGAGUAGAUUCCUAUCAAAUCCAGGAAAAGAACACUGGAGUGCUGUGAAAUGGAUACUGAGGUAUCUAAAAGGAACUGCCAAAAAGUGCUUAUGUUUUGGCAAUGGAAAUCAAAUGCUCGUUGGAUAUGUAGAUGCUGAUAUGGCCGGAGAUAUAGAUUCAAGAAAAUCUACAUCUGGAUAUUUGAUUACUUUUGCAGGGGGAGCUGUCUCAUGGCAAUCUCGACUACAAAAGUGCGUUGCUUUAAGUACCACAGAAGCAGAGUACAUCGCAAUCACUGAAGGCUGUAAGGAGAUGAUGUGGAUGAAGAAGUUCCUGCAAGAGUUAGGCCAGAAUCAAGAAAUUUAUGUUCUCUAUUGUGAUAGUCAAAGUGCAAUUCACCUCAGCAAGAAUUCGACAUACCAUUCAAGGUCAAAACACAUCGAUGUGAGGUAUCAUUGGAUUCGUGAUGUGUUGGAGAAUAAACUGCUGCAAAUAGAGAAAAUUCACACCAAUGACAACGGAGCAGAUAUGAUGACAAAAGCUCUACCAAAAGAGAAGAUAGAGUUUUGUAAACAAGCUGCAGGCUUGGCAGCAACCCCAAACUAAUCUAAGGAUAGUUUCCCUUUGGCUGGAGGGGGAGAAUUGUUGGUUUCCAGCCACAAUAGUAACAAUAAUGCAUCAAUGGGAAAUGUUGAAUUUUUCUCCACUAGCAUGCCUAUGAAUAAUAGCUUGCGGUGGUAAAAAUUCUACCAUGUCAGUAACAAAUUGACAAACUUGGCAAUUGGUAACUAUUGUCAAAGAUGGUGCAGCAAGGAUUGGAAAAUAAGAACCAAGCAUUUAAUGCACACGGUUCAAAACCCUCUAUAAAUAGAGAAGAGUUUCAGCAAUGAAACACACCACAACACAAUCCUCACUCACAUAGAGUUGAGAGAAAAAUAGAGAGUUCCUCAUAAGAGUGUGAGAGAAAAAUAUAGUGAGCCAAUUUGUGAGAGUUGUAUCUACAAAUUGAGAUACAUAGUUAGGUCCACCUGAGGGUGAAGAUUUGUAUUCCCAUUAUUAUUAUAGUGGAGAUUUAAGAGGCCUACGGGUCCCGUGGUUUUUCCUUACUCACAUUGAGAAGGUUUUCCACGCUAAAAUUUUGUUGUGUCAUUUUACGUUUCCGCUAAAGUGCCUAUUUUGAGUUCACGGAGGAGGGAAAUUAUGCAGGCAUUUCCCAACAGGAAAUUUGUGACAGAAAACAUAAAAUUCCUCACAAAUUCCUUGGUCGCAAAAUUUAGUGACGGAAUUAGAAAGGAAUUUCAUGUUUUCCCUCACUAAAUUUCCCUCACUAACUUUUGUUUUUUUAGUAGUGACAAUGAGUCAGUUUAGACCAAUUGCAAUGGCCAAUAUUAAAUUCAAAAUCAUCUCCAAGAUCAUAGCAGACAACAGGUUAGCUCAAUUAAUGCCUACUUUAAUUUCUAAAGAGCAAAGAGGUUUCAUUCAUGGUAGGAAUAUAAAGGAUUGCAUUCUUAUAGCUUCAGAAGCUAUUAAUUUGCUUGAUGCAAAGUCAUUUGGUGGCAACAUAGCUUUGGAAGUGGAUAUAGCCAAAGCCUUUGAUACAUUAGAAUGGAGUUUUUUGAUUGAAGUUUUAACAAAGUUUGGUUUUAGUACAACUUCCCGUAAUUGGAUAAUGGCCACACUGGAUUCAGCUCACUUAUCUAUCUCUAUCAAUGGUACCCAACAUGGUUACUUUUAAGUGUACUUUAAGUGUACUCGCUUUUCUAUCUUGCAGAAGAAGUGUUGAGCACGGGCAUUUCUAAACUGGUGGAUAAUGGUGAUUUAGAGUUGAUGUCAAGCACUAGAAGUUGUGAUGUUCCAUUUCAUACUUUGUAUGCAGAUCACAUAAUGAUAUUUAGCAAUGGGAAGGCAUCUUGCAUAAAUUCACUGAUAAACCUUUUCACUAGAUAUGCACAGGUUUCUGGUCAGGUGGUCAGCAAUAGCAAAUCAACUAUUUUCUCGGGGUCAAUCUCUAAUAAUAAUAGAUUACAACAUAUUGUUGACCUUACUGGUUUUCAAGUGGGUUCUCUACCAUUCAUUUUGUCAUAUUGUUCCAAAAUAAAUAAAUUUUUAGUUAGAGGAUCAAUCCGAUACCAAUUAAAUAGUUAGAGAAUCAAAAAGGUAAUUUAGUCUAAAAAAAACCUAAAACUAAUAAAAUAGAAAAUUAAAUAACGAGGCAAAACAACAAAUAGUGAAUGAGUAAGACAUAUGAUCCUAGAAAUAAGGGUGGUGCUGCUUUAUGUGUUUGCUUGUACUCUUUUGAUUUAUGUGUGGUAUUAUAGGCCAUACAAUUCAUACAGUAAGAAACUAUUCAUGAUAAUGCAUUAUGGAAUGCUGGAAUAUGAGAAUUUUUUCAGAGCAUAAUGGUGGUGGGGGUGACGAACAAUAGAUUAAGAACUUUUAAAUAUAGUCACAGCUAGCGGAAGUUAAUGCUAAUUUUGGAAGUAUUGAGAAAUGAGAAUGUUCCAGUAGGCAAUGGCCCUAUGGGAAAUGCUAGGGAACAAGAUGUUUGUCAUGAGUGCAGUCAAUAUAUGAAAACGACUUUAACGGUCAUGAUGAUGUAGAGUGAUUUUGAGGUGAGAGGAGAACAGUAACAACUUGAAUGUGACAGUUUAUUUAAUGGUAUAAUUUAGAGUUAAAUAUGUUUUCGAUCAGGUUAACAAAUGGUUUAAGGACAUUAUUUAAAAAGUAUAUAAAUAGAAAAUUUGUUUUGAAAAUUCAACUUAAACUUUUAUCAAGGUAAUAAUCACAUUAAUUUUCAUGCAAAUGAGUUUUUUUUUUUUAUUUCUGAAACAAUGUUCUAAAGAUAGUAGUUAAUAUUUUUUAUAUGUUUUUUAAUCCUUACAAAAUUUAUUUUUUAGUUCUAAACCUUACUUAAUUUUGGUACCUUAAUUUAUUACCCCUACAAAAAAUGUAUGCAUGCAGUUUUUUUUAAUAUUCCCUUCGGUGCUAAAUAUACACUACUAGAAAAAGCAAAAUUGGGGAGGGAAAUUUGUGACGGAAAACAUAAAAUUCCUCACAAAUUCCUUGGUCGCAAAAUUUAGUGACGGAAUUAGAGAGGGAUUUCAUGUUUUCCCUCACUAAAUUUCCCUCACUAAUUUUUGUUUUUUUAGUAGUGAUAAGCAAAUUUAGGACCGGAGGGAGUAUAAGAAAGAAUAAAUUAUACUACCUCUGCCCCUAAUUAUAGGACCUUUUUGAAAAAAUAAAGGAAAUUAAGAAAAUUGAAAGUGAUAAUAAAUUUGUUUGUAAUUACUAUUGCUUUUACAAUUCUAUUCUUUAAGAAAGAGGAUUAGUGUAUACACGGACGAAUCUAGGAAUACAUUUCAAGUGUGGCUAAAUAAGAAGCAACCGAAAAAACACUGAUUUUUAAUAUUUUAUACUUUAGGGAUUGAUUUUUCAGUCUCUGUUUCUAAAAUGAAUUAAGACCAUUUUUACUCCACCAACUGAAUUUUCAUUCUCUGUUUCUGUUGCAUUAGCAACCGAUGUUAUACUUUAGAGACUGAAAAUUCGGUCGCUAAAUAAAAACUUCUAAUUUUUUUAAGAAUCUAUAGCCACACAUGCCCAUGAGCUAGAUCUGCCUCUGAGUGUAUGUUUUCAACAUAUUAUUUAAUAUUGAUUGAAAAAAAAAAGAUAUAAUAGGGAUAUGUUGGUAAAAAAUUAAUUAAUGUAUUUGGAAAUAUCAAAUGAAUCUUAUAAAAAGAGACAAAAGAAAUUUCUCAAAAGAGUCUUAUAUUUAGGAACAGAUGUAGUAUUAACAUAAAUCUUUGUAGAUUAGGGCCCAUGCAGCCUCCUCUGUCCAAGUCUUAUACCCCCUCUAUAUGGGCAUGCUUGGCUAUAGUAUAUGAGCCAGAGCUAUACCAUAUUAUUACAAGGUUUAGUAAAUUGAAACUUAAUGUUCUAAAACCUAUUUAGGGUUUGUCUAAUGUUAUUUACCAUUCUUCCCCAAGACUGCAACUGACCGUCAUUGAUAUUUUCAUGAGAGUUUCGGAAACAAAACAAAUGACACGAGUGUCAUAUAUUGAAAACAAAAUUGUAUUUUAUUCAAGUGCUAACGUUGUUGAUCGAGCUUCAACGAUUGUUGGAUCGUUGUGACCCCAAGUCACCGUCGCAACUACAUAAUGACUCCUAUCUUUUCAUGGAAAACGCUCAUGCUUCUUCAAUAUUUCUAGAGCUAUCAAGAAACUGAUACAUAUCUCUUAGUUGUUGGCUUACAAUUUUCUUUCUAACUACAUAAUUUUCUUUUUGAAUUACUUAGUAUACAAGAACAAGAACAUUAAGUUUAAAAAAUGGAGAAAAUUAACAACGAAAGUAAAAGAAAAAUGACAUUAUAAACCAGAUUGAGCUACACACAUAGUUUGAUCCACAAUUAGUAAGAUGUUUUGUCCUAUCUAAACCAAUGUGUAAUAUAGUAGGUAAAUUUACAUAACAGAAAUGAACUCCUGAAUACGGAGAACAAAUCUCCUAUUUAUAGGAAAUGAAAAAAAAAAAAAAAAAAAAACUAACUUCUUCUAACUAAUCUUGAAAACUUAUGCAAGUUUCUUCUAAUCAUCAAAUUUUGAUGCUUUGAUAUUUUUUUAAACAAAAUUGCAUUUGUUGUAACUACUUACAAGCUACUAACAUCCGAAAUGGCUUCUUUCGAGCAUGGGCAAUCUUCAAGGAUAUUAUUUGAGUACAUAUCUUAGAAUAAAAGAUCUUGCUAACAGUGCUAAGAUAAACCUUUCAUUUUAAACUUCAAAUGAACACUAACAUCUGAGUUUAUUUUUUUUUCUUUUUCUACUCCCUUGUAUAUAGAAAGAUAUAUCAACUAUGUUUUAUCAAAUAACUUUGGUGAAUAAGACUAAAAUAAACCAUUUCAUUAUUGUUCUUAUUUUAGCGGUGUUCUUAUAUUAGUGGGAUUUAACUAUUUUUUUAAUUAAUAAUUUAAAUUCCUAUUGAACCUUGUUGUGUUAUUUUGAUUUAGUGUUGUUGGCUUGAGACCUUAAAGUAUAUUUCUCUCGAGGUUUUAAGCUUGAUUCUUUCCGAUGACAAUUUUGGUGGGUUAGUCCAUAGAGAGCUUUGUUGUUGUGGCUUUAACCGGAGAUUGGACCCCCGCAAGUAACAGUGGGAUAAAGCCCCUCAUAUUUGUCGGUCCUUUGUUCGAAUAUGAAGUUUUUAAAAAAUAAACAUUUUAAAUAAUAUUAUAAAUUAAAUAAAAUAGUUUAAAUGAAUGGUGAAGUCAGAAUAAAAAAUUCAACCCAAAAUCCAUCUUUUUGUUUUAUUCCAUCAUAAAAUAUUUAAACUAUGUACAAACCAUUUCUUUUUCAUUCAUUCCAUUUCGUUCCACUGUAUUUUGUUACGUACAUAUACUCAUCCCAACAUUUUUUAUUGAAAAAUAAAAAUUAAUAUUAAAAGACCUUGUUGCAUAGAGAUUCAACAUAGAGCUAAGAAUACAACCUCAAGUCAUUAUUAUAAACAAAAAACAAAAAUCAUUUUUUUAGGUUCAUUGAAUAACUUAUGUAUUUAGUCUAUAAUAUAGACACAAAACAUCAUUUAUUCAAUGAAGUUAAAAAUCCAUUUCUGCCAUUAAUAAUGACCAGAGGGUGUAUUACACAACAAAUUAAAGAUUCAUAAGAAAAUCAAAAUCAUCAAGGUUGAAAUCCCAAAAGAAGUCAUCAACAUUUGGAACCUCCAUAUUAAAGUUGUUCUCUUCUUGUAACGAAGAGCAUGAGCCAAUUUUGUCAAUGUUUACUUGUUCCCCCAAGUUCCAUAAACUGUCCGACCACAUUCCACAUGGUACGGGAACAUUACCUAGACUUUGUUGUGAAGCAGAAGCACAAUCUCUACCAAUUUGAUUUGAAACCAUAAUCUCUGAUGAGCCAUCACGAUCCAUGAGAAUUUUACUAUCAUUAUUUGAAUUCAAUAUUGGUUGUGUCAUGAAAGAUGAAUGAGUUGAAAGAGUUAUAGGUCGAGGUAUAAUAACUUCAUGAGCUUUCAUUGUUUCCUUAGGUCUCUCUUUUUCAUUUUUUUCUACUGAUUCUGAAAGAACCUUCUUCCGCAAAUGUGUGUUCCAAUAGUUUUUCACAUCAUUAGCCGUUCUACUAGGAAGCCUUGCAGCAAUCAAUGACCAUCUAUAUUAUAUGUAUAAAUACAUUAGCUAAAAUGUUAUCUAAAGAAUACAUCAUACUUAAUUCUAGCUAGGCUACAUGCAUUUCCCUAAUUGGAAGCUUACCUAUUCCCCAGGAGAUUGUGUAACCUUAUGAUCAUAUCAGCUUCAUCUUCGGUAAUGCUUUCUCUGUUAAUAUUAGGGUUUAAAUAAUUUACCCACCUCAAUCUACAACUUUUUCGACAUCUAUUCAAUCCUGCCAAGUGCAUAUAUGUAUAUGUAACAAAUAUUUUGAAUAUAUAUAUAUAUAUAAAUUAUAAUAUAAAAUCUCAAACGAGAAUCACAAUUCACAGAACAACAUUUGUUUGUUUUGUGUCGUUUUUCAUCUUCUGUUUGGUAUUAGUUGGCUAGGUGUGGUUAUUAUUUGCGAGACAAAUUUUUCCUCCUCCUUUUGGACUUUAGCUGUUUUGUUUUAGAGGAAGGGAAAAUGAGGUUGUUAUUGGCUUUACAUGCAGUUUGUGGUCAAUUUAUAAGGCCAGAAAUAACGACAUUUUCAAAAACAACUCCAACUACAAAUUAAUUGGUUACUUACAUCAAAGUUCUAUUUUGAAAUUCGCAUGUAGUCAAAGAAAAAGGGUGGGUCAUGUUUAUAUUAUGAGUGGUGUAUUCAUCCUCUUAUUUGUACUCAUAGAGAGUAGUGUUUGAGCUAUUUAGCUUUUGAUAUUUUAUACUCCCUCCGUUUCAAAAUGAAUAUCGUUUUAACCAAUUGCACACAGAUUAAUUAAUGAAAUAAAAUAGUCAAAUGUUAUAGCAAUUUUACUAAAAUAACCUUACUUUAUAAGAACAAGACAAACUUAAAGUUGCAUUGAAAAUUGUGUGAGAGAGAAAAGUUGAAGUAUUUAUUGAAGGUAAAGUUGAAAGAACAAAAUUAAAGUUGUAUUGAAAAUGUAAAGUGACAUUCAUUUUGAAUCAAUUUUUUUUGACUAAAGUGAUACUCAUUUUGAAACGGAGGGAGUAAUACAACCCACUUUUAUUAUAUUUGUAUAUUCUCUUUUGCUGCUCCAAAAUGAAUUAAAUAUGAUAUUUCAUAUUAUUAAUCUAAAAUCAACAAAUAAUAGAUUAAUGCCUUCUAAAAAAUUAGAGUAAUGCAACAUUCCAUACUAUUAAUUAAAAAAAUUAAAUAAACAUUAAAAUUUAUAUGUACGGUUUGUUGUUGAUUUGGUUUUUUAAUUUGGAAUAUAAGUACUCCUAACUUUGAUUAGUUUUCAAUUUUAUUUGGGUUGUUUUCCAUAUGAGCUUACCUCUAGCAAAAAUUUGUCAAAAAACAAAAUAAUCUGUCACGGUAUAUAUCGAAAAUAAAAUAAAAUUAUGCAUGGUAUAAUUUACAUUUGGUUCUAUAUAUAUAAUAUAGUUGUUUAAUUUAACAAAUAUACGUAGUAGCACAAGCAAUAUUCAUUAUACCUGUUCUUUUGGGAAUUAAAUGCCAUUUUCCUUCACCAUACUUGUGAAUGUAAGCCUUGAGUAAGUUGUCUUCCUCAUAUGUCCAUGCACCUUUUCUCAAACCUCUCUUAUUCUCCAUACGCACCUUUCUUAUACGCUUUCCUUAAUUGUCUAAAUGCAGAUAUAUAUAUAUAGGCAUGAUCUUUUCAGCCAUAUAGAUGAUAUAAAAGACAAAAGUGUAGUAUUACACAACUAUUCCACUCAUUAUUUUGUCUCAUACGUCAUUUUCUUUCAUUUUCACCAGAAAUGUACUAUAUUUGUUUUUUCUUAGAUAAGAUAUGUGGCAAGUAUCGGAUACGCUGAGCCACAAAAGUUAUUUAAUGAUUAGAAUUAGUAGAGGAAACAAAAACCUACGAUUUCUUUUUGAAUUAAAAAAGUUCGAUUUCUAUUUUGAAUUGAACAAUGAUAUUUGUACAUCCAUUCCAUGACAACUUUAGUGACAACCUUGUUUUUCUCUCUUCUUAUUGGUCAAAAACAAUGGAGAGAGAAAAAGAAAGAGAGAGGAUAAGACCAUCAUGUGAGUAUAAGAGAGAAGUUGUACAGAAGUUGUCACAAGUUGGUUGUACAAAUAUCAUUUCUCUUUUGAAUUAAAUAAAGGGAAAAGAUUAAUAGUGUGAAGCAUUAUCCUACGAAGAGUAACGAAUGACUUGUAUUCUCGCCUUAGUGGAAAUAUGUUUUACCAACUUUCAAGACAUUUUUGUUAAUUUAGUUGUUAAUUCAUGUUUACAUUAAUGACAAUCACGAUUAGUUGAUUAAUCACACUUCGUUUUAGUUUGUUACAAGUUGGUUAGAAGUUUUAGAAAAUAAGAGUUAUAGGGUUGUUACUUUACUUCUGCUUCAAGUAACAUAACACUUGCUUGUAUAUAAGCUCAUUCCUUGUACAAUUCUCAAUAGAAUCUAUAAUGCAUUUUACAUUCCUCAAUUCAUUAUCUUUCUCUCUUUUCUUUCUCUCAAAAUCACACACAAUCAUCAAAACCUAAAACCCUAGAAACCUUAAACUGCUUCUGGUUUUCUAUUGCUUGUGGAACAAGCGCAUUCAUUUGUUGCGCUAACAAUUUUUGCCUACAACAAGCUUGCCCUAUCGCCACUGCAACUCUGUUGUCUUCCCUUGCCAUGGCAAAUACCGGUGUCGUUGCCGUUGCAAAUAGGGACGGAUGUAAGAUAUGGCCAUGUGUGGCUUUAGCCACACAUCCAAUUCCCCAUUUUUUUUAUAUAUAUAAAUAAAAACACACAUUGUUGAUUGGAAUUGGGAAUUUUAGAAUUGUUUAUGAAUUAUGAUAAGCCAAAUAUGAACAUUUUUGUUUUAUGAUGUGAAUGAAAAUGUCGAUGAUAUUUGUUUGGUUUGAUUCCUUGAGGAUGAGUGUGUAGAUUUAUUGUUUUUAUGUAUAAUGGUGUUAUGUAAAACUCAUGUUCAUGAUCAUGUUGUAUAAUUAUUCGAGAAAACUAUGUUCUAUUAAUGAUCAUGAACAUGUAAUCUUUAUGUUUUGAUCACUCUAAAAAUUUCGUCAAACUGCUUUCUAAAGAUUAUUUAUAUUGAUUUAAAUUUAUAGUGUUUCUAAUUUGCAUCAUUAUUAGCAAUGAUGUUAUUUUAACUCAUUUUCAACAAAUGAAUAGGAGACGAUUUUCAUUGUAAUUGUACUGCAUCAAACAAUGUUAUUUCUUAUUUUUAAUAUAUUUUGCAUUAUUGUUUCUUUAAAAUUUUAGCCAUAAGUAUACCAAAUAUUUGGAUCCACCCCUGGUUGCAAAUACCGCUCUCUGCACAUAUUUUCAGUUUACUGUUUUUAUGUUCAAUUUUAAUCUCCGUCUUUAAAUUAAACCAAUGAUAAUGAAUGGUGUCGUAGGCAUUGCUGACAUCAGAGGGACCUUUCUGAAGAUGACAAUGAUGGUGGUGGCUCCUAUAUAUUAGAACACUUUGUUGUUCAUGUCGAAGAUGUUUAAUUUUAUUUUUUUAUUAAGAAAAUAAUAAUAACUCAUACGUUGUGAGUUUGUGAAUAUAGAAGUACUCCCUAAUACUCAACCCUUUCUAUUCCAAAAUACUCCAUUCAUCCUUAGUUAUAAGAAAAUGUUACAUUGACACCAUUUAUUCUCAUACAGCCUUCUACACCCCAUGCACUAGGAAGAGAGAAGAGAAGAUAAAAGAGAAAGUGUGCUUGUGUAAGGUUCACAUGAACACGUGUCAGAUUUUUAUGUGGGUGUCAAGGAGUGUAUUGCCACCUAAGAAUGUCUAUGCAUCAUUACUCCUAAUUAUAAGUCUUGUUUCAAAAAGUUCCGUGAGCAAGUCUUGCAACUAUAUAGCAUUCAUCUUGUUUUUAUCUAUAUCCGCUGGUGUUGCUGUUUGUUUUUUCAAUCCACUAGGUUCACCUUCGUGGUUAUUAUUCAAUGAAAGUUUAACUGUUAAAAAAAAAUUAUUUUAAAGAUUUAAUUGCACGUUUGGACCCCUAUCUUUCCAAAAGUUGCGGUUAUGGACCCCUAACUAAUUUAAAUAUAAAACAACCCUCUAUGUUUUGAUUCUUUGGCAGUUUUGGACGCCCAGUCCAUUGUUGACUCGGUCAACGCUGACGUGGCACCCUAAGUGAGGUGCCACGUGUCAAUUUUUAAUUAUUUUUUGUCUUGGAGGUCCAAAACUGCCAAAGAAUUAAAACAUAGAGGGCUGUUUUGUAUUUAAAUUAGUUAUGGAUCCAUAACCACAACUUUUGAAAAGACAGGAUCCAAAAGUGCAAUGAAGCCUAUUUUAAACUGAAAAAACCAAAAGUAAAAAAAUACUAAAAUUAAGUGCCAAGGAAAACAACAAAUGGUGUCGCGGAUCGAAAACAAAUAGUGCCGGACACAGGAUCCUUGAAAUAAGGAUGCUAUGUUGGAAUUUUAUUAAUUUAUUUUAAAGUAUUAUUAUAUCUAUUAUUAUUUUAUUAAUUAUCUUUUCUCUUGACUUGGUAUCCUAUGUGUUUCCUAUUUAUAUUCCAAGUCAUGCACGUUUUUAUUUAUUACACUACCUAGUUAAAAUGGCAGUUGCAAUUCACUUGGUCAUAUCAUUGAAAGCUUUGAAUCUUUCUACUGCACUCACGGUUUCAAUUUCCACUUAAAUAGGAACUAUUUUUUAUGUGCAUACGAUAGCAUAUAUAGUGGAUUGGGAUCAGUGUGUAAAAGAGGAGAAAAUAAUAUAGGUUGCUGAAUUACAAUGUCUUCUUUCAUCUCUUACUAGAUUACUAACCCAUGCGCCGCACGGGUUUUAUGAGAUGAAAAACAUUCGUUAACAAUUUAAAAAAAUGAACAUUACAUUAUAUAAUAUUGUCUCUCAUUAUUAUAGAUCUCUGUGAAUAGAAUAAGAUGAUGAAAUGACAAAAGAAGUCGAAAAACCAAAGAUUAUUAUUUAUAGGUCAAAAUUACGUAAAGAAUAAACAAUAAACAACAUAAUAAAAACUCAUGUUCAAUGACAUGAUAAUAAUAAUUUGAAUCAAAACAAAUACACUCAUGUUCAAUGACAUGAUAAUAAUAAUUUGAAUCAAAACAAAUACUUUAGUUACAACCAAACAAAAUACUUACUAAGAUAUUUAAGAAAAAAGACUAUUAUUGAUCAUAAGAUAAAGAAAAACGAUUGAGCCUCACUAAAUUUAUUUAUAUCAAGUACAAUUUUUCUGUUUCUUAUUCUCAAGGUAUAAACUACAUAUUUUAGCCAUACAAACUCUCAAAUUUAGCAGCACUACACACAAUCCUUGACUACUUCUAUCAGUUCAUUUCUUGAGUUUCUAAUAAGGAUAAACAAAGGAAUUCAGCAUCAGGGUUCAAAUAGUAAAUUUAUGCAAUAGGUUUAGGUUAAAAUUAGGGCUAAAAUAUGCUUCUGUGUUAACUUUAAUAUAUAAGAAGAUAUAUAAGAUGUAUCGAGAAAUUGAGAAGGGGGAAAAUUCAAUAAGGUUAAACAAAGGAAUUUAGCAUCAGGGUUAAAAUAGUAAAUAGUUCAUUUCUUGAGUUUCUAAUAAGGUUAAACAAAGGAAUUCAGCAUCAGGGUUCAAAUAGUAAAUUUAUGCAAUAUGUUUAGGUUAAAAUUAGGGCUAAAAUAUGUUUCUGUGUUAACUUUAAUAUAUAAGAAGAUAAGAAGAUAUAUAAGAAGAUGUAUCGAGAAAUUGAGAAGGGGGAAAAUUCAAUAAGGUUAAACAAAAGAAUUUAGCAUCAGGGUUAAAAUAGUAAAUUUAUGCAAUAGGUUUAUAUUAAAAUUAGGGCUAAAAUAUGUUUUUGUGUUAACUUUAAUAUAUAAGAAGAUUUUCAUUAUAGUCACUAAUAAUAAAUUAUAAGUUCCCAAGAGCAUCCAUAAGUGAUUCUUGAGACCUUGCUAAUCCACGUGCGGUGCUAGCAAGAAGCGAUUGUUGUAUCCUGGAGAGUAUUAUCUAUGAGACCUAUCGCAUCAGGUGAUUCAUCCGGGGUGGCAAAAUACUCUUAAGCCCAGUGCUUCGUGCACGCCUCAGUCAAUGACCGAUAAAUUUACUUGUUCUCUAUUCUAUUAUAUUUAGAGUUCUAUUAAUUUGAUGCUAAUAUUUCUUAUUACUUAUUACCUUAUAAUAUUUCUCUGUCUAAUUUUUCCUACAACUUUCACAAAACUUUAAUGGUGAUAAGGGUGCUAAUUAAUUUGAUGAAUUCAAUUCAUGGUGAUGGUGGUAAAUGUGUGAUUCAUUCAAGGCUCAUGAGCACAUAUAUUUUAAAAAAAUAAUAAUAAAACGGCAGGGGCCAAGGCCUAACACAUGGGGCUGCUCCUGCUUCGAUAUAUUUUGAUUUAUGUGUAGUAUUAUAGGCCAUACAAUCAAUACAGUAAGAAACUCUUUCUGGGAAAACGGUUUCGAUAUCAUAUGCGACAGAUGAACAGCUUCCACUGUAAUGAUGAUAAUGCGUGAUUUUGGAAUUGGAAGUGAGAUUUUAAUGCUGCAAUGAUAAAUUUUACACGGUGCAAGAAGUCAGUAAUGAUGUAGUUUUGAAAUCAUCCGGUAAUGGCUGAAAAAUUAUUAAAACAAUUAUAGUUAAUAUGAGAGGAAUUAUUUGAUUAAGUUGGUGAUAUAACUUAAACAGGUUUAUGGUUAAAAAGAAAUUAAAAACUUAUGUAUGUCUUAACGAAAAAAGGAUUUUUGAAGGUAGAUGAUCGUGGUUACAAAGCAGGACUAAUUAUGAAUUAAACCUUCACAACUUUGAUGUCAUUUGAGGUUGCCUUGUCCGCCAAGAUAGAGUGCAAAGUAUCUAUUUUUUGAGAACUUAUUAAUCUUUCAAAAAUUCAUCCAUUAAUUAAGUUGCAAAUGUUGUUUCUUGUCUUCCCAUCUUUACUCUUGUUUUUUAAGACCACACAUUGAACUUCCUUUUCUUAUGAUCUAACAUCAUUUCAACGUUUAAAGUCUGCAGAUUAUAGAUGAGUAUUAACCUAUUAAACUGAGAAAAUUUUGUCAUUGGAUUAAACUGAGAAAAUUGAUAAGGGGCAUUAGAAGGAACUUUGUGUCUCUAGCAGCAGUAUUAUAGUUAAACUAUUCCUCAUUAUCUUAAAGAAUGUAUCCUUUGAUUUAAAUUAAGAAUUAAUCUCAUGAUUUAUACAUUCAACUUUGUUAUUUUGAUCUUAUAUGAAUGAUUUGUUCUCCUUUCAAUUUCACAUCUUCUUGGCUUUGCUUUAUGUCCCACCUAAAUAAGUUCUUCAAAACUCAUCCACUCUAUGUAACCCUCUUUGCAAUCGAUUAAGUUCCAAUUUAAAAAAAAAAAAUGAGCGAAUUAUAAUACAUCUCAAAUAUAGUUAAUAAUUCUAAUAACAUUUUUGAACUUCUUUUCUUUUUUGCAGGAUAACAUUUUUGAACUUUAAAACUUAACAAAUUGACGUUCAUUGUAAUUUGAAAUUACGAGAGUGGGAUAAAAAAAAAGUGCACAUCCAACUUCAGUACUUCUACUAUGAAAUGAUGGAAUAUGUUCAGGAGAUAGAAAUCCAGGGUAGAUAUGAAAUUGAAAAGUGUUACGACCAUAGUAAUUGCAAAUCAAAUUUUGAUGUCCUUGGAAUCCAUAGAUUUUUUUCAAUAUACUCCAUCCUUUUCUCAAUGAAGUAAGAGUUUUGCAUUGAUUAGAAAUAUAAUAUGAACUAUUCCACUCUCAUGGAAGAACCUCCAAUUCUUUCCAAACUUGUAAUUACACCUCCUUAAAAAGUAAGGACAAACUUCUCCAAUAUUGUCCUAUAUGCAAAAGGACAAACCUCCUUAAUAAUUUUUUUUAUUUUUUGACAGAACGUUAAUAAUGUUUAUAGGAAGAGAUUAAUGAUUUACAUUUUGUUUGUAUUGAAGUAAAAAACAAAAAUACGAGAAUCACUUAAUUCGAAGCCUAUAUGUUUAAAACACUGAUAUAUAUAACAUAGUUGAUAUAAAAGAGAUUGUGAACAAAAACAUUACCUCAUUACAAAAAAAUAAUAAUAAUAAUAAUUUCCACUAAAAAUAUUUCCAUUGAAAAUAUGAGACACAAAAUAUACUCAAAAUUUACAACACCAAUAACAUCUCAUUGCACCGACCCUUUGACUACUACUACUCCACGACUCACUAGUUUCACUCUAGUUGGCAACCGGCUCUGAAGCCCCGAUACUUCAAAAUGGAUGACGUACCGUAUCCCCUGCGUAUCCUGCACCGAUACAUGCCUGAUACUUCCCGAUACGUAUCCGGAGAGUAUCCAAAUAUUAAAUUUUUUUUUUUAAAUAAUUAUCCGAUACUUUCUGAUACAUCCUGGUACGCACGGAUACUUGUGUUUUUUUUUUUUUAUAUUAUUUUGAUUUCUGUUUUUUUUUUUUUUAAAUAAGAAUAAAAACAUUAUAUUACUAUAAUAUAUAUACAUUUCCUUUAUCUUUCUUUGGUGUCAGUACGACCCACACCACACCACACAACCAAUUGCAUCUUUCCCUUUCUAAGAAAUUAGGGUUUCAACUUUUUCUUCCAAAGUGGUCGCCGUCCACUUUGGCCACCGUCGAACUAUCGAAAAGCUAGCUUUAAAGCUUCUUGUGCAACCUUCUUCUUCCUCCUGUUGUGAGAGAAAUUUGAGUACUUUCUCUUUUAUCCAUUCUUUGAAAAGAAACAAAAUGGAUCCAAAAAGGGUAAAAGCUUUGGUUUAUGUGCAUACUAAUCUUCGACUAUUGUCAAGGAAAGAAGAUGGAUAUAAGAAAGGACUAUCAAGAAUGUGGGACAUUAGUGGAGAUGUGCAUGAACCGCUUGAUGGUGUUGGAAUUGAGUUAGCAGAGCUGUCUUUGGAUGAACCGGAUUUGAAAGUUGAUUUGUAUCUUGAUGAUGGGAAUGGAGGAGAGGAGAUGUAAACGUUAGUUACUUGUUAGUGUUAACUCUUAGUACUGAUGUGUUCUUUUUUUGGAUAUAGUGAUUUUUUUUGGAUCGAUAUAGUAUAACACUAACAAGUUCCUUUUGGAUCGAUGUAGCAUUGAUGUAAACGUUAUAUAUAUUUUUUAUUAACGUAUCCCAGCCGUAUCGUAUCUUGAUUUUUGAAAUUUUUCCGUAUCGGUGCAGUAUCGUAUCUGUAUCGUAUCUCGUAUCCGGGCUUCACAGACAACUGGUGACAAACAUUUGCAAAGAGAACACAAUCACCUCUGCAGGUGCAUUACUCUCCCAAAGCCUUCCUAACAAUUUUCAAAUUUCCUCUAUGACACGCACACACCCCCUACCCACCCCCCACGCCCAACGGAUAACAGAAAAUUUGGACAGGACGGUGUAUAUAUAUAUAUUGAAAGAAAAAAGAUAAAUGAGAGUGAAGUGAUAAAUAUGAUAACUUUAUGAUCUUAGAAUGAGGUGUUCAAUUAAUGUAUAAAAAUCUGAAAUAUUCAAAUACACUGAUUUUCAAAGCCUUCCUAAAUCGGAAGCACGUAUCCGAUUGCACCUGAUGCCCUCAACGUGCAUGUCUUUAGAAAUAACAUGCAAAACAAAAAUCCCUAUAAAGAGUGACUGAUACUAUUAAAUAAUGGAAUCAAUCAUUUAUGAAAUAAUAAAGUCGAUUGUUUUACAUAUGAUGUGAUGUGUUGAACCUGAGUGGCAGGGCCUGGGAGGGUCCUGGUCGAUCAGCAGGGUACAUUUUCGACACUGCAUGUCCUUCGUUGACAAAUGCCAUCAUUGAAUGACUGUUUUACGCUCACUGUUAUUGUAGAAAGAUUUCGUGCAAUUGUUGGCAUGCUCUCGUCCAUGUUAUACAAUCGACAAUGACAUUAUGCUCACUGGUCUUAUUACUUUAGGCAUUUCUUGUGGAUAAGAUUGUCGUACCUUGUAUCGUACGUUUCAACCGUGGCGCAAUUUUUUCAGGCACGGCGCGAUUUUUGUCUGUCACUGUGUACUAUUUAAGCGUUUCAGCUCAUUUUUUAAGGAAGAGGAGAGAGAACUUCAAAAGAGGAAAACUUGGGAAAUCAAAGGAGUUAAUUUUAGGGUUAAGGGUCUUUGAUUAGAGUUCUCUUGGGUUGGAAAACAUUGUAAACACCUUGGGUGAGUGAAAAUCAUUGAGUGUCUUAUUCAUUUGUGAGAUUGGAAAAAUGGGUAGAAAUUAGGUUUGUUCUUUGUGAGCUUGUUUAAGCUAAUUUCUUGUAACCCAUUUGUAUCUCUUUGUAAGAACUCAUUGAUAGUGGAUUGAAGAGAUCAAUCUCUCCCCCAUAUUAGGUCAAGUUGGACUGAACUGGGUCAACAAUCUUUGGUGUUUUUGUUUCUCUCUUCUCUCUUUAUCUUUUGCUUGUGGCUUUGAGCUUUUUCACUUUGAUUCCUAGAUUAGAUUUAGGUGCUGCUAUUGUUGUUAUUGCUUGUGUUCACUUUGAUUUUGGUUACUACUUUCCUUUGCUCCACACAUCAUAGUUUGUAUUUGUGUAAUUUUGAGUCCGAAUUCACAACAGAGGUAAUUGACGAAACUUACAAUUUUGGAGGUAAUUGCCUAUUCACUCGCUUUUUGUUAGAAUUUAAUAACAUUAGCUUUAGUUUCAUGGGAGAAAUAAAGUUGUUUCUCCUAAUUUAUCGUACCUUGUUUUAAGGAAAUUGGAUCCAAUAGAGUUCAUAACUUUAUAUUGAACUCUAUAAACUGAUGUGAUAGGAAUAUAUCAUUCGUUUCGAUCGCAGCCAUGUAGUUUUAUGAAGAGAAAUAAAACAUCUAGAAUAUUUCUAUCAUUCAGACUUAAGGUUAAAUAUAGAAAACAAUUUAAAAAGAUUGAUCCAUGAUUUAGGUUUGAUUCAACUGUUCCUAGAAGAAAAUUAUGAAAGUGGUUGUCUUUUAUCUCUUAAGUAGUGAAUCACAAUUACAUCAAGAAACACCCCCUCUGAGAGGCUUUAAACCCUCUCUUUUGGUGAUAUUUUUGCAUCUCUAAAUUGUAUAAUAUUUGAUUAAUGUCUUCAAAAUGAAUUUCUUCGUAAAAGACUUUGUUUGAGAAAGUUUGAGAUUGAUGUGGUUUAAGUUUGGAAAUUUCAUUUGAAAUUCACAAACUUGAAUAUAUAUAUAUAUAUAUAUAUAUAUAUAUAUAUAUAUAUAUAAAGUUUGUUAGGAUACACCCGCUAAUUUUUAUUAAGGUGUGUUUUAACAAGUUAUUUAAUUACUUUUUAGUUAUAACUUGCUAAAACACACCUUCCAAAACAAUAAGUGGGUGCGUUCUAACAAAUGCCUAUAGGAGUUGCUAACAUACACUCAUUUAUUUUUUUAGAAGGUGUGUUUUAGAAACGUUCACCUUAAGAUGUAUUUAACAACUUUUUAGUUAUAUUUUUGCUAAAACACACCUUAAUAAAAAUUAGUGGGUGUAUCCUAGAAAACCGAUAUAUAUAUAUAUAUAUAUAUAUAUAUAUAUAUAUAUAUAUAUAUAUAUAUAUAUAUAUAUGGGUUUGCUAGGAUACACGCACUAAUUUUUAUGUGGGAGUGUUUUAGCAAAUUAUAACUAAAAAGUUAAUAAAUGUAUGUUGCUAUAACACACCUUCUAACAAAAACAAGUGGGUGUGUUCUAACAAAUCCUAUAUACAUUUGCUAGGAUACACCCACUUAGUUUUUAGAAGGAGUAUUUUAGUUAGUGAAUAACUAAAAAGUGGUUAAAUACACCUUAAGGUGUAGCUUUGCUAAAACACUCCCACAUAAAAACUAGUGGGUGUGUUCUAGCAAACAUAUAUAUAUAUAUAUAUAUGUGUGUGUGUGUGUGUGUGUGUGUGUGUGUGUGUGUAUGUAUGUAUGUAUUAAAUUUAGCGUCGGUGUAGCCGAAUCUAAAGGAUUUAGUUGGUUAUUCUAAUUUUGAUUUUAGAGUCGGUUCAUCCGAUUCUAAGUGAUUCAAUUGAGUUUUUCGAAUGAGAUUAGAGUUGGACUUUAACUCGGCCGGGCCGUCACUAAAUUAGCCUCGGACGCUACCUGGUAGCUUUAACUAUUUAGCCCGCACCCGACCCCGAUGUUAAUCCGAUGCUAAAUCAUUGUUAGCAUCCGUUUUUACCCUGAUAGAGUGGGUUUUUGGCCGACACUAAAAUGCAAUUUUCUUGUAAUGUUCUCCAUAUUGAUUCUUCUGAUUUAUUGUCAUUUUCUAUAUUUAUUUUUCUGAUUGAUUGCUUGUCUCUCCAUUGACUAUUUGGAUGUUUCUCUUUUUGUUUGGUUUGUUUUGACCCGGUUCUUCUCUUUGGAUGAUUUCUCUCUCCCUUGUUUCUUAACCUUAAGUCAUGAUUCCGAUGAAAAUUUCUUAACCUUAAGUCAUGAUUCCGAUGAAAAUUUUAUAUUUCAAGUUUGAACUGAUAGACCUAAUAUCUAUAAACUAUUUAAGGGUUUUUUGGGGGCUAGUUUAACAUAUGAGUUUAAGAGUCCCAUGCUAAAGAAUAAUCGAUUAUAGUUCAUUCAUUCACAAUGCACAAACCAAAAGCCAUACUAGAGAAAUGCUAACAAGUGUCUUAUUUAGAAAUUCAAAAAAGAAAAAAAUCUUGAAAAUUGUAUAUACAACAUUGAAACAACACUUCAUAUCUUAAACCAUGUUUUACGACCUAUUUUACACCAUGUGUUACAUCAGACUAUCUUUGCAGGUACUAUGUUCAUUGUAUAGGAACAAAUUUUAUUAUCAUUUUUUCUUUUGAUAUAAACUGACAUGUGCAUCACACAUGUAUACGAUAUAGUAAUGUUCUAUAGUUUGGAUAUAUUAAAAAAUGAUCUUCCUUUAAUUUCUAUUCAAAUUUUGUUAUAUUUCCUCAUAAAAUACUCAAACCAUGAAAUAUAAAGUAGAAUCACUGUUUCCAUUCAUCUCAAUUGCAUUUCAUUCCUCUUUAGUUUGUUACAUAAUUAUUAUCCAAAUCAUUUUUAUUAUUGAAAAAUAAAAUUAAUAAUAAAAGACCUUGUUGUGUAGACCUUGAAGGCAUAACUAAGAAUAUUACACAACAAACUAAAGAUCCUAAAGUGAAUCCCAAAAAGAGUCAUAACCAUUUGAAAACCUUAUAGUUCUGCUCUUGUAAUGAAGAGCAACCACAUUGCACACAUAAUAUUGGAUCAUUACCUAGUCUUGGUUGUGAAUCAGAAGCACAAUCUCUACCAAUUUGAUCAGAAACUAUAGUGUCUGAUGAGGCAUCAUGAUAUCUAGGAACAUUACCCAAUAUUGGAUGUGUCACAAAAUUAUGUUUCCCAUUCAACCAAGGUGAAUGAGUUGAAAAAGUUAAUGGACGAGGUUUGAUAACUUCAUGAGCUUUAAUAAUUUCCUUAGGGUUAUCUUUUUCUUUCUUUUCUUUUGCUCUUGAAACAUCCUUAUUCUUCAAAUGAGUGUUCCAAUAGUUUUUCACAUCAUUAGCUGUUCUACCUUGAAGUCUUGCAGCAAUCAACGUCCAUCUAUAUUAUAUGUAUAGUUAGAUGAAAUGUUAUCUAAAGAGUAUAGAUAGAUUAUUAUAGCAUGAAUAGAAUAAAUAAUUAUAGCUAGACUGCAUGCAUUAUGAGAUCUAGCAUACACAAAGAAAUUAAUUUUAAUUUGGCUUUAUUUGGAAGCUUACUGUGCUCGCGAUUUUUGGAUAUCAAACCAUUAAUUGAUUUGAAUCGUCAAUCUUUGAACUCUCGAUUUUUAUUCUUGGGAAGGGAAAAAAUGAGUAAAAACCCUUUUCGAGACUUUGGAUUCGGGGGUUGGUUAUGCGAAAGGAAGGUGCUAGCAUCCUAAGCAUCUACGGUAUUCCGUAGGAACCUCUUACCUAGAUUAUCUUGUGCUAAGCUACUUGUUUAUUUGAAAAAUUAUUGCCUAAUGUCUAAGUGAAAGAAUGGAGGGAGAAGAAGUAUGUUUUUGGUUAUUUUUAUUUGAUUUGGAAGGAUAAAAAUCCUAUGCCUACAUACCCUUAAAGAAAGGGAUCAAAACCAAUGUAGUUCACCUCAAAAAUUUCUUUGGUGGGUUAGGUUGAUUUUAAGAUUUUUUUAAAAUGGUUUUAAGAAGAGAAAGAGGCCUCAAGGCAUGAGAUAAAAGAAAUGAGUGAGGUUGAUUGAUUUUAAGUUUUGAAAAUGAUUAAAGUUGAAUUAAAAUUGAUUAAAAAAUUUGAUUAAGAAAAUAAAGAGAAAAUGUUGCUAAGAAAGAAAAAAAAAAAGAUUUUUUUGAAUUUGACAUAUUUGAUUUUUUUGUGAAAAUGAUUUUUCUAAACUAACGGUGAAAACUAACGUAACGUCGUAAAAAAAUUAACGGAAAGCGGUAAAUAAAAUGUGGUAGUGUCGGUGCAUGUGUCGGUGCUUGUGUUACCUACAUUAUUACAUCAAUUCCUAAAUACAACCCUAAGGCCUUUAUGCCAAAAUAAAAUGCAAAAAAUAAAAUUACAUCAAUUCCCUAUUUAUACAUACUAAGUCAAUGACAAAAUAGAAUAAUGAUAAAAUUAAAUGUGCAUGCUAUGAUUCAAGACAAAAAUUAAAUAGUUAGUAAAACCAAAAAAAUUUUUGUGGAAUGAGACAUAAGAAAUAAUAAGCACAAAUUUUAAAAAAAAAAAAAAAAAAAAAAAAAAAUUAAGAUCAUCAUAAAAAAAAUUAAAAGGAAAUAAAUAGGAUGGAUUUUUUACAAUUAUAGAAAAUUAAAAUAGUGAGAAAAACAUUUUUUGGAAUUUUUUUCUAAACAUAAAAAUGUCAAAAAGGGUAAAAAAACAGCAUUUAAAAAUAAAGACAAUAAAAAAUAAAAAUAAUAAAACAUUGGCUUAGCAGGAUUAAUUCUGGACCAUUGGAUUAAAUCAAUGGUCCAGGUUCAGCCUCUGGAUUCAUCAUAGCCAUAGAAUCUAAGAUCCAACGGUUGGACAAAACAGAACAUGGAAUACUGCAAGCAAGGGACACGCGUGUGAUCUAAACAGAAUCAUCCCUGACCGUUAGAUUAAAAAUCAAUCAGUCUAGAUCUGAAGGUGUACUAAGUAUCACCAUAGAUUGCACAUGCAUAACCGUUGGAUUAAAAAAAAGAAAGGAUCUAAAGGUUUAGAAAGAAAGGAAAGAGGAAACAUAUGGACCGGUGCGGUUCAGAUGAACCAGACCGGUCUGCACAUGUUUAUAAAAGGCAUAGGGACCGGUUUUUUCUCAUUUUUCUCCUUCCUCCCUCUCUCUAAACAUUUCUAGUGAGAGAAGGUCUGCAAAUUGCAGCCUUCUUCUCCGGCGAAGCUUGCGUUUUCCGGCGUGGUGGCCGCCGGCCAACAGGCGGCGCCGCCGCGCCGGAGCAACCAAACCACUCCAAAUUAAAAAAAUUUCACAUAUUCACACAUCCUUUUUAGCACUAAACACGGAUCCGGACUUGCUUUUCUCAAACUCACAACAAAAAAACCUAGAUCUAAAGCCAAAGAUUCACGAAAAUAAGAUAGGAGUAAAAGAAGAAACAAAACACCACAAGAUGAAGAGAUAGAGACUACCUCUUGUUGAUUGUUUUCUUCUAUCCGGUCCAAAAAUCCGUGCCUCCGUUUGUUCCCUCUUCUUUCCGGUCCGGUUCCGGUUCGUCCCUCCCUUCUCUGGUGCGGUUCUGUUUCGCUCCGAUCUGGUUCGGUUCCGUUUUCUACACUUUGAUUUCGUAAUUGUUGGUGUUUGUUGUUCUUGGGUUUGAGCACUCCGAUCUGUUUUUGUUUGUGUGAUGAACUGGUGAUGUGAUUAUGAUUUGUUUUGAUAUUGAAUGUUGUUGAGCCUUUUCUUUCUUCUUUAUCUGGAAAUCCUGUUUUUUUGAUCCGAAAAAAUGUAUGAGAGAAAGGAAAUUAGGGUUUGUGUGGGUUGAGGGACUGAUUUGACUCUGACGCAGCUACAGUGAUUUUUUCUCUAUUUCCCAAUGAUUGACAGUGUUUUUAUAGUGACAAACUAGGGUUGGCUCUGGUACAAAUCAAUGACCAAAAUGCCCCUGCAGCUGAGACUUGGAGAAAAAGAUUUUAACAAAUAAAUAAAUAAAUAAAUAAAAUAAAAACAAAAUGCAUAAAAUAAAUAAAUAAAAAAUAAAAAAAGAAAAGAAAAGAAAAGGAAGGAAGUCACUCACGUGACUUUCACUUCUUUGUUUUUUUUUUUCUAAAAAAAUAAAAUAAAAUAAUAAUAAACAAACUAACCUAAAAAAAAGAAAAUAAAAAGUCCCUUCGAAAUCUGACAUGAGGUACUUCAAAGUAUCCUUCCUGCCGAAAUUUUGGUUGAAAUGAUUAAUAAAAUACGCCUUUUAACAUACAAUUAGCCAUUUUAAAAUGACUUGUCUGUUAUGACUAAAAGGAUUAUAAAAUGCGUUUAUAAAAAUGCAAAUGGAGUGAUUUUAAAUGUUGUAGAAAAUGCAAGCGAGGACUUAAAUGCAAGAUGAAAGUUUUUUUAAAUGAUUAAUGACGAAAAACACGAGUUUUAAAAGGUAAAAAACGAAUAAAAGAGAAUCUGAACUAUUAAAAAAUGUGGACAAAAAAGAUUUCAAAUGGUCCAAAUUUGGGGUAUGACAGAUGCCCCUAUUUAAGUUUCUUCGUCACGAAGGUUUUAAAAGGGAAACUUUUAAACCAAAGGGUCGAGGAGACUUAAAUAUAUAAAAAACGCCAAUUUUGGACCGUUUGAAAUGCCAGGGAUGUGAUGCUGAUGAAUGUGAUGAUAUGACUGAACAUGAUGCAAGUAUGAAUGUAAAGAUAAUGCAUAAAGACUGACUGGGUUUCAAUUGGAUAGGUAUCACUGGGGAAAGAACUGAUAAAUAAUGCUUAAAGUCGCCGUGAGAUAGCUUGAAACAACUAGAGUAUGAACGAUGAUGUUUAUUAACGUUGCUUCAAGAUAAGAUAAGGAUAUGAUUAGCCGACGAGUGGCAACAGUAAAGACAUGAUUAGCCGACGAGUGGCGGAAGUAAAGACAUGAUUUGCCGACGAGUGGCGAAAGUAAAGACAUGAUUGGUCGACGAGUGGCGAAAGUAAAGACAUGAUUGAGCCGACGAGUGGCGAAAGUAAAGACAUGAUUUAGCCGACGAGUGGCGAAAGUAAAGACAUGAUUUAGCCGACAAGUGGCGAAAGUAAAGACAUGAUUGGCCGACGAGUGGCGAAAGUAAAGACAUGAUUUAGCCGACAAGUGGCGAAAGUAAAGACAUGAUUGGCCGACGAGUGGCGAAAGUAAAGACAUGAUUGGCCGACGAGUGGCGAAAGUAAAGACAUGAUUUAGCCGACAAGUGGCGAAAGUAAAGACAUGAUUAGUAUAAAAGAUAGGGGAUUAACCUGGUCUGAAGGUAUAAAUGAUAUUGGCAGGUGAUUAACCUGGUCCAAAAGGUAUUCAAAGGUGUUGGCAGGGUAUUAACCUGGUCCAAAAGGUACAAAAGACAUUGGCAGGGGAUUACCCUGGUCCAAGAGGUAUUCAAAGGUAUUUGCAGGGUAUUAACCUGGUCCAAAAGGUAUAAAAGACAUCGGCAGGGGAUUAACCUGGUCCGAAAGGUAUUGGCAGGGGAUUAGCCUGGUCCAAAAGGUAGAAAUGAUAUUGGCAGGUGAUUAGCCUGGUCCAAAAGGUACAAAAGACGUUGGCAGGGGAUUAACCUGGUCGAAGAGGUAUUCAAAGGUAUUGGCAGGUAUUAACCUGGUCCAAAAGGUAUAAAAGACAUUGGCAGGGGAUUAACCUGGUCCAAAAGGUAUAAAUGAUAUUGGCAGGGUAUUAACCUGGUCCAAAAGGUGAGUGAAGACCGAACUGAAGGAAUAUGACCAAACAAGACUACAUGUGACCUCUCUGGUUCAUACACAUUGGAGACGCCAGUUUUGUGAGAUACAAAUGAAAUAAGCCACAAGACAAUUAAUGCGAUCAAGUAUAAAUGGUAUUUGUAUGCAAGUUAUAUGUGCAAGAAUGUUUAUAUGCAUGAAUAUGUAUAUAUGAAAUGAAUGAAUGUAUGAGUACAUGAAUAUAUGACUGUAUGAAUGUAUGAUUUAGACGACUCUAUACAACAAGUGAAGCUGACAAGACUAGACAAGUAAGAUGGAAGGCGGACUGACAUCGCAGUACAAACACUCGACAAUCUUCAUUGGGGAUAGUAUUACUCGAGAUGAAUCAAAUCACUGACGGGGUAAAGCUCGAUAUCCAAUCACUGAUGAGAGGAAGCUCAAUAAUCAAUACACUGAAGAGGUAAAAGCUCUUUAAUCAAACAACUGGCAGAAAUCGCCCUUUCUUAAUCAAACCACUGAAAGGGUAAAACCCAUGUUUUGGCAGAAGUCGCCAUUAAUCAAACCAGAGGUAGAAGUCACAGUUAAUCAAACCACCGGCCGAAGUCGCCAUUUUUAAACCAAACUCAAGGUGUAUUCUUCUGUUGGAACUGUGAUGCCUCUGUCUUUUCCAUUUUUUCAUUUCAUUUUUUUUUUUUUUUUGUUUUUUUUUUUUUUGAAAAUCCCUAACUUUUGCCUGGACCGCCCUUUUGGGUUUUCGAUCCACCGGGAAUAUUGUCUUUUUUUUGUAUGCCCCUAAUUUUUGCCUGGACUGCCUUUUCGGGUUUUCAAUCCACCGGGACGCUCGUUUUUGGCUUAAGCCGCCCUUUCGGGUUUUCGACUUAGCGAGCCUUUCUUUUUUUGUAUUUUUUUUUUUUUUUUUUUUUGACAGAGGUCAUCUCUCAGCUUUUGGUCAUGCCAACCUUGCAGAGCUUAACUGUCCUUGAGACGGAAGUUGAUGUAUGUUUCAACCACUCAUAAAUUCAAAGAAGAUGUACUUGUUGUUUAUGCUUUUCAGAAGACAUGAUAAAAGUUUUUUUUUUAAAGAUUUUUUGAAAUUUUUCUUUGCUUUAGGUAUUAACAUCAAAAAUAGAAGAAAAAUUUGCAAACAGAAUAAAUGAGAAUUUUAAAUAAAUGGGCACAAGCUCAAGUUAAUGUAAAUGGAAUGGUGGCCUGCCAAAGGCGUGGUUCCACAGAUUUUAAAAGUUUGGAAAAAUGGUAAUUAUAUGGAAAAGGUACGUUGAACACGAUAACCACUGUUUCCUCUACCAACUUUGAAUUCCACUGUUUUGAGUCUUUGAUUUGCAGACGCUUCAGAUCGGAUACCCUUUAACGGCUAAGAUGCCCCAGAUGAAUCAUGUCUGAUAUGAUGCAAUUACCUUGCCAUGAGUCGGAGGUCUUUUGACGGCUGAAAUGCCCCAUAUGAGUCAUGUCCGACCAACUGCAGUUACUUUGUCAUGAUCCUUAACUUUUGCAUAGAUCGCCCUUGCGGGUUUCAACCUAUCAGGAUAAUCAUUUUUUUUAUAUAUAUUUUUUUUAUGUCUCUAACUUUUGCAUGGGCCGCCCUUUUGGGUUUUCAGUCCAUCGAGACGCUCUUUUUUUGCCUAAGCCGCCUUUUCAGGUUUGCGACUUAUCGAACUUUUUUCGUUUUAACAAAGUAUUUCUUGACUGCAUCGGUAUUCACAGGACAUACCAGUUUACCCUCAUUCUUUGUAUUAGGCAUUCAUUGCUCCUGGAGCUUGUUUAAAUCAGAUAGCAUAACUUUUGAGCACAAGGCCACUCUCUUGACAUUCAUGGGGACGAGCCUUCUCUUGUUGAAACUUUCUUCAUGCUUUUGAUACAACUGUCCACGCCAUACGGUAGUGACACUUUUAAAUUCAAUCAAGCUUAGCUUUCAUUGGAACUCCCGUUGACGGGACUUUGACCUUCAUGUGAGGCACUGCCUUUAUGUGGUAGACUGAGGGAUGGAGGGGGGGUUGCCCCUGCUGAAAUGUUCACUUGAAGUACAAUAUCCUUGCAAGGCAAAUGGUGGCAUCUCGUGCCAGUCUUUGUACAUGAAAGUCCUCUUCUGGACAAUCUCUCUUGAUAUUUGCAGCUUCGACGGCCAAGAUGCCCCAGUAGGCGAGAAAUCUCAGUGGAAGCUUCUUCAUCAUCCUCUUAUUCAGCCUCGGAUACAAGGAACUCAAGGUCGAGAGGGAAUAUAUGAUUAAAGUGUUCAACGCGUUUAUUAAUGCAUGAUUUGAUUAUUGAUAUAAACAUUAUGAUUAUGCAGAUAUGUGGAAAUGAUUAAAGAAAAAGAUUUUUUUUUGUUUUUUUUUUUUGUAUUACCAUUUUUCCAGAAAAAGCACAAAAUAAAACAAAGUCGGGAUCAAGCGACCUUUUCAUUAAUGAUGAAAAUACGAAAAGCAAAAAGCCCUAAACAAGUUCAAUUCCGUCUCGGGUGGGACGAAAGGAUUAAAAAAACAUAAAGCAAUAAACAAACAUAUUAAUUGAACAAAAGAGUAGUAGAAAUAAACAUCAACAAAUACCAAAUUGCAACUAAACACUCCACAUGCCACCACAAGGUCCAAAGAUCCGACAGAGGAUUAACUUGCACAUUCAGAUCCAAACUCUUCGAAAGGUAUGAGUUCGUCUUCAAUCAGUUUCUGGACCGCAAUCUUCAAAGAAAAACAGCGCUCAACAUCAUGACCUUGUGCCCCUUGAUGGAAAACACAAAAGAGAUCAGGUCUCCAUCGAGCCGGCAAUAUCUUCGGUAUCGGAGGAGGUGGCCUGAUUUGGACAAGGUUCCUCUCAAGCAAAUAGGGAAGCAACUUUGCAUAUUUAAUUGGAAUUGGAUCAAAUUUUAUUCUUGGAGCCUGUAGUCGAGGUUGUUGUUGAUAUUGUUGAAAUUGGGACUGAUAACCCAGACCUUGGACAUUGGUGAUGGGUGUAACAGCAGCAACAGAGUGAGAAGCCAGAUGUUGUUGUUGAAGUAGCACUUUUAUAUCUGGGUCUUCGAAGGACCAAGCGUUAUUUUCAAUCAACUUCUGAACUUUUUCCUUCAAAGGAUAGUACUGCUUAGUGUCAUGAUCUGGUGCCCCUUGAUGGAAGGCACAAUUGCGGUCAGGACGAUACCCGGGAGGCAGCGUAUUUGGCACAUGAGGAGGUGACGAGGUUUGAACAAGGCUCGUCUUCAGCAAAAUGGGAAGCAAAUCCGCAUAUUUCACAGGAAACGGGUCACACUGCGAUGCUUUUUGGGCCUGAUUUUGAGGUAUAAGCGGUUGAGGAGAUUGAUCUUGAGGGAUAAACCGCUGAGAACCCUGUUGUCGAGACCGUUUCAUGCAUAUUGGCUGACAUAGUGCCUGAGGCCUUUGUUGGACAAGCGGUGGAUCCUUUGUAGCCAUCAAUGAAGAUACAAGGCUAGUUAACUUCUCUACCUCAGCCCGAAGUGUUGUUACUUCUCCACGAAGCUCGUGGACCUCUUGCUCAAGUUGAUCCAUCUUUUGUGUUUGCACGAGUGUCUGCAUAUGUGAGCCGAACUUGGAUGAAGACAUCUGACCACUUUACUAAUGAAUUGACCCUUUUAUGGAGAAGACACAGUGUGAGAUACAGACUAGAAACUAUGAAUGCAAAAUGAUGCAUGAUAUGCUUAUGCAAAAAUAGUAUUUUUUUUUUUUUUAUUUUUUUUUGAAGGACUUGUUAAAGUGAAAUGUAAACAUGGCAGAGGAACAUGGUUUCAUUUGAAAAUUGUCAAGAUAUUUACAAUAGGUUUCUUUUUCAAAAGGUAAGAACGAAACCAAGGAAGAAGUUCUUUAACAUAAGCUAAAAGCUUAGUUAAGAUUUUGGAAGUUGUAUUUCUCGGUGUUCAUUCUUACAAGGUCCAUAUCCGUGAUGUUUACAAAAACUUGUCUAAGUCCUUCAAAAAAAGUUUUUUGAUGGAAAAGGUUGUUUAUGAAUGAAUGCAUGUAUGCAUGGUUAUGCUAAGUGGAUAGAAUACAUGGUGAGGGUAAGUUCCACAACGUUGGAGUCAAUGGUAACAACGCCAUUUGGUAAGGACUAUGGUUUCAAAUGUACCUGUAUCACGGGUUCUACCAAGUUCCCAAAGUCUUUAACCACUUCCGAAUAUUUAUCGGGUGACAGGAGUACUCCCAUUCCAAUUAUAUUCGUCGGAAAGUCUCGUUUGGGUGUAGUAUCGCGUAUCAACUAAUUCAAGAGUACUCUCGAUUAGCCACCGCACUACGUCCUAAAAGGCCAAGAGGGGUUAAAGGUGACUAAAGGUCCUCAACUUCAAAGGUCACUUGAAAAUAGCAUGCCAAACAUGAGUACUCACGUUGACAACAUAUACUUCCAAGAUCCCUCCGUUGAGUGGGGUUAUCACAUGUGCCAAUACCGAAGAGUACUCUUGGCAUGGAACUAUGAUUAUACCGCCGUCCUAUCUUAAGUUUCCCUCAAGCUCGGGUGUAGAGCUUAUCUCACCACUCACGUAAUAAAGUAAACAUGUAAGCAAAAUAUUUACAAAGCAUAAACAAAUAAUAAAGCACAAAAUAAAGAAAGUAAGGUGGGUUUAACCCGCGUAGGAUCUAAAUCCCCAGUGAAGUCGCCAUUUCUGUGCUCCCGAUUUUUGGAUAUCAAACCAUUAAUUGAUUUGAAUCGUCAAUCUUUGAACUCUCGAUUUUUAUUCUUGGGAAGGGAAAAAAUGAGUAAAAACCCUUUUCGAGACUUUGGAUUCGGGGGUUGGUUAUGCGAAGGGAAGGUGCUAGCAUCCUAAGCAUCUACGGUAUUCCGUAGGAACCUCUUACCUAGAUUAUCUUGUGCUAAGCUACUUGUUUAUUUGAAAAAUUAUUGCCUAAUGUCUAAGUGAAAGAAUGGAGGGAGAAGAAGUAUGUUUUUGGUUACUUUUAUUUGAUUUGGAAGGAUAAAAAUCAUAUGCCUACAUACCCUUAAAGAAAGGGAUCAAAACCAAUGUAGUUCACCUCAAAAAUUUCUUUGGUGGGUUAGGUUGAUUUUAAGAUUUUUUUAAAAUGGUUUUAAGAAGAGAAAGAGGCCUCAAGGCAUGAGAUAAAAGAAAUGAGUGAGGUUGAUUGAUUUUAAGUUUUGAAAAUGAUUAAAGUUGAAUUAAAAUUGAUUAAAAAAUUUGAUUAAGAAAAUAAAGAGAAAAUGUUGCUAAGAAAGAAAAAAAAGAUUUUUUUGAAUUUGACAUAUUUGAUUUUUUUGUGAAAAUGAUUUUUCUAAACUAACGGUGAAAACUAACGUAACGUCGUAAAAAAAUUAACGGAAAGCGGUAAAUAAAAUGUGGUAGUGUCGGUGCAUGUGUCGGUGCUUGUGUUACCUACAUUAUUACAUCAAUUCCUAAAUACAACCCUAAGGCCUUUAUGCCAAAAUAAAAUGCAAAAAAAUAAAAUUACAUCAAUUCCCUAUUUAUACAUACUAAGUCAAUGACAAAAUAGAAUAAUGAUAAAAUUAAAUGUGCAUGCUAUGAUUCAAGACAAAAAUUAAAUAGUUAGUAAUCACAAGAAAUAUUAUGAUGAAUGAGACAUAAGAAAUAAUAAGCAAGAAUUAAGACAAAUAAAUAAAAAAAAAAAAAAAUUUAAUUUUAUUAAAAAAAAAUAAAAAAAAAAAAAUUUGGGGUGUUUUUUUUACAUUUAAAAAAAUAAAAAAUUGAGAAAAAAAUUUUUUUUAAUUUUUUUUUCAAAACAAAAAAAUGUAAAAAGGGAAAAAAACACUGUUUUUAAAAAUAAACAUUAAAAAAAAUAAAAAUAAUAAAACAUUGGCUCAGCAGGAUUAAUUCUGGACCAUUGGAUUAAAUCAAUGGUCCAGGUUCAGCCUCUGGAUUCAUCAUAGCCAUAGAAUCUAAGAUCCAACGGUUGGACAAAACAGAACAUGGAAUACUGCAAGCAAGGGACACGCUUGUGAUCUAAACAGAAUCAUCCCUGACCGUUAGAUUAAAAAUCAAUCAGUCUAGAUCUGAAGGUGUACUAAGUAUCACCAUUGAUUGCACAUGCAUAACCGUUGGAUUAAAAAAAAGAAAGGAUCUAAAGGUUUAGAAAGAAAGGAAAGAGGAAACAUAUGGACCGGUCCGGUUCAGAUGAACCAGACCGGUCUGCACAUGUUUAUAAAAGGCAUAGGGACCGGUUUUUUCUCAUUUUUCUCCUUCCUCCCUCUCUCUAAACAUUUCUAGUGAGAGAAGGUCUGCAAAUUGCAGCCUUCUUCUCCGGCGAAGCUUGCGUUUUCCGGCGUGGUGGCCGCCGGCCAACAGGCGGCGCGGCGCAACCAAACCACUCCAAAUUAAAAUUUUUUCACAUAUUCACACAUCCUUUUUAGCACUAAACACGGAUCCGGAUCUGGUUCGGUUGAUUGUUUUCUUCUAUCCGGUCCAAAAAUCCGUGCCUCCGUUUGUUCCCUCUUCUUUCCGGUCCGGUUCGUCCCUCCCUUCUCUGGUGCGGUUCUGUUUCGCUCCGAUCUGGUUCGGUUCCGUUUUCUACACUUUGAUUUCGUAAUUGUUGGUGUUUGUUGUUCUUGGGUUUGAGCACUCCGAUCUGUUUUUGUUUGUGUGAUGAACUGGUGAUGUGAUUAUGAUUUGUUUUGAUAUUGAAUGUUGUUGAGCCUUUUCUUUCUUCUUUAUCUGGAAAUCCUGUUUUUUGAUCCGAAAAAAUGUAUGAGAGAAAGGAAAUUAGGGUUUGUGUGGGUUGAGGGACUGAUUUGACUCUGACGCAGCUACAGUGAUUUUUUCUCUAUUUCCCAAUGAUUGACAGUGUUUUUAUAGUGACAAACUAGGGUUGGCUCUGGUACAAAUCAAUGACCAAAAUGCCCCUGCAGCUGAGACUUGGAGAAAAAGAUUUUAACAAAUAAAUAAAUAAAUAAAUAAAAUAAAAACAAAAUGCAUAAAAUAAAUAAAUAAAAAAUAAAAAAAGAAAAGAAAAGAAAAGGAAGGAAGUCACUCACGUGACUUUCACUUCUUUGUUUUUGUUUUUUUUUUUACUAAAAAAAUAAAAUAAAAUAAUAAUAAACAAACUAACCUAAAAAAAAGAAAAUAAAAAGUCCCUUCGAAAUCUGGCAUGAGGUACUUCAAAGUAUCCUUCCUGCCGAAAUUUCGGUUGAAAUGAUUAAUAAAAUACGCCUUUUAACAUACAAUUAGCCAUUUUAAAAUGACUUGCCUGUUAUGACUAAAAGGAUUAUAAAAUGCGUUUAUAAAAAUGCAAAUGGAGUGAUUUUAAAUGUUGUAGAAAAUGCAAGCGAGGACUUAAAUGCAAGAUGAAAGUUUUUUUAAAUGAUUAAUGACGAAAAACACGAGUUUUAAAAGGUAAAAAACGAAUAAAAGAGAAUCUAAACUAUUAAAAAAUGUGGACAAAAAAGAUUUCAAAUGGUCCAAAUUUGGGGUAUGACACUUACCUAUUUCCCAAGAGGUUGUGUAACCUAAGGAUCAUAUCAGCUUCAUCCUCAGAAAAGAUUUCUCUGUUGAUGGUUGGGUUUAACCUGAGAACCGCAUAAAUUAUUUAUGAUGAUCAGUAAAGUAAGCAAACACAUCACUUGUCUCAUAAAUACAGCUUCAGAUAGUAAAAAAUCGAAGAAACAUGUAAACGAAAUAUGUUGAGAUUUCCUCAAACAAAAAAAAAAAAAAAAAAGUAAUAUGUUGAGAUGUACUCCUUCCAUGUCUUGCAUAUAGAUCUUCAUUGUAAAUUUCACUACAUUGACCUCUAAUAUAUUAUAUAAAUUAAUAUUUGAUUUGAUUCAAAUAGUUUAGGGAUGAAGUCUUGUGUGGUUAAAGAUAUGGACACAUUAUUAUUAUUUUUUUUGGUAAGUUGGACACAUUAUUUAGACACACACUCAAAAGAGAUAAAAGGUUGAAUAAAAAAAAAUGAAAUGAUGUGUUUUUACAUAAAUUAAAGGUUAAUAGUGUUUUAUCCCCUAUAAUGUAAUAUAGAGCACUUUUGAUUUUGUCUCCAAUAAUUUUUUUUACUUAGAUUCUGUCCUUGUAAAAUAAAGAUUCUUCAGGAUUGCCCCCUGAUCCCUAUGAUUCAGCAUUAAGUGGCGCUUAUGUGAAUAUUUUUUUAUUAUUUAUUCAUUGUCCACAUGUAUAAUUCAUUUAACACAACAUAUUUAAUUAAAAAAAGAAAAAUACACAAAAAGUUAAAAAUAAUUUAAAAAAUUGAAAAAAUAAUUUUCAAAAUAAAAAGUGUAGAUUUUUUUUUCAAAAAAAUAAAAAAAUCUGUAACUAAAUUUUCAAAAUAAAAAAAUUAGAAAAUAUAUUUCAUAAAUUAGAAAAACAGAUUUGAAAUUAAAAAAAGUUUAGAUUUCAUUUCAAUAGAAAAAUUCUGGAAUAAAAUUUCUAACAACUUUUCAAAAUAAUUUUUAAAACGUAUCUUAUUUUCCAGAUACGCGUGUCAUCCAAAAAAUAAUGAAAAAUAAAAAAAAAUAUCCACAUGAGCGCCAUGUAUGAGAUUCUGAUGAGUCAUAGGAGUCAGGAGACAAUCUUGAAGAAUUUUUAUUUUACAAGGACGAAAUCUAAAAAAAUAUUUUACAUAGAGCAAAAUCAAAAGUGCCCUAUAUUACAGGGGGCAAAACCAAAAGUGGCGUAUAUUAUAGGUAGGAACGUAGAAAGCAAUUAUAAUCCUUUGAUACCAAGGUGUCUAGAACUUUGAAAUGCACAAAAGUGUAUAUAUAUAUAUAUAUAUAUAUAUAUAUAUAUAUAUAUAUAUAUAUAUAUAUAUAUAUAUAUUAUAAUCUUCUAUAUAUUAUAAUUUUUUGAGAAACUCCUUUUUUAUUCCUUCUUUGAUACAUUUAUAUAGAAGGGGUGUUUCUACGGUGCGGUCAGAAAAUUGACUAUUUUGAAAAAGUUACUUUGUUUAAUCAAUAAUAUAAUUGUUAAUGACAUGUAAGCUAGUGUCAUGCUGAUAGACUACUCUAAGACUAAACUUUACCUUAUUAAAAAUCAAUCCUCAUACAAAAUAUUAAUUAUUUUUGAUUUAUUAACUUGUUUUAUUUAAAAUUAAAUCAUUUAUUAAUUAUGCACAAAUUAAAUCAUUUUUACUCAUCCGCUUUCUUCUUCAUCUACAUAAGGGGAUCUCGCUAAGACACCUGUUCUUUGUGAGAAGAGAUCGUUUCAUCUUCUUGCUCCAGGUAUUGUAAUUGGUGCCGCUCGUUGGAGGAGAAAGGAAUUGAUGAAGAUUAACAUAUUCAAACUGAUGAAGAUGAAAGGGACUCGAAAGAUUUAUGAUUUUGAUGAUGAAAAGAUGAAGGAGAUGAAAAGCUCAUAGGUAAAACGAACCGAUGAAGAUGAACUAUUUUGAUGCAUACGUUUUACGAUUACAAAAUAAAAUAAUAAUAAAAAUGUUUAAUUUUGAUUUAAUCAGAGACACAAUGACAAUAAAUAAAGAUACAAUAACACACAUUGUGGACAAAUGUGCAAUAAAUCCUAUAAUCUGAAGUGACAUUGAUUAAAUACACAAAUGCUAAAUGAUUGGUUAUAGGGUUAAUUUCACCAGAAAAAUGAUUCUCAUUAUUUCACUAUAGAAUUUUCCAUAUACAAGUGAUAAUUUUGUAAUAAUGACACAAAUUUCAAAAAAAUAUAUUAUGUUGGAAUUAGGUCUAAAUAAAAAUCAAUUUCACAGAAUAUGCAUUUUUUUUUCGGUACAUAGCACAUGCAUAAUUUAUUAUGUUGGAAUUAGGUCUAAAUAAAGAUCAAUGCAUAAUACAAAUAAAAGUAUAGACUAUUAGCGGAAGCAAAAAAAACUUUGAGCAUGGAUAUGAUCGAAUCUACGACAUGCAUGUUGAUCUAUCAAGAUACUAAUAAUUAGGUAUUAGGAAUACCUUGAUGAAGUUUUGAUGACAGUCCUCUCAACAACAACGAUAUGAAAACACACAAGAAAUAUUAGCGGCGAUAUAUUUUACUCUUUCUCAAACGGUAUUUUUAUGCCUCAAGUUCUCCUUGGAUGGGGAGAAGAGAGAGUAUGGUGUGUACAGUGUACUGAGGAACAUAGGCUCUUUUAAUAUGAUAGUCAUUAGGGUUUCCCAUUAUUCCGUUGUAUCAUCCAUAAAUCCACUCAUAUUGAGUUUCAUAUCAAUUAAUUAAUUAUUUAAAUAGAAAUCUAAUCAAACUUAUUACUUAGUUUGAUCACUAAUCUAAUCAAUUAAAGCUCCAAAUUAAUAAAUAGCUAAUAUAAUUAUGAUAAAAAUAUUUACCCAUAUAGUGAUAUUGAAAUAUAAUUAAAUAAUAAAAUAAUCCAACGUAUUAUUCCAAGAAUUCUUUUCAAUGCACAUGAUUUUUUUUUAAUAAUGCAUGCACAUGAUUUUUGUUACAUAUUUUUAUAAAAAUGGACAGACGCAAAACUCAAAACUUCAAGUUUUUCAUCAUUUUUUUUUUUUUUUGGUGUUCACAGUUUAAAUUCUGGACUUUACAUAUAGUAUACAUUGUCUUUAUCAACUGAGCUAAACUCAUAAGGACAAUCUUUCAUCAUUUAAACCAUUCUAUAGUUGAUAAUGUAGUUGGUAAUUGCUGAAUGUAAUUAAAUUAUGUGAAAUACUACAAUAAAUUUUACUAUUACGUACGACUUUUUGUUGUUGAUAAAAAUUCUUCCUGGCGGUUACAUGGAUUCAAAUAUGAACACUUGGAUAUCUUUUGUUAUAUGUGUGGUGUUAUAGACCAUACAAUCAAUACAGUAAGAAACUAUUCCUGAUCAAGAUUGAUAAUUUGUCCAUGAGUUUUUUUUUUCAAAGCAGAAGUUCAUUGGAAUGGUGGUGUCACAGAAGGAGUUGAUUCUUGGCGUGCUAAUUUUGAAAAUAAUUUUAUGUGAAAGUUAUUAUUUAAGGAUUUAAAUCGCAAAUUGAUAAAAAAAAAUAUAGAAUUUUAAAAAAAAAAAAAAAUCAAAUAUUUUUUAUGUGUUUGAUGUUAUUUUGUAAAGAUAGUUUGAAUCGGAUUUCAUAUAAAUUUUUUAAACCCCAUCCAAAUGUUUCUUUUAUCAAGUAAUCGCGGUUAGAAUUUCAUUUCUUAAAGUUUAUAAGUGAGGAAUUCGUGGUUCAAACCCGACCUCUUUAUAUUAUGGUAAAAAGUGUAAUUAAGAUAGGGUUUAGAUAUUAUUAUCAACCUCAAGUAACCUGAUUGUUAGAAUUUGACUUCUUGAAAUAUUAUGAAUAAAGACAUUUUUUUUUUGUUAGUGAAAAAUAAUAUUAAGCGUUUUAUUGCUUUUAUAAAAGGAUUAAUGAUUUGAGAUAAAGAAAAAUAAUAAGAAAAAUUCCAUUUAAAGACAGUUGGAGGAGUAAACUAUAAAAAUUUGUCUCAAGUUAUUCGUUCAAAUAUUAACCGUUAGAGGAGUGUCAUGAACACUCUCUUUCUACCACUCUUAACAUUUACUCUCGUAUAGUAUGAAAUAUAUGUGAAUACCAUAUUAUAGAAAUGGAUCCCACGUAAACUGAUUUGAGAUUCGCAUAGGUUUCACCCACGGUAGGUGUUAGAGAAUGUUAAAAAAAAAUGUUCGUAAGAUUUCUAAUGCUUAACAAAAAACAUUGAAGACCUCGAUGAUGAUUGUAUCGCUUGGACGGUAACACGCCAACAAUUGCAUGAACACUUUAUACAUAACAGUGAGCAUAAAACAAAGUUUCAUCAGAAAAUAUUUUGAAAUUAAACAUAUAUAGAUAGGUCCAUGAUUUGUCGUGAUUGUUAAGUAUGUAAUGAGUGAUAUUUGUCUUUUUCACUAAGGUCCAUCAAUGACAAGCAAGUAUUACGGAAAAUGUAUACCCCCGGUCGACCCUCUUCCAAGACUAUAAGCAAACUAGUCCUACAUAACAUCACAUAAUAUCAUAUACACAAACAAACGAUCGACUUUAUUGUUGCCAAAAUGAUUGAUUCCAUUAUUAUAUAUUAUUAUCAGUCACUUUUCUAUGGGGUUUUCUUUAACAGAUUGUUUAUAUUACUACUUCUAGAAGUCAAUGGAAACAUGCAUCUUUAUGAAUAUGAUUAUGUGGAGAGUAGACAUGCACGUUAAAGGCCUACGUAGCAAUUUGAUACGUGCUUCCCGAUUUGUUUUCAUCUCCAAAUGAAAAAUUAAAAUAAAAAACUUGUCGAGGUGAAAGGAAAAAAAAUUAACAGUGAAAAUUUAUACCAUUUCAUGAUUUAAGUGUGGUAGUUCUUAAGCAGGGCCUUUAUUUCCUUCCCACUUCAUUUUGUAUUAGGGCAUAUCAUGAGUUAGCAUGCCUAUCUUAUUCCUUAUAUGAUUUAACAAUAGUCACUUAAAGUAUGAAACAAAUUAAAGCACAAAGAAUUUGUUUGCAUGUAUAUUGCAGGCACUAGCUCUCAUGCUUUAUACUCAAAAUUUAUGUGCGAUAGUCACGAAGACAUUACAUAGUUAUAACUUCUAUUCAGAGGAAUUUCAAUCAUUGAUAUUUCCAUUCAACAUGUUGAAUUUUUGCGCAAAUAAAUCAGCGCAAAAAUUCAAUCAUUGAUAUAUUUUUUGAGGAAUCAUGAAUUUCAAUUCAAUCAUUGAAAUCCGUGAUUCCUCAAAAAAAUAUCUCAAAUAAAUGAGCCAACAAGAUCAGCGCAUGUCACUUUAUUAUAACUUCUAUUGAGAGGUUUUGAAUAUCUUCCUCAUGCAAGAUGUAAGGCCCGUAGUUUAGCAAUGACUAAUUUUACGGCUUUAUGAUUGUUUUGAAGUUUACUUUCAUAAUAAAUGAUGCUAUGAAAUGUAUUGAUGAAAUCGAAAUUUUAAUGCUAAUUUUUUUUUUUUAUUUUUAAGGCCAAGAGAAAGGUUGGGUAUCCGGGAGAAUCUGAAGCAUCCCAACUAGGUUGGCAUGCACCCCAUAGAAACCCCCAUCCUCUACUGCCUUUUCAAUACGUAAAUUUUAUUAAAAGAAGGGGAAAAAACUUACAAAGAGGGGGGACUAGGCCAAUACCCUCGAAAGAAACGGAAAAAUAAACAGAAAACUAGGAACUAAAACAAUUAAGGAAAUCUACAAUUUGGCAAUCCAUUCCUGUCCCUAGCAAAAUCCUCCCCCAGCGACAGAGGCAACUGAGUGAACCAGACUGUGUUCUGUAUAUCAUGUCCCAAAGCUACAAGGUCGUCAGUACAAACAUUCCCUUCUCGGAAGAUGUGAGAACAAAUCAUAAACAAGCCAUUAUGAGUGCAGUUGUGCCACUCGUUCCGAAGACAAAUAGGAAUAAGAGAUGGUUUAUGGAAAGCUUGAACUGCACAAGAAGAAUCACUUUCAAAAAUUUCUGCCUCGAAAACAGAAACUGCGCCAAGAUUGCUUGCGAACCCACCAAAAAAUGUGCCACGAGAAUCACAAAAAAUACCACCGCAAGCAGCCAUAAAAUUUCUAACCGACCCGUCCGUGUUUGUCUUCACCCAAUAGACAAUGGGUGCCUUCCAAACAACCGAUAUAAUAUCCCGUAUACGCCAAUGAGAGGGAAACAAACAGAUUUUCCAAAAUAACAAUAUCUGAAAAUAAAGAGUAACUUGUGGAGAUACUUCCCGACAUGGAAAUCAUAGAGGUAAUCUUGGCAAGAGUGGCAUGCAGGGAUACAACAAAUGCAUUGAAGCGAACAACGUUUCUAGCAACCCAAAUUGUGUGCACCGUGUGCACUACAGCAACAAUCAAAACAUCACGCAGCUGGGAGCUGCAACGAAGCGGAACACAAGCCAACAAGGAGCAGGGAGAAUCAAGAGAAAUAGGGUGUUGUAGCUUGAUGCCGAGCCAGUGCCAAAUGGUUUGCGAGAAUUUACAAUCCAAAAAUAAAUGUGCAGAAGUCUAAGCAUGGUCGUAACAUAAUGGAUAAAUGGAAACCAAAGUGCAGCCCCUCGACUGUAAAUUUUCAUCCGUUGGGAGCUUGGAUAAAAUUAACCGCUAGAGAAGAAAGGAAUGGGACGGAGGAAUACAAGGCCGCCAAAUAUCGGACCAAGCAACCUUUGGAGGCGCCGGAUUAAGAAAUUGGAACGCAAGUUUAGCAAAGAGCUCUCCAUCCGGAGAAUGGACCCAAACACACUUAUCCAGCAAAGGGGAGACUGGGAGAGUAAUUUGCAUAAUUUGUGCAGCCACUAACGGGAAAUCAAGAAUAAUUCGAGGAAUUUUCCAUUUACCAUUAGUAAUAACAAAAGCGAGAUUAGCCUUUAAUUCGGGAAACAAGUGCGGAGGCAAGUCAAGCAUAGAGACCAACGAUUCACCCAUCCAAUUAUCAAACCACAACUUGAUAUUUUUGCCAUUUCCAAUGAUCCAUCUAGUAUUAGCACUCAUCGUAGAGAAUUUUUCUUUCAGACCUAGCCAUAUAGAAGAUUUGAUGUAACGACUUCGAGGUAUGCGGUAGGAAAGAAACCGCUUCUGAAAUAAAUAGGAGCAAGCCGUGCUUUGAGUAAAUAGUCUCCGGCUGAGAUGAAGAAGUAAAGCAUCAUUGAUGGCUCUAGUGGGUUUAAGAUCAAGACCACCGGCAUCCCAAGGGCGACAAACCUGAGACCAAGAAACAGUGCAAAUCUUGCGAGUAUCAAUGUCCCCACUCCAAACAAAAUUUUUAAUGCACCUAUCGAGCAUUUUCAAUAAACGGAUUGGCCACCGAUAGAUAUGGAAGGAGUAAACUAGCAUCCCAUGAACAAUCGACUUCACUAGCUAAAUCCUACCCAUUAUGGACAAUAGAACACCUUUCCAAGUAGCAAGCUUCACCUUAAUCGUGUCAAUAAUAUGUUGGAAAUAGAUGCAUUUCGGCCUACCUUGGAAAAUGGGGCAGCCAAGGUAUUGAAACGGAAUAGAACCUAAUUUUCUAUUGAUUUUUGAGAGAGCAACGCUAGAAACACUCUCUUAAACACCCAAUUUCUUAUUCGUAUAAAUCAAUGUGGGUCUCAUGCUUAGGAAAUGGGUUCCACUUAAAGUAGUUGGACAUACAUUAAUUUCAUUCAAUAGUAAUGUGAGUGUUUGAGAAAGUGUUGAAAAGAGAGUGUCUCUAACAUUCUUCAUUUUAAGAUAAUGGCCGAGAUGUAUCUGAUGUUUAAAUCUUCAUCAGCCCUCGUGUGCCAUGAAAAUUUAAACAAGCAUUGUGAAACAUAAAUUGUGAGGAUUUUUUUUUUCCAUUAAUUUGUGAGCGCAUAAAUUGUGAGAACCUUUUUUUGCAGCUAAUUUAUGAGGACCUUUUGGUAGCUACAGAUCUCUUAGUAACUCAACGGUUAAAACCUAGUCCAUAUUCAAACUUCUAUCUAAAUGCAGUAUAUACUUGCUAGAGCACAAUUUAAAAGUUUUCUAUUUAGAAACCGAUUUAAAUCGUUCACUAAAUGAAUUAGUUUCUGAUAUAAAGUCUAAUUUUUUAAAGUCUCUAAAUUGAUCACCAGUGGCUUAUUAGCGAUCAAUUUGACAUUUGGAAUGUCUAAAUUAAUGAACAAAUAUGAAUACUAAAACAUUAAAAUCAUUGAUUUUUUUUUUUAAGCAAACUUUUUUAUUAAUGAGAUUAUAAAAAAGUAAUCCUUACAGCAAAAGUAAUCCGAAUUCAUCAGUAAAAACAAUAAAUAACCUCCUUACAUAUAAUGCGUUAAUUGUUAUACAUCAAAAUACCUUCACAAGAACACUAAAUUCUUCCUUUUUAUAAAAGAAAUACCCUACUAUCAAAUAAAGUCACGACCCUUCUAAAUUUCUCAAAUCCAUGCUUCCUCAAUUUGCAAGCAGUCCCAAGAUACUCACCUUUUCUGCACUAACAGAAAUCCUUCCCUAUCUUCGAAUUUUUGUCUCAAGGUAAUUGCUUCCUGUAGCAAAUAAAUACCAAUUAGUCUUUUAAAUAUUAAAAAAUAUAACAAUAUAAAAUAGUACAAAAAAUUGACCUAAAAUAUAUGCAUACGGUUAACGUUUGAAUUAGAAUUUAGAACAGGAAAGAGCCAUGUAUAUAACUUACCAAAAUGUUCCUAAUACAUGGGGUGUACAAUGGGGUGUAGGAAUAAAGGGUGUUCAUGUAACAUUUUCCGUAUAUAUUUAGACAAAAAGCAUUCAUAGUCUCGUUGACGUACGGUUCUAGCAGACGGACGGGAGAAAGCCAACAAUUGCACGAACAAUUUCCACAUAACAUUUAGCAUAAAACAAAGUAUCAUAAGAAAAUACUUUGUAAUUAAACGUGAGAAAUGCUAACAAAUACCUCCGAUUAACUCUUAAUAAGUUUUAUAAAAAUUUAUGUUUUUCAAUAUAUCAAAAUUUUAAAAUUGUUUUUGAUUGUACAUUAUUCAAGUUAAAAUAGUCUCUUACGUUAAAAUGUUCUGUCAAUAUUGUCAUAAUCAAUCCCUCAAUAUACUUAUUAAUGCCGUACCAAUUAAUUCCUAUAAAUACUUAGUGACAUAUCAUCCCCUAUAUAAAAAGAGUUAACAUCAACAUUGACGUACCAUUUUAACAUCAAAUAUUAUUUUGCCUGACGAAAUGCGCAAUAAAAAAUUGGACAAAACUUAGGCACCGUUACAUAGGUCCAGUUUUUACUGUUCACGAAUUAUAAUAGGACACCUGGAAUAUUUAAUUAUAUUAAAUUAGAUAGAUAAUUUAACGUCGUUAAUUCCUUUCCGUCUUCGUCGUGUAAUUCUCUGUGAUCCAUUAUCCAUCACAAUCUCCAUCCUCAAUGUUGCCAAAUCACCACCGCUAAGAACUGACUGUGGCAGAACUCCACUGUGUAACAAAUAUCUAAUCUCUAGGUAUAAAUAACUCUCAGAAAGCAAAAUCUCACCCCUCAAUGAAAGAAAGGAGAAAAAUUAGAUGCAUGAAUUUUGGACAGAAACAUGAAAUUAAGAAACUCCAAGUGGGAGGGUAUGGAAGAUCUUCUCUAAAACAAUUGCAGAUGACAGAUAUUUUGUUGGAUUAUAUGAGAAUUUGUUGUCAAUUUUUUGUCUAUCAUAAUAAAUCAAGGAGUCUGGGCUUUUAUCAUGUCUGAUGCAUAUACGUUGGUGUUGGUGCCCUGAAGAGAGAGGGUAUGGAUGAUUAACAAGGGGAAAAUAUAUGGCAGAGUGGUAUGUUGAUUCUCGAAAAAGUUCAAAUCAAGUCAUCUCCAAAUGAAAAAUUAAAAUAAAAAAACUAGUCGACGUGAAAAACGAAAAAAAAUAGAGACAUGGUCCGCCAUAUAACAUUUAAUAAAAUAAGGAAGAAAUUGAAAAUUUAAAAAAUAUUGUUCACAUAGAGUUUCAAUCAGACCGUGUCAUAAAAAACAUGCACAGUCUACUAAAGUUAAAUAUUACCGAUUUUGUUGUCUCUUGGAGGAUGUUGUCCCUAUAGGACCAAUCCUAAUUACCACCUUAAUGGUAUCAAAUUUUUACUAUUUCAUUGCGUGAUUUAAGUGUGGUAAAUUCUUAUAACCACUUUUAUUUCUUUCCACUUCAUUUUCUAUUAGGGUAUAUCAUGAGAUAACAUGAAUUGGCAAGCCUAUAGUAUUCCUUAUAUGAUUUAACAAUGGUGGCUUAAAUUAUGAAACAAAUCACAAAGAAUUUAACGUGGUAGUCACAAAGACAUUACAAGGGAGCAAGCGACAACGAUAACUGCGCAACGUAGGGAUGACAGUGGGGAGUACUCUAUUACUACUCUUUCAUCCACAACACAUUGCGUGAAAGUUACAUUUUGAUGACCAAAUAAAUUUGCAAUCGUGUUAAUUUUCUCUAUUAAAAAGAUAAAAAUAUGUUGAUAUAUACAUGUUGAAUUGAGCGCAACAAGCUCAACACAUUUCACUUUAUUAUAAUUUUCUAUUUGGAGCUUUUGUAUAUUUUUCCUCUGGCAAUAGAUGACGGGCGUAAUAAACUACCAGUCCAUUUUCAACAAGGAAUGUUUAAAACUCCCUAUGGAAUAAAUCAAACUUCUCCGGUCAUAUUUGUUUUGAACCUCUGAUGGUAUGAACUGAGGAAGAGGAAGAAAUUGUCUAGAACAAAUUAAGUAGGAAACCUAAAGACCAGAAGGCUAAUAAAAAGCCACAAGCCUAAGGAUAAGUGCAAACUACUUUCUAUUUUAUUAAGUCCGAGUUUAAAGUUCCAACCAACACUAAAAGCAAUCCUUGAAUUGGCAACAAGAGUUUGUGGUGGAAUAAUGUGUCGCAAACCUUUACGGUGGAAAUUAGGUUCACACAAAGUCUGGCCUGAAAAAUAUGGGAUUUGUGGUGGAAUAUAUUCGCCACAAAGGUUGGGUGGAGAAAAAUGAAAUUCGAAUUUGUGUCGGACUACAUACCGGCUGCGGUUAUCCUUAUGCACCCUUCAUAAAUCCAAAAAUGGUUUAUGUGAGUUGUACUCCAAAACCAUUAGAUUUACUUAAUGGUUUACAGCACUCUACAUAAAUCCCAACUCAAUUAUGCCAAAACCAUUUUGUUGUGGAAAUGGUUUCUGUGAAUUGUACUCCAAAAUCAUUUCUGAAUUUAUGCUUAUGCACCAUAAUCGUACCCAUGAUUACAUUAAAUUUAUAAUAAAUAAAGGAUUAUCUAUUAAUUUUAUUAUAUAGUAACAAAUAUAUAUAUAUAUAUAUAUAUAUAUAUAUAUAUAUAUAUAUAUAUAUAUAUAUAUAUAUAUAUAUAUAAGAAAAUCCAUUGUUUUGUGUUGACUUUUUCACUUUCAAUUAUACAUAUAAGCAAAUUUGCGUCACUUCCAAUUAUACCUAUAAGCAAAUUUGCGUAUAAUAAUAUAUAUUAUUUUGUUGGUGUCCUUCAAAAAGAUGACAAUUUAUAUUAUAUUUGUUAUGUUGUUGGUAUCACUAAAAAAGAUAAGUAUAGUUUGUUACAAUAUGAAAAUGAAAAAUAUUUAUCAUCUAUACCUAUAAUUUUAAUCAAAAUCAAAAUAAUUUUAAUCAUAAUUUCAUAAAAAUUAUUGUUCGUAAUUAAUACGCAUCGCAAUAAGAAGAGCGGAUAGAUGGACAUAUAUAGAAUGUCCGUCUGAACGCUACUAAUUAUAAUAUUUUUAAUAGUAUUUAACGUGGAUAGUUUUAGUAAAGACAAUUAUUUAAAUUAAAUAUAUUAAUUACAUAAAUACAAUUAUUUAAAUUAAAUGCAUAGAUAUAUUAUUUUAAUAUCUUUGGCUUUUGCGUCAGCCAAUAUCUGACGCUAAAAACGCAUGGCAUUUGCGGCAUCUUGAUUCCGCCACAAAGGAAAAAUAAAAAUAAAAAGGUUGACUUUUGCAUCGGCUUUCAUCUGAGAAUUAGCGGCGACCUAAAUCCCGCCCCAAACGUUUGCAAGAUCCGUAUUUGUUUGGGACAUAUGUCCACCGCAAAUUUUUCUUUGUGUGGACAUUUUGUGCUUUGUAUGGGACAUGUAACUCCCUUGCAUUCUUGUAGCGUAAUCUCAUUCAAGAUGGCUAGCUUUUAAAUGUUGUUAUAUUGAAUUUUUUUCAUAGUCACUUGAUGAGUAUAAAACACGGAUAGCACUUGUGUACCAUAAUGGUAUAUACCAUUGCCCAAUUAGAAUGUGUCACGUGGCACACCCUUUAAAAAAGUAUAUCAAAUAAAACAUUUAUAAAGUAACAUUGGUAGGUGGCACACUAUAAUUGGUCAAUGAUAUAUACUAUUGGUACCUUAAUGGUACACAGGUGAAUCCUAUAAAACACGUAUGUAUUGUUUGGUCAUGUUUUAGGGAAGAAAAAUCAUAUGUCAAUUUUUUUUUAAACGGCAAAUAUUAUUCUCGCCGAACCUGUGCAAGAUGUACUCAAAAAAUCCCUGAAGACAACGACACAAUUAAAAAGGAAUCGUAUAUAGAAGGAUUUCACACACCCCACCCAUAUUCAAAACCAGAAGGUUAACACCCAAAGGAAGGUGCACAUCGCAACCUAUAAAGAUACACACCAAAUAGUACCCAAUCAAAAACAUACGUGACAGACAAAGUCCCAAACUGUAGCAGGUAUCCUAACAAAGAAGUUGUCCAGCAAAAACCAUCCCACUAACACCAAAACUGCAUAACAGAGAAAAAAACUCCACCCACAUAUACAUAUUGCGUGUUAAUUACCCGCCCCCCAAAAAGCAAAACCCCCACCAACCAACAUACAUUCAUUAUCUUAUGAGACAAUCUUUCGGAUUCCAACGCCACUCAUAAUACAAGCAAGCCGAAGAUUUCAAUAGACUCUAAUCAUGAUGUUAGGGAAAAGAGAGAAAAGCUUGAAAUAUUUAUAUUGAUUUGGUACCAGAAAAAGAUACAAACGAAUGAUAGAUUCUUAAAAAAAAUUCUUCUCUUAUAUUUAGGGAUCGAAGGGAAUAACUAAUAAAAUGACCUUGACUGCCUAUAUGUCAACAACCUCUCAAAAGCUGGAAGGUGUUUACAACAUUUUCUGUUUGAGAUGAUCAAUACAAAAAAACCAAAAUCAAAAUAAUUCUUGUAUUGUCAUGUACAAAUUGUACCAAUAUAUCCUUCCUAUCAUCCUUCAAAAGAAAUAUACAAUAAAUUUGCAUCUCAACAAAUGUCAGUAAAUGAUAAGUGCCAAAUUCAUGUUAAUUAACUACAUGGCCCUUAUUAACUUGUUUUGCAAGUAAUCUAGGUAAAAAAAAAAAAAACCAAUUUAAUGUAAAUACCUAAUAAUAUUUUGUAUUUUUAGGCCAGUUAAGCCGUUAUUCCUUAUUUACCUUCAUGUUUUGUAGGUUUUUGGAUCAAUGACCGAGAACGAUAAAGAGCAAGGAUUCUGAGGAAAAUUAAUCUUGCUAGGCGAGCCAGGAGAGAAUCAGAACAGAGAGUUUAAAGCAAAAUGCAAGAGCAGAUUCGCUAAGCAAGCAUCAAUUUGCCAAGCUAAUCAUGGUGGUUUGAUGACUUGAUUGGAUGAGCUAUCAUUUUCCUCCAUCUGAAGAAAGCUCAGAUUCUCUACACGAACAUAACUUUGUCUAUCGAAUUCCCACUUAUAAGAAUUCUAUAAAUAGAUGUCACCACUUCUUUUCAAGGAGGAGUCAUACACCAUAGAAGAACUCAUAAACCAAGAAAGGGAGAGACAAAAUGAUCUAGGGAAGAAAGAUACAACGAAGGAGAAUGGGGAAUCUUCUUUGGGGUUUAAUCUCUUCCCUUCUUGUUUCUUAUUAUAAGACUAUGCAUAACUAAUCCUCUCUAUCUUUUGGAUUAAGCAUAGUUUCUAAUACUCUUUUGUAGAUUAAAUAUUUAAUAAAAUUACGUGACUUUUAAUAAGAAAAAAAAUGCAUUCCCUUUGAUUUUAUGUAUACGCAAAAGUUAUCAUAAAUUUUGAACUUGUUUUAUGUUAAUCCUCCAGUUUUCAGAGGAAAGGACUUUGGAAGUCCGGACUUCUAAAGCUCAACUAUGACGUAAGUAUAGCUUAGCAAGAAUUGUUGCAUUCACGAAUUGAACUUAGAUUCUCCAAAACAUUUGUUCUUUGAUGAAAUUAAUUUACCACUUGAGCACAAUCACUUCAUUUAAAUACAAUCAAAUGUAAGCUAAUCAUAUUUAAUGUCAUUGUUCUAAAUCUAUUCUUACAUUAAUUUGUUAAUCUUGUGAGAGAGGUAAGAAUUUAAUAAGUAAGGAUAGGUUACUAGAUGUAUUUUUUUAUUACAUGAAACUAAAAUAAUUAUUAAAGUUUGUUCUUUUCUUAGUAUUUGUCGCUCCCCUAAUAUACAAUAAACCACUACUGUCAGUAUUAUAGGCCAUACAAUACAAUCAAUCUUCCUCAGAGGUUGAUAAUGGAGUCUGGGAAGACGGUGUCAAUAUCAGUGUCAAGUUCAAACAAAGCUGGUGUUAAUUCUUCAGUGUUAAUUCUGGAAACAAUUUUAAUGCUGCAAUAAAUGAGAAUGCUACAUUAUUAACGUACGGUUCUAUGAUAAAUUCUAGCAAACAAAAAAUCGGUAAUGGACGGAGUGAAUAGAUGAAAUUCUGGGGUGAGGGUUAUAACAAUUUGAAUGUGUCAGGUAGACAAGCAUUUAAUAUUGGGGUCACCAAAUAAGAAAUAAUGCAUCAAUUACAUAUGAUCCCUAGCAGGGAGAUAUGAAUCCGCUGGACAACAAGAUAAGGAGAAGAAAUGGCCCAUGACUGAAUGUUGAAUACUCCACUUAUGCCCUCACGAGCAUCUAGCAUUACGACAGUACGGUCUAUUUUUUAGAAGCAUGCAUAAUUUGGAACCAUUGAGACAAAUAAUUUAAGUUUCUUGUACUAACUUAUGCAUGAAUCUUUGUUUUUGUUUAAUUCUAAUAAAGUUGAAGACUUAAAACAACUUUUCUAAUAAAGUGUUAUUUUUAACUUAAAACUUUUUUGUUUGCUUGCUUAACCAUUGCCUUGGAACACCGGUUAGCUCUACCCUAAAAUUAAUUACAUUUUUUAAUCUUUGUCAAAUUGUCAAGGCGACUUAUAAUUUAAGAUAUAUGAAGUACUGAUAUGAAGGUUGACGAUGUUCUUAAAAAUAAUUGGAGUUUUACCGAAUUAUAUGUCUUUCGGAGAACACUCAUGCCUCGUCAUAUAUAAAUGUGUUGUUAUAAAUGAGAAAUUCUUGUGAACUCUCACCCAACACAUCAUUCUUACACUCUAGGGUGUGGUAGUCGUGGGCCCUGUCUAAGGUUGUUGUCUUCUCUUGGCAACUGAUCCGACUAGGUUUAACCUCCAUAGGCGUGGUGUUCCCUUGCCUGAGAGGGAUCUUGGUUGUGUCUUUUUUGAGGCGCCUUCCGAAUCUUCCGCGCAUCUCUUUCUUGUUUGCCCUGCUAUCCUCCCGGAUUGGUAUCAGGUCUCUAGGUAGUUGGGUUGGGUGUUUGUGAGCCCUAGGGGUAUUGCACAACAUUUCUUUGCUUUCACAAGCUUAUGGGGGUAAGAGAGUUAGAUUAGAUCUUCUUUUAGUUUGGAUAGAGUGAAACUUUGGCUUGGAAGUGGCUCCCGGCUAAGUGCCCUGGUAGUUCCUGCUCUUUUCAUGAGUGGGAGGUGUAGCCCGUCCUUUGCUGGCAUCGUUAGGGUUUUGGUGGUGGUUUUCCUUGGUUCCCGGGGGGGUUGGGUGGGGGUUUUAGCCUCCACCUUUCUGUCCGGUUUCUGGGGUUGCUUUUUUGCUUUUGUGUUUCUGUUCGACCACCUGGUUGUUUGGUGUUGGCGGUUUCAGUUUUGUUUCUUUUCCGUGUUGUUUUUGCUGUUUUUUGAUGGUGGGGUGGCUCAUGGGGUUUUGUCACAGGGUUUGCUCUUUUGGUGGCAUAUCCCCGUCCCGAAUGCAGAAAACUAUUUUAUGUUGAUAUGCCAUGUUAUUUUGUUUGAUAAUUGUCAUGUUGUAAAAACUACGAUUGAUAUUUAAAUGACCAACUAAAUCAAUGGGCUAACAAAUGUUAAAGUGAACAUAUUGUUGGAUAAUGCAUUACAAUAUUUCUCUUGGGGUUGCAAAAAAAAUCUAUUUUUUCAUUAAAAAAAUUAUUCAAUGCGGGGACGGGGAUGGGGCGGGGAUACCCGAACCCGUCGGGGACGGGGAUGAGGUUCAAUUUCUCAUCCCCGUUGAAUAUGGGUAGGCGGUAGGGUAACGAGUAUGUAUAUGAGAAUCGGGUAUGGGGACGGGGAAUGUAAAACCCGUCCCCACCCCGCCUCAUUGUCAUGCCUACUAAAGCUAAUAAUGAUUCAAAAUCUAGAUUCAAUUCAAACUUGGUCGAAAAUUGAAAAAAUUAAGAACAAGAUAUACUCCCUCCGUCCCUAUAUCUAAACACCCCCAUUUGAUUUUAUUUUUGUCUGUAAACUCAUUUUCAAAUUACUAGAUGCAUUUAUUACUUUUUUCUUAAACAUGUCUCUAAAGGACAAUUUAGUAAUAUUAGUAUACAAAACAGACACAUUAAUUACACUGACAAUUUUUCUUAAAGAAAUGUGAAAAAACAAAGGGGGUUACACUAAGGGACGGAGGGAAUAUUAAAUAAGCACAGUUCAAUUGCAUUAAUAAAAGGACAAUAAUAAUCGCGUGUUUCCAACAACUGAAAAUAUGUUCAUCUUGAUAUCAUAAUUUAAGUGUUUAAUUGCUCUUGGAAACUGAUUACAUCAUCAAAGAGAAAAUUUAUGAGUGAAACAUGCUCUUAAACAGGCAAUUUUUCCUAGGGCGCAUGGUCUAAAGUAGAUUUAUGUUGAUUUCUACUUCAUUCUCCAUGUGUUUUUCAUCCUUAAUAUGUGAGCUUGUGGCAUUAAUUCCCCAAGUUAUUUGAACGUCAAUAACUUCAUUGCACUUGAUCUCCUUGCUUCCAUUACUUUCACGAGAUGUCUAGGUUGGCUUAACUUCAUGAUCUAUACCAAAAAAGACUCAAAACAUCUAUGGAGUUGUCUGACCGGUUAUAGAAGAAAGGGAAAUACAACGACCCGAAACCAAACAUUUCAAAUCCUUUCCCAAACCAUGUGAAGCUCACUCUAAAACCUCGUCACUCUACCUCUGUUAAAUCUCUCUCCAGCCUCUGCCAUUAAUGUGAUUGUGAUCAAAACUCGUCAUUAAUGUGAUUGGGAUCAAAAUUCGCACUCUACCUCUGUCAAAUCUCCCGCUAGCCAUAAUGAGUUAUUCCACGUAAAGAACUUCACCAAAGGAGCAUACAAGAUUUAUCAAUUUUACAACUUCCUAAAGAUGCAUCGAUAACCCUAAAACGCCAACCAAGUCGUUCUCUGAGACGGCCUCACCUUCGGUGAGCAUCGUUCCAGCGUACUGAUUCAUUUGGACCACCAAACACUAUGAUACAUCUAGAACUCAUGCACUAGGUCCAUAAGAGGGUUCUUUCCUUCCACUGGUCUCAUGUAGAGCGCGUGGAAACCUUGAAGCCACAAGUUCCCUACGGUCCUUUCAUUUUCUCGGUUCCAAAAGGAAACCCGCAUAACAGGUUUCAACCUCAGACACUAGUACAUUGUUUGAUGGGACAAACGAUCCUCUUCACCGGUGGUGGGGGAAGUUUCUGUCGAAGAUUGAUAUUGUUCGACAAAAUGGCCUACUGACAAAGAAUGUCAAUAAAUGUCUCACAUCCACCACCUUAGCUCCGAAAUUAUUUGUUGUCGAAACAUCACUUUGCAAGGCAAAAUGGAAAGGCUUUAAUGGUUCUAUACCGAAUUUGGUCACAUUGAUGUGAAGCUUUGUAUCCCCCCAUUUAAACCGAUCGGCUGCAACCUGUUGAGCAACCAAUCUGCCUUAUGGACUCCUUCGAAUCUAACGACACCACCAUGUCCAUACCUAGCGAAAAACUCCCCGAGCCUUACUGCGCAGAUGUGUUGUUUGAAAAAGGAGAUACACACUCCCUUUGCACAGCUAACACAUACACCGGCAAGCCUCUCUGCUGCCAACUUGAGGAACACAUAUCGAUCGGAUGGUUAAGCUGGCACUGUCCUUAUCAUACGUUCUUUUAAUUAUGCACCUUGAUCUCCAGGCUAUGUAUUUCCACACGCUCUUUUCCAAACGUGGCGUGAUAUAUGUCUCAUAUUUCUCUUACAACAAGCAUAUUAAAUAGCAUAGUUAUUUAACAUGUUUACAAAGCAUGUAAGUAAAUGUUUCACCACCACAAAGAAAAAGUAUAUUAAUUAUAGCUUAUAUAUGUGUUUUUAUUGUAUUGUUAACCCUUUCCAUUAAUUGAUCAAUUAAUAAUAUCUCUUGGUUAUUCAAAAAAAAAAAAAAAAAAAAAAUCGUGUGGUGGUUUUGGUGAAGGUUAUAACGAUAGUCUUUUUUUUUUUUUUUUUUUUGUCAAAAAAGAAUACAGAUAACUAUGAUAGUCUUAUUUUAAUUAUGGCAAAAUAUUUUUUUUGACAUACAUCAAAGGACUUUUCAACAUCUUAAUGCUCUUACUUAAGUCUCAAGCUUACGUUACCAAGCUCGGCAAGGCCAAAUGUUAAUUGUUGUUUUUCUUAUUAUUAAAAUUGUGUUCCUCUGUCCGAUCGGAUCUAUAUAUCACUUUUUGUAUUUAAUAUAUAUAAUUUUACAUGUAACAAAAAAAAAAUAUAAUUUACCAACAAGCAAAAAUUAAAUGAUUCAAGUAGUAUGAAAUUUCGAUCCUUUAAAAUAGUGGUUUAAGUUCAAUCAUUGGCUUUUGCGUAUGAAAAAAAUUCGAUUCAAAGAGGAAAACUUUGUACUAAUAACACGAUAAUAAAACAUAGUACUUUUCAUAAUUUAAUAUUUCAACUUAUUAAAACAAGAAUAAAUUACAAACAAGAAAAGGGUAAAAAGUUAAAACUUGCUGUGUGCAUGUAACAACAAAGAAAUCUAAAAUUAAACUUAUUGAUAAAUUUGCACCUCUUACUACAUUAGAUGUAUGUUUGACCCUAUGCAGUGGCGGCAAUACCGUUAAAUCUAUGGCAAAAUAUUUUGAACUUAGAUUUAACGAUUUUGCUGCUACUUCACACAGAGAAAUUCAAAUCCUAAUUUAAGAUAUCAUCUAAAAGAGAGUCAAAUUCACAAAUGGUAGAAUCCCAGGAGAAAUCACCGACAGUACUGGGUCCUUCAGCAAGAAAGUUCUCAACAUUUAAUUUGGAAUAUUCCUCUGGUAAUAGUAAAGAGCAUGAUCCAAUUUUGUCAUUGCUCACGUUCAACAAACUCUCCCACCACAUGGAAGACAGUGUUGGAUUUUCAAGAUAUGGUUGUGCAGCACUAUCACCAUCACCAUUAAUUGGUAGAAUAGUAUCUACUUCACUAUCUUUUGCAACAUUACCAUCAUUUGUUGAAACAGUUACUAUUGGUGUCACAAAAUUAUUAUAUUUCCCAUUCAACCAUGGUGAAUGAGAUGAAAAAGUUCGAGGUUGAGGUUUAAUAACUUCAUGAGUUUGCAUGCUUUCUUUAGGUUUCUCAUUUUCUUUCUUUUCUUCUUUUCUUGAAACCAUCUUCUUGCGUAAAUGUGUGUGCCAAUAAUUCUUCACAUCAUUAGCUGUUCUACCCGGGAGUCUUGCAGCAAUCAAUGACCAUCUAUAAAAAUAUAAAAAUAUCAUGCUUACUUACUUCAUACAAUUAAAUUAUUUUUAAAAUAUAGUUUUUUUUUUUUAUUGACAAAAUUCUUAAAAUAUAGUUUAAGUGGUAACAUUCUCUUUUAUAAAAAUCGUGAAAUACUAUUUUAUAACUUGAUGUACUUAAUAUCAACAAUGAUAUUAAACACCCCAACUUUUUAUACAUUCAUUUAAUACUUUAUUAUAUCUCUAGCUUGCUCUUCUUAUCACAUCAUCAACGACAUCGCACUUUUGUUUUCUAUCUUUAUUUCAAGAUGUAUACUAAGUUAUCAUCUACGGUGUAAACUAAACUUUAUCUAUUUAAUAUUGACUUCCUCAUAUUAUAAGACACUUGUCCUUUUUUAUCAAUAUCUCUUGAUCUAAGACACUUAACUAGUAGUAUUAAUCAAAGGUUUAUUUGAAAAAAAAAAAUAUUAGUUCUAUGUACUAUCUAGUAAUUUAGAAUUAGUCCUUUUAAGAGAUAAAAAGACACAUACUUUUUUUAUAUAAAAAAAAUAGCAAGUGAAAUAUUAUUAAUAAAGUGGCAUUAAUUAUAGGGUUAAUUAAGAUUUUAGUCCUAUAAAUAUUCACAGAUUUGUUUUUAGACCUUACAAAAUAAAAUCACACUUUUUAGUCCCUGUGACAUUUUUCUUAAGCACUUUAGGGACCAAAAAUGUUGAUGGAAAUUUUUUACAGGGACUAAAAAUGCUAAUGGAAAAAUUUUAUAGGGACUAAAAAUGCUGAUGAAAUUUUUAUAGGGACUAAAAGAUGUGAUUUUAUUUUGUAGAGACUAAAAAAACAAAACUGUGAAUAUUUAUAGGGACUAAAAACUUAAUUAACCCUUAAUUAUAUAUUGGUCUUUUUCACACCAAUCUUCGAGAAAAUUUGAAUUUUUGACCCUUCAGAUUACAAAACAAACUCCAUGCUGCUAAGCUUACACUUUAUGAACAAAUAAACUUACAUUUAAGGAAACAUAAUAUUAAGAAUAUAAUGUUAACAGCUGAAUUGAAUUAUAAGAAAAUAUUUAAUUAAAUGAUAACUUGGCCUUGGCAUCAUACAUACCUGUUCCCUAAAAGCUUGUGUAACCUUAAAAUCAUAUCAACUUCAUCCUCAGAAAAACUCUCUCUAUUGAUGGUGGGGUUUAAAUAAUUUAACCACCUCAAUCUACAACUUUUCCGGCACCUAUUCAAUCCUGCCAAGUACAUGUAACAAGUAUUUUCACAUACAUAAAGAAAAUGAAUUAUAAGUUACAUUGCUUCUAUGUUAUUAUUCAGUUUAAUUAAUCAUAAGCCAAAUAUACAGUACAAUAAGCAACUUUCAUUAUAUACCUGCUCUUUGUGGAACUAAAUGCCAUUUUCCUUCACCAUACUUCUGCAUACAAGCCUUGAGUAGCUUGUCUUCCUCAUAUGUCCAUGCACCUUUUCUCACACCUCUAGUCUUACACUUCUCCAUAUACACUUGCUUUUGUCCACAGACAAACAAAGGCAUGAGGCUUUUCUUUAGCUAUAUGUGCUUUAAAGGGAAGGUUGCAUAGAUAAGACAAAGAGAGUGAUACUACUUAUCAUUUUCAUCCAAAAAGUGCACACAAUUUUGCAUGUGAAUAUCGUUGUUACACGUCUUAAAUUCAUCACUACUUGUAUUUUUCUAUCUUUCUCUUCUUUUUUCAUCCACUAUCUCAUUUUCAUCCAAUAUAUAUUACAAGCUGUGAAAAAUCUGUGAGGCUAUAAUACGUUCUUCGUAUGCAAUAUAUUCAUUUCAUUUAAUGUCUUGAUCCUUAGUUUUUUUCUUAGUUUAAUAAGUGGUUCUUAUAAUAUUAUUUUGAUUCAUUUAUAUUUUUAUUUAUUAAAUGUCGGAACAGUAUUAUGUACUCCAAUAUAAAAUCACAUAUAUACUACUCUCUAGAUAUCCUAAACAAAAUGUAGUUAAAGUUGUUAGUUAAUUCAUACACCGUCAACUAUUAUAAGCAAAAAAUCAUUAUUUUAUAUUCAUUCAAUUAAUGAUAUAUAUAGUCUUUAUUGUAGACCACAUACAUCAUUUAGUGAAUAAUUAUAAAAUGUUGAUUUUUGCUUAUAAUAAUGAUCUAAUUGUGUAGUAGUCUAGAUAUGAUCAAUUUUGAACUGAUUUGACUAUAAACUCAAAUUUUAGAAGAUUCGGAAUGAAACCGAGUUUACCAAGGGCAAAAGUUAUUAUGCAUAAGUCAUUUCCUUAUGCACCCUGCAUAAACACUUCACAACCAUCUGAUUUAUUUUACAUGUGUAAUAAUCCUAGGUCUAUCAACUUUGAAUUCAGGCACCAACUUUUGUUUAUAAUGGUGAAAUCGAUGAAUCAGUUCAGUAAUAAUCCUGGAGAACGAGAUUCAGUUCAGUAAUGGUGAAAUCGAUGAUUCACCGAUUGAAAUUGAAAAAACCAUGUCUAAGAUGACGUUGUUUUCUGUGGAGGAUUUUCCAAAACCGCUGCUUUUGUUUGUUUACACGCGCCGGCAACGGAAGAGAAGUUCAAUUGAAGUUGAUUGUGAAAGGACGACGUUGAAGAGGAGGAGAAUUGGGAGUAAUAUUGAGUUGGAGGGAUUUGGGAUUGAUUUGAAUUUGAUUGGGAAAAUUGAUGAUGGACCUGGUUUGAGAAAAUGUCGAAAUCAAAUUGGGAAUUUUUUCUGAGAAUUGUGAUUCUGUUGCUAAGAAAUCAAAGUUGGUGCCUGAAUCUGAUGGUUUUGAAUUUUAUUUUUGAUUGUCAUAUGCACCCUACUGGAUCAAAGAAAACCAUUAAGUACAUCUAAUGGUUUUGGAGUACAACUCACAUAAAUCAUUUCCACAGCAAAAUGGUUUUGGAGUACAACUCACAAAAACCAUACCCAUAGCAAAAUCAUUAGACAAUUAUUUUGGUUUCUCAUAGAAGACUAUCAAAACCAUUAAACCAUAAUUAUGGUUUCAGUAAUAAUUUCAGUGUAUAACAUCUUAAUCAUUAUUUAAAACCAUGUAACAAUAAUAAUUUCAUUAAAAAUCAUUACACAAUUAUCUUGGUUUCACAUACAAGACUAUCAAAACCAUUAAACCAUACUUUUGGUUUCAGUAAUCCAUACCCUGAAGUUUGUUUCAAUUCAGCAACAACCCUUUUUGCAAAACAAGUGUAUCGUAUGACGACGAUGGAAAAUGGAAAUUGAUGUGGUGUGUUGUUGUUGUUGAGUGUUCCUCAUUUGAUGUGUUCGUGUCGGUGUCGCCGUGGACACUGGAUUGUUAUGCAAAUGUUGACGGUUACCAAGUUAAGCAUAUGUAUAUAUUGUUUUGCUAAAAGCUUAAUCCAAAAAUUAAAGACUUGUGCAUAUAUGUGUUGCCAUGAUCACAUAUCAGUAAAGUGAACACGUGAAUUGCAGAAAUAAACUGGCCAUUAAUUAAUGAAAAUCUGGUAUCGUGUCGGAGAAGAUGAAGAAACAGAAUUGUGGUUUCGCUUGAAGGUAUAUGAUAAAAUGGGUUGGGGUGUACGAAGCAAUUAUGUUGAGCUAUCAGUUAAUGGAUUGGGAUUUAUGCAGGGUACAUAAAGAUGCCUUAUGCAAGAUAACCGCACCCUUUACUAAGUGGGGUGUUUUAUUGAAUUGAAAUUUUGAUGCCUUUAUGGUAUAAGUGUGUAUGUCAUGUAUUUAUUGUCAUACCUAGCCACGUAGUUACCAUACUUAGCCACAGGAAUGUCCCCGUGUUUACAAAUAGAUCUCUUGAGAAUUUGUUUUGAAUUCUUUACAAAAAGUUCUUAUGUCAUGUAUUUAUUUUGAUGCUUUCUUUUUUAUUUUUUUGUUACAAAUUUUGAUGUAUUUUUUAAGGGCAAUGCUAUCCAAUGUCUUGGGCACUAGUUAAGGAACAAUAUAAUAUGUCCCAUUUAAUUAACCUUAAUUAAAUGAAAAGUUGAUCAACUAAAUUAAAAUAGAAAAUUUUUGUAUUCAAUACUCUUAAAAAAUCAGCAUCAAUAUACACGGGUCAAUACAAGCAUGGAGUGGAAUAUCAACUUAAUUUAUUUGAUCAUAAUGUUUGUUCUUUUAAUAUUAUACUACUAUGUUUUAUCUUUAGAAUUGCAAAUUUAUUUUGGACUUUAUAAUUUCUUGUCUUAGUUUAAUUAUUUCAACAACUUUUAAUAAAAUAAAAUAAAAACAAUAAAAAUUUUCACCGGAAGAAAAAAAAUUCAUGGAAAAGAACUGGUUUGAGGAUAGGUUUUCCCUUGAAUUGGUUUGAAAGAAAAAAAUUAUUGAAGAAAAUUCACGGGAAAAAAAUUGUUGAUACGAAAGGAAGAAAUGGAUUAAAAAAAAAUCAAAAAAUGUUCAUAAGAAAAACAAAUGAAAGGAAUCGCGUGUUGUGUUGUGUUUGUGUAGCUAUCUUUCUAAAGAGUAUUAAAUGCAAUGUUUUCCUAUUUUAAUUAAGUUGACUAAUUUUUCACUGUAAUUGUGGUAAAUUAAAUGGGACACAUUAAUUAUAUUGUUCCUUAUCUCGUGCCUCGGGGGUACUGAUUAGCAGCACCCUUCUUUUAAUGAUGUUUUAUCAUACUUUUUUUUUUUUUGAUAAAAUGUUUUAUCAUACUUAAAAGUUAUACUUUUUAAUGAAGAUAAUGAGAGAGGGGGAGGGAGAGAGAUUUUAUUUUCAAUUCUUUUAAAGAUGUUUUAUUGAUACUGUAACAUAGAAAUGGAAAUAGAAUAUGAUUUAUAAAGAAACGGUAUAUUUUCUAUUUUGAUCAUAAGUUUUUUUUUUUUUUUUUUUAUAAAUUAUUGUCUUUAUAAAUUAUAUAUAAUGAAGAGUGUCAAUGCAUUUUGACCUCCUAACUUUAUACUAGUUACGAUUUUGACUCCUAUUUAAAAAACACAUUUCAGCCCCCUAAGUUUUUCUCAUUUUACAACUUUUAAUUUUGAUCAUUCAAAAUCAAUCAUUUAAGAAAGUAGAAGAUCAAGAAACCAAACCCAAACCAUACCUUUUUCCCUAUAAAUAUGAAACUUGCUCAACAAAACACCCUCUUAUUUUUAUUGUCUUGAAUGAUUGAUAUUGAAUGAUAAAAAAAAAAAAAAAAAAAAAAGAUGCAAAAUGGAGAACCUUACAGGGUUGUCAUGUAGUUUCUUUUAUGGAGAAACUUAGUGUGUUUAAGCCAACAAAAAAAACUAAUGUAUCUUAAUUAUAUCAUAUACUUAAUUUUAAAAAUCUCGCAUUAUGUAUUGUAUCAUACUCAUAUAUACGUAUAUUGGCUUCAUAGCUCAAAUUUAUAUCCACUAAACCACAUUCCUCCUUAGUCUUACAAACGGUAUCCCAUUGAAACCAAACACAUAAUUAGUUUAUUUGUAGAGAUUUGUUAUUUUUUCUUUUCAUUCGACAAGUUUAUAUUUUAAUUUUUCUUUGGCUUAAUGAUGUGUUUUGUCCUUGCAAUUAAGUGUCAUUUAAAAAUUAGUCCCUGUAAUCGCUAAUUCUGGCAAUUUACCCUUGCAUUGUUUAAUCAUUUAAAAUUUCGUCCUUUGACCAACUUAAUCACCGCCAAGUCAUCAAACUAGCAAAAUGGCAUGGAAAUGGACAAAAAUACCCUCGUCUUUAUUAUGAGAAGAAGAUGAAGACAGGGGUAAAAAUAUCAUUUCACGAAUGGAUGACGAUGGUAUUUUGUCCAUUCCCAUGUCAUUUUGCUAAUUUGAUGACGUAGCAGUGAUUAAGUUGGUCAAAUGACGAAAUUUUAAAUGAUUAAACAAUGCAAGGGUAAAUUGCCAGGAUUACUGAUUACAGAGACUAAUUUUUAAAUGGCGCCUAAUUGCAAGGACGAAACACAUCAUUAAGCCUUUUUCUUUCACUACAAGGAACAUUGCCUUUUGCCAGGGGCAAAAUCCCUGUCAAAAGGACAAAAGCCCUGGCAAAUGGGACAUUUGUGAGGGAAAAAACGAGGGGCAGAUGGCCUGGCAAAAGCGCUCAUCGCAAACGCUUUGCCAGGGGCUACACCCCUGGCAGAAAAACGAGGGGCAGAACCCCUGGCAAAAGGCAACGCUUUCUCCCUGGCAGAACCCCUGGCAUGUCCCCUCACUUUCGUCUGCAGCUUUCCUGCACCACUGACACGACUGACACCUCUGCGCCGGCACUGACUGAAGUGACAACAGCAAAAAACGAGGGACAAAGCGAGGGGUUUAACCCCUGGUGUUAUACCCUGUUUUUGGACCUAAAAAUACUGGGCCCAAUUUCAUUUCAAACUUUGUCGAUUAUCAAAUUUCAACUGCACAGUUCAAAUUGUCUCUGCCUCGCAGUAUUUUCAAUCACAAUUUUACCUAUGUUUUUCUUGCAUAAAACCUUUCGAAAUGUCUUUACUUGUCUUGUAAGUCAUUCAAAAGUGUCUCUGAAUCAUUACAUUGCUUUUUCUACAGUUUAUUUCAAAAUUUGCAAAAAGUCAUACAGAAGGGUAUUUUGGUCAUUUCCUGCAGUGGGACCCAUUUUCAUCCUUGUGACUGUCUCUGAGUCUUUUCAGAUUACUUUUAAACAUUUCAUCAGUAAACUUUGUUAAAAUUCAUUUCAAACUUACAUCUGAGUCAGUGUCAAGUCAAUUUGAUUCAGUUUAGGUCGUUUUUAGCCCUAGGGGCAUUUUGGUCAUUUCACAUGAAAUUUUGGCAUGGGGAGGUUACUUUGAAGUACCUCAUUUAGGCCAUUGGUUCGUUUUAGUCCGUUUUGUCAAUUUUAUUUUUGUUUCGCUUUACGUUUGGUCAAAUUACGUUUUUUAUUCAAUUUCAUUUUUAAUUGCAUUUUGGUCCCUCAAUUGAGGUCCCAAAGUUGCAUUUUUAGUCCAGAAUUUUCUUUUUUUUACAUUUCAGUCCUUUUUUGGUCAAUUACAGUUUAGUCCUUAAGUGUUGUUUUUUGCAGAAAAGUCCAUUUUUUGUACAAGGCCGUGUCACUCUUUUUUUUCAGGUCCAGGUGUCACUUUCUCAUUUGUUCAGAGGCACACAUGUCAUGCUAUAAAAGGUGCACAGUGCCACACACGCCAACUCAUAAACACAAAUAAAAGUUUCUUUUUCUCAGCAACUGAAUCAAAAACAGAAAAAUUUCUCAGAUUCAUCAAGAACACCAAGAACAAAACCCUAACCGUUUCCAGAAAGUCACAAAUUCAUCAAGUUUCAGUGUUUUUCGUAUCAAUUCUCAGAGAUUCGUAUGAAUCUUCAUCACUGAAUUGAUUGAUUCUCUGCAAUUCCAAACGCGAGCUCGCAUCAAAGCAAGCUCAAGCGUUGAUCACAGAGAGCCUCUCGCAAAAAAAAAAAUCAAAGAAGCAAGUUCAAACGUAUAAUCAGAGAAAGAAUCGGAGAAGAUGAAGAAACCAAGCCAGUAAACCGAUUUAUUUUCGGUCCAGAGAGAAUCAAAGAACGUUCAAGUUUUCCAAAGAUUUUCUCCUUCAAGAAUCUCAACCAAAUUCAGGUAAAACUCAUUUUUCUCUCUUUAAAAAGUAUAAUCACUGUUAAACCUGCAAACAAGAUCCAAAAAAAAUUUCCAGAAUCAUAAAGAAAAUCAUAACCGUAAACACCAAAACACAAAUCCAUAAGGAUCCAAGUUUUGUAAGCAAGAACAAGCAUCAGAGAAGUAACAAAUACGAGACGAUGUAGAUCCUUAAGAGUAUUGAACGCACGCGUUCAAAACCCUAAAAAAAAAAAAUCAUUUCAAAACCGUUUGGAAAUUCUCCGAUCUACGUCGUUUCAAGCUUUAUUUGUGAAAAUCAAGGUCAGAUUCGUGUUUAGGGUUUAAAGGCGAACAAGAAAAGUGUAAAAAAUUGGAAUUCUGGGUGAUUUGCUCGUCGGAACCCUAACUUCUCACCGGAGAAGAUGAAGUUUCCGGUGGAACCUUCAUCUUCUCCGGCCAACAACCACCGGAGAGAGGUGAGCUGAGAGAGUUUAGAGAGAGAGGCUCUGAACUUAGAGAGAGAAAGAGAGUUUACAAAUGGAAAAAACCGGUGCCAUGCCUUAUAAAUAAGCUAGUGAACCGGACCGGUCCAAGACCGGUCCAGUCCCUUUGUUCCUGGCCGUUUGAUCUAGGGUUUCAGAACCCUGGAUCAAUCGUACGUCCCCUGUGCAUCCGGAUCUUUUGAGUGUGGGCUUUGGUCUGGGCUUAGUUUUUCUGUACGUUUUUUGCUAUUUCCUUGCUAUUUGCACUGCCUGUCUUUGCUACCUGCACCUAUGUCUUGAUUAAAAUUGUGAUAAAAUUCCUAGAAAAAUUAUCACAUGUUUCUUGAUAUUUUCUUAGUGUUUUUAUGACAUUUUUGAACAUUAAGGAUCUAUGAAAUUUUUGUAUAAUUAAUUCAUAGCAUUUUAAUUCUCUUUGAAUUAUUUGUUAUGGAUUCUUCUUCACACAUUUGUCCUUGAUGUGAGAAUAUGUGAUAAAAGCUACUUGAUAUGAUAAUAUGAGAGAUUUGUGCUUAUAAUUUCAUGUUGAUUUGCUGUUUUGAUUUGGUUUAUAAGUUCUUGAUUUUAUGAACAAUAUAUGCAUAUUUUGAAAGAUAUGAAAUGCCAAGUUUAUUCUAGAAAAUAUGGCAUGAAACCAUGCUUGCAUAUUUCCAAUAAUUCCAUGCUAUAACUUGAGAUAAAGAAAACUCUUUCAAAAUUUGUUAGAGCAUGAGAAUUAGAGGCCAAGAAUGCUUUAGGUUUCAUACCUAAGUUUUUAGGGUUUAAUGUCAUUUUGUUAACUUUUUGUGCCAUCUUGCAUGCUUUUAUUUCUUAGUACUUGUUAUGUUUUUUUCUUUUCACUAACAAGUUUAUUUCCAUGUUUCAUGCAUCUCAUUUAGCAUUCCAUCCACCUUCUUUAGUCUAGCAUUUAUUUUUGCAAGUUUUAAUUCAUUUUAGAGAUGUAAUUUACCAUUGGUUUGUAGCUUGGCAAAGAGGCCAUAGAAUGUAUUUAGGAAAUGUUGUAAUAUGGACUAUGGACACUAUGACGCACCGACACGCACACACUCACCUUAGAUGUAUGCAUAGGAUUGUAUGGUUAAAUAAGCGUUUAGGUUUUAAACACUUAGAGAAAAUCCAUCUUUUUUCAAAAAAAACAAUUGAACUUCACUUCAAGAAUUUUCAUAAUAAAUAUGAAGUCAACACUUCAUUUUUUCCCUUUCUUUUUUUCUUAAGGAAAAUUCAAUUCAUCUUAACCAUUUAGACUUUCUUUCUAAUCACUAAACAAACCCCCACUUUUUCAUACUCUAAUGCUCAUGAAGCCUCUCAAUCCCCUUCUUCAAAUCAUUUUCAAAAUUUAAAAUCAAACAAUUAAAACAAAAACAAGUUUUUUAGCAAGAACUACGAACGGUUUUGAUCCCUUAAAAGGGUACGUAGGCAAUGAGUCAAAACUCAUCCAAGCCGAAAUAAAAAAUCAAAGUCUUGCAACUUCUCCCCCCAUUCUUAACUAAAUAAACCUCCCAUUUUCAAAAGUAAGUAAAAAUAAGCGUGAAUAUAGACUUAGGAUAACGGCUCCUAUAGAGGACUAUAGUUACUCCGGGUGCCUAACACCUUCCCGUAGUAAAACCGACCCCCGAAUCCGGAAACUCAAGGGUUUUUCUCCUUUUACCCUUCCCAAGAAAAAAGAGGGAUAUCAACGGUCAAAAGGUUCAAGUCCAAUUAAUGGCUUGGCACCCAAAAACCAUGAUAACAGAAAUGGCGACUUCACUGGGGACCCUUUUUUAGCGGGUCGCGCCUAGUUUUCCUUAGUUUAUAUUUACGCUUUGUUUUAUUGCUUACAUAUGUGAAUACUUGUUUACUUUCAUUUGACGUGUGGGGUGAGAAUAUCAAAAGUCCUAUACCCGGGCUGAGUGAACUUAUGUUUAGGUAGAGAUAUAAUCGACAAUUCGAUCCGGGGGUUGCCUCGUGUAUUGGAUUAUGCGAUCAAUCUCACAUAGCUGAGGCAUUUUGAAGGUGAUAUUGUCGGCGUGUGUUGUCAUGCUUAGGCACUUCACUUUCAAUUGUUCGACGAAGCUAUGAACCGUAGUUACCAAACCCAUCCUAGCCUUUUUAGGACGUAGUGCGGUGGCUAAAUUGAGUGUUGUCUCAAACUUUAGUCGUCACGCGAUACUACACUCAAACUAGACCUUCUCACAAAUAAUCAUGGAACGGGUGUCGUCCUGUACUACCAUGAUAUAUGUGAGAGAGGUUGCAGUUUGGGAACUGUGUUAGAACCUUGGUUACUACUAUCCAAAGCCUUAGUUCACCGGACGCCGUGUCCAUCCGUGGCCCUGUUACUUUGAAUCUCAAUCCACCUUGUUCUUUGUAACUAAACAAAAACAACCAUGCAUACAUGCAUUCAUGCAUAAGUUUUUUUUUUCACGCAUACAUCGAAGAUUUUUUUAGACAGAUCGAAACAUUGUAAGACAUCGCAGGUGUGAACUUGUAUUCAUAAGUUUACCGUUGUAAAACCUUAUUUUGCUUGUUUAACAGUGUUUACAAUGUUUCGAAUUUGUUUAAAAAGUCCUUCGAUGACAUUAAAAAGAGUCGUUUUUGCAUUUGCAUCUGCAUAUCAUGCAUCAUAUGCAUCAUACAUCGGUCACAAAGGCUUCCAAUUGCUCACUACUUCCUGGUUCCUCUGCCACAGUUUGAAAAGUGGCUCGUGCUCAGAAGGUCUACGAACCUGAUAGAAUCGAUCGAACCAGAGAGUACAGAAGAAGGAAAAAGGCUAUGGAAGAAGAGAACGCUCAGCUCCGUACCGAGUUAGCCACUCUAAGGGAGGAAUUGGCUAAAGCUAAUGAUGUCAUGACUGCUCUGCUAGCCGCUCAAGAACAAUCAGCUACGGCUAUCCCUAUAGCCACAGCUGCACCGGUGACUACAAGCGUGCUCCCAACCACAUCUGCAGACGCUCGCUUUGCUAUGACAGCUGGGUUUCCGUAUGGGCUUCCACCGUUCUUCACUCCCAGUACUGCAGCUGGCGUUUCUGGUACUGUCAAUAAUGGCCAGAUUCCUGGGAAGAACCAUGUCUCUGUCAAUACCACCUUGCCUCAGACAACGGCCACUCUGGAUCGAUUGAGCUAUCGGGGAACUCCCUUGGGAAUGAGCACCUUUCUGGUUAAAGCCUUCGACGGAUCCCGUAAGAACAUUCUUGGGGAGAUAGAUCUGCCAAUAACUAUCUGUCCCGAAACCUUUCUGAUCACGUUCCAGGUCAUGGACAUCAAUGCUGCUCAGCUACCUCCGUCGUACACGUAUGCGCAAUACUCUCAGCAUCCCUUCUUUCCACCAUUCUAUCAUCAGUAUCCUUUGCCAUCGGGUCAACCUCAGGUACCCGUUAAUGCCGUCGUCCAGCGAAUGCAACAACAGCCUCCAGCUCAACAACGACAGCAGCAACAGGCUAGACCUACCUUUCCUCUGAUACCAAUGUUAUAUGCUGAAUUACUCCCGACUCUACUUCUCAAAGGGCACUGCACAACCAGACAGGGCAAGCCUCCACCUGAUCCAUCGCCUCCCAAGUUCCGUUCGGACCUCAAGUGUGAUUUCCAUCAAGGUGCUCUGGGUCAUGAUGUCGAAGGAUGCUAUGCUUUGAAACACAUUGUGAAGAAGCUCAUUAACCAAGGAAAGUUGACUUUUGAGAACAACGUCCCUCAUGUCCUCGACAACCCUCUUCCAAAUCACGCUGCUGUGAACAUGAUUGAGGUAUAUGAGGAAGCUCCCGGACUUGACAUCCGUAAUGUUACAACUCCUCUGGUGCCACUACACAUCAAGUUAUGCCAAGCCUCUCUGUUUGACCAUGACCAUGCCAAUUGCCAAGAAUGAUUCUGUAAUCCUUUGGGUUGUUGCGUUGUUCAAAAUGACAUCCAGAGCUUGAUGAACAACAAUCAUUUGACUGUCAGCGACGUCUGUGUGAUUGUGCCAGUCUUUCAUGAUCCGCCCGUCAAGAGCGUGCCUUCAAAAGAGAAUGUUGAGCCUCUAGUGAUAAGGCUGCCCGGACCAGUACCUUAUACUUCUACAAAGGCUAUUCCUUACAAGUACAAUGCCACAUGAAUCUUCUAUAGUGCUGGGUUUGCCAAUGCAAUUACUGAAAAGACGACUGGAUUUGAUCCUAGGCCUAUGUUUGUUAUACCAGGAGGCAUUGCGAGAAAUUGUGAUGCCAUCAACAUUCAUUCAAUCAUGCAUGUUUCCGAAUAAUGUGUCUUGUUGCUUAAGUGUUUUGUUUUUCAAAAUAACCAUCCUCUCGCUCUGCCCGAAGCGAAAGUGAUAUUUCUGGAAGGGCGUGUUUGUUUCGGCAUCGCCGUUAUUAACAAAAAUCGUCGUUUCUUUCACGACUUUUAUUUUUUUAGUGUUUUUUUUUUCUUUUUUUCUUGGAAAUAAUGGUAAUACCAGAAAAAACCAAAACAUCUUUAUUUUUCUUAUCAAUUUCAAAGAACUGCAUAAAAGAAAAAAAAAACCCUUUUCUAAAAUCAUUCAACCAUUCUAUGCAGUUUGAACCAUAAUAAACCCGUUGAACACAGUAAUCCUACGGUUCCUUCAAAUUUUGAAUUCCCUGUGUAUAAAGCCGAAGAUGAAGAGGAUGAUGAUAUACCAUAUGAGAUCACUCGACUGCUUGAGCAAGAAUCAGCCUAUUGUAUGGAACGAUGAAUGCCGGAAGCUUUUGAUAGCAUCAAGAAUUACCUGCUGGAACCACCUAUCCUUGUCCCUCCCGUGGAAGGAAGGCCUUUGAUUUUGUAUUUGUCAGUGUUUGAUGAAUCUGUGGGAUGCGUGCUUGGUCAACAAGAUGAGACUGGAAAGAAAGAACAUGCUAUCUACUAUCUGAGCAAGAAGUUCACCGAUUGUGAAACUCGGUAUACAAUGCUUGAGAAGACUUGUUGUGCUCUAGCUUGGGCUGCCAAACGCCUGCGUCAUUAUUUGGUGAAUCAUACAACUUGGUUGAUAUCCAGAAUGGAUCCGAUAAAGUAUAUCUUUGAGAAAGCUGCUGUUACUGGGAAGAUUGCACGCUGGCAGAUGCUUUUGUCUGAAUACGAUAUUGUGUUCAAAACUCAAAAGGCAAUCAAAGGUAGCAUUCUUGCCGAUCAUCUUGCUUACCAACCUCUUGAUGAUUACCAACCAAUUGAGUUCGAUUUCCCCGAUGAAGAGAUCAUGUAUUUGAAAUCAAAAGACUGCGAAGAACCGUUGAUUGGUGAAGGUCCAGAUCCCAAUAGCAAGUGGGGUUUAGUCUUUGAUGGUGCUGUCAAUGCUUAUGGUAAAGGAAUUGGGGCAGUCAUUGUAUCCCCAGGGGCAUCACAUUCCUUUUACCGCCCGAAUUCUGUUCGAAUGUACCAACAACAUGGCUGAGUAUGAAGCAUGUAUCUUUGGGAUCGAGGAAGCAAUUGACAUGAGAAUCAAACACCUCGACAUCUAUGGAGAUUCCGCGCUCGUCAUCAAUCAGAUAAAGGGUGAAUGGGAGACCCACCAUGCUAAGUUGAUUCCUUAUCGUGAUUAUGCGAGACGUUUGCUGACAUAUUUUACAAAGGUUGAGCUGCACCAUAUUCCUCGUGAUGAGAACCAAAUGGCUGAUGCUCUUGCUACUCUAUCCUCCAUGUUUCGAGUAAACCAUUGGAAUGAUGUGCCAAUAAUCAAAGUGCAACGCCUUGAAAGACCUUCACAUGUGUUUGCUAUUGGGGAUGUGAUCGAUCAGGCUGGUGAAAAUGUGGUUGACUAUAGACCCUGGUACUAUGACAUCAAGCAGUUCUUGCUGAGCCGUGAGUAUCCGCCGGGUGCUUCCAAACAAGACAAGAAGACCUUGAGAAGAUUGGUCAGUAGAUUCCUGUUAGAUGGAGAGAUUCUGUACAAGAGAAACUAUGACAUGGUAUUGUUAAGAUGUGUUGAUGAACAUGAAGCAGAGCAGUUAAUGCAUGAUGUACAUGACGGUACCUUCGGGACCCAUGCUACAGGGCAUACUAUGUCAAGAAAGUUGUUACGAGCAGGUUAUUACUGGAUGGCUAUGGAGCAUGAUUGCUACCAGUACGCCAGAAAAUGCCACAAAUGUCAAAUCUAUGCUGAUAAGAUCCAUGUGCCUCCGCAUGCUCUCAAUGUUAUUUCAUCCCCAUGGCCGUUCUCAAUGUGGGGCAUCGACAUGAUUGGAAGAAUUGAACCGAAGGCUUCAAAUGGUCAUCGUUUCAUCUUAGUAGCAAUUGACUACUUCACCAAGUGGGUUGAAGCAGCAUCUUAUACCAAUGUGACCAAGCAAGUGGUAGCUAAGUUCAUCAAGAACAACAUCAUAUGUCGAUAUGGUGUUCCCAGCAAGAUUAUUACCGACAAUGGUACCAACCUGAACAACAAUGUGGUGCAAGCUCUUUGUGAAGAAUUCAAAAUUGAGCAUCAUAACUCUUCUCCCUAUAGACCUCAGAUGAAUGGUGCAGUUGAGGCCGCCAACAAGAAUAUCAAGAGAAUUGUCCAGAAGAUGGUAACCACUUACAAGGACUGGCAUGAGAUGUUACCCUAUGCUCUGCAUGGCUACCGUACUACUGUGCGCAGUUCAACCGGGGCAACCCCUUUCUCUCUUGUAUAUGGUAUGGAAGCAGUUCUUCCUUUGGAAGUGGAGAUCCCGUCCCUCCGUGUGAUCAUGGAAGCAAAGUUAUCUGAGGCUGAAUGGUGCCAAAGCCGGUAUGACCAGUUGAAUUUGAUUGAGGAAAAACGUAUGGAUGCCAUGGCUCGUGGACAUUCAUAUCAAGCCAGAAUGAAGACUGCUUUUGACAAGAAAGUCAAUCCUCGAGAAUUCAAGGUAGGGGAACUUGUUUUGAAAAGGAGGAUAAGCCAGCAACCCGACCCAAGGGGCAAGUGGACGCCUAACUAUGAAGGUCCUUAUGUUGUCAAGAAGGCCUUCUCCGGUGGUGCUUUAAUCCUUACACACAUGGAUGGUGUAGAACUUCCAAAUCCAGUGAAUGCUGAUAUAGUCAAGAAAUACUUUGCCUAGAAAUAUGAAAAGAACAGCGUGGUAGGUCGAAAACCCGAAAGGGCGGCCUAGGCAAAAAUGCGCUUCCCGGUGGAUCGAAAACCCGAAAGGGCGGUCCAGGCAAAAAUAAGGGACAAAAAACAAAUAUGAAAAAGCUCGCUGAGAUUGUUCGCAACUCAGGCAAAAAUGAGCGUCUCGAUGAAUCGAAAACCCGGAAGGGCGGUUCAUGCAAAAAUGAGAUUGAAGCAAAAGGCAAGUAACUAUAUCUGGCUAACCACCGUCCCCUUGGGGCAUCUGCAGCUGUUAAUGACCAUCUUCAUCAAAAGCUCCUACACUUGCGAAUUCAAAGUUUCCAGGAAAUGUAAUGAUUACUGUGUUCAAUGUACCACCAACCAAUAAAAUUACCAUUUUCCAAGCUUUGUGAAUCCGUGGAGUCAUGCCUUUGGCUGACCACCACUCUUAUACAUCAAUUUGAGCCUUUGCUUUUGUUUGAAAACUCUAUUUUUUUUCCACUUUCAAAGCUAUAUACAAAACAUUUUCUUUCUAUUUUGAUAAUGACAAUGCUUGAAACAAACAUUUUGAAAAUUGAAAACUUUUUGUCUAUUUUGAAAAGCAAACCUGAGCAACAGGGUACAUUCAAAUGAAACAUGCAUGAGCGAGAGUAUGUUGAUGUCUAUUUCAAUAUAUGUUACAAGCAGGUUCUCCUCCGGGAUAGUCUGUGGUCAAUGGCAAGAAUGAAAAAACAGAAUGAAAAUGCAUGAAAAUAAAUGAGCUCGCUAAGUUGAAAACCCGAAAGGGCGGCUUAGGCAAAAAUGAGCACCCCGCUGGAUUGACAACCCGAAAGGGCAGUUCAGGCAAAAAUGGGGCAUUGAAAAGAAUUUAUCUCCCCGGUGGAUCGAAAACCCGAGAGGGCGAUCCAGGCAAAAAUGGGAUGCAAAAAAAUAAAAAUGAGAAUAUAACAUGCAAAAAGCAUUGACCACAGAUGCAAUGUCUACAACAUGCCCAGCACAACGGCAUUUUCCCCAGUCAGGUCUUCCAAGAUUCUAUCUCCAGCAAGUUGCAUAUCUACCUGCCCUCAGCCUAGGUCCCGAUACGUCUCCCAACGACGUCAUCUCCAAAGAGGAUUUCCAAGAAUGUGUAAUAUAGCACGAGCCACUACGUGCCCAAUACUCUAACGUCUUGUCUUCCCCGUGAAGUCGUGCCUACAAACUGCCAACAGUCAUGCAUUACAAGCAUUCAUACAUGCAUAAUCAUGCAUAUUACGUGCCCAUGCAUUUAAUGAAACUGUUAUAUCAUCCAUACAUAUUGCAUUUCCAAUAUCAAUAUCAGUCUCAAUUCAAAACUCAUGACAGGUCCUUUGUCAAAACCUUGUGAGCCAAUAAUAUCGGUCAAUUUCUACCUUUCAAAUCAAAUCGACGUCAAGUCAAUCUCAAUCUAUAUUUGGUCAAAUAAAAACCAAUCCCCAGUGAAUAUGUUUCUGUUCGGUCAAGUGGCUAGUUCAAGUCCAAGAACAGCUUGUACCUAUCAAUUUGCUUAUGUUGUCGGUCGAGUGCCCAGCUCAAUCCAAGAGCAGCUUGUACCUGUCUAUCUGUUUCUGUCCGGUGGAGUAACCAGUUCGCGUCCAAGAACAAGCUCGCACCUGUCUAUUUGCCUUGCUUUCAGUCGAGUAACUAGUUCGAAUCCUUAAGAACAACUCGUACUUGCCAAUUUUCUCUUUUUCCCAGUCGAGUCACCAGUUCGAAUCCAUAAGAACAACUCGCACUUUCCAAUAUCCCCAAGUGAGUCACCAGUUCGAAUCCAUAAGAACAACUCAUGUUUGUCCAGUAACCUCUAUCCCCUGCGAAGUGACCAGUUCGAAUCCAUAAGAACAACUCGCAGUUGUCUGUUUGUUUCAUCCCCGGUCAAGUGGCUAGUUUGAAUCCAAGAACAGCUUGUACCUGUCCAACUUGUUUCUAGUUUCCCGUUGCUCUGCUAUUCACUAUCUUUGUCAAUGUCUACCAAUCCCGCAAUGGAUACGACAUAUUUUGUUAAUUCCCAUCCCCAUGAGGUCUUGCAUUCAUAAUCCAAAUGAUGCAUGGCAUGCAUAUUAUUUGAAAAUGGGUAGGCGUAUUUUUACGUCCAAACACAGUGCAAAUGCUAAUAUUUAAGUAUCUUCGUCCUGUCAAGCCAAAGACUCCGUCUCUUGACUCUCCAGACAAAGAAACUUAAAUAGGGGCAGCUGUUAUACCCUGUUUUUGGACCUAAAAAUACUGGGCCCAAUUUCAUUUCAAACUUUGUCGAUUAUCAAAUUUCAACUGCACAGUUCAAAUUGUCUCUGCCUCGCAGUAUUUUCAAUCACAAUUUUACCUAUGUUUUUCUUGCAUAAAACCUUUCGAAAUGUCUUUACUUGUCUUGUAAGUCAUUCAAAAGUGUCUCUGAAUCAUUACAUUGCUUUUUCUACAGUUUAUUUCAAAAUUUGCAAAAAGUCAUACAGAAGGGUAUUUUGGUCAUUUCCUGCAGUGGGACCCAUUUUCAUCCUUGUGACUGUCUCUGAGUCUUUUCAGAUUACUUUUAAACAUUUCAUCAGUAAACUUUGUUAAAAUUCAUUUCAAACUUACAUCUGAGUCAGUGUCAAGUCAAUUUGAUUCAGUUUAGGUCGUUUUUAGCCCUAGGGGCAUUUUGGUCAUUUCACAUGAAAUUUUGGCAUGGGGAGGUUACUUUGAAGUACCUCAUUUAGGCCAUUGGUUCGUUUUAGUCCGUUUUGUCAAUUUUAUUUUUGUUUCGCUUUACGUUUGGUCAAAUUACGUUUUUUAUUCAAUUUCAUUUUUAAUUGCAUUUUGGUCCCUCAAUUGAGGUCCCAAAGUUGCAUUUUUAGUCCAGAAUUUUCUUUUUUUUACAUUUCAGUCCUUUUUUGGUCAAUUACAGUUUAGUCCUUAAGUGUUGUUUUUUGCAGAAAAGUCCAUUUUUUGUACAAGGCCGUGUCACUCUUUUUUUUCAGGUCCAGGUGUCACUUUCUCAUUUGUUCAGAGGCACACAUGUCAUGCUAUAAAAGGUGCACAGUGCCACACACGCCAACUCAUAAACACAAAUAAAAGUUUCUUUUUCUCAGCAACUGAAUCAAAAACAGAAAAAUUUCUCAGAUUCAUCAAGAACACCAAGAACAAAACCCUAACCGUUUCCAGAAAGUCACAAAUUCAUCAAGUUUCAGUGUUUUUCGUAUCAAUUCUCAGAGAUUCGUAUGAAUCUUCAUCACUGAAUUGAUUGAUUCUCUGCAAUUCCAAACGCGAGCUCGCAUCAAAGCAAGCUCAAGCGUUGAUCACAGAGAGCCUCUCGCAAAAAAAAAAAUCAAAGAAGCAAGUUCAAACGUAUAAUCAGAGAAAGAAUCGGAGAAGAUGAAGAAACCAAGCCAGUAAACCGAUUUAUUUUCGGUCCAGAGAGAAUCAAAGAACGUUCAAGUUUUCCAAAGAUUUUCUCCUUCAAGAAUCUCAACCAAAUUCAGGUAAAACUCAUUUUUCUCUCUUUAAAAAGUAUAAUCACUGUUAAACCUGCAAACAAGAUCCAAAAAAAAUUUCCAGAAUCAUAAAGAAAAUCAUAACCGUAAACACCAAAACACAAAUCCAUAAGGAUCCAAGUUUUGUAAGCAAGAACAAGCAUCAGAGAAGUAACAAAUACGAGACGAUGUAGAUCCUUAAGAGUAUUGAACGCACGCGUUCAAAACCCUAAAAAAAAAAAAUCAUUUCAAAACCGUUUGGAAAUUCUCCGAUCUACGUCGUUUCAAGCUUUAUUUGUGAAAAUCAAGGUCAGAUUCGUGUUUAGGGUUUAAAGGCGAACAAGAAAAGUGUAAAAAAUUGGAAUUCUGGGUGAUUUGCUCGUCGGAACCCUAACUUCUCACCGGAGAAGAUGAAGUUUCCGGUGGAACCUUCAUCUUCUCCGGCCAACAACCACCGGAGAGAGGUGAGCUGAGAGAGUUUAGAGAGAGAGGCUCUGAACUUAGAGAGAGAAAGAGAGUUUACAAAUGGAAAAAACCGGUGCCAUGCCUUAUAAAUAAGCUAGUGAACCGGACCGGUCCAAGACCGGUCCAGUCCCUUUGUUCCUGGCCGUUUGAUCUAGGGUUUCAGAACCCUGGAUCAAUCGUACGUCCCCUGUGCAUCCGGAUCUUUUGAGUGUGGGCUUUGGUCUGGGCUUAGUUUUUCUGUACGUUUUUUGCUAUUUCCUUGCUAUUUGCACUGCCUGUCUUUGCUACCUGCACCUAUGUCUUGAUUAAAAUUGUGAUAAAAUUCCUAGAAAAAUUAUCACAUGUUUCUUGAUAUUUUCUUAGUGUUUUUAUGACAUUUUUGAACAUUAAGGAUCUAUGAAAUUUUUGUAUAAUUAAUUCAUAGCAUUUUAAUUCUCUUUGAAUUAUUUGUUAUGGAUUCUUCUUCACACAUUUGUCCUUGAUGUGAGAAUAUGUGAUAAAAGCUACUUGAUAUGAUAAUAUGAGAGAUUUGUGCUUAUAAUUUCAUGUUGAUUUGCUGUUUUGAUUUGGUUUAUAAGUUCUUGAUUUUAUGAACAAUAUAUGCAUAUUUUGAAAGAUAUGAAAUGCCAAGUUUAUUCUAGAAAAUAUGGCAUGAAACCAUGCUUGCAUAUUUCCAAUAAUUCCAUGCUAUAACUUGAGAUAAAGAAAACUCUUUCAAAAUUUGUUAGAGCAUGAGAAUUAGAGGCCAAGAAUGCUUUAGGUUUCAUACCUAAGUUUUUAGGGUUUAAUGUCAUUUUGUUAACUUUUUGUGCCAUCUUGCAUGCUUUUAUUUCUUAGUACUUGUUAUGUUUUUUUCUUUUCACUAACAAGUUUAUUUCCAUGUUUCAUGCAUCUCAUUUAGCAUUCCAUCCACCUUCUUUAGUCUAGCAUUUAUUUUUGCAAGUUUUAAUUCAUUUUAGAGAUGUAAUUUACCAUUGGUUUGUAGCUUGGCAAAGAGGCCAUAGAAUGUAUUUAGGAAAUGUUGUAAUAUGGACUAUGGACACUAUGACGCACCGACACGCACACACUCACCUUAGAUGUAUGCAUAGGAUUGUAUGGUUAAAUAAGCGUUUAGGUUUUAAACACUUAGAGAAAAUCCAUCUUUUUUCAAAAAAAACAAUUGAACUUCACUUCAAGAAUUUUCAUAAUAAAUAUGAAGUCAACACUUCAUUUUUUCCCUUUCUUUUUUUCUUAAGGAAAAUUCAAUUCAUCUUAACCAUUUAGACUUUCUUUCUAAUCACUAAACAAACCCCCACUUUUUCAUACUCUAAUGCUCAUGAAGCCUCUCAAUCCCCUUCUUCAAAUCAUUUUCAAAAUUUAAAAUCAAACAAUUAAAACAAAAACAAGUUUUUUAGCAAGAACUACGAACGGUUUUGAUCCCUUAAAAGGGUACGUAGGCAAUGAGUCAAAACUCAUCCAAGCCGAAAUAAAAAAUCAAAGUCUUGCAACUUCUCCCCCCAUUCUUAACUAAAUAAACCUCCCAUUUUCAAAAGUAAGUAAAAAUAAGCGUGAAUAUAGACUUAGGAUAACGGCUCCUAUAGAGGACUAUAGUUACUCCGGGUGCCUAACACCUUCCCGUAGUAAAACCGACCCCCGAAUCCGGAAACUCAAGGGUUUUUCUCCUUUUACCCUUCCCAAGAAAAAAGAGGGAUAUCAACGGUCAAAAGGUUCAAGUCCAAUUAAUGGCUUGGCACCCAAAAACCAUGAUAACACCUGGCAAAUGUCCAUAUUUUUUUUUAAAAAAAUAUUAUUUUAAUGAAAACGUUUUUUUUUUAUUAAUUAAUAAAAUAUAUUUAAAUUAAUUUAAAAAUCGUUUUUUUUUUAAUUGUUUUUUGUAAUACAAUUAAAUGGUUAAAAAAUCAAUUUAAUUAAAAAAUAUAUAUUUAAAAAAUUAAUUUUUUUUAAAACACAAUUAAAUGCAUAUCAAUAAAGUUUAAUCACACAAACACUAAUAAAUCUAAUUAAAAUGCAUGAAAUAGAAAGUGUACUUAAUAAUAUUACAAACCGUGCAGGAAAAUAAAUAUUGUGCCGGGAAGCAUGGAAAACCUCCCAAAAUCAUACAAACCAUAAUAUAAUAGUAAAGAAAACACACAACAAGCAUCAUAAGCAUCAAUCAUCCAUCUCGAGGUCGUCGACAUCAUCAUCCUCUUCGCCCUCACCAUACACUUCAUAGGGGUCAUCCGCAUCAUCAUCACACACUGGAGGAGCCCUCACACUCUCUCGGCUUCCACUCUGCUGCCCAACACCUUGCUCAUUCAUAUUCCAGCCUUGCUCUUGCCUAAAUGUGUCCAACUGAGAGUCUAGGAAUUCUCGUUGCUUCCUAACCACCUCAUGGAUCAGGUCCUGCUGGGUUUGCAUAUGGGCAGCAAGCUGUUCUUGAGUCAACCUAGUGAUCAGAUCCCGCAUUUCUGGAGUGAGCUCAGGUUGCCGAGAAGAGCCCUCCCCAGCAUUAAGGGUCAACUUUAGAGUGGUAGCAACACCCUUGCGGUAGUUUCCAGCUAGGUUUCCUGCACCGUACAAUCGCCCCUUCUUCUUCUCACCAGCAACUUUCGUCCAUGCACGAAGUGUGAGAGCUUCAUCAACAGAGCAUCCACGGGAGAGCGCCUCCGAUAGCUGACGAUCAUACUCCUCCUAAAAUAAAUAAGAAUAAAAGUAGAAAAAGAUAAAUAAACAUUAACAAAAAAUUAUAACCACUAAUAAAAUUAAUUAAAAUAGACUUAGGUAACAAUUACCUGGCAUAUCUUGGAGCGAUCAUCAACAUACUGGCCUGAUCGAUAUGUGUGGGUCUUCUUGUGGAGCUCAUUUAUGUAUGGCUCCCUACCCAGCUUCUUUGCCUAAUUGACAAGAAACACAAUUAUUAAUUAGUUAGUAAAACAUUAAACUACAUUUAACCACAAAAUAUUUAAAAACAUACAUUCUAUAAAAUUAAUUAACAGAGUUAUUAUUUUUAAUUACCAGUCGACGGGCAUGCUCUGCUGUGCUUAUGCAGCCUCCCGUGUGGAUGCAUCCCCCUUUCUCUGAUGCUCUGUUCUUCUUUGCCUUCUCUGAUUUCGCCUUAAACUCUGGACUCCCCCAAUAGUCCACCAACUGCCUCAUAAGUGGCUCCCCGAUCCAGUAGGGCCUCUUUCCAGCAGUUUCGUGACGAAGUCGGACAUGUCGCAACAUGUCGGAGAGGCGGGCAGAAGCUCUAAUGUGAAAGUUCCUCCUUAUCUGAGCAUAGUACCUGGGGUUCCAGGUACACUUCAUCUGCAUAUUUGUUAACAUAUUUUAGGAAAUUAGUAAAUUAUAACAUAUGUGCAGAUAAGUUAAAAUAUAUUAUGAUAGGUAUUAAUGUUACCUCAAAAAGACCAAACCAUGCAUCCUUUUCAUCAUCUGGGAUAUCACCAUAAGUCUUCCAAAAUCCAUGAAACCUUCCCUGGAUGAUGUCUCUAAUGGCACUGGCGGCUGGCUUGCAGGGCAUGAAACUACAAACAAUAAAAACUCAUAUAGUUAAACAUUACAUAAAUUUAUAACAAUAUACAUAUUGAACAAAAAUACAUAAAGACUUACGAGUUCCUGCUAGGCACAAUGAUGUAACGCUCUUGUUCAUCUUGCGGAUAAUCUGCCAUCUCCUCAUCAUCAUCAUCAGCACCCUGUUGGGGUUGGGGUUGGGGUUGGGGUUGGGGCGGGGGUUGUUGAUGUUGGGGUGGCGGGGGUUGUUGAUGUUGAGGGAUCAUAAAGCCGGUCUGCCCAUGAGGAAAUGAUGGUGGAGGAGGCAACUGGUAACCUGUAGGGAGGAUAAAACCAACAGGUGCAUAGGCACUAGCUUGGGAUGACCCAGUCGAUCCCUGGCUAGAAGAAGAAGGUUGUCUGGGAAAGGGAGUCAGUGUGGCAAGUGUGGCUGGAUCCGCAAUGUGUGUUGUGAACCGCCUCCUGGGGUCCUUGCUCUUGCCUUUCUCUUUUUGUUUCGGAGGCAUUGUGAAUCUGUUAAAUAACAAAAAAAGUUAUAUUGUAAAGGACUCAAAUAUAUAUACAUCAUUAAAUAAGCGAUAUCUUCAUUCAAACUCAAAUGUAUUCAAGAUUACAAUAAAUUCAAAUUCAAUCAUUACAAGGGUGGAUAACAAUAUACUUCAAGUGUUGUUAUCAGACGCAUAGUUAUAUUCAUCUACAUCACCAUCAUCAACUUGAUUGUCUUGCUGGUCCCCUUCAUUAUUAUCAUCAACAACGUCUUCAUUCUCAUCUUCAACUUCAUCACGCAUCUCCAAAAUAGAAGGAUCAACCUGAUCCCCUUCAACGUGAGAGUCUUGCCAACUUGUCACUUGAUCUACUUCAAUUAUCUCAUUUACAUGUGUCAUAUCAUCGGCUUGGUAAGCAACUUCUUCGUUUGGUUCUUCAGUCUCGAUGCGGCCCCUCGGUUUUGUUUUGAUUGCAACAGACCAACCUCGUUUGCGUGGUAGAGUUGGGGGAUAAGGAACAUAGUACACUUGCCUAACAUUGUGUGCCAUGAUAAUUCGACUUAUGAGAUAAAAGCCACACACACAUAGAUAGCUUAGAGUGCGAAGACCCUUCAUACAAAGGUGUAUUACUUUCACUCAACAAUCGGUAAAAUCUUUGCGCCUUCUCAUUCGGGGGUUGUUCCUCUUCAUCAUCUUCAACAUCUUCACCGUAAGACAAUUCCACCCCUAAAGCAUCCGCAACCAUAUCAUCCAUCAUGUUGAAUUGUUCUGUGUUGACAUCUUCAUUGUAUUCCACAUUUGUUUCCACAUUUGUUUCACCAUGGCUAGUAGAAGCUUGUGCAUUGACCCCUACCCCAAAAUUCUGAAACAUUUCACCAUUAUAUGUCCAAACCCAAUAAUUAGGCAUAAAACCAACUUUUUUUAGGUGUUUCUUCACAUCUCCAGGAUCGGUAAUUAUAUGUCUACACCUACAUUUUAGACACGGACAUCUAAUUCCUCCCUCAUCUCUACAUAUUUCUUGCUCCCAUGCCCAUGAAAUAAAUCCGUCAACUCCUUCGACAAAUUGCGGUUUUAGUCCAGUUCUUCUCGGAAACGUCCUAUCGUACAUCCAACGACGAUAAUAUUCAUAAUACUCCAUCUUCUACACGUUCCGCAACUUCAUUGACAUAUUCCACGUCGUCAAAAAUAAAUUAUUACUCGACGGAGAUAACUAACAUUACGCGCAAAAAAAAAAUCCCGCUCAAACAAUAAAAUAUAAGUUUACGCGCAAACAAAUUAAAUUUUUAACUCGCAAAUUAAACAUAUAAUAAUUAAUUAUUAAAUAAUUGUAACAUAGUUUUAAUUUUCAUCGAUAAACAACUUUCUUGUACUAUACUAUUUUUGAGUCCCUCCUUUUUAAACAAUAUGCAUUAUUAUAUUAUAUUGUUUUAUUUUAUAAAAAUAAUAAUUAUAACAUUUUAGACACGAAUAUCAAACAUAUUUUAAUUUAUUAAAAAAAAUUACAUUUUAACAAAGUUUUAAUUUUAAAAAAAAAACUGAUUUUUAAUACACUAUUUUAAUAAAUCGUUUUCCAAGAACUUUUUAGUGUAGUAUUUUUUAUGUAGUAUUUUUAUUUUCCUACGCUUUAAUUAGUUUUAAUUUAUAAAAAUAAUAAUUAUAACAUAAUUAUAAUUUCAAUAUAAAAACAGAUUUUUAAAUAUAAAAACAUAUUUUAAUUUCAUAAAAAACAGCAUUAGGAUUAAAAAUCUGUUUUUAUAAUUUAAAAACUGGUUUUUAUAUGGUAUUAACUAAACUAAAUUAUAUUUAUAAAAACCAGUUAUUAAAAUUUUAAAAAAAUAUAUAUUUUUAAUAACAGAUUUAGUUUAACAAACAAUUUUACUUUUAAAACAAUAUUCCCUUAUUUUGUUAUUUUAAAACAGUACCGAAAGGUACACUUGCUAAAAUUAAUUAAAUUUGUCCUAUUUUUCUUUCUUAUUUUUCUUUUAAACAAUUAAAUAAGUUUAUUAUUUAAAAAAAAUACAGAAUAUAAGCAAUAAGUGUUUGACCAUAUUUUUUUUAACAUUCUACUACAACAUACAUAUAUAUUACAUUUUAUAAAAAAAAAAAAAAAAAAAAGACAGCAUGCAUAUAUUUCAUUUUAUCACAAUAAAAACAACAUGCAUAUAUUUCAUUUCAUCACAAAAAAUAAACAUGCAUAUAUAUAUUUCAUUUUAUCACAACAAAUAAAAAAACAUGCAUACAUAUAUAUAUUUCAUUUUAUUACAACAAAUAAAAAAACAUGCAUACAUUUCAUUUUUUCACAAAAAAAGCAUGGAUAUAUUUCUCAAAUUCGAAUAAAUAAACCAACAAUAUUCAUGCAUAAUAAUAUAUAUGAAGAAAAAAAAAUUUACAUGAUUAUAUUAAAUAUUUUAAAUUUUCGGAAAAAAAAAAAUACCAAACAGUCAUCAUAUAUUUUUACAACAUAUCAUCAAAAUGUAUAAUUUUUAGGCCAAAAAAAUUACCAAACAGUCAGCAUAUAUUGUUAUGAGGAAAAAAAAUCACUAACUUGUUGAAGCUUUACACUAGAAGAUCUCCAAUGCAAUCCAAAAACAACAACAGUUGAAGCAAUAACUGACCACAGGAGGCAGAUAAGUAACACAACUGCAAAUAACAUAGAAAAUAGAUAAGAUUAAUAGGUGUUAAAAAUUAAUAUCAUGAUAAAACAUAUAAGAAAUGAAGUAUUUUUUACCAAAGAAAUGAAGUUUGAUGAAAGUGUUGAGUUUUAAGAGAAGAAAAUUUUCUAACUUGCUUCCCUGAGACCGGUGCAACUCUUAUAUAGGGAGGGGAAAAAGCCACGGCUUCUGCGACGGCCUGACCCCUGGUUUAUCCGGUCAAAUCCUACCCAGCUAGGCGCAGCGAUAGGGCACAGAACGGCUUGCAAAAAGCCACGGAUUUAUGCAAUUUCCGACGGGUUCUGCCCCUGGCAAGCCUGCAGCACAUCACCUUUCCCAGGCCCUUGUCAAGUCAACUGAAAAAGCAGCAGGAAUCUUUGAAAACGCGUGCAUCCGAGGGGCUUUCCCUCGCAUAAGCCCUCGGUUUUUUUCUGAAAUUGCAGAAUUUGCACAGCUUUUGAAAUUUCAAACUGGCGCCUAAAUGUUUGCCACGGCUUUGGACAAAAAACGAGGGGCAAAGUCCCUGGCUUUUUUGCCAGCGGUUGUCCCUGGCAUUUUCCCUGGCAAAUUUGCCAGGGGUUUCAAACCUUGACAAAAUCCCUGGCAAAACGCAAUGUUUCUUGUAGUGUUUUGGAGAUGAAAAUAAAUGGGGAAGCACGUGUCAAAUUGCUCCGUAUGCCUUUAACGUGCAUGCCUUGUAUCCACAUAAUCAUCAUAUUUAUAUUCAUAAUAAAAUGCAUGUGUCCUUUCACUUCUUGUAAAUUGUUUAAAAGAAGACAAUUGAUAGUUAAACGUAAAAACCUGUACAAUUGCAUCAAGUUUCUAAUGCAGUAAAUAAAAAAGUUCAUCCAUGAUGAUUUUCAAGUUUUUUUUCGUGAAGGAUAUGGAUCUGUAGUCUGUAGGACAAGGUUUUACAACUCGAGAGUUUACCUCAACUCGUUUUAGCUAUGUAAACUCGAAUCGUAAACUCGUACGAGUUUACCUAAAAUUAAAAUUAUAUAAAAUUUAUUAUAUAUAUAGCAUAUUUAAGCUAAUACAGUAUUUAAACAAAACAUAACCAAUUAACCACAUUUAAAUAAUAAACUCUAACAAUAAAAAACAAAAUUUAUCAGUACAUUUAAACUCUUUUUCAUCUUCAGUUGUAACUUUAACUUCAAUUGUUUAAUUUUCUCAUUUAAAUACUUGAGCAAGUAAUAUAUUUGAAUGAUGUCAAAUCAAUAAAUAAUAACAAGCUUCUGAAUGCAUUCCUUAAAAUUCAAUGUAUGUCGUUGUCACGCAUUGGCGUAGCUUCUAUACAUAACAAGCAUGGAAAAACCGAGUUAUGUUAACCGUAAAGGCAACAUUUCAGCACCUUGGGAUUGAAAAAAGAAUUGAAUUUUGAAAGAAAAUGAAACAAAAAAAAAAUAACCAAAAAUAAAAAAUAAAAAAAUUCAAAGGUAAAUUCGUAAACUCGGACGAGUUUACUCCGAGUUUACACGAGUUUAACACGUGUUAACUCGGUCAAACUCGUCAAACUUUCCGAUUUCAUCAAAAAUCGAGUUUACCUCCGAGUUAACACGUUUUUGCCACCUAAAAACGUAAAUUCGAACGAAUUUACGUGUUAACACUCGAUUUGUGCAACAGUGCUGUAGGAAAGCACGUAUCAAAUUGCUCCAGAGGCCUUUAACGUGCAUGUCUAUUAUCCACACAAUCAUAUUCAUAAAGAUGCAUGUUUCGUUUGACUUCUAGAAGUAGUAAUAUAAACAAAUUGUUAAAGAGAGCCCCAAGAAAAGUGACUGAUAAUGAUAUAUAAUAAUGAAAUCAAUCAUUUUGGCAACAAUAAAGUCGAUUGUUUGUUUGUGUAUAUGAUGAUGUGAAUGUGAUACUAUGUGGGACUAGUUUUGCUUAUAGUCAUGGACAGACAUGAGUACUAGCUUGGGAGGGUCCUUAUCGAUCGGAUACAUUUUCCACAGUUCUAGCUUGUGAGUACAUGCAUAGUGAUUAACGGACAAAUGAAAGGACAAAUGUCACUCAUUAUAGGCAUGGACCUAUCUAUCUAAUAUAUGUUUAAUUUCAAAAUAUUUUCUGAUGAAAAUAUUUUAUUUUAUGCUCAGUGUUAUGUAGAAAGUGUCCGUGGUAUGGUUUGCAUGCACGUCAAUAUGGUUAUGAAUGUGUUUGUCAAAAUAUGCAUUGACCUUUCCGCCUCUAAAUUCUAUUUCAAAAUUUCAAACGGUAUACAUUACUUUUGGAAGAAAUAAUAUUUGUAUAACUAUUUUUGUACAACUUCUGUAUAACUUUCUCUCUCAUACUUGCAUCAUCUUCUAAUUCUCUUUUUUCUUUUUUCUCUCUCCAUUGUUUUUGACAAAUGAAAAGAUAGCACAACAAGGUUGUCCCAAAAGUUGUAGUAAAAAAAUUGUUCAAAUAUCAUUGCUCUUUUGGUCAUUUUUUUUAUGUACUAUUAUUGUUAACUUUUUACUAAUAUUUAAGAGUUUAACUUGGUACUUAUUUACUACUUGAAGCAAUAACUUGAUACAAAAACAAUUCAAUGAUUUUAAUGUUUUAAUAUAACAAUUUAUUGAUUUUCUUUUUUUAUUCAAAAAUCAUCAACAUUUAUUUAUAUAUAUACAAAAAAAAAAUUAUUAACAUGAGUGGAAAGACAAACAAAAACAAUAAAUUAUGUCGUUAAAUCUUUUUGAAUGGCAAAACUAAUCAUCGUAAACACUCAUUCAUAUACUGAAGUGUGUUUUAUCCAUACUACAUAAUUUAGUGAGAGAGAUUGCAAAUGUCAUAUUGAUCACUAAGUGAUGCUUUCAAAAAUUAGAUAUUAUAUAGAUAACAUAGAAUACUCAAAUCUACGUAAAUAUUUGGAUUUUAAAAUUAAGGGUUAAAUAUGUUUUUUAUCCCUAUAAAAUAUACAAAAUUUUUAUUUUAGUCUCCCUAAAAACAUUCUUCAGCUUUUCGUCCCUAUAAAAUUUUUAAUCACCAUUUUUGGUCCAUAUAUUUAAGUCGAUUCAUGUGUAGCUUUUUUUUAAAGACGUGUAGCAUUUGUAUUUUUUUUAAUGAAAUUGUGUAAAAUAUAUUAAUAUUGUAAAAAUCUCCAAAAAAAAAAAAAAUUAGAAUUUUUCAACAUAACAUGAAUUAAAUAUAAAUUUUUAACCGCCAAAAAUAUAAAAACUUAUAUUUAAUUCAUAUUUUGUUAAAAAACUCCAAUUUUUUUGGAGAAAUUCUUAUAAUGUUAUAAAUUUUUCAAAAAUAUAAAUUCCACAUGAGUAUACUUGAAAAGAUGGACCAAAGGUGAAGAUGGAAAACUUUUAAGGAAUCAAAUAUCGAAGAAAAUUUUUAGAGAGACUAAAACAAAAAGUUGAUAUAUUUAUAGGAACCAAAAACAUAUUUAACCCUAUAACUAAAUAUAAAAUUACAUAGAAGAAAAUUAUUAAGUAUGUAUAUAUUUCCCCUAAAAAAAGGUAUGUAUAUUUGAUUUGAGGGUGUAUCUAUAUAGGGUCGUUCCUAUGAAAUUUGUGGUCCGGUUCUUAAAAUAAAGAGAGGCCCCUAAGAAAAAAAACUCAAUUUUUUUUAAAGAGAAGAAAAUGUUUAUAACGUUUGUUUUGUUUUAUUUUUUACAAAAAUAAUUAUAAUUUUGAUAGAGCUUUAUUAUUUUAUACUAUAAGUUUGGGCGAAAAAAUAACAUGAAUAAAUGAAAAGAUAAAAAAAAGAAGGUUCUAAUAUGUUUGUUAAUAAAACAGACCCAAAAAAAAAAUUAAAAGAAAAAAACAUUAAUCCUAGUGGAAAUCAUGGGAUGAUCAACACAAAUUGCAACCGUUAGACAAAGUGACGGGCGUCACCGAAAAUGACCAGCAGACCGUCGGAAAGUAUGACGGUCGUCACAAACGAUGACGGUCAAUCCGUCGUUGACUUUUGGAAAAAAAAACUCUAAUCCUCUUUCGAACGAUUGAAACUUAUUGAGUUAGCUUUCCAGUGGCUUUGGUUUGACGUGAAAAUGAUUUUUGGUUCUUGAGAUAUGAUGAAAAUACUCCAAGGAGGUCUUAGUGAAAUAUUGUGAAAAUUCAGCAUAAUCGUUUCUAAGUUAAUCCAAAACUUAUAGAAUAAAUCCAAACCUCAAAACUAUAAGUACUAGGAGUUUAAUUAAGGGGUUUAAGAGUAUUUAACCUAUGCGGUGAUGGAUCUAAUUUGGUUUGAUGUGAAUAUCUUUGUUGGAUGAUUUAAUAUCUAUAUGAAUGUAUAUGUUGAUGAAUAUGAUUUGAUGUUGAUGGUAAUGUAAUAUAUUUGUAUAUGCAUUAUGUGAAUUAUAUAAGAUGUUUAAGUUGUUGUUUGAUAUUGUUGUAUCUUGAGAUGUUUACGUGCUGCCUAUGUUGCUGUUGUGGGUUUUGUGAAAUAUUUAUAUGCCUUAUGUGGAAAAUGUAUGAUGUUUAAGUUGUUGAUGCUCUUCAUUAAUAUUGUUAUGUUGUGAACUGCUUGUGCUGUUUAUGUUGCUGUUGCAUAUUGAUCAAGUUGCAGGUAUUGGUCUAAGUUGUAAAGUCGUAAGUUGUUGUUCCAAAGUAUUGGAGUCUUAAGUUGUGAUGUUGUCCAAGUUGUAAGUUGUUGAGUCCAUGCAUUUUCAUUUGCAUUUCAUAGUUGGGGGCUUACUGCUCCGGAGCUUUGUACUCAACACGAUGAAGCUUUAGCUCAAUAGUGAUGGGGGCUUACGCCUGACAAUAUAUUAAUACUAAUAACGAUGAUUUGGUACCACAUGCAUAUAAGAGGUCUAAGUUGCAUAGUCGCAUUGUUGAGUCAAAGUCGUUGUUGAUGAGUUGUCAUCCAUGAGUCGUUAAAUUGUUGAGUUAUCUUCUACCCAUGUGUUGUUAAUGAAGUGCUUAUGAAGAUUAUAUAAUGUUAUGAUGUUGUUUAUGAUGUUGAUUAUGAUGUUGUUAUGAUGCUAUAUGAUGUUGUUUAUGAUGUUGUUAUGAUGCUAUAUGAUGUUAUUAUGCUAUAUGAUGUUGAUUAUGAUGUUGUUAUGUUGUUUAUGAUAUUAUUUAUGAUGUUGUUUAUGAUGUUGUUAUGAUGUUGUUUAUGAUAUUGAUUAUGAUAUUGUUAUGCGAUGAUGUGUAUGAUGUGAUGAUUUAUGUCGAUUAUGAGAUGAUGUUUAUGAUGUGUUGUUUAUGUUGUUAUAAGAUGAUGUUUAUGAUGUUAUAUGAUGAUGGUUAUGAUUUGAUUAUUAUGUGCUAUAUGAUGAUGUAUAUAAUGCGAUGAAUAUGAAGUUAAUAAUGAUUAGAAGUUGAUUGAGCUAUUAAUGAAGUACUAUAUGAAUUAUUAUUAUUAAUAAUUGAUGAUGUUUAAAUUGUUAAAUGCUUUGGAUGAAUUAUAUGCUUAUUAUUAUUGAAUGUGAAAUCUCACCCCUUCUGUUUAAAUGUUGCCCACCAUGGGUAACUUGCAGGUAACCAAGAAUAGUUGAUGUCGUGUGAGAUUUCUCUCUCGUGUGUCUUAGGUGCUCUGAUACGUAACGGGAUGAGAUUUUGUUGUUGCUUUCUAUUCCUUACGUAUUAUUUUAUGAAUUAUCAUGAACAUGUUGUCGGAAGAAUUUUAAGAGAUUUUAUGUUGAGGUCCUUGUGCCAAAGUUGUUUAAAAGUUGAAUAAUUUCCGCUGCGAAGUAAUAAAUAUUAUGACGUUAAAUUUUGAAGUAUAAAUAGUUAUUUUAUUCCGUUUAUGAUUUUAAGAAAAGAAGUGUGACAUUCCGUUUAUGUUGAAAUACUCUGAUUUAUAUGUGAAAUUUUUAAGUUGGGAAAACAGGGUGUUACAAAAACCGACGAACAGGCGGUUUUAACAAUCCGGACUGGUUUGAUGCUGAAGCAGUAAUUUAAUUAAAUGGGUUAAUUAAGUAUUUGGUCCCUAUAAAUAUCUGCAGUUUUAUUUUUAGUCCCUAUAAAAUUAAAUCACACUUUUUAGUUCCUACAAAAUUUUCCGUUAGUGUUUUUAGUCUCUGUUAAAUUAAAAUUUGUUUAAUUAUGCUUAAAAUUUGCUAGUUCGAAUCCCACUCAAGGCAAAUUGGAAUUUUUUUUAAAUAAAUAUAACACGCGCCCUUGUUUCUGUUCCAAAAAAAAACCAAACAAUUGUUGACCCGGCCGGUUUUCUUCAAUCCUUCGAGUCGCCGGUUUAAUCCGGUUCUGGCCGAGUUUGACCGGUUCACAACGGUUCAAUGACAUAUCCGAUCCAAUAAGUGGACCGGACCGGCUAACCAUCUGGUUCACGGUCGGACCGGUUCGACCGGUCCGGUCCGGUCUGAGUUUUAAAACUAUGCCCCCUGCCACCCCCCAGUUCCGUCACUGGAGAGAGAGAGAGAGAGAGAGAGAGAGAACCUGCGAGUUCUGCGUUUUGAACUAUGAAGAUUGGUGAUGUUCUGCGAUCACGAAAAUAUGAAUCAGCGAUUUGUGUAUUUUGGACGAUGAUGACGUUGUUUUGAGUGUUUACAAUUGGGUUGAAAAAAAAUUCCCAAAUCCAAAAACCCUAACAUUGAAGAUUUGAAACACGAGAGAGAGAGAGAGAGAGAGAGAGAGAGAGAGAGAGAGAGAGAGAGAGAGAGAGAGAGAGAGAGAGAGAGAGAGAGAGAGAGAGAGUCUGCGAGUUCUGCGUUUUGAACUAUGAAGAUUGGUGAUGUUCUGCAAUCACGAAAAUAUGAAUCAGCGAUUUGUGUAUUUUGGACGAUGAAGACGUUGUUUUGAGUGUUUACAAUUGGGUUGAUUUUUGAACGAUGCGAGUUUGAGCUAUUUGUAUUAGGGAACUUUUCCCUCCUUAACUUUUAAGAGAAGAGCAAUGCUAAUGAGCAUAGUUUUGAAAACCGGACCGAACCGGCCGGUUGGACCGGUCCGACCUGGAACCGAUGGGGUGGCCGGUUCGAGUUGACAAACAGAUCAGCCAUGCUUUCAAAACGUUGUGACUCGGCCAAACCCGGUGAAAACUGUAACGCCUUCUUUGAAUUAUUUGAUUGUUUUAAUAGGUUUAGAAUAUAUUUAUAUGAUUAUGUGAUUUAUUAAGUAGCUUAUUUUAGUAUUUAUGUGAUUUAAAUCAUUAUGUGGUGUGUCGUUAUUUUAUUAAGUAGUGUUAUUUUAUUAUUUAAUACAAUAAGUCUUGAAAAUAGAAAUAAGAUUAAGAUUGUGGGGCUGUUUUGAGAAUUUAGAGAGUUUAGUGGAUUAAGUGGAAAUAAGAUUUGAAAAUAAAAUAAGAUUAAGUUGUGAGGGCUGUUUUGGAAACUAGAAGAGUUUAGUGGAAUAAGUGGAAAUAUAUGUAGAAAUAUUAUGUUAUUUGUUGUAGAAAUAUAUGUUAUUUGGUGAAGAAAUAUUAUGUUAUUUGUUGUAGAAAUAUAUAAUAUUAUGUUAUUUGUUUUAGAAAUAUAUGUUAUCUUGUGUAGAAAUAUAUGUUAUUUGGUGUAUAAAUAUAUGUUAUCUAGUGUAGAAAUAUAUUUCUUAUUUGGUGUAGAAAUAUAUAUGUUAUAGAAAUAUAUUUGUUAUAGAGAUAUAUUUGUUAUUCGUUAUAGGAAUAUUUUGGUAGGCAAUCUAAUAUCUGCAAGUUUGGAAAUCUUUAAGCGUUAAUACUAUAUACUUAUUCCAACCUGCAUUAUAAAAAUAAAAAAAAUAUUUGGGCCCCCAAAUUUUGGAGACCCGAUUCUAUAUAGCUACUUGCACCUCCCAAGGUCCGGCCCUAUAUGUAUAUGUAUGAAAGUUCCUAACUUGCUCUUAUCUAAAAACAUAAAAGAGUAAGUUAGCAAUCUACUAUCACUUACUUUUAAAAAUGAAGACAUUUUCUACUAUUUUAAACUAGUAUUAAUUAAAGGUUACUAUUCUCAAUUUCACUUAUUUUAUUUAUUUUUUUUAACAAAAAAACAGAAACAACAACCGUUUUUUCUCCCUAAAAAAAAAAAAUAAACAACCGUUUUUUCUUGGAUUUCAAAAGCAAGUGUCAAUGGCUAGAUAUUUCAUAAAAACAACAAGAUUUGAUUAGAUACUUAAAAACUCGAUAACAUAAAAAAAUUGAGAAUUAGAAUCAGUGGUGGAGCCACACUUGUAUGAGAGCAUGCAGCUGCAUCCACUGAAUUCUUGAAUUUUAAACCAAUAAUCUUAAUUUAUUCUACUUUAAUCCCUUGAACAUAUAGUAUUGCACCUGAGCUAACACAUAUUCUAUAAUCUCAAAGAACUUACUUUUUUUUUACGUGGUUUUUAUAAAUUAAUUGUAACGAAACUUAGAAAUGCAAGCCUGGAAGAACGAACUCAUACAGUUUUAAUGGUUCGCCGUUAUCAAGUCUUCUACCACUAAACCAAGUGGAUGGAUGUAAAUCAACCACACCAAUAAAAUAUAUAACAUAAAAACAAAAUUGUUACUGGAUUACAGUCGAAAAAUCGGUUGAGCACACAAUGCAUGGUCUUUUCUUCUAAUCGAAUUUUUUCCAUAAAAUGGCUUGGACAUGAAUGUAACCCGAUUUUAAUUGGGCUGAAAAUCUUAGACUUUUUGGUAAUGGCCGGAGUUUGAACCUCAAACAUCGCAUAUAUUAUGUAUUGUUCCUAUCAAUUGAGCUAAACACACGAGGAAAAAAAAUCUUAGACUUUGCCAAUAGGUAAAAGAGCCUCAUGAAAUUCACAUGGUUUUUAAUAUUUCUAUUACAAUUGAAGAUUGUGAAAACUAAAUUUUAGCAUCAAAUAUGGUAUAAAUUGAUGAACGGUUGUCUUGUGGUUUAUAUUAAACGAGAUCUAUCCGGCAACAUUGAUAAUGAGUUGAUUAUUCAACAAUUUCAUAACAUAACAUCGCGUAGAGGAGAAUUGUAAAGUAUGUGUAUAAAUUUUUAGAUACAUUGUAAUUUUUUUAGGGACUUGUUAACGAGUGUCGCCAUACAUUUUUUAAGCAUUUUAAAAUAAACAAUAAUUUUUUAAAAAGUCAAAUAUUUCAAUUCCCAAUGCAUUAAUUACAUAUUUUUUUCAUAAAUAGUUACUCUUUAUAGUCCUUAACGUGUGCCUCCGAGAUGCUCGUUAACAUUCAUUUUUUUAAUAUUUAUUAUUUUUAUACAUAGUAAUAUUAUAUUCGAAUAUGAGUUGUUACAUAUUGAUUUUUCACAAGCUAUGGAUUUAAGAAGCACUCCACUAACAUAAAUUGAUCCUUGGUCAUCAAUACUUCACUAAAUGCAUGUUUUUCAUCCUUCCUUCAUAUUCUCUUGAUCUUAUCCUAUAGUCCUAAGAAGAAAACAGUAGCUCUCAAUUUAUUUAAUAAAAUAAAACUAAAAUAAAAUAUAACUAUAAAAUAGAUAAAUAAAGAUGUUAUCAGUGUCCCGGGACCUUGGUCUCUCAAAGGUGUAUCCUAUCCUUCUCUACUGGUAGUAGAACAUGGGUGUGGAUAGUGCCUUAGGCCUUUAUUGGGCCUCUUGCUCUGUUGUUGUAUGAUGGAUUGAAACUAUGUAAAGAGCUUUUAUCUUAGACUAUUACUUUUUUCACCCUAUUCAUUUCUCGUGCAUCUUAUUUUUUUCGAAAAUACACAGGUGAUUUUUGGAUUUUAAAAUUCGAACUGUGUUUUUCCUUUGUUAUGGAAACAAAAAAAAAAAUAAGUUUUUCACCAAUUCGAAUAUUAUAAUCCAAAAACCUAAAACAAAUAGGGCGUGUUUCUUACUUUAUUUUUUCCGGAUAAUCACAUUUUUUAGGGAAAAAACAGUUUGGAUUAUAUUUUCUGAAUUGUAUCAGCACAAAUUAUGAGCCUGUUUGUAACAUGGAUAACUGGUUGAAAGACCAUAUUAAUCUUCCUAACUCAUAUCCUUCUCUUUUAGGUCAUUGUUAGUUGUUUUUAGUCAAAAAUUUGAUUUUCAGACUAUUUGAUCAGAUUGCUCCGAAACUUCCCUCGAAAAUCAGAAGAAAAAAAAAUCAAGGAUCAAGACUCUUGAAGAAGGGACUUCUUAGAGACACUACCCCUGGAAAUUCAAAAUUACAUCAUUUAGACCUAUUUUUCAUUUUUUUUUUUUAUAUUCUCCGAAUUUUUUUUAAAAAUUUCCAUUAAUUUUAUUUGAUUUUUAGAAUUUUUUGAUGGUAUUUUUAUGAUUUUAUUUGACAAGUUUUUAUCAUUUUUUAAUUUGUUUUUUGUAGGGGUUUUCAAAAUCAAACCAAUCCAAUAGAAAAACCACAAACCAAACCAACAGCAACCGCAAAAAAUCGCAUUUGGUUCGGAUGUAUUCGAAUUAUUUUUUAAUUCAACCGCGUGGUUUGAUUCAAUUUGCGGUUUUUAUUUUACCAACCUAAUCAAUCUAAACCAAACCGCAACAUAAGAAAAACACUAAUUAGUAAAAUAACGAAUCUAUGAGGCAUAGCUAAAACAAGGAAUCUCAAUUUCUCUUUAUGGACUUGGUAAAGCGAAUGAUAUUUUGACUCUACAACUAUUUUGCCAAUUUUAUAUGAAUAAAAUAUAUAUUUAAUCUGGAAAUAAAAGAUAGAUAAACAUUUGUAUAAUCAUUUUGUUGUGACAAUUUUUAAACAACACUCUCUCUCAUAUUCAUAUUAUAUUUUUAUUCUAUCUCUUUCUUUCUCUCUCUAUUAUUUCUGACAAAUAAAAGGGGAUAAAAAAAAGAUUAACACAAAAAUUAUCAUAAAAUGGUUGUUCAAAUAUCAUUAAUCUAAUUGGUUAUAUAUAUGUUCCUCCAAGAACAGAAUCACUCCCCUAAAAAAAAAAAAUUAGAAUCACGUCUUGUAUUAUAAAAUAUUACUACCAUAAGCUAGCACCUAUUGAAAAAGGGAGUUUCUAUGGUACAAUCUAAAAUUAAGGUGUACUGAUACACCUGUUUUAUAAAUUAAUAAAUUGACCAUCAUUUUUAUAUAAUAAAGAACUAUUUAUCGACUUUUAUAUUUUUAAAAACAUAGUUUCAUAAGAAAAAAUAUGAUUUCAUUGUUUAUAAGAAUCAUACUAAAUUUUUUAUAUGUUAUCGUAAAAAAUAAUAAAUAUUCACUAUUAUAAGGAAUAAAAUUAUAAAAGAAAAAAUCUUCACCAUCACUUUUGAUAAAUAAAAUUUAGUUAUUAUGAUUAUAAAUGAAACAAAAUACUAUUCUUCUAUAAAAAAAAUUAUUGAAAGAAAAUGUUAACCGAUGCCCUCAAAAUUGUCAUUGAAAAACUCAAAAUUAUUGAAAGACAUAAAAGCUAUUUGAACCCAAUUACAACCGAAAAACAAUACAAGAUAAAAAAAUAAAAAUAAAAAACGUAUAUAUCUUGGCUCUCUUCUAAGCUUGCCUCUUUUUUUGACUAAAAAAAAAAAGUACACAUCUUAUACAAACAUUCUAAAGGGUUAACACAUAUCACCUAUUAAAAUUCACUAAUUAACCUUACCCUUACUAUCAGGCCAAGACUCUGGGCAAGCGCAAGCGAACUACUGGACCUCACAAUUUUAGGAGCUUCAAAUUUUUUAUUUUUUAAUAUAGCAUACAAAAAUGUUAAGUAUAUAUAAUAAAAUAUAAAAAAUAAUAGACACUUUUUAAUGGUUUGGUAGUAAAAUAGAAUGCAUUUGAGUUUUUAGUCUUUAGGUUUAAUCCCAAGUAUUAGUGUGAAUUUGAACUAAAUAUAAAAGUCUCAAUUAUAUACACAACUAUUAGAUCAUUACAAUUAUUUUUUAUCAAAUUUACAAUUUAAUAUGCAUUUCAGAGUUAUCUAUGAAUAUAGAAAACUAAUAUAUACCUUAAUUUUUUGUUAUUUGUUUCCAUUAACAACACAAAUUAAAUAUGUUAAUAAUUAGUAUUUUUUUUCUAUUGUUUUAAGUUUAAUCAUACAUGUCAGUACUAAUUAACUAUUUUUUCCCAAUAUUAGUACUAGUUUGUCACUAUAUUGAUAGCAAAGACACUUUUUUAAGCAACAACAACCAAUGUACUUAAGAUCAAUUUUGCACUAAACAAAGUAAUGAUUCUUUUUAUGUUUUUGACGUUUCAUUUUAUUAUGAACCCAAAUUUUAAUAUUAAUACAAUUUGUGUUUAGUGAAGUUCAACACAGGUUAUAUAGUUCCUCUCAUGCAAACUUACUUUUACUUAAUUUAUAAAAUGACUAUGUUUUAUGUUAUUUAAAACUUAAAUAGAUGAUUACUAUUGCUUAAAAAAAUCUUUUUUUUUUUUUUUUAAAAAAAAAGAUUUUUUUUUCUUAAAAAAGAUUGCUUAAAAAAAUCUUGUUUUUCUAGGGGGACCCAUUUUUAUUUUUUAACAUGGUCACCAAUUUUACCGGAACAACCCUGCUUAUUAUGGAACUACUUUCAAGACUGACUUUUAUAUCGUCAACAAUGGCGUAUCAUCACAUCCAAACCACCUAAAAUUUUCAUAUAGAGAUUGACAAAGUAAAUCCAAAUAUUGCAAAAAAUGUAGUUCAAACUCUUGAGUAGUCGAACGUAGUACACACACUUUGAAUCAUUCACAUCCUAAAUAACUCUAUGCGUAAGCAAAUUGACAUGAGUGAGGAGCCCAUGCAAUAUAGCUUUUGAUAGAUAUGAACCGAAUUGAUGAGAUAAAUUAUUCCAUAUAGCUCUCCUUGUAAGAAGACCCUGAUAAAUUAUUGAUAGUAUAAUAUAGAAAAUACAUUUUUCCUAAGAAAUAUUAUUGGCAAAUAUAUCACCAAAACCAAUAUAUAAAGAUCUCAAAGAGAAUCGAAAUCACAAAGGUUGAAAUCCCAAAAGGAGUCAUCCACAUUUGGAAACUCAGAAAUGAAGUUCUCCUCUUGUAAUAAAGAGCCUGACCCAAUUUUCUCACUACUUUUAUGCUCCUCCAAGUUCAAUAAACUGUCCCACAACAUUGCACACGGUAUUGGAGCACUACCAAGACUUGGUUGGGAAACACCAACAAUAUCUCUACCAAUUUGGUUUGAAUCCGUAAUCUCUUUAUUAUCACGAUUUGGCGAGACUUCACCGUGUUGAGUUGAAACCGCCACAAUUGGUGUCACAUUAAUAUUAUGUUUCCAGUUCAACGAAGGUGGAUGAGUUGAGAAAGUUCGAGGUUUAGGUUUAAUAAUUUCAUGAACUUUCAUGGUUUCCUUAGGUUUUUCUUUCUUUUCUUCUAGUGUUCUUGAAACCAUCUUCUUUCUCAAAUGUGUGUGCCAAUAAUUCUUCACAUCAUUAGCUGUUCUACCCGGAAGCCUUG
rnacentral:lncRNA from 1 species